AGGGAGGUGCUUCCUGGCCACCUCAUCGCUACCGCGCCGAUGUGCACAGCCACUCGGUAAUCUUCAAGCCAAGUGUCGGGCUUUGACUCUCCUGUGAACUUGCUGACACCAGCUGCCAGUCUGAAGUUAUGGGGGAUCUCCGCGGCACUGAUGGCCCUUCCGAAGCACUCGGGCCUAGAUACAUGGACCCUACUGUUGUUGGGUCUGUCUCUGUUCAGCCCCUCUCCGUACGCUCUGUCUCGGUCGACCAAGCCUUGAACGAGGACUGACCUUGCAUCGAACCCAGGCUCUCUUGGGUCGGCUGGAACCCUGCGGUCAUUACCGACUGGGUGCCUGUCGUCAUACCAACGGGGCGCGUACGACCCGCCCCUCGGGAGGGGAGAAGGCACUCGACGAUAAUUGUCAUGGGCGAACUCAUGGUCAACAUUUCCGUGAGCUCUUCCUAAAUGCCGAUCCUGAUGAUGCUCACGAUCUCUUUGCCUUAGCGGUGAUCUAGGACUGUGGCCGACUGAACGGUUUCUGUCCUUAUCGACCUGCUGUGAAUUCUGUUCCAUGAUUGGGACACCGCGGAGUUCUGAUCUCCCGCUGCUCGGAGGAGUGCUCUGAUCUGUUCCAGACCUCUCCCAGCCUCCAAACGGGACGGCUGGAUGGACUCCGCAAUACGCGUAGCUACCGCGAGAUGUUGGAUCGGUGUGCGGAAUACGUAAGUUUCUGGUGGAAAUAGCUGUCGUGUGUGCCGACUGGAUCCGGGGAUUAGUCGACGGGCGCGUUCGUCGAGAGAAUGUUGGAAGUUGUCCAAACGGGCGUGUUCGGCCAGCGUGGCCAGGCGCACGUCCUCCAAGGCCCGGGCCUCAGCGGUUUCCCCUAUGACGGGGGUAUGGAGAGCCUCCUCGUUACGGCGGCGCAGCUCCUCCCUCUGCUGCGAACUGAGAGGCUGAGGCUGGUACUCCUCAUGGCCAAGUGACUCGUUGUCGGCCCGGUUCUCGCCUCCACGGCGGAAACCAGGCGGGGUGCGAUGGGAGUCGACCAUGAGAACCUCCGCCAUGGGGUCACAACUCCUGUUCUCGGAAAGUGUGUCUGCGAAGUCAGUCAACGGGUCGACCGGACCGCAGGGAUAUAUGUCGGGCUCAAUCGCCAUGACCUUAGGGGCGAACGCCUGUCGAGCCAGCGCGUGUGCCACCCACCGCUGCCGACUGGUACGGAGUCCAGCGGAGUGAGAAGUUGACAUGGGCGCCGACUGGUACGGAGUCGACGGCUGCCGGAGGAGAACACCUCGGGCACUCGCGCGGAAGUGUGACGAUCCUCGGAUCGGCAGCACGUCGAUGUUGAGGGGGACAUCUUGGAGCCAGGCCGAAUCGUCGGCGACGAACGUGAGCGCUCCGAGCCGGAGCUCGCGGCCCAUGAUCAAACCACCGCCGGAAACCAUGUUGAUGAAGACUGAAGGAAACGCAACCUCGCCGGAAGUCGCUAAGAUGCUUUGCCCCAUGGUGGGCGCCAACUGUCGUGGUACUAAGACUGAUAGUAAGAAUAGGGGGUAUGUAGGAGGAGGCAAGGUCCUAGCUACGGUGAGGUUGUACACAAGUGUUUACGAGUUCAGGCCCCUCUCGGAGGAGGUAAAAGCCCUACGUGUCAGUGCCCGGAGGCGGCCGACUGGAUUUCAGUAUAUGCGUGUGUGUUACAGGGGGUGCGAACCCUUGUCCCAGAGGAGGGGGGUGACUUAUGUAGAGUGCGCCAGGACCCCAGCUCCCCUGCGUUACAGAGGGUUCAAUGUUCAUAAAGGAGGGACGUUACUGAUAACGCCAGCUUUAAGUACCAUUAAUGCCUAUAAAGACUACAGAGUGAAUGUCCAACCUUUGUAGUUCCUCUGGCUCUUGGUCUUCAUAGGUCGAUUGAUCUUCGUAAAAUUGGGGUACCCAAGUGAUAUGGUUGGUCGAGUGGAAUAACACUCGACAUCUUCCUUGGGUACUUCCUUUUAUCUCUUGAGCUUCUUUGCUUCUAGGGUAGUGACCUUGGGUGGGGCUCCUAGGUCAGGCCUGUGACCCUACCCUAGGUAUAUAUCCUCAUCAGCUGCUGCAUGCCAUGAAGGCAUAUUGUGCUACCACUUUUAUUGUACUGUAGGGUUUGUAUUCAGACUUAUUGUUUGUAUCAGACUUAUGUGUGUACGAAAAUUAUUACUAUAACUCUUAAACUGGUAUUGAUAUAGUUUACCUUCUUUAUGAUGUGAAUGGAUGUGGAUGUAUAGUUAUUGUGAUCCUAGGAAAGUAUGUUGAACAUACCCACGGUAGGGAUUCUCCUUUUAAAUCUUCUUCUGUCAUCAGGUUAAUUGCCUUAAGUGGUGGUUCGCACCACAUGAUUAAGGUAGAUUAUUUUUUUUGACAUGGAACACUCGUAUUCCAUUUAAGAACGACAAAAAUGCCAGUUACAAGACGGGUUACAUCAGCAGGGAAAUCAUCCAGCCAUACUUGCGUUUCUCCACUUGCUAACCCUGCACCCAUUGCCGCCAACACGUGUGCUGGCUUGUUUGUCACAUAGGACAUGAACUACAUCUGCUCGGAUAAACUGAGUGUUUAACUUGGUCUUGAUUUCUCUAAACACUUGUCCCAGGGAGGCAAAAUCAUAUAAGUUGGUGGCCACUACUUGCUGCACUAUGAGGCUAUCCAUUUCAAAAAUCACACGCCCCACCUGUAGAUGAUCAGCCAGCUGAACGGCAUUAGAGAGUGCAAUGGUUUCAGCAUGAAGUGCAUCCGCUAGAUUACUAGCAGCAACAGCCGCCAAAAACUUUAUAUCCGAUGCUGAAUCUCCGCAGAUGACGCCCCAACCACCCUGUCCAGUUGUUGCUUCGAAUGCAGCAUCCACGUUAGUUUUAACAAAUUCUUCUAGUGGUGGCUUCCAUCUCGCUUGCACCGCUUUUGGAACUACGGUUCUUGGGGUCGAAAAUUCAAGCCAUUCCCCAACGUGUCGCCUGACCGUGAAUUGGAAUGCAUCAACAUCAAGACGUUUCUCUCCGUGAUUCUCCCGAUUCCAUUCAGUCCACCAUUGCCACAGGCAGGCAACAGUCAGAAGUUGUUUUUCCUCAGGUAAUUGCAAGAUCGCCUGAAUUACUUCUUUUGGAUUAUGACUAGAGUAAUAUGCUACAUUAUAGUAACCCUCUAACUCAGUAUUGCCAUUCUUAUGGCUAUAGUGUGUCUUGCUAACUAGGUCCUUAUUUGUGCAGUUCACAACGGAUUCAAAUAACCCUACACAUCACCCAAGCGAUGGACCGCAGAGGAGCCCUGCAAGCAAUGUUCGUGGUACUUCACCAUCAAGAAACAAUUCGUUCUUUAGCCUUUAUCAUACUAGAUGACCCGGUUGCGCCAAUGGCGCAAAAAGGCAGUUUGAAGCAAUGUUAGUAGUGAGUACGUAUGAGAUGUAGAUGGAAAGAUAAUGCAAUGUUGAUUGUAUUACAAAUAGUAGGAUGACUUAAAUUGAUUUUCAGAUAAAAACAUAGAAUGUUUAGAAGAGGAAGUAAGCAAUUGUGGAUAUGAUGGCAGAUACAAUAAUACUGUUAAGCUUGGAUUUCAUAAAGUAUUAAUUCCCCUUUUAGGUCUUCUGGGAUAUUCAUUGAUGAUCAUAUAUAGAGCAAUGUAAAUGAAUUUCUUAUCUAUAUUGGUCACAGAAGUAGGAAGCUUGUCACCAAAAUAUAAGAAAAUAUUUGCAUUAGACAACAAGGAUUAGUCAUAGUUGGAAUAGAUAUAUUACACAGAUCUAACAUAGCAUAAUGGAUUUCAAAAUUAUACAUGAGCCGAGAGUAGUGCCAAAAGCAAACAAGUUCUUAGGGUGAAGCUAUAGACAGAUAGCUUCAUAGGCUAUUUAGGUAGAUUAGUAGACUGAACAUGAUGACCAGAGAGUCGAGUGCCAAAAGCAAACAGGUUCUUAGGGUGAGGCUAUACACACAGAAUUUUGUAGGCUAAUUAUGUAGUUUAGUAGACUGAACACGAUGCUGAAAUUUGUAAGCUGGUUAAGACACCUCAAAUUUGUAAGCUGCUUCCUGUAUAGCCUCACUUUGUUUCCCAAUCUGCAAUGACCAUCAAAGCUUAGAAAGUAGAUAGUGCCUGGUGCCCCUAUGCAAUGGUAUAUAAAAUGGUUGGUGUAAGCAUAUGCAUAUACUGGUAUUAGUAGAGCAAAUGAAAACAUUGUUUGAUCGUAAGAGUUAUGUAGGCCUUGUGUUCAGCCUUUUUGGGUUUUAUGGAUUUAGUUGUAGUAUGUACAGGAAGGCUAAAAUUAGGUAUAAUGGCAUGACAAUGGUAAUGAUAAGACAGUUUUGUACCAUGCGAUGCGUGCUCCUUUUUCUUGUUUUUCUUGGCUUUCAUGCGACGGUAUGAAGGGCCUAUAGAGUUAUAAAUAGUAAGAGGUUUAAAAGGUGAGUAUAAGCAAGAGGUUUUAAAAGUAAAUUUGGCAUGGUGUGCUUACCAGUAUCAUUACUGAUGUUGAUAACAGCUGGUUUGUAGGCUACGUUGUUAGGCUAAGGAAGCGAUUCGGAAGACUCGCUAUCAUCACCGCUGCAAAUAACAUUAUAGAUUUUCUGCAAGGAAAUGCCCCAGUUGUUAUUAUUGUUAACUAUGGCCUUUCUUAAUGCUAUGUAGCGGCUAGAAAAGUACGUACAGUGAGAAAAUCCCUUAGUAAAUUUAUCAAUCAGGAGAUUGCAUAUUAUUUAUCAAUCACUGAUGCAAAUAACAUUAUAAAUUUUCUGCAAGGAAAUUCCUCAGUUGUUAUUCUGGUUACCUAUGGCUUUUCUUAAUGCUAUGUAGCAGAUAGAAAAGUAGGAUGGGAGGACAGGAAGCAACCUGCGCUAGACAGAAUAAAUGGCUGAGGAGGCAAAAAAUAUAUUAAAAAGAGUGUGUAUAACAACCACACUACACAGACGAUAUGUCAACUAUGCUUGUAAUCACUAUGAAUAGGACCAGCAACUACUAUUAGUUUGAUACUUGAAAGGAAUAAGCAGCCAGUUUCAUGCAUCUACGGCUGGCCCUCUCUGCUCUCUGCCUCAUCUCAUAACUACUUCAACUAAUUGUUGACUGAGCUUGGUUGCUGUCUAAAUCAAGACAAUUGCAUUCAUGCACAGGGCCAGUAUCUUGUAAGGAUCUUUAAUUAAUAGAAGCAAGCAUCUGUCAAUUUAUUCAAGAAAAAAUAACACGCCUUAAAUAUAGUAGGCGUAUCAACUAAAUCCAAGAAUAUAUUAUAAAUACGAUGUUCUAACUUUAAACUAUCACAAAAGAGACAAAAAAACAAAGCUGCUAAUAUAAAUGUCGAGAAAACACCUCUCUAAACUUCUUGCAUGAUGUGCCGAGGAAAAAGAAGAAAAGAAAGAAUAAAGGUACUCCCUUCGUAAACUAAUAUAAGAGCGUUUAGAAUACUAAAGUAGUGAUCCAAACACUCUUAUAUUAAUUUACAGAGGGAGUACAAAUUUUGAACUAUUGUCAUGCUUGAAGAUGUUAGCUAGACCAGUCGAAGAAAAUUAUCAUUCAAGUUUCCUUCUCAACUAAACUAGAAAUGCAAAAUUGUAAACUGAAUUCAAGCAAGAAGCGGCAUAGAAAAUAAUGCUUUGAGCAUGGAUGAGUAAAGUCGAGGCGUCAUAGUAGGUCCCCAACAUAUACCAGCUAUGUACUGAAAGUCUAUACAGUACUACAUCACAAGAAUGUAAAAUGUUGAAAGGAGAUAGUGUGAACUUCUGUGAGCUGUAAACACCCGUACCUUGCAUGAUGAUUUACAAACUAAAAUUCAAAAUAAUAUAGUAGACAUGAUAUGUAAUAUACUGACUGAGAUGCACCAGAACUACUUCCUCCUCUCGCCACCGGUUCCUGAGCACUAUGCUGCUACUACGAUCUUCCCCAUCCUGGCUUGCGGCGCGCACCGCAGGUCAGGAUAGUAGGCCUCCGAAAUCGCACCUUUUGAUUCCUAUAUGGGAGAAGGGUGAUAAGGUUUUUGGGGAGCGCUCUGCGCGACUACUGACUCCACUCCUUCGUCACGGACUCCGACGACUACUUCCCCGACGACGACUUCUUCCCCGACAUCGACAACCUCCUCGACGACAUGGCUCACAAGGACACCGACCCCAAGUCUAGUGCUACCUCUACUGCUGUUGUCCUGUAUGUGUUCUUACUCUUUCUGUUAGAGGUCUUGUCACAGUUCCUUGUUCUACUGUUUGCCCUACAUAUGUUAGGCUCUACUUCAUAUAUGCUGCUUGCCCUAGAUAUGUUUGCCUACAGUUCGUAUGUGAAGGUGAUAUUUACCUUCUCUCCGUCAGAUCGCAUGACUUGCUUUAUCUCUGCUAUUUUAGUCAUGCUUUAUUCAGUAUUUACGCUAAUAAAAUCAUAUGGUAAAUUGCUCAUAUUUCCAACAAUCCAAAAACUUUAUGAUAGGCAAUUUACCCCAAGUGGUUUUGCUGCUUCCAUGAGACCUUCUAUGUUUGAGGGUAUCCACUAUAAGAGCUGGCGCGUGAGAGCAGUCUUAUGGUUUUAAACCAUGAGUUGCUAUGAUGCCACUCUUGGCAAACCUGAAGGAGAGCAAGAUGCACAACAGGCACAAGCUUUUCAGAAAAUGGAUACCUUGUUUAAGGCUGCUCUCUUGAGUGUUCUUGGUGAGAACAUAGUUGAUGAUAUGCGUUAAUUGAUAAUGGAAAAGAUAUGUGGGACGCACUCGAGGCCAAGUUUGGGGUCUCGGAUGCUGGCACUGAGUUGUACAUCAUGGAGCAAUUCUAUGAUUACAGGAUGACUGAAUAGCGCUCCGUGGUUGAGCAAGCUCAUGAGAUACGAUCAUUUUCUAGAGAACUUGAGCACUUAAAUUGUAUACUACCGGACAAGUUUAUUGCCGAAGGCAUCAUCACUAAGCGUCCUCCCACGUGGAGGAACUUUGCUACCUUACUGAAGCAUAAGAGGCAGGAGUUUUCCGUUCCGGAUCCCAUUGGUACUCUUGAUGUGGAAGAAAAGGCUAGAGCAAAGGACAACCGUGUUCAAGGUAUUGAGGGAGGUUCUAGUGCCAAUCUGGUACAGAAGAAGAAUUUCCAGCCCCACAAGUUCAAGAACAAGGGCAAGUUUGAUGGUAAAGAAAUGUUUGAUGGGAAGAACAAGGCUGUGCAACACAUGAACUUCAAGAAGAAGAAUGACAAGAAGAAAGGUGUUUGUCAUGUGUGUGGGGAUCCUGAUCAUUGGGCUCCUAGUUGCCCUAAUCGCUAUGACAAGCGUCAUCCUGGGAAAGGCGGCAAGACCGCUAAUGUUGUCAUUGGAGACACUGACAUGAAGGAUGUUGGGUAUGGUAUAUUUCCCGCUGUUCUUUCAGUAUGUCAUUCUCCUGAUUAGUUGAUUGACACGGGUGCUAAUGUGCAUGUAUGCGGUGAUAUUUCCAUGUUUUUGUCUUAUCAGACCGCAGGGACUUCCACCGUGCUGAUGGGCAACGGUUCAAGUGCUUCUCUUCGUUGUGUUGGCAUGGUCGAUCUGAAGUUUACUUCGGGGAAGAUCGUGCGGCUGAAGAACGUGCAUUAUGUCCCCUCCGUCAAUAAAAAUCUUAUCUCUUCUAUGUAGAGAUGGAUACAAGCUUGUCUUUGAGUCAAAUAAAUUUGUAAUAUCCAAGUAUGGAACCUUUGUUGGUAAAGGCUACGAGUCAGGAGGCCUGUUUCGUUUAUCCUUAUCAGACGUUUGCAAUAAAGUUGUUAAUCAUGUUUGCAACAAUAGUGAAUCAAAUAUGUGGCAUUCACGUCUUUGUCAUGUUAACUUUGGUUGCAUGUCGCACUAGCGAAGUUGAACUUAAUCCCUGGUUUCACCACUGUCAAGGGAUCUAAGUGUCAAGUGUGUGUGCAAGCUAAGGAACCUUUUAAGUCUCAUGUGACUGCGGAAACGAGAAAUCUUGCACCAUUAGAGCUCAUACAUUCAGAUCUAUGUGAAAUGAAUGGUGUUUUGACAAAAGGUGGAAAGAAGUAUUUUAUGACAUUAAUUGAUGACUCCAAUAGAUACUGUCAUGUGUAUCUUCUGAAAUCUAAGGAUGAGGCUUUGAACUAUUUCAAGAUCUAUAAAGCUGAAGCAGAAAACCAACUUGAUCGAAAGAUCAAGAGGCUUAGGUCCGAUCUGUUGGGGAACGUAGUAUUUUCAAAAAAAAGCACACGCAAGAUCAUGUUGAUGGCAUAGCAACGAGAGGGGAGAGUAAUGUCCACGUACCCUUGUAGACCGUAAGCGGAAGCGUUAUGACAACGCGGUUGAUGUAGUCGUACGUCUUCACGAUCCGACCGAUCCAAGCACCGAGCGUACGGCACCUCCGAGUUCAUCACACGUUCAGCUCGAUGACGAUCCCCGGACUCCGAUCCAGCAAAGUGUCGGGGAUGAGUUCCGUCAGCACGACGGCGUGGCGACGAUGAUGAUGUUCUACCGGCGCAGGGCUUCGCCUAAACUCCGCGACGAUAUGACCGAGGUGGAAUAUGGUGGAGGGGGGCACCGCACACGGCUAAGGAACGAUCCGUAGAUCAACUUGUGUGUCUAUGGGGUGCCCCCCGCCCCCGUAUAUAAAGGAGCAAGGGGGAGGGGGAGGCCGGCCAAGGGAGGGCGCGCCAGGGAGGAGUCCUACUCCCACCGGGAGUAGGACUCCCUCCUUUCCUAGUCCAACUAGGAGACCUUCCAUGUAGUAGGAGUAGGAGAGAAGGAAAGGGAAGAGAGAAGGGAAGGAAGGAGGGGGUGCGGCCCCUCCCCCUAGUCCAAUUCGGACUAGGCCUUGGGGGGGCGCGCGGCCUGCCCUAGGCAGCCCCUCUCUCUUUCCCGUAUGGCCCAAUAAGUCCCAAUACUUCUCCCGGCGAAUUCCCGUAACUCUCCGGUACUCCAAAAAAUACCCGAAUCACUCGGAACCUUUCCGAAGUCCGAAUAUAGUCGUCUAAUAUAUCAAUCUUUACGUCUCGACCAUUUCGAGACUCCUCGUCAUGUCCCCGAUCUCAUCCGGGACUCCGAACUCCUUCGGUACAUCAAAACUCAUAAACUCAUAAUAUAACUGUCAUCGUAACGUUAAGCGUGCGGACCCUACGGGUUCGAGAACUAUGUAGACAUGACCUAGAACUAUUCUCGGUCAAUAACCAAUAGCGGAACCUGGAUGCCCAUAUUGGCUCCUACAUAUUCUACGAAGAUCUUUAUCGGUCAAACCGCAUAACAACAUACGUUGUUCCCUUUGUCAUCGGUAUGUUACUUGCCCGAGUUUCGAUCGUCGGUAUCCAAUACCUAGUUCAAUCUCGUUACCGGCAAGUCUCUUUACUCGUUCCGUAAUGCAUCACUUCGUAACCAACUCAUUGGUCACAUUGCUUGCAAGGCUUAUAGUGAUGUGCAUUACCGAGAGGGCCCAGAGAUACCUCUCCGACAAUUGGAGUGACAAAACCUAAUCUCGAAAUACGCCAACCCAACAUGUACCUUUGGAGACACCUGUAGUACUCCUUUAUAAUCACCCAGUUACGUUUUGACGUUUGGUAGCACCCAAAGUGUUCCUCCGGUAAACGGGAGUUGCAUAAUCUCAUAGUUACAGGAACAUGUAUAAGUCAUGAAGAAAGCAAUAGCAACAUACUAAACGAUCAAGUGCUAAGCUAACGGAAUGGGUCAAGUCAAUCACAUCAUUCUCCUAAUGAUGUGAUCCCGUUAAUCAAAUGACAACUCUUUUGUCCAUGGCUAGGAAACAUAACCAUCUUUGAUAAACGAGCUAGUCAAGUAGAGGCAUACUAGUGACACUAUGUUUGUCUAUGUAUUCACACAUGUAUCAUGUUUCCGACUAAUACAAUUCUAGCAUGAAUAAUAAACAUUUAUCAUGAAAUAAGGAAAUAAAUAAUAACUUUAUUAUUGCCUCUAGGGCAUAUUUCCUUCAGUCUCCCACUUGCACUAGAGUCAAUAAUCUAGUUCACAUCGCUAUGUGAUUUAACACCAAUAUUCACAUCUGCAUGUGAUUAAUACCCAUAGUUCACAUCAUCAUGUGAUCAACACCCAAAGGGUUUACUAGAGUCAAUAAUCUAGUUCACAUCGCUAUGUGAUUAACACCCAAAAGAGUACUAAGGUAUGAUCAUGUUUUGCUCGUGAGAGAAGCUUAGUCAACGGGUCUGUCAUAUUCAGAGCCGUAUGUAUUUCGCAAAUAUUCUAUGUCCACAAUGCCUUGCACGGAGCUACUCUAGCUAAUUGCUCCCACUUUCAAUAUGUAUCCAGAUUGAGACUUAGAGUCAUCUGGAUUGGUGUAAAAACUUGCAUCAUUGUAACUUUUACGACGGGCUCUUUUAUCACCUCCAUAAUCGAGAAACAUCUCCUUAGUCCUCACUAAGGAUAUUCUUGACCCAUGUCCAGUGAUCUACUUAUUAGAUCAAAAUUGUAUUCCUUUGCCAAACACAGAGCAAGGUAUACAAUAGGUCUGGUUCACAGCAUAGCAUACUUUAUAGAACCUAUGACUGAGGCAUAGGGAAUGACUUUUCAUUCUCUUUCUAUUUUCUGCAAUGGUCGGGUCUUGAGUCUUACUCAACUUCACACCUUGUAACACAAGCAAGAACUCCUUCUUUGACUGUUCCAUUUUGAACUAUUUCAAAAAUUUAUCAAGGUAUGUACUCGUUGAAAAAAUUUAUCAAGCGUCUUGAUCUAUCUAUAUAGAUCUUGAUGCUCAAUGUGUAAGCAACUUCACCGAGGUCUUGCUUUGAAAAACUCUUAUUCAAGUAUCCUUUCAUGCUAUCCAGAAUUUCCAUAUCAUUUCCAAUUAACAAUAUGUCAUCCACAUAUAAUAUUAGAAAUGCUACAGAGCUCCCACUCACUUUCUUGUAAAUACAGGCUUCUUCAAAAGUCUGUAUAAAACCAUAUGCUUUGAUCAACUCAUCAAAGCGUAUAUUCCAACUCUGAGAUGCUUGCACCAGUCCAUAGAUGGAUCGCUGGAGCUUGCACAAUUUGUUAGCACCUUUAGGAUUGACAAAACCUUCUGGUUGCAUCAUAUACAACUCUUCUUUAAGAAAUCCAUUAAGGAAUGCAGUUUUGACAUCUAUUUGCCAAAUUUCAUAAAAUGUGGCAAUUGCUAACAUGAUUCGGACAUACUUUUAAGCAUCGAUACGAGUGAGAAAAUCUCAUUGUAUUCAACAUCUUGAACUUUGUCAAAAACCUUUUUCGACAAGUCUAGCUUUGUAGAUAGUAACACUACUAUCAACGUCUGUCUUCCUCUUGAAGAUCCAUUUAUUUUCUAUGGCUUGCCGAUCAUCGGGCAAGUCCACCAAAGUCCACACUUUGUUCUCAUACAUGGAUCCCAUCUCAGAUUUCAUGGUCUCUAGCCAUUUUGCGGAAUCUGGGCUCAUCAUCGCUUCCUCAUAGUUCGUAGGUUCGUCAUGGUCAAGUAACAUGACCUCCAGAAUAGGAUUACCAUACCACUCUGGUGCGGAUCUUACUCUGGAAGACCUACGAGGUUUGGUAGCAACUUGAUCAGAAGUUUCAUGAUCAUCAUCAUUAGUUUCCUCAUUAAUUGGUGUAGUAGUCACAGGAACAGAUUUUUGUGAUGAACUACUUUCAAAUAAGGGAGCAGGUACAGUUACCUCAUCAAGUUCUAAUUUCCUCCCACUCACUUCUUUCGAGAGAAACUCCUUCUCUAGAAAGGAUCCAUUCUUAGCAACGAAUGUUUUGCCUUUGGAUUUGUGAUAGAAGGAGUACCCAACAGUUUCCUUUGGGUAUUCUAUGAAGAUGCACUUCUCUGAUUUGGGUUCGAGCUUAUCAGGUUGAAAACCUUUUUCAUAUAAGCAUCGCAACUCCAAACUUUAAGAAAUGACAGCUUAGGUUUACUGUUAAACCGUAGUUCAUACGGUGUCGUUUCAACGGAUUUAGAUGUUGCCCUUUUAAACGUGAAUGCAGCUGUCUCUAAUGCAUAACCCCAAAACGAUAGUGGUAAAACCGAUAAGAGACAUCAUAGAUCGCACCAUAUCCAAUAAGGUGUGGUUAUGACGUUCGGACACACCAUAACGUUGUGGUGUUCCAGGUGGCGUGAGCUGUGAAACUAUUCCACGUUGCUUUAAUUGAAGACCAAGCUCAUAACUCAAAUAUUUAUCUCCAUGAUCAGAUCGUAGAAACUUUAUUUUUCUUGUUACGAUGAUUUUUCCACUUCACUCUGAAAUUCUUUGAACUUGUCAACUAUUUCAGACUUAUGUUUCAUUAAGUAGAUAUACCCAUAUCUGCUCAAAUCAUCUGUGAAGGUUAGAAAAUAACGAUACUUGCCACGAGCAUCAACACUCAUUGGAUCACAUACAUCAGUAUGUAUUAUUUCCAACAAAUAUGUUGCUCUCUCAUUGUUCCGGAGAACGGAGUCUUAGUCAUCUUGCCCAUGAGGCAUGGUUCGCAAGUAUCAAGUGAUUCAUAAUCAAGUGAUUCCGAAAAUCCAUCUUUAUGGAGUUUCUUCAUGCGCUUUACACCGAUAUGACCCAAACGGCAGUGCCACAAAUAAGUUGCACUAUCAUUAUUAACUUUGCAUAUUUUGGCAUCAAUAUUAUGAAUAUGUGUAUCACUACGAUCGAGAUCCAACAAACUAUUUUCAUUGGGUGUAUGACCAUUGAAGGUUUUAUUCAUGUAAACAGAACAACAAUUAUUCUCUGACUUUAAAUGAAUAACCGUAUCGCAAUAAACAUGAUCAAAUCAUAUUCAUGCUCAACGCAAACGCCAAAUAACAUUUAUUUAGGUUUAACACUAAUCCCGAAAGUAUAGGGAGUGUGCGAUGAUGAUCAUAUCAAUCUUGGAACCACUUCCAACACACAUCGUCACUUCACCCUCAACUAGUCUCUGUUUAUUCUGUAACUCCUGUUUCGAGUUUACUAAUCUUAGCAACCGAACAAGUAUCAAAUACUCAGGGGCUACUAUAAACACUAGUAAGGCACACAUCAAUAACCUGUAUAUCAAAUAUACCCUUGUUCACUUUGCCAUCCUUCUUAUCCACCAAAUAUUCAGGGCAUUUCCGCUUCCAGUGACCAUUUCCUUUGCAGUGUAAGCACAUAGUUUCAGGCUUUGGUUCAGCUUUGGGUUUCUUCGUGGGAGUGACAACUUGCUUGUCAUUCUAGUUGAAGUUCCCUUUCUUUCCCUUUGCCCUUUUCUUGAAACUAGUGAUCUUGUCAACCAUCAACACUUGAUGCUCUUUCUUGAUUUCUACCUUCGUCGAUUUCAACAUCACGAAGAGCUUGGGAAUUGUUUUCGUCAUCCCUUGCAUUAUAGUUCAUCACGAAGUUCCAGUAACUUGGUAAUGGUGACUAGAGAACUCUGUCAAUCACUAUCUUAUCUGGAAUAUUAACUCCCACUUGAUUCAAGCGAUUGUAGUACUCAGACAAUCUAAGCACUUGCUCACUAGUUGAGUGAUUCUCCUCCAUCUUUUAGCCAUAGAACUUGUUGGAGACUUCAUAUCUCUCAACUCGGGUAUUUGCUGGAAAUAUUAACUUCAACUCCUGGAACAUCUCAUAUGGUCCAUGAUGUUCAAAACGUCUUUGAAGUCCCGAUUCUAAACCGUUAAGCAUGGUGCACUAAACUAUCAAGUAGUCAUCAUAUUGAGCUAGCCAAACGUUCAUAACGUCUGCAUCUGCUCCUGCAAUAGGUUUGUCACCUAGCGGUGCAUCAAGGACAUAAUUCUUCUGUGCAGCAAUGAGGAUAAACCUCAGAUCACGGAUCCAAUCCGCAUCAUUGCUACUAACAUCUUUCAACACAAUUUUCUCUAGGAACAUAUCAAAAUAAACAUAUGAAAGCAACAACGCGAGCUAUUGAUUUACAACAUAAUUUGCAAAAUACUACCAGGACUAAGUUCAUGAUAAAUUUAAGUUCAAUUAAUCAUAUUACUUAAGAACUCCCACUUAGACAGACAUCUCUCUAGUCAUCUAAGUGAUCAUGUGAUCCAAAUCAACUAAACCAUAACCGAUCAUCACGUGAGAUGGAGUAGUUUUCAAUGGUGAACAUCAUUAUGUUGAUCAUAUCUACUAUAUGAUUCACGCUCGACCUUUCGGUCUCCGUGUUCCGAGGCCAUAUCUGCAUAUGCUAGGCUCAUCAAGUUUAACCUGAGUAUUCUGUGUGUGCAAAAACUGGCUUGCACCCGUUGUAGAUGGACGUAGAGCUUAUCACACCCGAUCAUCACGUGGUGUCUGGGCACGACGAACUUUGGCAACGGUGCAUACUCAGGGAGAACACUUCUUGAUAAUUUAAGUGAGAGAUCAUCUUAAAAUGCUACCGUCAAUCAAAGCAAGAUAAGAUGCAUAAAGGAUAAACAUCACAUGCAAUCAAUAUAAGUGAUAUGAUAAGGCCAUCAUCAUCUUGUGCUUGUGAUCUCCAUCUCCGAAGCACCGUCGUGAUCACCAUCGUCACCGGCGCGACACCUUGAUCUUCAUCGUAGCAUCAUUGUCGUUUACGCCAUCUAUUUCUUCUACGACUAUCGCUACCGCUUAGUGAUAAAGUAAAGCAAUUACAGGGCGUUUGCAUUUCAUACAAUAAAGCGACAACCAUAUGGCUCCUGCCAGUUGCCGAUAACUUCGGUUACAAAACAUGAUCAUCUCAUACAAUAAAAUAUAGCAUCACGUCUUGACCAUAUCACAUCACAACAUGCCCUGCAAAAACAAGUUAGACGUCCUCUACUUUGUUGUUGCAAAUUUUACGUGGCUGCUACGGGCUGAGCAAGAACCGUUCUUACCUACGCAUCAAAACCACAACGAUAGUUCGUCAAGUUAGUGCUGUUUUAACCUUCGCAAGGACCGGGCGUAGCCACACUCGGUUCAACUAAAGUGAGAGAGACAGACACCCACCAGCCACCUUUAAGCACGAGUGCUCGUAACGGUGAAACCAGUCUCGCGUAAGCGUACGCGUAAUGUCGGUCCGGGCCGCUUCAUCUCACAAUGCCGCUGAACCAAAGUAUGACAUGCUGGUAAGCAGUAUGACUUAUAUCGCCCACAACUCACUUGUGUUCUACUCGUGCAUAUGACAUCUACGCAUAAAACCUGGCUCUGAUACCACUGUUGGGGAACAUAGUAAUUUCAAAAAAAAAAUUCCUACGCACACGCAAGAUCAUGGUGAUGGCAUAGCAACGAGAGGGGAGAGUAAUGUCCACGUACCCUCGUAGACCAUAAGCUGAAGCGUUAUGACAACGUGGUUGAUGUAGUCGUACGUCUUCACGAUCCGACCGAUCCAAGCACCGAAAGUACGGCACCUUUGAGUUUAGCACACGUUCGGCUCGAUGACGAUCCCCGGACUUCGAUCCAGCAAAGUGUCGGGGAUGAGUUCCGUCAGCAUGACGGCGUGGCGACGAUGAUGAUGUUCUACCGGCGCAGGGCUUCGCCUAAACUCCACGACGAUAUGACCGAGGUGGAAUAUGGUGGAGGGGGGCACCGCACACGGCUAAGGAACGAUCCGUAGGUCAACUUGUGUGUCUAUGGGGUGCCCCCCGCCCCCGUAUAUAAAGGAGCAAGGGGGAGGGGGCGGCUGGCCAAGGGAGGGCGGGCCAGGGAGGAGUCCUACUCCGACCGGGAGUAGGACUCCCUCCUUUCCUAGUCCAACUAGGAGACCUUCCAUGUAGUAGGAGUAGGAGAGAAGGAAAGGGAAGAGAGAAGGGAAGGAAGGAGGGGGUGCAGCCCCUCCCCCUAGUCCAAUUCGGACUAGGCCUUGGGGGGGCGCGUGGCCUGCCCUAGGCAGCCCCUCUCUCUUUCCCGUAUGGCCCAAUAAGGCCCAAUACUUCUCCCGGCGAAUUCCUGUAACUCUCCGGUACUCCGAAAAAUACCCGAAUCACUCGGAACCUUUCCAAAGUCCGAAUAUAGUCGUCCAAUAUAUCGAUCUUUAUGUCUCGACCAUUUCGAGACUCCUCGUCAUGUCCCGAUCUCAUCCGGGACUCCGAACUCCUUCGGUACAUCAAAACUCAUAAACUCAUAAUAUAACUGUCAUCGUAACGUUAAGCGUGCGGACCCUACGGGUUCGAGAACUAUGUAGACAUGACCUAGAACUAUUCUCGGUCAAUAACCAAUAGCGGAACCUGGAUGCCCAUAUUGGCUCCUACAUAUUCUAUGAAGAUCUUUAUUGGUCAAACCGCAUAACAACAUACGUUGUUCCCUUUGUCAUCGGUAUGUUACUUGCCCAAGAUUCGAUCAUCGGUAUCCAAUACCUAGUUCAAUCUCGUUACCGGCAAGUCUCCUUACUCAUUCCGUAAUGCAUCAUUCCGUAACCAACUCAUUGGUCACAUUGCUUGCAAGGCUUAUAGUGAUUUGCAUUAUCGAGAGGGCCCAGAGAUACCUCUCCGACAAUCGGAGUGACAAAAACUAAUCUCGAAAUAUGCCAACCCAACAUGUACCUUUUGAGACACCUGUAGUACUCCUUUAUAAUCACCCAGUUACAUUGUGACGUUUGGUAGCACCCAAAGUGUUCCUCCGGUAAACGGGAGUUGCAUAAUCUCAUAGUUACAGGAACAUGUAUAAGUCAUUAAGAAAGCAAUAGCAACAUACUAAACGAUCAAGUGCUAAGCUAACAGAAUGGGUCAAGUCAAUCACAUCAUUCUCCUAAUGAUGUGAUCCCGUUAAUCAAAUGACAACUCUUUUGUCCAUGGCUAGGAAACAUAACCAUCUUUGAUAAACGAGCUAGUCAAGUAGAGGCAUACUAGUGACACUAUGUUUGUCUAUGUAUUCACACAUGUAUCAUGUUUCUGAUUAAUACAAUUCUAGCAUGAAUAAUAAACAUUUAUCAUGAAAUAAGGAAAUAAAUAAUAACUUUAUUAUUGCCUCUAGGGCAUAUUUCCUUCACGAUCGUGGUGGAGAGUAUUUCUCAAAUGAAUUUGAUUCCUUUUGUGCGGAACAUGGAAUAAUCCAUGAAAGGACGCCUCCCUAUUAACCUCAGUCAAAUGGGGUGGCCGAAAGAAAGAACCGUACUCUAACUGAUUUGGUUAAUGCCAUGUUAGACACAUCGGGUCUUUCCAAGGCAUGGUGGGGGGAGGCGAUAUUGACUGCAUGUCAUGUCCUAAAUCGAGUUUCCACAAAGAUCAAAGAGAUAACUCCAUUUGAGGAAUCGGAGAAGAAAAGGUUAAAGCUCUCUUAUCUACGAACAUGGGGUUGUUUGGCGAAAGUCAAUGUGCCAAUUCCAAAGAAGCGGAACCGUGGACCAAAGACUGUGGAUUGUGUUUUCUUGGGAUGUGAUUUUCAUAGCAUUGGUUAUAGAUUCUUGGUUGUAAAAUCUGAGGUACCUGACAUGCAUGUCGGUACGAUCAUGGAAUCGAAGAUGCGACUUUCUUUGAAGAUAUCUUUCCCAUGAAGGAUAUGGCUACCUCAUCUAAUCAGGAGAUGCCUAGUUCAUCGAAUCAGGAACCAGUUACAAUUACUGAACCUGCCAUCUUGAUGGAACGCCAUGAAAGUCCUGUGGAGGAGAACAAUGAAGUUCCUACUAGGAGCAAGAGACAGAGGACUACAAAGUCCUUUGGUGAUGAUUUUCUUGUGUAUCUCAUAGAUGACAAUCCCAGUUCUAUUUCAGAGGCCUAUACAUCUGAAGAUGCUGACUAUUGGAAGGAAGCAGUUCGUAGCGAGAUGGAUUCCAUCUUGGCGAAUGAAACUUGGGAGAUAACUGAUCGUCCUUAUGGGUGCAAACCUAUAGGAUGCAAAUGGGUAUUCAAGAAGAAGCUUAGGCCUGAUGGUACUAUUGAAAAGUACAAGGAUCGGCUCGUGGAUAAGGGUUAUACCCAAAAGGGAGGUGAAGACUUCUUUGAUACUUACUCACCUGUGGCUCGAUUGACCACUAUUCAAGUUCUACUUUCACUAGCUGCCUCAGGUGGUCUUCUCGUUCAUCAAAUGGAUGUUAAGACUGCUUUCCUAAAUGGAGAGUUGGACGAGGAAAUUUAUAUGGAACAACCAGAUGGGUUUGUAAUAGAUGGUCAGGAAGGGAAAGUGUGAAAGUUGCUGAAGUCUUUGUAUAGACUCAAGCAAGCACCCAAACAGUGGCAUCAGAAGUUUGAAAGAACUUUAACAGCUGCACGCCUUGUUGUGAACGAAGCUGACAAAUGUGUGUACUAUCUCCAUGGUGGGGGCGAGGGAGUUAUCCUUUGCUUGUAUGUUGAUGACAUACUGAUUUUCGGAACAAAUCUGAAUGUUAUUAAGGAGGUCAAGGAUUUCCUAGCUCGCUGUUUUGAGAUGAAGGAUUUAGGAGUGGCUGAUGUCAUUCUAAACAUCAAUUUGUUGAGGGACUAUGAUGGUGGGAUUACAUUGCUUCAAUGUCACUAUGUGGAAAAGAUCUUGAUUCGCUUUGGCUACAAUGACUGCAAGCCCUCUCCAACACCAUAUGAUGCUAGUGUGUUGCUUUGCAAGAAUCAAAGAAUUGCUAGAGACCAAUUGAAAUAUUCUCAGAUUAUUGGCUCGCUCAUGUACUUAGCCAGUGCUACAAGACCUGACAUCUCUUUUAUUGUUAGCAAACUGAGUCGGUUUGUCUCAAAACCAGGAGAUGUACAUUGGAAAGCUCUAGAGAGAGUUUUGCGUUAUUUGAAAGGCACAGCAAAUUAUGGAAUUCACUACACUGGGCACCCAAAGGUGCUUGAAGGGUAUAGUGACUCAAACUAGAUCUCCAAUGCUGAUGAGAUAAAGUCCACGAGCGGAUAUGUAUUCACUCAUGGAGGUGGCGCUGUUUCUUGGAAGUCUUGCAAGGAGACCAUCUUAACGAGGUCAACAAUGGAAGAAGAACUCACAGCAGUAGAUACAACUACGGUCGAAGCAGAUUGGCUUCGCCGGCUCUUGAAUGACUUGCCCGUUGUUGAGAAACCUGUACCGGGUAUCCUUAUGAACUACGACAAUCAAACUAUGAUCACGAAAGUGAAGAGCUCAAAGGAUAACUUGAAGUCAUCAAGACACGUUCAGAGAAGGUUAAAGUCUGUCAGAAAAAUGAGAAACUCUGGAGUUAUUGCAUUGGAUUAUAUCCAAACGUCUAAAAAUCUGGCAGAUCCUUUUACUAAGGGUCUAUCACGUAAUGUGAUAGAUAAUGCAUCGAGGGAGAUGGGUAUGAGACCCACAAUAUGAGUUGUUCAUAGUGGUAACCUAUUCUUUGUGAUCGGAUAUCCCGUGAAUUAGAUGUGGAAGACAAGUUGUUGGUCAACUGGGAGGAGAGUACCCUUACUGUUAAAAAAUACCACUCCAUGAAGAUGCAAUACUCUCCUAAUCUGCAUGCCAGGUUGAUGUAUAUCUUAAUGUGUUCUAAGUGGCUCUUUGAAGCAGAGAUGUUGUCCUGCAGAACAUCUUUUGAAGAACGCACCUAUAUGAGUUUGAUUGUUAAACGUUGCAAUCUAUGAGAGUAGGGUUCUCUCCAGUAAACUCAUGAAAGGUCUCGGAGUAUGACGCAUAAGCUCCACCCCCGGGGAAGACCCACGGUAGCCACGUAUUGGCCAAGGCUUUAUGUGAAGCUAGAUUCGCAGAAAACUUGCAGUUCAAGGCCCAGUCCAUUGUUCAAGUUGCUUACUAGUGUAGCAUAGAGUUCUAGGUGGAAGUUCAACUUAACAGUCUCCACUGCGGUACCGGUAUAUAAAAUAGUGUUUUGGAACCAAAGGCAAAUUUUAUGUGCCUCUGGGAUCUGUUGGGGGAUUGCCGAAUUUUUUUUCUAUUUGGGCCUAGCCCAAUAGCAGUUUUAGAAAUUCCUAAUAAAUCCUAGAGGCCCAUGCAACCCAUUUGUGCAAGGCAAGAGGUGGAACUAAAGUUUAGUCCCACAUUGCUAGUUUAGAGGGAGUUGGACCUCUUUGUUGGGGAACGUUGCAGAAAAUUAAAAAUUUUCCUACGGUUUCACCAAGAUCCAUCUAUGAGUUCAUCUAAGCAACGAGUCAAGGGAGAGAGUUUGCAUCUACAUACCACUUGUAGAUUGCGUGCGGAAGCUUGCAAGGUGAUGAUGUAGUCGUACUCAACGUGAUUCGAAUCACCGAUGACCAAGUGCUGAAUGGACAGCACCUCCGCGUUCAACACACGUACGGGACGGGAGACGUCUCCUCCUUCUUGAUCCAGCAAGGGGGAAGGAGAGGUUGAGGAAGACAGCUCCACCGGCAGCACGACGGCAUGGUGAUGGUGGAGAGGCAGUACUCCGACAGGGCUUCGCCAAGCACACAACGGAGGAGGAGAGGUGUUGGGGAGGGGAGGGCUGCGCCUUGGAGGGUGGUGCGGCUGCCCUCCCCUCACCCCUCUAUUUAUAGGGGGAAGGGAGAAGGGGGCCGGCCCCCUAGAACCCAUCUAGGGGGGGUGCGGCGGCCAAGGGGAGAGGGGGAGAGGGUGGCUUGCCCCCCAAGCCAAGGGGGCGCCCCCUCUAGGGUUCCCCCCUCAACCCUAGGCGCAAGGGCCCAAGGGAGGGGGUGCGGCCAGCCCACCAGGGGCUGGCUCCCUGCCCCACGCAGCCCAUGUGGCCCCCCGGGAGGGGUGGCCCCUCCUGGUGGACCCCCGGAACCCUUCCGGUGGCCCCGGUACAAUACUGGUAUGACCCCGAAACUUCUCGAUGUCCGUUUGACAACUUCCCAUAUAUAAAUCUUUACCUCCGGACCCUUCCGGAGAUCCUCGUGACGUCCGGGAUCCCAUCCGGGACUCCGAACAACAUUCGGUAGUCACAUACUAGUCUUCCUAAUAACCCUAGCGUCACCGAACCUUAAGUGUGUAGACCCUACGGGUUCGGGAGACAUGCAGACAUGACCUAGACGCUCUCAGGUCAAUAACCAACAGCGGGAUCUGGAUACCCAUGAUGGCUCCCACAUGCUCCUCGAUGUUGUCAUCGGAUGAACCACAAUGUCGAGGAUUCGAUCAAACCCUGUAUACAAUUCCCUUUGUCAAUCGGUACGUUACUUGCCCGAGACUUGAUCGUCGGUAUCCCAAUACCUUGUUCAGUCUCGUUACCGGCAAGUCACUUUACUCGUACCGUAAUGCAUGAUCCCGUGUCCAACACCUUGGUCACAUUGAGCUCAUUAUGAUGAUGCAUUACCGAGUGGGCCCAGAGAUACCUCUCCGUCAUACGGAGUGACAAAUCCCAAUCUCGAUCCGUGUCAACCCAACAGAUACUUUCGGAGAUACCUGUAAUGCACCUUUAUAGUCACCCAGUUACGUUGUGACAUUUGAUACACCCAAGGCACUCUUACGAUAUCCGGGAGUUACACGAUCUCAUGGUCGAACGAAGAGAUACUUGACAUUGGCAAAGCUCUAGCAAAACGAACUACACGAUCUUUUAUGCUAUGCUUAGGAUUGGGUCUUGUCCAUCACAUCAUUCUCCUAAUGAUGUGAUCCCGUUAUCAACGACAUCCAAUGUCCGUAGUCAGGAAACCAUGACUAUCUGUUGAUCACAACGAGCUAGUCAACUAGAGGCUCACUAGGGACAUAUUGUAGUCUAAGUAUUCACACGUGUAUUACGAUUUCCGGAUAAUACAGUUAUAGCAUGAAUAAAAGACAUUUAUCAUGAACAUUGAAAUAUAAUAAUACUUUUAUUAUUGCCUCUAGGGCAUAUUUCCAACAGUCUCCCACUUGCACUAGAGUCACUAAUCUAGUUACAUUGUGAUGAAUCGAACACCCAUAGAGUUCUGGUGUUGAUCAUGUUUUGCACGCGAGAGAGGUUUAGUCAGCGGAUCUGCGACAUUCAGAUCCGUGUGCACUUUGCAAAUCUCUAUGUCUCCAUCUUGAACAUUUUCACGGAUGGAGUUGAAACGACGCUUGAUGUGCCUGGUCUUCUUGUGAAACCUGGGCUCCUUGGCGAGGGCAAUAGCUCCAGUGUUGUCACAGAAGAGUUUGAUCGGCCCCGACGCAUUGGGUAUGACUCCUAGGUCGGUGAUGAACUCCUUCACCUAAAUCGCUUCAUGCGCUGCCUCCGAGGCUGCCAUGUACUCCGCUUCACAUGUAGAUCCCGCCACGACGCUCUGCUUGCAGCUGCACCAGCUUACUGCUCCACCAUUCAACAUAUACACGUAUCCGGUUUGUCACUUAGAGUCAUCCAGAUCUGAGUCGAAGCUAGCGUCGACGUAACCCUUUACGACGAGCUCUUCGUCUCCUCCAUAAACGAGAAACAUGUCCUUCGUCCUUUUUAGGUACUUCAGGAUAUUCUUGACCGCUGUCCAGUGUUCCUUGCCGGGAUUACUUUGGUAUCUUGCUACCAAACUUACGGCAAGGUUUACAUCGGGUCUGGUACACAGCAUGGCAUACAUAAUAGAUCCUAUGGCUGAAGCAUAGGGGAUGACACUCAUGUCUUCUUUAUCUUUUGCCGUGGUCGGUGACUGAGCCGAGCUCAGUCUCACACCUUGUAACAUAGGCAAGAACCCCUUCUUGGACUAAUCCAUUUUGAACCUCUUCAAAAUCUUAUCAAAGUAUGUGCUUUGUGAAAGACCUAUGAGGCGUCUCGAUCUAUCUCUAUAGAUCUUGAUGCCUAAUAUGUAAGCAGCUUCUCCAAGGUCCUUCAUUGAAAAACACUUAUUCAAGUAGGCCUUAAUGCUGUCCAGAAAUUCUAUAUUAUUUCCCAUCAAGAGUAUGUCAUCUACAUAUAAUAUGAGAAAUGCUACAGAGCUCCCACUCACUUUCUUGUAAACGCAGGCUUCUCCAUAAGUCUGCAUAAACCCAAACGCUUUGAUUAUCUCAUCAAAGCGAAUGUUCCAACUCCGAGAUGCUUGCACCAGUCCAUAAAUGGAUCGCUGGAGCUUGCAUACUUUGUUAGCGUUCCGAGGAUCGACAAAACCUUCCGGCUGCAUCAUAUACAGCUCUUCCUUAAGAUGUCCGUUAAGGAAUGCCGUUUUGACGUCCAUCUGCCAUAUCUCAUAAUCAUAGUAUGCGGCAAUUGCUAACAUGAUUCGGACGGACUUCAGCUUUGCUACGGGAGAGAAAGUCUCGUCGUAGUCAAUCCCUUGAACUUGUCGAUAACCCUUAGCGACAAGUCGAGCCUUAUAGAUGGUAACAUUGCCAUCCGCGUCCGUCUUCUUCUUAAAAAUCCAUUUGUUUUCUAUCGCUCGCCGAUCAUCGGGCAAGUCUGUCAAAGUCCAUACUUUGUUUUCAUACAUGGAUUCUAUCUCGGAUUUCAUGGCUUCAAGCCAUUUGUUGGAAUCCGGGCCCGCCAUCGCUUCUUCAUAGUUCGAAGGUUCAUUGUUGUCUAACAACAUGAUUUCCAGGACAGGGUUGCCGUACCACUCUGGUGCGGAACGUGUCCUUGUGGACCUACGAAGUUCAGCAGUAACUUGAUCCGAAGUACCUUGAUCAUCAUCAUUGUUUUCCUCUUCAGUUGGUGUGGGCAUCACAGGAACGGUUUCCUGCGCUGCGCCACUUUCCCGUUCAAGAGGUAGUACUUCAUCGAGUUCUACUUUCCUCCCACUUACUUCUUUCGAGAGAAACUCUUUUUCCAGAAAGCAUCCGUUCUUGGCAACAAAGAUCUUGCCUUCGGAUCUUAAGUAGAAGGUAUACCCGACAGUUUCCUUAGGGUAUCCUAUGAAUACGCAUUUUUCCGACUUGGGUUCGAGCUUUUCAGGUUGAAGUUUCUUGACAUAAGCAUCGCAUCCCCAAACUUUUAGAAAUGACAGCUUAGGUUUCUUUCCAAACCAUAAUUCAUACGGUGUCGUCUCAACAGAUUUAGACGGUGCCCUAUUUAAAGUGAAUGUAGAUGUCUCUAGAGCGUAUCCCCAAAAUGAUAGCGGUAAAUCAGUAAGAGACAUCAUAGACCGCACCAUAUCCAAUAGGGUGCGAUUACGACGUUCGGACACACCGUUUCGCUGAGGUGUUCCAGGCGGCGUGAGUUGUGAAACGAUUCCACAUUUCCUUAAGUGUGUACCAAAUUCGUGACUUAAGUAUUCUCCUCCACGAUCUGAUCGUAAGAAUUUUAUCUUUCGGUCACGUUGAUUCUCUACCUCAUUCUGAAAUUCCUUGAACUUUUCAAAGGUCUCAGACUUGUGUUUCAUUAAGUAGACAUACCCAUAUCUACUCAAGUCAUCAGUGAGAGUGAGAACAUAAUGAUAUCCUCCGCGAGCCUCAACGCUCAUUGGACCGCACACAUCGGUAUGUAUGAUUUCCAACAAGUUGGUUGCUCGCUCCAUUGUUCCGGAGAACGGAGUCUUGGUCAUUUUGCCCAUGAGGCAUGGUUCGCAUGUGUCAAACGAUUCAUAAUCAAGAGACUCUAAAAGUCCAUCAGCAUGGAGCUUCUUCAUGCGCUUGACACCAAUGUGACCAAGGCGGCAGUGCCACAAGUAUGUGGGACUAUCGUUAUCAACUUUACAUCUUUUGGCAUCCACACUAUGAACAUGUGUAACAUUACGCUCGAGAUUCAUUAAGAAUAAACCAUUGACCAUCGGAGCAUGACCAUAAAACAUAUCUCUCAUAUAAAUCGAACAACCAUUAUUCUCAGACUUAAAUGAGUAGCCAUCUCGUAUUAAACGAGAUCCAGAUACAAUGUUCAUGCUCAAACUUGGCACUAAAUAACAAUUAUUAAGGUUCAAAACUAAUCCCAUAGGUAAAUGUAGAGGCAGCGUGCCGACGGCGAUCACAUCGACUCUGGAACCAUUCCCGACGCGCAUCGUCACCUCGUCCUUCGCCAGUCUCCGUUUAUUCCGCAGCUCCUGCUGUGAGUUACAAAUAUGAGCAACGGCACCGGUAUCAAAUACCCAGGAGUUACUACGAGUACUGGUAAGGUACACAUCAAUCACAUGUAUAUCAAAUAUACCUUUGGUGUUGCCGGCCUUCUUAUCCGCUAAAUAUUUCAGGCAGUUCCGCUUCCAGUGACCCUUCCCCUUGCAAUAAAAGCACUCAGUCUCAGGCUUGGGUCCAUUCUUUGACUUCUUCCCGGUAACUGGCUUACCAGGCGCGGCAACAUCUUUGCCGUCCUUCUUGAAGUUCUUCUUACCCUUGCCCUUCUUGAACUUAGUGGUCUUAUUGACCAUCAACACUUGAUGUUCUUUCUUGAUUUCAGCCUCUGCUGACUUCAGCAUCGAGAACACUUCAGGAAUGGUCUUUUCCAUCCCCUGCAUGUUGUAGUUCAUCACAAAGCUCUUGUAGCUUGGUGGGAGCGACUGGAGGAUUCUGUCAAUGACUGCCUCAUCUGGGAGGUUAAUGUUCAGCUGGGUCAUACGGUUGUGCAACCCAGACAUCUUCAGGAUGUGCUCACUGACAGAACUGUUUUCCUCCAUCUUACAACUAUAGAACUUGUCGGAGACAUCAUAUCUCUCGACCCGGGCAUGAGCUUGAAAAACUAGUUUCAGCUCUUCGAACAUCUCAUAUGCUCCGUGGUGCUCAAAACGCUUUUGGAGCCCCGGUUCUAAGCUGUAAAGCAUGCCGCACUGAACGAGGGAGUAAUCAUCAGCACGAGACUGCCAAGCAUUCAUAAUGUCUUGGUUCUCUGGGACGGGAGCGUCACCUAGCGGUCCUUCUAGGACAUAUUGUUGCCUGGCAGCUAUGAGGAUGAUCCUCAGGUUCCGGACCCAGUCCGUAUAGUUGCUGCCAUCAUCUUUCAGCUUGGUUUUCUCUAGGAACGCGUUGAAGUUCAUGUUGACAUUAGCGUUGGCCAUUGAUCUACAAGACAUAUUUGCAAAGGUUUUAGACUAAGUUCAUGAUAAUAAAUUUCUAAUCAAAUUAUGAACUCCCACUUAGAUUAGACAUCCCUCUAGUCAUCUAAGUGUUACACGAUCCGAGUUGACUAGCCCGUGUCCGAUCAUCACGUGAGACGGACUAGUCAUCGUCGGUGAACAUUCUCAUGUUGAUCGUAUCUUCCAUACGAUUCGUGUUCGACCUUUCGGUCUCCGUGUUCCGAGGCCAUGUCUACACAUGCUAGGCUCGUCAAGUUAACCCUAAGUGUUUUCACUGUGUAAAACUAUCUUACACCCGUUGUAUGUGAACGUAAGAAUCCAUCACACCCGAUCAUCACGUGGUGCUUAGAAGCGACGAACUGUAGCAACGGUGCACAGUUAGGGGAGAACACUUCUUGAAAUUUUUGUAAGGGAUCAUCUUAUUUACUACCGUCGUCCUAAGUAAACAAGAUGCAUAAACAUAAUAAACAUCACAUGCAAUUAUAUAGUUGUGACAUGAUAUGGCCAAUAUCAUAUAGCUCCAUUGAUCUUCAUCUUCGGGGCUCCAUGAUCAUCUUGUCACCGGCUUGACACCAUGAUCUCCAUCAUCAUGAUCUCCAUCAUCGUGUCUUCAUGAAGUUGUCACGCCAACGACUACUUCUACUUCUAUGACUAACGUUUAGCAAUAAAGUAAAGUAGUUUACAUGACGUUAUUCAAUGACACGCAGGUCAUACAAAAAAUAAAGACAACUCCUAUGGCUCCUGCCGGUUGUCAUACUCAUCGACAUGCAAGUCGUGAAUCCUAUUACAAAGAACAUGAUCUCAUACAUCACAAUUCAUCAUUCAUCACAACUUCUGGCCAUAUCACAUCACAUGAUCAAUCGCUGCAAAAACAAGUUAGACGUCCUCUAAUUGUUGUUGCAUCUUUUACGUGGCUGCAAUUGGGUUCUAGAAAGAACGUUUUCUUACCUACGAGUCACCACAACGUGAUUUUGUCAACUUCUAUUUACCCUUCAUAAGGGCCCUGUUCAUCGAUUCCGCUCCAACUAAAGUGGGAGAGACAGACGCCCGCCAGCCACCUUAUGCAACUAGUGCAUGUCAGUCGGUGGAACCGGUCUCACGUAAGCGUACAUGUAAGGUUGGUCCGGGCCGCUUCAUCCCACAAUACCGUUGAGCAAGAAAAGACUAGUAGAGGCAAGUAAGAUGACAAAAUCCACGCCCACAACAAAAUUGUGUUCUACUCGUGCAAAGAGAACUACGCAUAGACCUAGCUCAUGAUGCCACUGUUGGGGAACGUUGCAGAAAAUUAAAAUUUUUCCUACGGUUUCACCAAGAUCCAUCUAUGAGUUCAUCUAAGCAACGAGUCAAGGGAGAGAGUUUGCAUCUACAUACCACUUGUAGAUUGCGUGCGGAAGCUUGCAAGGUGAUGAUGUAGUCGUACUCGACGUGAUUCGAAUCACCGAUGACCAAGUGCUGAACGGACAGCACCUCCGCGUUCAACACACGUACGGGACGGGAGACGUCUCCUCCUUCUUGAUCCAGCAAGGGGGAAGGAGAGGUUGAGGAAGACAUCUCCACCGGCAGCACGACGGCGUGGUGAUGGUGGAGAGGCAGUACUCCGACAGGGCUUCGCCAAGCACACAACGGAGGAGGAGAGGUGUUGGGGAGGGGAGGGCUGCGCCUUGGAGGGUGGUGCGGCUGCCCUCCCCUCACCCCUCUAUUUAUAGGGGGAAGGGAGAAGGGGGCCGCCCCCCUAGAACCCAUCUAGGGGGGGUGCGGCGGCCAAGGGGAGAGGGGGAGAGGGUGGCUUGCCCCCCAAGCCAAGGGGGCGCCCCCUCUAGGGUUCCCCCCUCAACCCUAGGCGCAAGGGCCCAAGGGAGGGGGUGUGGCCAGCCCACCAGGGGCUGGCUCCCUGCCCCACGCAGCCCAUGUGCCCCCCCGGGAGGGGUGGCCCCUCCCGGUGGACCCCCGGAACCCUUCCGGUGGCCCCGGUACAAUACCGGUAUGACCCCGAAACUUCUCGAUGUCCGUUUGACAACUUCCCAUAUAUAAAUCUUUACCUCCGGACCCUUCCGGAGCUCCUCGUGACGUCCAGGAUCCCAUCCGGGACUCUGAACAACAUUCGGUAGUCACAUACUAGUCUUCCUAAUAACCCUAGCGUCACCGAACCUUAAGUGUGUAGACCCUACGGGUUCGGGAGACAUGCAGACAUGACCUAGACGCUCUCAGGUCAAUAACCAACAGCGGGAUCUGGAUACCCAUGAUGGCUCCCACAUGCUCCUCGAUGUUGUCAUCGGAUGAACCACGAUGUCGAGGAUUCGAUCAAACCCUGUAUACAAUUCCCUUUGUCAAUCGGUACGUUACUUGCCCGAGACUCGAUCGUCGGUAUGCCAAUAUCUUGUUCAGUCUCGUUACCGGCAAGUCACUUUACUCGCACCAUAAUGCAUGAUCCCGUGUCCAACACCUUGGUCACAUUGAGCUCAUUAUGAUGAUGCAUUACCGAGUGGGCCCAGAGAUACCUCUCCGUCAUACGGAGUGACAAAUCCCAAUCUCGAUCCGUGUCAACCCAACAGAUACUUUCGGAGAUACCUGUAAUGCACCUUUAUAGUCACCCAGUUACGUUGUGACGUUUGAUACACCCAAGGCAUUCUUACGAUAUCCGGGAGUUACACGAUCUCAUGGUCGAAGGAAGAGAUACUUGACAUUGGCAAAGCUCUAGCAAAACGAACUACACGAUCUUUUAUGCUAUGCUUAGGAUUGGGUCUUGUCCAUCACAUCAUUCUCCUAAUGAUGCGAUCCCGUUAUCAACGACAUCCAAUGUCCAUAGUCAGGAAACCAUGACUAUCUGUUGAUCACAACGAGCUAGUCAACUAGAGGCUCACCAGGGACAUAUUGUAGUCUAAGUAUUCACACGUGUAUUACGAUUUCCGGAUAAUACAGUUAUAGCAUGAAUAAAAGACAUUUAUCAUGAACAUUGAAAUAUAAUAAUACUUUUAUUAUUGCCUCUAGGGCAUAUUUCCAACACUCUUUAUAAGGGAGGUUCUUUCCCCACUUGUAUAAGCAUGAGAACAAGAGGGACAUCCACGCGCCCUCCUCCUUCGCCGCCUGCCUCGCCAUGCCACGCCUCGUCAGGACGCGCCGCGCCACGGGUUGCGGGAAUGAGCCAAGCCGAUGUCUAAGUUUUUGCCACGCACUACGGGUAUAUGAAAGGUCACUAUGAAGCUGAAACAUUUUCUCUAGUGGACACUGAAUCCGAACGGCGCGCCUCUUCAGCUACUGCCUGUUCGUUCUGUCUCCCGCAUUCCCUUCAGCUCCUGGCGCAGCCUCUCGCCUCCUUCUCUUGUGCCUAUAAAAGGGAGGUCGCUCCUCUCAGAGAUAUGCACGAGAACUACUUCCUCCUCUCGCCACCGGUUCCUGAGCACUGUGCUGCUGCUACGAUCUUCCCCAUCCCGGCUUGCAGCGUGCAACGCAGGUCGGGACAGUAGGCCUCCGAAAUCGCACCUUUUGAGUCCUAUAUGGGAGAAGGGUGAUAACGUUUUUGGGGAGCGCUCUGUGCGACUACAGACUCCACUCCUUCGUCACGGACUCCGACGACUACUUCCCCGACGACGACUUCUUCCCCGACAUUGACAACCUCCUCGACGACAUGGCUGACAAGGACACCGACUCCAAGUCCAGUGCUACCUCUACUGUUGUUGUCCGAUAUGUGUUCUUACUCUUUCUGUUAGAGGUCUUAUCAUAGUUCCUUGUUCUACUGUUUGCCCUACAUAUGUUAGGCUCUACUUCAUAUAUGCUGCUUGCCCUAGAUAUGUUUUCCUACAGUUCGUAUGUGAAGGUGAUAUUUACCUUCUCUCUGUCAGAUCGCAUGACUUGCUUUAUCUCUGCUAUUUUAGUCAUGCUUUAUUCAGUAUUUCCGCUAAUAAAAUCAUAUGGUAAAUUUCUCAUAUUUCCAACAAUCCAAAAACCUUAUGAUAGGCAAUUUACCCCAAGUGGUUUUGCUUCUUCCAUGAGACCUUCUAUGUUUGAGGGUAUCCACUAUAAGAGGUGGCGCGUGAGAGCAGUCUUAUGGUUUUAAACCAUGAGUUGCUAUGACGCCACUCUUGGCAAACCUGAAGGAGAGCAAGAUGCACAACAGGCACAAGCUUUUCAGAAAAUGGAUACCUUGUUUAAGGCUGCUCUCUUGAGUGUUCUUGGUGAGAACAUAGUUGAUGCUUAUGCAUCAAUUGAUAAUGGAAAAGAUAUGUGGGAUGCACUCGAGGCCAAGUUUGGGGUCUCGGAUGCUGGCAUUGAGCUGUACAUCAUGGAGCAAUUCUAUGAUUACAAGAUGACGAAGAGCGCUCCGUGAUCGAGCAAGCUCAUGAGAUAUAGUCAUUUGCUAGGGAACUUGAGCACUUCAAUUGUAUCCUACCGGACAAGUUUAUUGCCGGAGGUAUCAUCUCUAAGAUUCCUUCCACAUGGAGGAACUUUGCUACCUUACUGAAGCAUAACAGGAAGGAGUUUUCCGUUCCGUAUCUCAUUGGUACUCUUGAUGUGGAAGAAAAGGCGAGAGCAAAGGACAACCGUGCUCGAGGUAUUAAGGGAGGUUCUAGUGCCAAUCUGGUAUAGAAAAAGAAUUUCCAGCCCCACAAGUUCAAGAACAAGGGCAAGUUUGAUGGUAAAGCAAAGUUUGAUGGGAAGAACAAGGAUGUGCAGCACACGAACUUCAAGAAGAAGAAUGACAAGAAGAAAGUUGUUUGUCAUGUGUGUGGAGAUCCUGAUCAUUGGGCUCCUAGUUGCCCUAAUCGCUAUGACAAGCGUCAUCCUGGGAAAGGCGGCAGGACCGCUAAUGUUGCCAUUGGAGACACUGACAUGAUUGGUUGAUUGACACGGGUGCUAAUGUGCAUGUAUGCGGUGAUAUUUCCAUGUUUUCGUCUUAUCAGACCACAGGGACUUCCAUCGUGCUGAUGGGCAACGGUUCAAGUGCUUCUGUUUGUGGUGUUGGCACGGUCGAUCUGAAGUUUACUUUGGGUAAGAUCGUGCGGCUGAAGAACGUGCAUUAUGUCCCCUCCGUCAAUAAAAAUCUUGUUAGCAGAUCUCUUCUGUGUAGAGAUGGCUACAAGCUUGUCUUUGAGUCAAAUAAAUUUGUCAUAUCCAAGUAUGGAACCUUUGUUGGUAAAGGCUAUGAGUUAGGUGGCAUGUUUCGUUUAUCCUUAUAAAACGUUUGCAAUAAAGUUGUUAAUCAUGUUUGCAACAAUAGUGAAUCAAAUGUGUGGUAUUCACGUCUUUGUCAUGUUGACUUUGGUUGCAUGUCUCGACUAGCAAAGUUGAACUUAAUCCCUAGUUUCACCACUGUCAAGGGAUCUAAGUGUCAAGCGUGUGUGCAAGCUAAGCAACAUCGUAAGUCUCAUGUGACUGCAGAAACGAGAAAUCUUGCGCCAUUAGAGCUCACACAUUCAGAUCUAUGUGAAAUGAAUGGUGUUUUGACAAAAGGUGGAAAGAAGUAUUUUAUGACGUUAAUUGAUGACUCCACUAGAUACUGUCAUGUGUAUCUUCUGAAAUCUAAGGAUGAGGCUUUGAACUAUUCCAAGAUAUAUAAAGAUGAAGCAGAAAACCAACUUGAUCAAAAGAUCAAGAGGCUUAGGUCCCUUCGUGGUGGAGAGUAUUUCUCAAAUGAAUUUGAUUCCUUUUGUGCGGAACAUGGUAUAAUCCAUGAAAGGACGCCUCCCUAUUCACCUCAGUCAAAUGGGGUGGCCGAAAGAAAGAACCAUACUCUAACUGAUUUGGUUAACGCCAAGUUAGACACAUCGGGUCUCUCCAAGGCAUGGUGAGGGGUGGCGAUAUUGACUGCAUGUCAUGCCUAAACCGAGUUCCCACAAAGAACAAAGAGAUAACUCCAUUCGAGGAAUGGGAGAAUAAAAGGUUAAAGCUCUCUUAUCUACGAACAUGGGGUUGUUUGGCAGAAGUCAAUGUGCCAAUUCCAAAGAAGCGGAAGCUUGGACCAAAGACUGUGGAUUGUGUUUUCUUGGGACAUGCUUUUCAUAGCAUUCGUUAUAGAUUCUUGGUUGUAAAAUCUGAGGUACCUGACAUGCAUGUCGGUACGAUCAUGGAAUCGAAUGAUGUGACUUUCUUUGAAGAUAUCUUUCCCAUGAAGGAUAUGGCUACCUCAUCUAAUAAGGAGAUGCCUAGUUCAUCGAAUCAGGAACAAAUUACAAUUACUGAACCUGCCAUCUCGAUGGAACACUUUGAAAGUCCUGUGGAGGAGAACAAUGAAGUUCCUACUAGGAGCAAGAGACAGAGGACUGCAAAGUCCUUUGGUGAUGAUUUUCUUGUGUAUCUCAUAGAUGACACUCCCAGUUCUAUUUCAGAGGCCUAUACAUCUAAAGAUGCUGACUACUGGAAGGAAGCAAUUCAUAGCAAGAUGGAUUCCAUCUUGUCGAAUGAAACUUGGGAGAUAACUGAUCGUCCUUAUGGGUGCAAACCUAUAGGAUGCAAAUGGGUAUUCAAGAAGAAGCUUAGGCCUGAUGGUACUAUUGAAAAGUACAAGGCUCGGCUCGUGGCUAAGGGUUAUACCCAACAGGAAAUUGAAGACUUCUUUGAUACUUACUCACAUGUGGCUUGAUUGACCACUAUUCGAGUUCUACUUUCACUAGCUGCCUCACAUGGUCUUCUCAUUCAUCAAAUAGAAGUUAAGACUGCUUUCCUAAAUGGAGAGUUGGACGAGGAAAUUUAUAUGGAACAACCAGAUGGGUUUGUAAUAGAUGGUCAGGAAGGGAAAGUGUGCAAGUUGCUGAAGUCUUUGUAUGGACUCAAGCAAGCACCCAAACAGUGGCAUGAGAAGUUUGAAAGAUCUUUAACAGCUACAGGCUUUGUUGUGAACGAAGCUGACAAAUGUGUGUACUAUCGCCAUGGUGGGGGCGAGGGAGUUAUCCUUUGCUUGUAUGUUGAUGACAUACUGAUUUUCGGAACAAAUCUGAAUGUUAUUAAGGAGGUCAAGGAUUUCCUAUCUCGCUGUUUUGAGAUGAAGGAUUUAGGAGUGGUUGAUGUCAUUCUGAACAUCAAGUUGUUGAGGGACGAUGAUGGUGGGAUUACAUUGCUUCAAUCUCACUAUGUGGAAAAGAUCUUGUGUCGCUUUGGCUACAAUGACUGCAAGCCCUCUCCAACACCAUAUGAUGCUAGUGUGUUGCUUCGAAAGAAUCGAAGAAUUGCUAGAGACCAAUUGAAAUAUUCUUAGAUUGUUGGCUCGCUCAUGUACUUAGACAGCUACAAGAACUGACAUCUCUUUUGCUGUUAGCAAACUGAGUCGGUUUGUCUCAAAACUAGGAGAUGUGCAUUGGAAAGCUCUAGAUAGAGUUUUGCGUUAUUUGAAAGGCACUACAAAUUAUGGAAUUCACUACACUGGGCACCCAAAGGUGCUUGAAGGGUAUAAUGACUCAAACUGGAUCUCAGAUGGUGAUGAGAUAAAGGCCACGAGCGGAUAUGUAUUCACUCAUGGAGGUGGCGCUAUUUCUUGGAAGUCUUGUAAGCAGACCAUCUUAACGAGGUCAACAAUGGAAGCAUAACUCACAACACUAGAUACAGCUACGGUCGAAGCGGAUUGACUUCGCCGGCUCUUGAAUGACUUGCACGUUGUUGAGAAACCUGUACCGGGUAUCCUUAUGAACUGCGACAAUCAAACUGUGAUCAUGAAAGUGAACAGUUGAAAGGAUAACAUGAAGUCAUCAAGACACGUUCAGAGAAGGUUAAAGUCUGUCAGAAAAAUGAGAAACUCCGGAGUUAUUGCAUUGGAUUAUAUCCAAACGUCUAAAAAUCUGGCAGAUCCUUUUACUAAGGGUCUAUCACGUAAUGUGAUAGAUAAUGCAUCGAGGGAGAUGGUUGUGAGAACCACAAUAUGAGUUGUUCACAGUGGUAACCUAUUCUUUGUGAUCAAAGAUCCCAUGAAUUAGAUGUGGAAGACAAGUUGUUGGUCAACUGGGAGGAGAGUACCCUUACUGUUAAAAAAUGCCACUCCAUGAAGAUGCAAUACUCUCCUAAUCUGCAUGGCAGGUUGAUGUAUAUCUUAAUGUGUUCUAAGUGGCUCUUUGAAGCAGAGAUGUUGUCCUGCAGAACAUCUUUUGAAGAACGCACCUAUAUGAGUCUGAUUGUUAAACGUCGCAAUCUAUGAGAGUAGGGUUCUCUCUAGUAAACUCAUGAAAUGUCUCGGAGGAUGACGCAUAAGCUCCACCCGCAGGAAAGACCCACGGUAGCAACGUAUCGGUCAAGGCUUUUAUGUGAAGCUAGAUUCGCAGAAAACUUGCAGUUCAAGGCCCAGUCCACUGUUCAAGUUGCUUACUAGUGUAGCAUAGAGUUCUAGGUGGAAGUUAAACUUAACAGUCUCCACUGCAGUACCGGUAUAUAAAACAGUGUUUUUGGAACCAAAGGCAAAUUUUGUGUGCCUCUGGGAUCUGGUGGGGGAUUGCUAGAAUUUUUGUCUAUUUGGUCCUAGACCAAUAGCAGUUUCAGAAAUUCCUAAUAAAUCCUAGAGGCCCAUGCAGCCCAUUCGUGCAAGGCAAGAGGUGGAACUAAAGUUUAGUCCCACAUUGCUAGUUUAGAGGGAGUUGGACCUCUUUAUAAGGGAGGUUCUUUCCCCACUUGUAUAAGCAUGAGAACAAGAGGGACAUCCACGCGCGCUCCUCCUCUGCCGCCCACCUCACCACGCCACGCCUCGUCAUGACGCGCCGCGGGUUGCCGGAAUGAGCCGAGCCGAUGUUUAAAUUUUUGCCACGCACUAUGGUAUACGAAAGGUCACUCGGCAGCUGAAACGUUUUUCUGUAGUGGACAUUGAAUCCGAAUGGUGCGCCUCUUCGGCUGAUGCCUGUUUGUUUCGUCUCCCGCAUUCCCUUCAGCUCCCGGCGCAGCCUCUCGCCUCCUUCUCUUGCGCCUAUAAAAGGUAGAGAGAUGCACCAGAACUACUUCCUACUCUCGCCACCAGUUCCUGAGCACUGUGUUGGUGCUAUGAUCUUCCCCAUCCCGGCUUGCGGCGUGCACCGCAGUUCGGGACAGUAGGCCUCCGAAACCGCACCUUUUGAGUCAUGUACGAGAGAAGGGUGAUAAGGUUUUUGGGGAGCAUGUGCGCGACAACAGACUCCACUCCUUCGUCAUGGACUCCGACGACUACUUCCCCAACUACGACUUCUUCCCCGACAUCGACAACCUCCUCGACGACAUGGCUGGCGAGGACACCGACCCCAAGUCCAGUGCUACCGCUACUGCUGCUGUCCCGUACGUGUUCUUACUCUUUCUGUUAGAGGUCUUGUCACAGUUCCUUGUUCUACUAUUUGCCCUGCAUAUGUUAGGCUCUUCUUCAUAUAUGCUGCUUGUGUAACACCCACGGUGCGGCUAUAUCUCCCACGUGUCAAAGCACGAGUUAGAGGCAUAACCGCAUUGUGGUUUUGUCGCAAGAAGGGUCAUCUUCACACAAUCCCAUGUAAUGAACAAGAAUGGCAUAAAGAGUUGGCUUAAAAUCGCAACUUCACACAAUAAACAUAUAAUUCAUACAUCAAUCAGAGUACACACACAUUCCGACUACGGACGAAGCCAAAAGAAAAGAAGAUAACCCAACUGCUAGAUCCCCGAUCGUCCCAACUGGGCUCCACUACUGAUCAACAUGAAACGAUACAUAGCAACGACCAAGGUCUUCGUUGAGCUCCCAUCUGAGCUCGGUUGCAUCACCUGCACUGGUAUCAUCGGCACCUGCAACUGUUGUGAUAGUAUCUGGUGAGUCACGAGGACUCAACAAUCUCAAAACCCGCAAGAUAAAAACUAUUUAAGCUUAUGGGUAGGAAAGGGGUAAUGUGGUGAGGUUGCAGCUACGACUAAGCAUAUAUGGUGGCUAACAUACGCAAAUAAGAGCGAGAAGAGAGCAAAGGAACGGUCAUAAACUAGCAACGAUCAAGAAGUGAUCCUGAACUCCUACUUACGUCAAACAUAACCCAAAAACCGUGUUCACUUCCCGGACUCUGCCGAAAAGAGACCAUCACGGCUACACACGCGGUUGAUGCGUUUUAAUUCGGAUCUGGUGUCAAGUUAUCUACAACCGGACAUUAACAAAUUCCCAUCUGCCUAUAACCGCAAGCACGGCUUUCGAAAGUUUAUACCCUGCAGGGGUGUCCCAACUUACCCCAUCACAAGCUCUCACGGUCAACGAAGGAUAUACCUUCUCCUGGGAAGACCCGAUCAACCUCGGAAUCUCGGUUCACAAGACAUUUCGACAACGGUAAAACAAGACCAGCAAGACCACCCGCUGUGCCGACAAAUCCCGAUAGGAGCUGCACAUAUCUCGUUCUCAGGGCACACCGGAUAAGCUAAGCGUAUAGGUACCGACGUAAUCCAAGUUGCCAAGGAAUGGUCCCGCACGGUGCUCUAGUUUGGAACAACACUCGGAGGAGCACUGGCCCGGGGGGGGGGGGUAAAAUAAAGAUGACCCUUGAGUCUGCAGAACCCAAAGGAAAAAGGCUUAGGUGGCAAAUGUUAAAACCAAUGUUGGGCCUUGCUGGAGGAGUUUUAUUCAAAGUGAACUAUCAAGGGGGUCCCAUAAAUCACCCAACCGCGUAAGGAACACAAAAUCCGGGAACAUAACACUGGUAUGACGGAAACUAGGGCGGCAAGAGUGGAACAAAACACCAGGCAUAAGGCCGAGUCUUCCACCCUUUACCAAGUAUAUAGAUGCAUUAAUUAAAUAAGAGAUAUUGUGAUAUCCCAACAUAAUCAUGUCCAUCAUGGAGCAAUCUUCAACUUCACCUGCAACUAACAACGCUAUAAGAUGGGCUGAGCAAAAGCGGUAACAUAGCCAAACAACGGUUUGCUAGGAAGGGUGAAAAGGUUAGAGGCUGACAUGGCAAUAUGGGAGGCAUGGUAAACAAGUGAUAGGUAGCACAGCAUAGCGAUAGAACGGAGCAACUGGCAAGCAAAGAUAGAAGUGAUAUCGAGGGUAAUGGUCAUCUUGCCUGAAAUCCCGCAAGGAAGAAGAACGAGUCCAUGAAGAAGACAAACGAACAUAGUCGACCAAAUCCUCACAACUCCGGAAUGAAACCGAAGCUAACGAGAGAAGCAAACUGGAAAGAAGCAAACAACAUGGUAAAACACACAAGCAUAAACAUGGCAUGAUGCACAAUCAAGUAUGAUGCAUGUCCAGUUUAAUGAGGCAUGGCAAAGUGCAACAAACAAUACUACAAGUUAAGUGGAGCUCAAUAUGCAACGAGUUGCAUAUUGACGGAAUACCGCCUCAAUUAUUUAGUUUCUCUCUUGGUUAGGCUAACCAACAAUAUUAAAUGUUGUCAAACAUGGCAAGAGGUGAAACAUAAUUGAACUAACUAUUUAGGCAAGUUUAAAUGAGGCCGGAACAAUAAACAACAAUUCCGGAAAGUCCCCAUGUCAUUUAGUAGUUUAAUGCAAACACAAUUUUAACCAUUUAAAUGUUGUUAACAUGAUGCGGAUGACAUAAUCAAGGUUUAUGCAAUUUUAUGAAAGCAUUAACAUGAGCAUGAUACGAGGCAUUCAUCACCGUGGCGGAACAAAACGGUUGCCACGGCAACGAAUCCGAAAAUGAUGCCACGGCAACAUAUCAGUUCCGAUAGCUCACGGAGAUACUGGUACAAAAGGUAGUGUGACGGGAGCGUGUCAUGCAAGGAUGGUGGGGUGCUCCCGGAUUCCGGGUUCCCACGGGAAGACGGCAUGGCAAACGAGGAACGUGCACGAAACAAACGGGCACGGUGCAAACAUAUCGUACAUCUCAUACAUGCAAGGGCAUCUCAUCGCGGUCCUCUCGGGUUAUACCUUUGAAGCGUGAGUUACGGGCGGAACGAGUUCGAUGCGGUGUAGGGGAAGUAGACGUUCUCGUAGCGGUCGUAGUGGAAGUAGGCGUUCGCGGGACAUCGUGGAAGUAGUCGUUCGCGGCGACGGUAGUGGUACACGCGAUCUUGGCGACGGUAGCAGCAAGGGCGGCGCGAGGUCGGCGCUGCGGCGCAGCUCGACGGCGACAAGACAGCAGAGGGAUGCGGGCAGGAGGUGAAGAAGGCGGCGCAGUAGCGGGGCGAUGGGGAUGGACGGAGGAGAUGGGCUCGCCGGCCAGAACGACGGCACGGCGGCAGAGGAAUGGGUGGCCGGAGGCGCGGCCGGUCGCCGGGCAGUGGCGCGCGGGAGGAAAAGAGAGGCCAUGGAUCGGGCGUGAGGAGCUCCUCUCCCUUGGCUUGAUGCGUGCGUAUGUGUGUGGCGGCGGGCAGAGGGAACGAGGGGAGAUCGAUGGAGAGGGGAUCGGGCUCUCUGGCGGCUAGGGUUAGGAGGGUUAGGUGGGCCUUGGGCCGGCUUAGAUGGUCGGGCCUAAGAGGCCUUGCUGGUCUCUCUCUCUCUCUCUCUCUCUCCCUCAAAAGAGAAAAAACAGAGAUAAGAAAUAAAAGAAAGAGAGGGUUAGGGAAAGAAUUUGCGCAAGGGAUUAAUUUUCCCGAACUCACAAAAAUGAGUUUGAUCCAAGAAAAAUAGAAGUGGGCAUGAUUGAAAGAUUUAAAUUCAAACUCAUUUGAAUUAAAAUCAAAUGGGUUUGAAUAAGAAGUGGCGUUUGAAAGGUCCAAAAAUGUUCGGAUUUUUGGUGGAGCUCCGAAAAAUGAUGAAAGAAAUAAUGGACAAGGUUGGAGACCAAGAAUUUAGAUAACAACGGCAUGGGAUAUUUUGCAAGUGGGUUAUGGUUAAUUACAAAUAAAUGGAAUAAUUUUAUUAUAGCUCCCUAAUAAUAGUAGGAGACUUUGAAUAUGUUUUAAAGAGAAAUCACCAUGUGAAUAUCCCUCGAUUUAAAUGGAUCUAAAAAUCCAUACCAUUUAUUUAAAAGAGUUAUAAAAUUAAUGAUAUGAUGGCAUGAUGACAUGAUGCAAUGCAAGAGAUCGCAUGAUGAAUGCACAAACAAAACAAAUCACACGACAAAACUCGGAAUAGCUGGAAGUCUUGUGGAGCGUCGGUCUCGGGGCGUCACAACACUCCACCACUACAAGAGGAUCUCGUCCCGAGAUCUAGGAUGGCACCAGAGAGAAACAGAAGAGGAAGAGAAGAGGUAAAACUAAGUUGCUUCUUCGACAAAUAAGUGAAACCAAAGAACCUUGAGAGGUUGAAAAGUUGAAAGAAAGAACACAAGGGAGAUGAACGAGAUUGAAAACACUCCGUUAGACAAGAGGAACAAGCAACAUUAGAACUUGAAGGUUGCAAAGACAUGAAUCAAGAGUUUAAUGGACAAGAUAGAAUUCGAAACCACUCCAGUUAAAACAAGAUGAGAGAGGAAGAAUUCGCGCAGCACUCCGGUUGAACAUGGAAGGAAUAGAACAUGAACUUGAGAAGAUGGGAUGAUACUUGAUGAAAUCAACAACACAUUGCCUCCGGAACUAUUGAAAGAAUGGCACAAUGUGUAAGAAAGAUUUCAGACAGCAAUCCGGUUGAAAAGAGAUGCAAAACUUGAUAAUAUGAAAAGAACUUGAAGAGAUGACACAACACUCCGGUUAAAUGGAUAAGCAAGAAAAUAACAUGAACUUGACAAAACGACAUGAUGGGUGAAGAGCACAACAUCACAAUGCCUCCGGAAGAAAUGAGAAAAAAUGGAACGGAAUGAACGGAGGAAAACUUGAUCUUGAAAGAGAACGCUUACAGGAAAUGCUAGAACGGAGUUGUUGGAUUAUCAACAAUGAAAGGAUAAGCUUGUUGUGGGCUUAUGGAAAACAUCUCAAAAUUAUGAGGUGACAACCGGCCACUAACAGAAACAAUUGAUUGCUUGAGAUCAACGAAGAGAUGAAAACUGCUUUCGCCGAGAGGAUAGGAGAAAACUUGGAUCAUUGAUAAGCACCACAAUACAACAUUCCUUAGGGAAGGCUUUAGGUGAAAUAUGACACAAGAUAACUCCAACAAAGAGAUUGAUGGAUUUAAAAUACCUCAUUCUUGACAACAUGUGAAUCGUGAAACAAGAAUGGAAAUUGUCAAGAAUGAUAUAACACCAUCUCAAAAGAUAAGGUAGGAGAAUUGCACUUUGGAAUGCAAGAUGAAGAAUACUUGAACGCCUCAAAACAAAACAUGUGUUGGGCACCAUGUUUAUUUUAGAGUAUAGCUUGGCGGAUCUUAACUUCGAGAGAAAUCUUGAAGAACAAUUGAAGAAUGAAAAGAAUCCUUGACGAACCACCAUGUAGAGCCUCCAUGGAGAACUCCGGUAAUAAAAGGAUGAUAAAACGAAAGGAAAGUUGAAAACACAAAGUGAAGCCUUGCGAUGAUUUAGAAGGAGCUUCACGAUGAUAUAACCGAGAAAACUUGCAACUCCGGAAAAAAAAAGAUGAAGCAUCUCGAACCGAGAAAAAUGACAUGAUGAACAACACUAGAAAGAAGAAACUAGAUCACUUGGGUGAAACAAUAAUAAGAAUUACGUUAUGCGUAUCCUUCACCAAUUUAAAUUGAUGACAAGCAACGGAUUUGGCAUACUACUUAUUCUCGUAGAAAGGAUUAAGAGAGAUAUAGCGUAAACUUGAGAAGGUCUUCAACGAACCACCGGUGGAAUUGGAAAGAACGAAUGAAUUGAUAUGGUAACAAGAGAAAAGGAAUCUUGAGCGAACCACCGUACGAAUUGAAAAUGAAACUAGCAAAGGCACAAUUCACCGAGAAGAAUUGGAAAAUGAAUGAAGAUACUUGAGGGGAUUUAGAUACAUGAGAACAAAGAGAUCGUGAACUAAUUAGAGGGUAUUUGAACAAUGCACCGGAAGAAUUCAAGAACGAGAGUUGAAAGCUGAGAAUGACUAAUUCUGAGAUGAUGGCCUUUGUAGGAAUAAAAUUGAAAGAACUCACGAAAUGCUCCGGGUGGUAAGAAAAGAAUUCUCACAAUCGAAAACAAUUAUGAGAGGAUGGCAUAAGGCUAGAACCAUGAAUCUCUGGAAGAACGGGUAAGGAUUUAGGAGGAACUCUUCUUCGGUCUUCAAAAUCCGAGAAUGACGACGAGAAACACCACCAUGAAUUGUUGAGAUGCUCCGGGAUGAAAAUUAGAAAGGUUAAACCAACUAUGAAAAGAAUUUGAAAGAUCUUGGAGAAGGAAUAUGACUGAUGAUAAUUCAUUCUUACGUCAAACUUGCAAAAGAAUUUGGGAAUAGCUCCGGGAAAAUUAGAAGAGUCAGGUAAGAUCCUGGGAAAAGACCUGUGGGUUAGGGCCCACUCAAAAGGACAACACCGUUGAACGAUUGAUUGAAAUAGAGAUUGCACCGGUAGAAUUAAAUUGCUUGAAUGAGGUAACAACCCCAAAAUAACUUGAAUGGAUUGAGAAUGGAAACACGAAUCUUCCGAGAUAUCUUGAGCACUCCGGAUAAGAAUAGAGAGAGGUGAACAAUUAUGAGAGGCGCCGGCAUGGGAUAGCAUUUGAAACAAGGAAAGGAUAUGAUCGACAAAGCUUGAAUUGAAUCCACCAAAGAAGGAAAGAGACGAAGAAUAAUAAACUUGAAGCUCCGUUAGUAUCUUCCUGAGAAUCACAGGAUAUGAACAUUGACGGAAAAGAACGGAGACACUUCCCAUCAAUAAAAGGAUACUUGAUUAAGAAAUCUGAGUCCUUGAAGAAAAAGGGUGGGAGGGCGGGAAAACAAAGACAACUUGGGACGGAUGAAACAAACACCAUUGAGAAAACUUAGAAUUGAUCUUGCGAAUGGGGAGAAUGAUGGGAUCAUCUCGAAGAGAAGCGCACCGGUUGGAAAUAGAAUUAACAUGAGGACCUCAAUGAUCGAGAAGGAUUAGUAUUCACAUAGCAAUAUUAGAACACCGUUUAGGAAAGGUAUGGAUUCAACAUUUGACUUCGAAGCAACUCAAAUACAUCAUAUAAAACAAAACAAAGGAUUUGGCUUGCAGAAUAAGCCGGAACAAACAUAUGAUAGAGAUUUCGUCCGAAGUUUUCAUGGUGGGGCCCACACGGACUCGAUCGUAUAGCACCAUCCUGUACAAGGCAGUGCACAUGACAUACGAAGCGUCCCCGAACCAGCAUAGCCAAGGGUUCUUUAAGACACAAUGAGACCACUGUAAAAACGACCGUGGAAAGGCGGACCACUAGACGUCGAACCCCAAUCUCAUAUCAUGCAUCUAUCGAAAAGAUAUUCUAGGAGCUACUUGAAUUCCCACCUAUAAAACUCCUGAAACUUUCUGGUUAUGCAAUCUGGUGUUGGGGAUACAGGGGAAGCAAUAUAUCUCACCCAAACUAACAAUACCUACAUCGAAGUUGUAUCCAUCCGUCAACACAUAACCAAGAAACCUUCAGAAAUCGUGUACCUCAACCUUCGAAAAGCAUCCGUUAUAUGAGUUAUGGCAAUACUCCCGAACUCCCGCCCCAGUACUGGGUGGCGUCGAGGUUAUCUCACCAACAAAUGCAUAAAAGAGAUUUUCGAUGUCGGCAAAAACUCAGGUAUUCCAGAACUGCAACGAUAAAAUUAUGACGACAACACCUCAAAGCUCAACUCCCCGGGUCAAAGCCACAUAAUAGACAGGAGGCACCAAGAACAAUGUUCUCGUCACAAAACCAUCGGAACGAUUCCAAGAUACCCGCGUGAUCCUAAAAUUUUUUUUAGUGAAAUUUGAGGAGAGGAAAGUCAAAACAUCUACGUCAGGAGACCUCACCAGAGCGACGAAGGGACUAAGGAGUAAAAAGAAUCCUACUCUCCGAUAUAUAUAAUCCUAAGACUCAAAUCAUUUUUUUCUAGACUCAACAACACCAGCAAUCAAUCAAGCAGGGGGCUCCUAAGUCGGGGAUGGCUCUGAUUACCAACUUGUAACACCCACGAUGCGGCUAUAUCUCCCACGUGUCGAAGCACGACUUAGAGGCAUAACCGCAUUGUGGUUUUGUCGCAAGAAGGGUCAUCUUCACACAAUCCCUUGUAAUGAACAAGAAUGGGAUAAAGAGUUGGCUUACAAUCGCCACUUCACACAAUAAACAUAUAAUUCAUACAUCAAUCAGACUACACACACAGUCCGACUAUGGACGAAGCCAAAAGAAAAGAAGAUAACCCAACUGCUAGAUCCCUGAUCGUCCCAACUAGGCUCCACUACUGAUCAACAUGAAACGAUACAUAGCAAUGACCAAGGUCUUCGUUGAGCUCCCAUCUGAGCUCGGUUGCAUCACCUGCACUGGUAUCAUCGGCACCUGCAACUGUUGUGAUAGUAUCUGGUGAGUCACGAGGACUCAGCAAUCUCAAAACCCGCGAGAUCAAGACUAUUUAAGCUUAUGGGUAGGAAAGGGGUAAUGUGGUGAGGUUGCAGCAGCGACUAAGCAUAUAUGGUGGCUAACAUAUGCAAAUAAGAGCGAGAAGAGAGCAAAGGAACGGUCGUGAACUAGCAACGAUCAAGAAGUGAUCCUGAACUCCUACUUACGUCAAACAUAACCCAAAAACCGUGUUCACUUCCCGGACUCCGCUUAAAAGAGACCAUCACGGCUACACACGCGGUUGAUGCGUUUUAAUUCGAAUCUGGUGUCAAGUUAUCUACAACCGGACAUUAACAAAUUCCCAUCUGCCUAUAACCGCAGGCACGACUUUCGAAAGUUUAUACCCUGCAGGGGUGUCCCAACUUAGCCCAUCACAAGCUCUCACAGUCAACGAAGGAUAUACCUUCUCCCGGGAAGACCCGAUCAACCUCGGAAUCCCGGUUCGCAAGACAUUUCGACAAUGGUAAAACAAGACCAGCAAGACCACCUGCUGUGCCGACAAAUCCCGAUAGGAGCUGCACAUAUCUCGUUCUCUGGGCACACCGGAUAAGCUAAGCGUACAGGUACCGACGUAAUCCAAGUUGCCAAGGAAUGGUCCCGCACGGUGCUCUAGUUUGGACCAACACUUGGAGGAGCACUAGCCCGGGGGGGGGGUAAAAUAAAGAUGACCCUUGAGUCUGCAGAACCCAAGGGAAAAAGGCUUAGGUGGCAAAUGUUAAAACCAUUGUUGGGCCUUGCUGGAGGAGUUUUAUUCAAAGCGAACUGUCAAGGGGGUCCCAUAAAUCACCCAACCGCGUAAGGAAUGCAAAAUCCGGGAACAUAACACCGGUAUGACGGAAACUAGGGCGGCAAGAGUGGAACAAAACACCAGGCAUAAGGCCGAGUCUUCCACCCUUUACCAAGUAUAUAGAUGCAUUAAUUAAAUAAGAGAUAUUGUGAUAUCCCAACAUAAUCAUGUCCAUCAUGGAGCAAUCUUCAACUUCACCUGCAACUAACAACGCUAUCAGAUGGGCUGAGCAAAAGCGGUAACAUAGCCAAACAACGGUUUGCUAGGAAGGGUGAAAAGGUUAGAGGCUGACAUGGCAAUAUGGGAGGCAUGGUAAACAAGUGAUAGGUAGCGCAGCAUAGCGAUAGAACGGAGCAACUAGCAAGCAAAGAUAGAAGUGAUAUCGAGGGUAAUGGUCAUCUUGCCUGAAAUCCCGCAAGGAAGAAGAACGAGUCCAUGAAGAAGACAAACGAACGUAGUCGAACGAAUCCUCACAACUCCGGAACGAAACCGAAGCUAACGAGAGAAGCAAACCGGAAAGAAGCAAACAACAUGGUAAAACACACAAGCAUAAACAUGGCAUGAUGCACAAUCAAGUAUGAUGCAUGUCCGGUUUAAUGAGGCAUGGCAAAGUGCAACAAACAAUACUACAAGUUAAGUGGAGCUCAAUAUGCAACGAGUUGCAUAUUGACGGAACACCACCUCGAUUAUUUAGUUUCUGUCUCGGUUAGGCUAACCAACAAUUAAAUGUUGUCAAACAUGGCAAGAGGUGAAACAUAAUUGAACUAACUAUUUAGGCAAGUUUAAAUGAGGCCGGAACAAGAAACAACAAUUCCGGAAAGUCCCCAUGUCAUUUAGUAGUUUAAUGCAAACACAGUUUUAACCAUUUAAAUGUUGUUGACAUGAUGCGGAUGACAUAAUCAAGGUUUAUGCAAUUUUAUGAAAACGUUAACAUGAGCAUGAUACGAGGCAUUUGUCACCAUGGCGGACCAAAACGGUUGCCACGGCAACGAAUCCGAAAAUGAUGCCACGGCAACAUAUCAGUUCCGAUAGCUCACGGAGAUACCGGUGCAAAAGGUAGUGUGAGGGGAGCGUGUCAUGCAAGGAUGGUGGGGUGCUCCCGGAUUCCGGGUUCCCACGGGACGGCGGCAUGGCAAACGAGGAACGUGCACGAAACAAACGGGCACGGUGCAAACAUAUCGUACAUCUCAUACAUGCAAGGGCAUGUCAUCACGGUCGUCUCGGGUUAUACCUUUGAAGCAUGCAUUACGGGCGGAACGAGUUUGAUGCGGUUUAAGGGAAGUAGACGUUCUCGUAGCGGUUGUAGUGGAAGUAGGUGUUCAUGGGACGUCGUGGAAGUAGUCAUUCGCGGCGACGGUAGUGGUACACGCGAUCUUGGCGACUGUAGCAGCAAGGGUGGGGCGAGGUCGGCGCUGCGGCGUAGCUCGACGGCGACAAGGCAGCAGAGGGACGCGGGCAGGAGGUGAAGAAGACGACGCGGUAGUGGGGCGAUGGGGAUGGACGGAGGAGAUGGGCUCGCUGGCCAGAACGACGGCACGGCGGCAGAGGAAUGGGUGGACGGAGGCGUGGCCGGUCGCCGGGCAGUGGCGCACGGGAGGAAAAGAGAGGCCAUGGAUCGGGCAUGAGGAGCUCCUCUCCCUUGGCUCGAUGCGUGCGUAUGUGUGUGGCGGCGGGCAGAGGGAACGAGGGAAGAUUGAUGGAGAGGGGAUCGGGCUCUCUGGCGGCUAGGGUUAGGAGGGUUAGGUGGGCCUUGGGCUGGCUUAGAUGGUCGGGCCUAAGAGGCCUGGCUGGGCUCUCUCUCUCUCUCCCUCAAAAGAAAGAAAACAGAGAUGAGAAAUAGAAGAAAGAGAGGGUUAGGGAAAGAAUUUGCACAAGGGGUUAAUUUUCCCGGACUCACAAAAAUGAGUUUGAUCCAAGAAAAAUAGAAGUGGGCAUGAUUGAAAGAUUUAAAUUCAAACUCAUUUGAAUUAAAAUAAAAUGGGUUUGAAUAAGAAGUGGCGUUUGAAAGGUCCAAAAAUGUUCGGAUUUUUGGUGGAGCUCCGGAAAAUGAUGAAAGAAAUAAUGGACAAGGUUGGAGACCAAGGAUUUAGAUAACAACGGCAUGGGAUAUUUUGCAAGUGGGUUAUGGUUAAUUCCAAAUAAAUGGAAUAAUUUUAUUAUAGCUCCCUAAUAAUAGUAGGAGACUUUGAAUAUGUUUUAAAGAGAAAUCACCAUGUGAAUAUCCCUCGAUUUAAAUGGAUCUAAAAAUCCAUACCAUUUAUUUAAAAGAGUUAUAAAAUUAAUGAUAUGAUGGCAUGAUGGCAUGAUGCAAUGCAAGAGAUCGCAUGAUGAAUGCACAAACAAAAAAAUCACAUGAAAAAACUCGGAAUAGCUGGAAGUCUUCUGGAGCGUCGGUCUCGGGGCGUCACAGCUUGCCCUAGAUAUGUUUGCCUACAGUUCAUAUGUGAAGGUGAUAUUUACCUUCUCUCUGUCAGAUCACAUGACUUGCUUUAUCUCUGCUAUUUUAGUCAUGCUUUAUUCAGUAUUUCUGUUAAUAAAAUCAUAUGGUAAAUUGCUCAUAUUUCCAACAAUCCAAAAACCUUAUGAUAGGAAAUUUACCCCAAGUGGUUUUGCUGCUUCCAUGAGACCUCCUAUGUUUGAGGGUAUCCACUAUAAGAGGUGGCGCGUGAGACAGUCUUAUGGUUUCAAACCAUGAGUUGCUAUGACGCCACUCUUGGCAAACCUGAAGGAGAGCAAGAUGCACAACAGGCACAUGCUUUUCAGAAAAUGGAUACCUUAUUUAAGGCUGCUCUCUUGAGUGUUCUUGGUGAGAACAUAGUUGAUUCUUAUGCGUCAAUUGAUAAUGGAAAAGAUAUGUGGGACGCACUCAAGGCCAAGUUUGGGGUCUCGGAUGCUGGCACUGAGCUGUACAUCAUGGAGCAAUUCUAUGAUUACAGGAUGAUUGAAGAGCGCUCCAUGGUUGAGCAAGAUCAUAAGAUACAAUCAUUUGCUAGAGAACUUGAGCACUUCAAUUGUAUCCUACCGGACAAGUUUAUUGCCGGAGGUAUCAUCACUAACCUUCCUCCCACGUGGAGGAACUUUGCUACCUUAUUGAAGCAUAAGAGGCAGGAGUUUUCCGUUCCGGAUCUCAUUGCUAUUGAUGUGGAAGAAAAGGCGAGAGCAAAGGACAACCGUGCUCGAGGUAUUGAGGGAGGUUCUAGUGACAAUCUGGUACAGAAGAAGAAUUUCCAGCCCCACAACUUCAAGAACAAGGGCAAGUUUGAUGGUAAAGCAAAGUUUGAUGGGAAGAACAAGGUUGUGCAGCACACAAACUUCAAGAAGAAGAAUGACAAGAAGAAAGGCGUUUGUCAUGUGUGUGGGGAUCCUGAUCAUUGGGGUCCUAGUUGCCCUAAUUGCUAUGACAAGCGUCAUCCUGGGAAAGGCGGCAAAACCGCUAAUGUUUUUAUUGGAGACACUGACAUGAAGGAUGUUGGGUAUGGUAUAUUUCCCACUAUUCUUUCAGUAUGUCAUUCUCCUGAUUGGUUGAUUGACAUGGGUGCUAAUGUGCAUGUAUGCAGUGAUAUUUCCAUGUUUUCGUCUUAUCAGACCGCAGUGACUUCCACCGUGCUGAUGGGCAACGGUUCAAGUGCUUCUGUUCGUGGUGUUGGCACGGUCGAUCUGAAGUUUACUUCGGGGAAGAUCGUGCCGCUGAAGAACAUGCAUUAUGUCCCCUCCGUCACUAAAAAUCUUGUUAGCGGAUCUCUUCUGUGUAGAGAUGGCUACAAGCUUGUCUUUGAGUCGAAUAAAUUUGUAAUAUCCAAGUAUGGACCCUUUGUUGGUAAAGGCUAUGAGUCAGGAGGCCUGCUUCAUUUAUCCUUAUCAGACGUUUGCAAUAAAGUUGUUAAUCAUGUUUGCAACAAUAGUGAAUCAAAUGUGUGGUAUUCACGUCUUUGUCAUGUUAAGUUUGGUUGCAUGUUGCGACUAGCAAAGUUGAACUUAAUCCCUAGUUUCACCACUGUCAAGGGAUCUAAGUGUCAAGUGUGUGUGCAAGCUAAGCAAUCUCAUAAGUCUCAUGUGACUGCGGAAACGAGAAAUCUUGAACCAUUAGAGCUCAUACAUUCAGAUCUAUGUGAAAUGAAUGGUGUUUUGACAAAAGGUGGAAAGAAGUAUUUUGUGACGUUAAUUGAUGACUCCACUAGAUACUGUCAUGUGUAUCUUCUGAAAUCUAAGGAUGAGGCUUUGAACUAUUUCAAGAUCUAUAAAGCUGAAGCAGAAAACCAACUUGAUCGAAAGAUCAAGAGGCUUAGGUCCUAUCAUGGUGGAGAGUAUUUCUCAAAUGAAUUUGAUUCCUUUUGUGCGAAACAUGGUAUAAUCCAUGAAAGGACGCCUCCCUAUUCACUUUAGUCAAAUGGGGUGGCCGAAAGAAAGAACCGUACUCUAACUGAUUUGGUUAACACCAUGUUAGACACAUCGGGUCUCUCCAAGGCAUGGUGGGGGGAGGCGAUAUUGACUGCAUAUCAUGUCCUAAACCGAGUUCCCACAAAGAACAAAGAGAUAACUCCAUUCGAGGAAUGGGAGAAGAAAAUGUUAAAGCUCUCUUAUCUACGAACAUGGGGUUGUUUGGCGAAAGUUAAUGUGCCAAUUCCAAAGAAGCGGAAGCUUGGACCAAAGAUUGUGGAUUGUGUUUUCUUGGGAUAUGCUUUUCAUAGCAUUGGUUAUAGAUUCUUGGUUGUAAAAUCUGAGGUACCUGACAUGCAUGUCGGUACGAUCAUGGAAUCGAAUGAUGCGACUUUCUUUGAAGAUAUCUUUCCCAUGAAGGAUAUGGCUACCUCAUCUAAUCAGGGGAUGCCUAGUUCAUCGAAUCAGGAACCAGUUACAAUUACUGAACCUGCCAUCUCGAUGGAACGCUUUGAAAGUCCUAUGGAAGAGAACAAUGAAGUUCCUACUAGGAGCAAGAGACAGAGGACUACAAGGUCCUUUGGUGAUGAUUUUCUUGUGUAUCUCAUAGAUGACACUCCCAGUUCAAUUUCAGAGGCCUAUACAUCUGAAGAUCACUACAAAAAAGACACAUCCGUGACAUUUUGGGCCGAACGAAAAAAAUUUCUGUCAUACUUAUGACACUUCUAUGACGAUAAUUGUGACAAAACCCGAUAUCAUCAUAGAUGUGGUGGGCUCCUACUUCUAUGACAAAAAAUCUUGACAGAAAAUGGGCUUUUCGUCCUGGGCGGGCCGCAAACGCAGUUGCAUGACAUUCUUUGGGCUGUCCAUGAUGCGAAAAACCAUGGUAGAAGCGAGGGCGAGGAAAAUUUCAGCGAGUGCCCAGUUACGGUGGGUGGUCAGGGGCCAAGCAAUGGACGUUUCUCUCAUACACGUACGCGUGUGUGUGUGAGGCGUUGGCUCUAACUGAACCCGAGCGAGGCGGUGGGCUCUAACUGAACCCGAGCGAUUGCACUGUAGGCUACGCAUUACUGAACCCGAGCGAUCGAGCGAUUCCUUCGCUACUGCUGCUAACUGAAGCCGAUCGAUGCUGCCUCUGGAUGAACAGUGAGCGUUGCAGGGGGGUUUGGAUGAAUAGUGAGCGGUGGGGGUGGAUGAACAGGACCAGUGGCGUUGCCUCUGGAUGAACAGGAGCCCGAUCGAUCGAGCCGGUUGGGGCUGGAUGAACAUGACCUCGUGGAGGGAUGGAUGAACAGGACGACCCCGUGGAGGGCUGGAUGAACAGUAGACGGUGGAGGGGUGGUUGAAUAGUAGCCCGUGGAGGGGUGGUUGAACAGGAGCCCGUGGAGGGGUGGUUGAACAGGAGCCCGUGGAGAGGGGUGGUUGAACAGUAGCCGGUGGAGUAGUGCACGGUGGAGGCUGGAUGAACAGGAGCUCGUGGAGGUUGGAGGAGGUCGACGGUAGCCCGUGGAGGCUGGAGGAGGUCGACAGUAGCCCGUGGAGGCUGGAGGAGGUCGAUGGUGGAGAUGAACAGUAUCCCGAGGAGUCCCGUUCUGCGGUACGCCACACCCCUCCUGAUGAACAGGACCCCCGUUUCGAUCGUAGCGCUCCAACACAAGUCUGUUUCGUCCGUUUUGUGGUACGCCACACCCCUCCCGAUCAACAGGACCCCUGUUUCGACCGUAGCUUUCCAACACAAGUCCAUUUCGUCCGUUUUGCGGUACGCCACACCCCUCCCAAUCAACAGGACCCCCGUUUCGACCGUAGGAGGUCCGUUUCCUCCAUUUUGCGGUACGCCAGACCCCUCCCGAUGAACAGGAUCCUGUUUUGAACGUGGCCGGUCGAACACAAGGCCUCGUUUCCAUCGCAUGUUCUGUCCAAGCAGGUUGGCUCCCACGUGUUCCGUUGCCUCCCGAUGAACACGACGCAUUCUGUUGCCUCCCCAUGAACACGACGACGAUGUUGUUUCUCCGUUCCAACCCAGCCAUGUACACGAGCCCUGGCCGUACGUAUAUAUGCGCGAGUAGGCGUUCGAGACGCCGCCCGUAUGUACGUACGUGGCCGUAUUUUCUUUCUUGCACGCUGGCCGCUGUAUGUACGUGUACAUGCUACGUGCGACCCUCUACUACGACACGUGCGCGCUUCUACAUCGACCAGUAUAUAUGUAUGUACACGUUCGUGACCAGAAUGACAACGCUACGUACGCUUCGACCAGGUGGGUCCCGACUGUCAGGCACUUCCUUGUGUGCAAAGAUGUAGCUGGUGGGUCCCAACAGUCAGGGGGCGAAUCAUUUUUUUUGCCCGGACACACUUCCUUGCGUAGUUGGUGGGUCCCAGCAGUUAGGGGGAAACGUUUUUUCAUGAAAUAUGGUGGCCCGUCCAGUGGGUCCCUGCUGUCAGGUGGAGGAAUAAUUAUUUUGCGUGUAAUAAGGAGGCACUUCCUUGCUGCGGCCGUGGACCCAACUGUCAGCCUCUCCACGUACAGUCCACUUCAGAUGCAUGUUGCUCGUUGACCACGUUGACCAGGCCGCGCCGAGAGCACCAGGGCGGUGGACGACGGUGAGGCCUAGGAAGGGAACGAGACGGAGGUAGGGAAGAAUCAACAGUUGUUUCCCACACGAAGGGGAGUACGACUGUACGAGGGUUUACUAGUUCGUCUGCCGUCGCCGGAGAAUAACAGCAGGUGUGGGUGAGUAGAGGGAUGGCUAGGCCAGCGAUGGGAGUACGAUGGGGCGGUGAGGCCUGCACGGCAGCACAGCCGGCCGUGGGGAGGAGGGAGCAAGCAGUCCCGCCGGCGCUUGUUUGAGAGGCUGGAGCAGGAAGAGCAGAGAUUGAAGAAGCACGACGGCCGUUGGAUGGAAAUCCAACAGUCACUUCUUGUGCGUCAACCUUUUUUUUAGGAAAGCCUCAAAUCUGUGAAAAACAGCAUACAACCCAUCUACCAUUAUUUCUAAUAAUUUACAGCCCAUUUGCUAAUUCUUAAGGUUUUUUUGGAUCUGAUAUUCUUUUUGUUAGCAUUACAGCCCAUAUUGUGGCCACGGUUAAAAAAUUAUACGAAAUUUUGCAUAUUUCGGUGCGGUCCGAACUGUUUUUAAUCCCGAAAUUUCGAGUCACAUUCAAACUGAUUUUUAAAAUAAAUGUAUAUCAAUAUAAAAUCCAACAAAUUGUCCACGCAUAAAAAUCAAUGCAAUUUAAAAUCUUGAAAUGAAAAAAAGAAAUUUGAAACUAAUUGCCGGUUUGAUGUGUUUUAAAAAUGUACAACCCAUUUCUCAUUCUGAUAGGCCAUUUUCUCGGCCAGCCGAAUGAAGCUCUCCUCUCUUGAAAGAUUUGCAGCCCAACAGGCCUGACAAAGCGACUUACUUGGCAAAUAACAAAAAAACUGGGCUGUGGCCGUGGACCCAGCUGCGGCCAUUGACCCAGCUGUCAGCCUCUCCAUGUACAGUACUCUUUUGAUGGAAGUCGGUCGUUGACCACAUUAACCACGCCGCGCCGAGAGCACCAAGGCGGUGGACGACGGCGAGGCCUAGGAAGGGGAAGACGCGGAGCCGCGGAAGACGUGGUAGUGGAUGCCCACGUGGAGAGGAGUACGAGGGUUCACUGGUUCGGCUGCGGCGUGAGGCUACCAUGGCCGCAGAAUAACGGGGGGUGUGGGUGAGUAGAGGGAUGCCCUGGGCCAGCGGUGGGAGUAGUAGGGGGCGGUGAGGCCUCCGCGGCAUCACAGCCGGCCACGAGAGGCAGGAGCACGCGGCACGACCAGCGCUGCUUUGGGCGGCUGGAGCAAGAAGACCAGAGGUUGAAGAAGCACUAUAGCCGUUGGAUGGACAUCGUACGGUCACUGGAGCUAGAAUAGUUCAUAUUGACUAAGUUGACAAAGCCCUCCGUCCCCGUCAACUUAGUAGGCCCACAAGUCAGCCACCCACUAUGGUGGGUCCCAUCUAGCGGGGGGUAUUCAUUUUUGUGCGUAAUAAGGAGGCACUUCCUUGCGUGCGAAGAUAUAGCUGGUGGGUCCGACCUGUCAGCGGGGGGAACAUUUUUUUCAUGAAAUAUAGAAGCCCUUCCCACAUAUAGUCCAUGUACAGUGCGUAAUAAGGAGGAAAUUUCCUUGCCUGCCACCAUGGACCUCGUGGGUCCCAGCCGUCAGGCUCUCAACAUACAGUCCUCUUCCGAUGACUCUCAGAUGUUGACCACGCCACGCCGAGCGCACCGAGGCGGUGGACGACGGCGAGGCCCCAGACUGGAAUGACCCAAAGACGGGGAAGACUCAGCAGUGGAGUCGCAGACAGAGAGGAGUGGGAAACUUGACUGGUUUGGGUGCGGGGUGGGCCUACACUCGGUAGAUAAUAAUAGAAGGUGCGGAGUGGAGUGAUGUCCUAGCCGUCGGCAGGGUAGCGUUUCGCUGAGGAGCGCAAAACAACGCCGCUGGACGCCGAAGGCUGGAGCAGGCGGUCCCGGCAGCGCUGGGGGAAGAAGACGAGAGAUUGAAGAAGAAUGUCAGCUGUUGGAUGUAAAUCCAACGCCUUCGUAGGCUACGACCUACUGGCGCACAUGUCAGCCAGUCCAUUUGUUUUUUAGUCCAUGUGGUGGGCUGGGUGAAACAAUGAUGUAGCAUCUAUGCAGCCCAUUUAUAUAUGGUAGAAUUUAAAUCCCAUUUGCAUUUUUCUCGAAAUCCACGGACUUGCUGAGCUGGGUGAAAAUAUCAUGUUGGGAUAGACGGAGAAAUGUUAUAAAAACAUAAACACAUGAUUGCACAUCUGUUACUGCAUUGGUCAGUAAAGUCUUUGCAAGCUUAUGUACGCAAUCACUAGGAGUUAACUUGCCAAGUUAUAUAUAAACAAUUAUUAUUAUUAUUUUGUAAGAACUUUCAACUUACAUAAUAAAAUAUUAUUUAAAUUUGAUGAGUUAAUAGUACGUGGGGUAUUAUUAUUUUUUAGGCUAGACGUGGGACAAUUGAGUUGGUUGUAGGGAAAAGUACCGGGGGAAAACUCAGUUUACAUCGAAAAAGAAAGUGGGAGAAAAUUCAGGGACCUGCUGGGUCCACCUGAGGAGGGGAAUUUGUUGGGAGGAAGGAGAUUCAAAGCACGGCAGCCGAGUGAACUAGUUUUUUUUAACGGACAAGUGAACUAGUUACAUACAUAAGCAAAUAGCCACUAAAAAAGCAGUUAGGUUAAUGGGUUCUUAAAGAAAUAUUUUGAACAAAACAGAUAAUUACGACACAUAGGCUAAUGCAUGAAACACUCAGAUGAUAAAGGUGCUUAUAAACAGAUAAAGUACAACAUCUAGACCUUCCUGGCAUGCUCGAUCAUGACGCUGCGGCUGUCCGUGUACUCGUCGGUUACGGGAAGCAGACACGCCCUCAUGUCCAAGAUCUGCCUGUACAUGUCGUAGCAUGCAUAUGCGUAGGUUAUGUAGGCUACAUUCAGAGGUACCUCCCACGUGUUCAGGUCCUUGGUAUUGUUGUCUUCUUUCAUGUUGGCGUAUCAGCGGUCGAUGAUGGUCUCGGCGAGGUCAACCACGGAGUCCUUCUCCUACCCGUUGCCGAUGAUCUAGUAUUGCUUCUGGAUGUCGACAAGCUUGUUUCACUAGAUGGCCGAAUCGUCGCGUUCUUCCUUCUCUCCACCGUAGCGAAGGUGCAGUCGGCGCUGCCGAUGAAACGGGUGAAUGCUCCAGAACCUCUAAUGGCCCUGCAGAAGUGGUAGAUGAGAACCCCGUCCCGCACACAUACCUGGGCGAUGGCGUUCCGCUGGUCCUUGUCAGGAGACGAAUGGAUGCGCACAAGGUCUAGUCCUGCAACCUUGUGUUUUCUCGUCCUGCAGGUACUGCUUGAACUCGGCGAGGCAGAGCUUCACCGAGUCUGGAUCGUUGGUGUACAUCACAUUCAACUUGGUGCAGCCAUAGGACUGAACGGCGAACCCAAAGGGGAACUCCUUGCUGAAGUUCAUAUCCAGCAGGCUCACCCCUCGGAUCUCCAUUGGAGUCUCUUCAAGUGAAUGAGUGUGUAGGCUGCGACAAUAGUUUGUUUUUCAGCUCUUGGGGAACUGGAUUCAACAGUAAACUGAGUGUGUACAAGCGACAACAGUUACUACCCCUCCCUCGUCCGCUGGACGCCCGGCAGAAGAUGCACCCUUGGCGCAUUCAAACGCCUCCAUUAAGAAACCUACUCCGGCCACACGUCGGUUCACGAGCGGGUCUGUGUUGGUACUGUAAUAAUAGAAGUUAGUGGUCACUUUACUUAAAUUUAAUUAGCUUUAAUAGAAAUUUAUACUUAAAACAACCAAUGCAUUGGCUCGUUCUAUCAGUGCCACAGGAUCAACAUGCACAACAAUUAGAAUUAUUAUUCUCAGGACGCAUACGAUCAGCAUAUUUGUUGCACUUUCACAAAGAUAAUACUACCAAGUUUGAACUGUUUGUUAUGAUUGUUGUCCUCUGCAUCAUCAUGUCAUGUUUCCCACCUUGCAAGAUUCAGAACCAACAAAUAAGAUCCAAAUAAUAAGUACAACAAAGAUGCCUACACAUCUCAUUGAUUCCCAGCUUGCAAGAUUCAGAACCAACAAAUAAGAUCCAAAUAAUAAGUACAACAAAGAUGCCUACACAUCUCAUUGAUCCCAGCUUGCAAGAUUCAGAACCAACAAAUAUGAUUCAAAUAAUAAGUACAACAAAGAUGCCUACACAUCUCAUUGAUUCCCAGCUCAAGAUUCAGAACCAACCCAUUAGAGCCUUUUGAUAAAGUGAAUAUUGGGAUUAAAUCCAUCUUGGCUAGCCAUGUCAUACAAUCGAAGAACUUGGCGAAUGCUCUUGACCGUCACAACAUCUGUAGUUGAGUAUUCCUCUUUGCACAGCACAAACAAGAAGAGCCUGAUUUCACUUUAAUAGUGGCCUCCUUGAACUCAACCUACAGCUCCACUUGGAUGAGGCCUCACUGGAGUUUCAUGAUUCAAUUCAUGCGCCUAUUUUCUGCAGUUCACCUAAAAUGAAGUAAAGAUUGCAUCAUUCAGCUAGCAAGAAGUACCUUCUCUCAUGAGCUGACAGGUUCUUCUUUAGUAGUUGCACUAAAAUUGAGGAACAUUAAGGUUGGCUGUCCGGCUCAUGUAGGGUGCAACUAUAAUUUUCUUAUCCUUUGGUGCAGUUCCACUAAAAUAAAGUGCCAUUGUGGUGACACUGAUGGCUCAUCUUGAAAAGGCUAAUAUAAUGUUGCAUGAGAUUACCAGCAGAACUUGACGGAGAUUUUGGAAACUCCAACCACCAUUUUGUGCAGUUCCACCAAAAUUGAGAGAUGUUACCCACGUGACAUUUUAGUUGAACUGCACAAGACACUCAUUCCAACAAAAAGUGUUUUGUGCAGUUCACCAAAAGGUCACAAUAGCAACAAGGUGAAAUGGAUAUCCCUAUCUGCACAAAAGGAUAGAAAGUAAACAGUUGCUGGUCAAUAAGAAUAUACGAAACAUAUACAAAAUGAAAAGAAACAUCUUAAUUAUGUUCAUGGAAAUCACGCAAGGACAGUAGAAAUUUUAAAACGUCAGCAAUGCUUCAUGUUACCAGAAGCAUUACGAUUAACAAUGAGAUUCCUCAAAUACGGGAUUACUUUAAUGGUGGCAUUGCUUUUUUACCAGACACAGUAAAUCAACAGUAGCUAAAGAGUUGGUUUAAGGGCAUGGGGCCGUGGGGACACUAGGACACUCAGCAGCGUAAAGGAGCAACUUACUUAUCAUAUUGGGGAAAACAGCAGGAGUGCCAUUUGUAACAUAGUUUAAUUGCAUCUUAUCACUGGAGGCAUUAGAUUAACAAUAACACUGGUUAGACAUGUCCCUAAGGUAACAGUGUGAUCGCUUCAUUUUACAUGUGCCCUUACAUUAACAACAUCAAAAGGUUGGUAUAAGGACAUGCGACAGUGGACGCAUCAGCACAAUGUACCUACAAGGAGGCAUAAAGUGGUGAUGCCGAGUUUGUUCAUGCUAUGUGAGGGCAGCAAACCUAAUCCUGGAGACCUUGUACUAUAUGAGGGCAGCAAAUCUAAUCCUGGAGACCUUUUACUAUGUGAGGGCAGCAAAUCUAAUCCUGGAGACCUUUUACUAUGUGAGGGCAGCAAAUCUAAUCCUGAGACCUUUUACUAUGUGAGGGCAGCAAUUCUAAUCCUGGAGACCUUUUACUAUGUGAGGGCAGCAAAUCUAAUCCUGUACAUACUAUGUUGACUUGUCCACCAGCCGCCACUUUCUAUCCUUUUUUCAACCAAUAAUAGAUUUGUUCCUUAUCCAGUUUGUACUGCGUUUUCCCAUUAUUUCCCUUUUUAGCAAAGAGACAGGUUGGGUAUCCGGUCUCUACUACUUUCACCAUAUUAUUUCCUCUUUGAAUCAAGUCCUAGAUUCAUGCUACAACUUUCCCCCCUUUCUUCAUUGUUUGAACAAAGCCCUAGAUUCGAAUGCAUGAAGUAGCUUUACCUCUAAUAAUACUAAAAAUUUAGGUGUCUUUGGAGGAGCUAAUGGGAGUAGAAAAAAAUUCACAUGCAGACACGUGGGGAGCUGGGGCAGUAGAGCAAGGCCGCUUUCGAAGAACUUAUACCUAAGGGUCGCCGGGAUGUCGGCAGCGGCAAGUCGGAUCUGCGGAUAAUACGGCAGGGAGGAAGAAGGGUCAGAGGACCUCCCGAGCCGACGCUGUGUCGGAGAGAACGGCACGGGCAGAGGAUCGGGCCCCUCCGGCAGCUGUGGGUUUCCUCCCUCGGCGGCGAUGACCGCGUGACCCUUAGGUAUAAGUUCUCUACUAUUUAAUUUGUCGAUGUGUGUAGAGGACUAAGGUGUGUGUAGAGGACUAAAAGCGUUUCAAUUUGUGUACGUGGCAUUAAAGAAAAGAAACUCUCUACUAUUUAAGGCGACUACUAUACGACUCUUACUUACUACUACUAGUAGUACUAGUAUUGUUCACUUGUGCUCCCCGCCCCUCCAUUCAUUGAACAACCCCACAGGUGAAUAAACAUACUAUAAGUAUUUAUAGAACAAACAAGCUUGAACUAUUUUCGCGUAGUUAAAAGUUGAGGGCGGGGCUUUUCCCGGGAAGUACACACGAUAGUUUUCGGGUAGGCGGUUUGACAGAGAGGCGAGGACGGUGAGCGAGUGGCGGAUUCUCAAUCACUAGCAAGAUUCCCAUGCGUUGCACGGAACAUCAAGAUGCAUUUGUAUGGGUAGUUUAUGUUGUGGGAGAAAAGGAUGAACGAGGGAAGGCCUUAUUUGAAAAUGUUGAGUGGGUGUGGGUAUCUUUUUGCAAAAUUUCCAUUUUUCCUUCCUAUCCGUCAGAUAUAAAUCAGACGACUUAUAUUGCAGGAUGGCAGGCACACCAUCAUCACCAACUCUGAUUUUUAUAAGAGUAGAGAUACUGCUGGAAAGGUCGGGCUGUGCGAUUUGACGGCGCGUUACUUCUGGAAAGAGUUGUGAUAUGACCACUCACUAUAGUCAUGAAUUACUGGCGCUCCGACCUGGGUGAUGCCCCCUUCCGUUCCACGCUCUAAUCUGGUGCAUGACAUGUCGACCCGGAUGCUGGCUCUCCCACAUGUCGGAGUAGUAAGAAGGAGCAAAGAAUGAUGCGGUAUAUACUAGUACUACUACUACUCAGGUCGGAGGAGUGCGAACCACGGCAGUCCAGUGAACCAGCAGUGCGAACCACGAUAGCCCAGUGAACCAGCAGUAGAAAACAAUGUGGUGAUAUGGCCAUAAAAACAAUGUGCUACGGUCCACACUGUAGCAUGUAUUGUAACACUCAUCUUUGUUUGGAUCCCUGAGUUAGAGCUAGUUUGGGUUGAAAUAGCCUCAAAUUAUCAAAACACGAGGGUUAGUUCGAGAUAGUUUGCUCUAACCCAGCUAAAAAAACUAGCCCGGUGGAGAGGUUCUAAUUGGGUUAGUUAUCCUCGGGCCCACUAAAAGAGAACUAAAAAAAUCUCCCAUGCCCACACCGGAUCGCUCCCCCCUCUCGCACGACUCCUCUCUGUUCCCCAUAGGGUCGCCCGCCCAAGCGCCGCUCGCCCUCUCUCUCCUCUGGCCGCCCUCGAUAUCCUUCCAGCCUCCGCCACCCUACUCCGGUCGCCCUCUCCCUCCGGCCUUCAAAGGUCGCCCCGCUCCCUCUUCACCGGUUGUUUUUCUCCCUCUGUCAUGCACGGCGGCGGCGCAUCUACCAGGGAGGUCGCGUGAGGGGUGAGUUUGUUCGUUCCUUCUCUGUCUCACAGUCAUAUCAUUGAUCUUGCUCGCUCUAGCGCUAAUUCUGAUUCAGAAAAGUAGAUCCUGAUCAAACUUGGUAUAGAUUUGUUGUGCACCCAUGGAAUUGUUUGAUGCUACUUGAGGAGUUAAUAAAUCUUUCUAGAGGCCCAAAGAUUCAGUUCACCUUCCUAGGUAUUUCAGCUUCAGGCUUGCAUUAUUUUAAGAGGCACAAAGAUUCAGUUCACCUUUCUAGGUAUUUCAGUUUCAGGCUUGCAUUAUUUCUAGAGGCCCAAAGAUUCAGUUCACCUUUCUAGGUAUUUUAGUUUCAGGCUUGCAUUAUUUCCAGAGGGCCAAAGAUUAAGUUCCCAGUCGGCGGCAAGCGGCCCUGCUACCCAUGCCGGUGUCGACCUCAACUCGCAAGGGCCGGCAUUGGAGGGAUUCCCGGGGCUUGGGCUCUACAGAGCCUUCCUCCAGAGCGAUGAUGGCAAGCUCCUCCCUCGGUGCGUGAGGGGCUCCGGUCUCCCUCCCUAUCAAGAAUGAAUUCCAUAAUGAGUUAGCUCAUGCUUUGUUUCAUGGAGUGUUUUUUUGUGAAGCUUGAUUGACGACUUGUAUGUUUAAGUGGGAUAUCUAAUUUGUAUGGACAAAGUAAAAACUAUCAUGUUUUGCAUGCUUGAUUUGUAAAGAUGGUUCGUUUAUGUCAAUUAUAAGUGGGAGGAGGCCAGAGAAGAGCCGGCCACACCAAAUACGGCAGGGAAUAGGGUCCAAAGUAGUCAAAUGAUUGAGGAAGAGCAUUUAUUGUCAAUCUAACCCUGCCAUCCAUACACCUCUUUGGUUUAGAGUUAGUUCAGGGUUAGAAUCUAACUCUAACCUCUAACUGAGUUAGAGUUCUCCUCGUCUCGGUUCAUCGCCAUCAUAUUUCCCCAUUCCUAUGUUUUCAGUAUCCUGCGAAUCAAAGAGGCCCUUUUUUUGCCAGAAAAAUCAAAGAGGCCUUAGACUGGUUUAGGUCCGGUCAUUUUUAUAAACGUGUUAUGUCCAAAAUUUAAUGAACCUGCUCUGGUUUCUACGAAAAUAAUCCAGUUUCAUGUAGUAAUUCAUUCAUUUAUUUAUUCUUCUGCAGGGGGUUUGCAUGUAAUACGUGAUGUCUGAAAUGUUAAGUACCCCGACAUAUGCUCCGAGUCGUGCAUGCACUACGACCCAGAUGCUCUAUGUCCCACAUGUCGGUGAAUGGGAGCAUGUGGAAAUAGCCUAGGAGUACAUAUAGGAGGAUAAGGCUGGUUGUAAUGGGUAGUAUCAUUUACUAGUAUCAUGCAUAUGUUACUAGUGUAUGAUAGUACUUCCGUAACAUAGUAUCAUAGGUUAGUACCUUAGGUUGCCUUCUUAAUUGUCAUGCAUGACACAAAGUAGUACAUCAUUUAAUAUGAUACGAUAUCAUAAUAUGAUACUACAUCCUCUCUUUCCUCAUUUAAUUAUGUGCCACAUCAUCUGAAAAAUCUAGUUGGCAUGCAUGAUACCGCUUAUGAUACUCCCAUUACAACUAGCCUAAAUGCGUGAAAAAAUAUGUACUGUGAAGCGUAGCUGCGGUUCGAAAAGGAGACCUAAAGUGAUGACAGUUAUAGGUCGCACGAACCCAACUAGUGGUACUACUAGACAUACGACUAUUUUUUCCCUCAAAAAAAGGAGGCACGAGUGCUCAGUACUCCUAUUCUAUCAACACGAGUCUCAUAUGACAAAAGCGUCCGUGCUAUAGCUAGAUCUCCUCCCUCGUUUCUCUCUUCUAAUUCUAAACUCGGCCGACGCCCGGUGGGCGGGGUGGGUUUGCUCAACUGCGGCCCCACCUCACAGUGAAAACGUUACGACUGGAAUAAAAAUGCCAUAUACUCUCUGCGUUCCUAAAUAUAAGCCUUUUUAGAUACUAUUUCAAAUGGAAUACAUCAUACAGAUGUAUGUAGACAAAGUUUAGAGUGUAGAUUCACUCAUUUUGCUACGUAUGUAGUAGUCACUUGCUGGAAUCUUUAGAAAGACUUAUAUUUGGGAACGGAGGGAGUACUAUACAAAUAAAACAUUAAGGCCACGAGGCGAUGCAGUGCUGGACUGCUGGUUAUAGGAGGCAAGAAGAAGAGAUACAUCCAUCAACGAAGUCCACCUCCUCGACUCAGGGCGUCGGCCCACCGAAUGGCGCCUAAGUAGCAGUGGCUUUCGUGGCCAGGUCGACGUGCUUCUGAACAAUGGUGUCCAAAGAUUCGAGCCGCUGGAAGAAGGCCAAUGUCUUUCUGUCCUCGCUCGCCUUGUAGUGGCCUAUGUAGACUAUUUCCUCGUAGACGUGGAUGUGCAGGUCGACGGUUUCUUGCAUGGCGAGGCGCUGCACGGCGAGCACGGCCUCGAGGUGCACAUUCUUCGUCGCGACCUCCAGCACCAUCAGGGCCACCAGGGCUUGAAAGAGUUCAUCACCAUGGAGGCCGAUGAGGGUGGCAGGCAAUGAGGAGCCUGGGCGCGUGGGCUGGAGCAGUAUGGCAAGGUCGUCCGCGCGCUUCUUGACGGCGGUGAACUUGCAGAUGGAGUUGACCAUCAUGUCGGCCAUGCGAGAGGCGAAGCCGGCGUCGGCAAGGGCUACGAUGCUGGCAGUCGCCAGCACCGUCUGGAAACGUUGUGCGGUGCGGGGCCGCAGGCGGGCGCCUUGGAUGAUUUGGCACAGCCCACUGCCGCUCGCGUCCAUUGCCUCCAUAGGUGCUUGUGACUUCUCGUCACUUGGUCUUGGAUUGGAGUGAGCAGUGUUGCGCAGAGACUUGGGAGUAGAUGGAUUGGAGUGGUGGGGCGCCUUUAUAUGAGAGUCCAAACUCUGUUGCAUUCACAUCGUGAUGGCUCUAUUCUGCUUCUCCAAUUAAUUCCCUCUGCAUGUAAUUGAGGAUGCAUCAUUGACCGCUCAACGUCUUGGGAACCACUAUGCUCUCCCUUCUUGGCAUUCAAGCACCUAUGGAGGCGACUGCCACUCGCGUCUAUUGAGUGUCAGGAGACUUUCCCAUCGACGACGAGGUGCCUAUGGUGACUUCUUAAAUUUCAAGAUGAUAGUGUCGUGCGUGUGUGCGUUCAUAGGGAUGAGUGUAUCCGCGUGUAUAUGAGCGUUUGCGUUUGUACUGUGUCAAAAAAAUGUAAAUGUGUGUGAAAAAGAGACUAGUCAGUAUACUCAAUAUUGUGCACCUCGGAGAGGAAAAUGAUAGAACUAUGUAUUUAUUUACGGUGCAGAUUCACUCAUUUUGCUCCAUAUGUACUCCGUCUCGUAGUCUAGUCACUUGUUGAAAUCUCUAGAAGGGCAAAUACUCCUUUCUGGUUUACAGGGCUAUACUAGCAAGUAGUUGUACGUACUAGUACAAUAGUGGGCUCACAUAGCAAUUUUGUCUCAUGCAAGAGCCUGGCUAUAUACGUGCUCCAAUGUUCGCAACUGCCACGUUUGGGUUGCGCUUGGCUUUUCGCCUCUUCGAGAAGACGAAAAAUGAUGUUACUACUACUGCUUCUACAGUGUCAAAUCCACUUCUUCAUGUCCGUUCACCUCGAGCGGGAGGGAUAGCUCGUUGUAGAAGUACUAUAAGCAAAAGCCUGUCCUCGUCUGCGAGCAACCACGCGCAUGGGCGAGGGAGAAGGCAUGUAGUAGUAAAAUCAAGCUUCUCCUCGUUGUACGAGUUGAUGCGACACAUCAUACCACUUGCCCCACAUGCUUGCCUCUAAACUUGGCUAAAAGACCCGUAGUGUACAAUAUAUUUGCUGCAACCUCUAACAUUUACCCACCUCAUAUUGAAAAUGUUAAGACUAGAAUAAAACUGCCAUAUACUCCCUGCGUUCCUAAAUAUAAGCCUUUUUAGAUACUAUUUCAAAUGGAAUACAACAUACAGAUGUAUGUAGACAUAGUUUAGAGUGUAGAUUCACUCAUUUUGCUCCGUAUGUAGUAGACACUUGCUGGAAUCUUUAGAAAGACUUAUAUUUGGGAACGGAGGGAGUACUAUACUAAUAAAAUAUUAAGGCCACGAGGCGAUGCAGUGCUGGUUACAGGAGGCAUGAAGAAGAGAUGCAUCUAUCGACGACGUCCACCUCCUCGACUCAGGGCGCAUGGGCGAGGGAGAAGGCGUGUAGUAGUAAAAUCAAGCUUCUCCUGGUUGUACGAGUUGACGCGACACAUCAUAGCACUGGCCCCACAUGCUUGCCUCUAAACUUUGCUGAAAGACCCGCAGUGUAUAAUAUAUUUGCUGCAACCUCUAACAUUUACCAACCACAAUCACCAAGGUGACAGGUAGGGCCAGAAUACUAUUUUAAUUUUUUUUAACUUCAAGACGGCCACAUAGCAUGGAGCCGGCCCCAAUGAUUUUAAGCUUACAGGCACGGUACACGCUAUCCUAGACUACUCUACACAUGAAACUGCCACACCAGCGUCCGGGCUACGCUUGGCUCUUCGCCUCUUCGGGAAGUCGAACAAUGAUGGAGUACUACUGCACUUGAGGUGUACUACAGUACACUUCUGUCCAUCUGACACCGAUUGAACUGCUGCAUGUCCAUCGCGUGCGGGAGGGAGAGCGUGUAGCGAAAGCUUCUCCUAGUGUCGGGGAUAUACCCCGCGAUAUGAGCCAGCCAAAAAUAUGACCCGGCCGGAUUUGGCGGUUUACUUGAGACGGUUUACACUUGGCGAUUCACUAGUGACCCGCCCUGACCAAACGGUUUACAAGCAACCUACCUGAACAUUAUGACUCACUGAUAACCCAGCGGGUAGGACAGACGGAUGAAAAGGCCCAAGGCCUAGAACGCCGGUUUAUGUUAAUGGCGGGCCAGUUUAUGAGGAAAGCACAAGGAAUAUUCUCCUACAAAGGAAGCAAGACUAGGACUCCACUUGUAAUAGAGUAAUCCUAAUCCAACUAGGACUAGUCAUGUAAACCGCCCCUUUAACAUAUAUAAAGAGGGGCAGGGCUCCCCAAAAGGGAGGAAGGAAGAGAAGCAAUCUCUAGGGCUAGACACAACUAAAGGGGAGCCGACUUAUGCAGCGUCUCCCUGAUGAGCAUAAUGAGAUCUAGCCACAAACAUCAUGUAGGGCUAUUACCGGAUGAUGUUUUCCGCGGCCUGAAGCUGUCUAAAUCCUUGUCUUGUGUGCUACGUCUCUCGUCUCGAUCAACCCCUCUCAAGCUACCUUAUAGAUGCGUUGGCCUCAUGACUAAGUCCUCACACUAGGACAUCUGCCAUGACAAUUCCACGACAGUUGGCGCCCACCAUGGGGCUUGCGCACGGUGGUGUUGAGUUCUUGGAGGGAUCUCUCCUAGGAAUGGAGGAGCUCACAAUUUUAAGAUGAAGACGAACCAGUUUGAAAGGAUUUACAUCCGUUGAGUUCAUUGGUCAAAUUGUUAGUCCGAGAUUUAGAAAUCAAGAGAAGUAAGGCUGCGACAUGAUCAUUUUCCGCAAGUUGCCGAGAUCGACAGGAGCGUUUCCGCCGCACACAAUAUACUACAGGAAUCCACCGCAGUCAUUGGUGAAUUUUUUUUACGGAUUCGACAGCAGGGUCCGAUUGUUAUUAGGCGGUUACCACAAAAAUCAGUCUGGUCAAUGGUCGACAAACCGAUUUCGUGCAGCUGUUGGAUGGGCCCGUGCCCCGCUGAUAUUUUCUAAUCAAGGUACUGGUUUAAAACGCCUUUGUUUAUUGGGAAACAGACUGACCCCAUAGCUGUAUCCAAUGCGCCCCUGAACUUGGUUUUUUGUGCGGAGCGGACACACCUGAGGAUAUUAACUGCUGUUGCUGCCACCUCCACAAGAAGAGCAAAAAAUCAAUUCGUCUACGGAGCACUAUUUUUGCACCUUGCAUGAUUGAAGGCAAAUAAAACAAGAAGACUGUGCUUGGAGGAAAUUCUUUGGAAAGUAUUAUAUGCACCGCCUGCCGGUUCGUCCCGAGGAAAACCUGCAGCUACAAGCCGUCAUUGCAUCCAGCUCUGAGUCACCUGCCUCGGUCGUCUUCUACUUUUUUCUCAAAGUCACCCAGCUCCAUCUCUGCUGGACUCUAAGUUACUCGCCGAUUCACAUCAACCACAGCGGGGCCAAGCCGCACGCUGCUGCUCCGUCCGGGUGCUCCACGGGAUUCGCGCUGCCCCGGAUCAGCUCGCUACCAACCCAUUCGUGCUGGCUGUGACCCGCGCCUGAGCUCUUCUCUCAGCAUCGCCGGACAGUGCUCGAGCUGUUGUCAUUUCGUUCCACCGUUGCUCUACUGCCACGAGCUGACAGCUGCUAACCCGUUGUUGCCCCAGUUUAUUUCCCAAGACGGCUUCCCCGGCUGUGCGUGGCCAUGGUCUUGGACCGCUGCGCCCUGAGCCACCUCUGCUGAAUUGUUGCACUAAGUAUGGAGCAGCAGAAUGAACGGAGUACUAUGUUGAGCAUGUCAGCGCGGACCAAUAUGAUUUUUCAUUAUGCCGCAGUCAGAUCGCGUGUCGUCGAUCACACAACAAUCAAAGUACUAGUUCAAACAGUAUUUCUCACGUGCUGCUAUCCCGCUUGAGUGUCCGCCACUUGUUUCCAGGAAGCAGAGCCGCCUUUGAGCUGCUGUUUUUAAGUCAUCGCGGCAAUCUUUUUCCACCGCUGAGGUACAUCUUCUAAAUCGCCAUGCUGUGACCCGCCUCGCCUGUUGUGAGCCGUCUCCGCCGCCUACCCCUGAUCGACCCACGUCGUUUCAAGCUAUUCAAAUCGCCGCCUCCGCCACCUCGAUCAUGCUGCUACUGCAGUUUUUGAGCCACCGCCAUGGUGAUGCUUCCGUUUCACUGCCGUGUUGAGCCGCCAGAGCCGCGUUGAGCCUCCUCUUCUAUGUUGAGCCACCCGGGUGAUAUCGAGUUGUCGGUUUGCCUGAACCGCCUUUGUUGUGUUAAACGGAUCAUCCGUCAUCCGAACAAUCAGGUGAUAUCUAUUCGUUUAAAUUUAUUAGCAUAUAUUGUUUUUUGAAAAAGAACAAUUAAUCUAGUUUGCUGCAGCUCCUGCAACUUGCAAGCCGAGGGCAAUCUGUAGUGAUGGAUCAAAAUAGUGCUAAGCACUCCUGAUUAUAUAAUGUCCCUUUGGUACAACAUCAGUUGAGGAACGAAGGCAAUCAGCCCAUAUUUCGAGUACAGAGCAAUAAAUCAUUAUGUCAGUCUACACGAACAUCUGUUAUUUGUCUGACUACAUCCAACAAUAUCUAGUGCCAGCAGUCAUGUUGAUCCGACAAAAAUACCAGGUGUUAUUUACUUUAUGUAUAUUUUUUGUAUACAUUAUUCGUCUGACAACAAUUACUCUGGCCUAUAUCUUUUUUAUACAGGACAAGUGCUCACUAUGGAAGUGAUGCCCUACCACGGACAGCGUGCGCUAGCUGUUCUACACCGGCAUCUGCGCAUGUCGCACUGAUGAACAGGAACACAAACCGCCGCCCCCGCAGUCCGGAUUACAUCAACAAUGUCGCGGCUGACUCUCUUGUCCGCUUUGGCUUAUAACACCGCGGCCGACUUAGCUAUCUGUGCUUCCUCUGAUGUUGUGGUCGUCUUUGUCGGUCGUCUCUUGCAGCGUGGUCUACAUCAACACAUCGGGCCGCACCUAUUUGCAUGAGCUGUUUAUUGAGUAUGAGCAAGUCACAGUUUAGGUAGCCCGGUUUUCUUUCAGCAAAAUGGAGGAAAAUUAUCAUAUACUAUCAACCACCAUCUGCACUAGGUGGCCCAAUGGGCAGGCGCACAAGUCGCCGCCACUACAGUUUGGUUAAAAAUAGCCAGUUGGAAGGAACCAUUGGCCGAGUUGAUGACAUGGCUCAUACGGGAUCAUUUAUAACCCGCCGCAGUCGCCUCAACCUUCUGUGGAUUCACAUCGUGCUAUCAACACCAAUGAUAUACAACUUAUGCUGGUUUAUAUCAUGGUCAAAUAUGGAGAAUCUCAAGCCAACUCCUUGAGUUUCCUUGAGACUCGGGGGCUACAAUGAUAUGACUCAGCAAGUGUUGCCGGUUUUCGAUGAAUUCAAGAAACCCAGGACAUUGGAGGGAAAGAUAACCCGGUCCCGGAGGCUACUACCAUAUUGAUGAAAGUAUAAAGGCCGUCAGAAAAUUUCCGGUUCAAAACAAAGAAUGCUGGUUUAAAAUCCGGUUCAAGGGAAAUCCGUUCUCCCACAAAGCUCUAAAGCUCUCAAAUCCGGUUUAAGAAUUUCCGGCUCAAAAAGAUUUAAUCUCUCGUAAGUUCGAGUUUUUAAAGGUCGCCAGAAAAUUUCCGGCUGAAAAUGAAGAUUCCGGUUUAAGAUCCGGUUCAAGGGAAAUAUGUCUUCCAUAAAGCUUGGAAGCCUUCAAUAUCUGGUUUAACAUCCGGUUCAAGAAGAAAUAUCUCUCGCAAAGUUUGAGUUCUCAGAAAAGUCAAAAGGGACCAAAGAGAGUUUGUUGCAUAGCACAACUCAAACAUAGGCACCCGUCGAGCACAGCUCAGAAAUAUAUCACACGGGGGCUUCUGUCUAUAAAGUAGAGCUCUGUUUACCCGUUGAUCCGGCUGGUCGAGCCAUAUAAAAAAAUCACUUGGGGGCUUGGUCAUAUUCGAAUCAUAGCUACACCUCUUGAUCGGCAUAAGGCCACCAGGGAAAUCAAUUAGGGGUCAAAGAGAGUGUUCCAAAAAGCACCAACUCAAACAUAAACACCCACUGAGCACAACUCAAAAUGUUACCUGGGGGCUCUUUCUGCACAGCAACAAAGAGUUUUAAAGGACCCUUGUAACAGGCUAUCAAGCCAGGCUUGGAAGCCAGGUGUAUUCACCUAAAACCCUGGGUUAACCUGCCUUCAUCAAGUAAGUCACUCCUCCCAGGUAAUCCUGGUAUGACCCGCCGAACGUUUGACAAAUCAAUCUUAUACAGACCCUGAACUUGUCAAAGUUAAAACGAUGAUUGGUUAAUGUGAGGUCCAUCUUAAAAGUGUUUUGUAAAAUGGUUUAACUCAGUGUCCUGGCAGCCCAUGAAAAUCCUCGAAUUUGGGCCUGGCAGCCCUUGAAAAGCCUAGACUACACAUUUUUAUUUGCUUUUAUUUGUCAAAGUCUUUUCUCCAUUGAUAAGGUUUUAUGAUAAACUGGCGUCUAUUGACCCGGCCUGACUAUAAGUCAUCAAUAUAACCCAGUGUUUGUUAACUCGUCCUGGCUUUGACUAUAAGUCGCCAGGAUGGUCAUCCGGUGCUUAUUAUAACCCGACAUGGCUUCAUUAUAAACCAGCAAGGCAUGGUGGGAAUUACCAGCAAAGCAUGGUGGGAGUUAUCCGCACUCCAGAUUUGGGUUAUCACCCUUACUACAAGAAAGUUGGUAAACCAACGACGUGAUUCAAUAUCACAAGUAUGAUAUAUUUCAUAUUUUAUUAUCCUUGCAGCCUUGGUUAUAAACCCGGGUUAUAUGUUGGGCAUUAUGACCCGUCCGGCGGUAAACCGCCAGGACGCUUUAAACUUGUUGUAUGCAGAAACAGGUUGAAUAAAGCAUAAUUAUAAAUCACCAGCGUUUAUUAACAUGGCCUGGCUUUAAGAUGAUAAGUCACUAGUAUAUGAUGAGAAAUUAUCCGGUGUUUAUUAACCCGGUCUGGCUUUGGACUAUAAGUCGCGAGUAUAUAUUUGGAUUGUGCCAUUGGAAUCAUGCGCUCAUAAAUCAUUGGAUUAUAUGAUUCAAAUCUUCAAAUAGCGAACAUGGCUGGAUUUUAUUAUGGUUAUCAAUAACCAGUAUUAUGAUUAAGGUUUUCAAAGUCACUUUAGCGCAAUGGCUAUCAUAUUAUCAAUGGAUAUGAUUUAUUCUAUAAUUGAAGGAAUAGUCCCGAGUUGCUACAGGCUUACGACCCGACACUUGGGGGCUAUAUUAUUCAAGUGGAGAUUACAUCAAAUAUGCAAGUCUCGUGUCGCUGCAAGCAUGCACCAUGGCACUUGGGGGCUAAUGCAAAGUCAUUUUUUGCUCAUCUUAUUGAAGACCCGACUCAUCACAUUAUAAUGAGCCAGCCCUUGGGGGCUACCAAUUGCUCUUGUCAACAAUUCAAGGUACACAAGUUUUAAUCCAUUAUAUUGAAAGGUUCACUGCUCAGUUGGUAGAGUAUAAAGCUCUUUAACCUCGUGGACGUGGGUUCAAGCCCCAUGGUGCAAAUUACAUCAUAUGAUGUUAUUAUCAAUGAAUUAUAUACAAAGUCCUAACUCAGUAUUAUCUUACUGAGCCGGCCCUUGGGGGCUACACAUUGCUGUUCAAAUUUACAUGAUCAUAUUUAUAAAGUCCCUGCUCAUUAUUUCAUAAUGACCUGGCCCUUGGGGGAUACACUAGUUGAAGUUUUUGAGCAUCAGGCAAUUACAAGUCCCAGGUUGCUGCAAGCAUGACAACCCGGCACUUGGGGGCUACAUAAUAUGGAGUAUUCAGUUUUUACUAGUGACUGGGAUGAACAACCUGGAUCUCUUCAAAAGUGGCAGUAUUUCUAUUGAAGCAAAUCUUAAGCCAUCACUUUGUUCUACUCAAGACUUGGGGGCUACAUGUAUUAUAUUAUUAUCGAAGAAAUAUUUUCAAAUUCUCCGUUUUGAGCAAACCAGAUUGACCCGGCGUCACCAAUCAUUAUGACCCUGUGUAUGCAACCCGGCGUCAUCAAUAAUCAUGAACCGGCGUUGGAAACAAUCGUGAAUCGACGUUGGCAACAAUCAUGAACCAGCGUUGGAAACAAUCAUGACCCGGAAUUAUCAGUUUUUAUAAACCCGACAAUGGUGGUAAUCAUAAACCGGCUAGUUCUACAUUUUCAAGCCGGCUGGAUAUCAGUUGAAUAUUUCAAGACCAAUAUUUUUGUCAAGUCAGAGCAUUGAAGGCCGACUCAAAUGGGUUCUUGAUUUACAAUAUUUCUUAUGUAAGCAAGUUGAUUAUGAAGCUGGUCUGUUGACCCGGAUUUUCUAGAAGAAGGAAAGGACAAGGACCUAAGGAUGUUCAGGUGCUGGUUUACAAGAAUUCUUAACCUGGAGCACAACCUGUCAAAUUUGUUCUUGUGUUUAUUUUGCAGCAUAAGUUUACCAUGGAUAAGUCCAAGCUAAACUGGGGGCUAAUGUCAGGGAUAUACCCCGCGAUAUGACCCGGCCGGAAUAUGACCCGGCCGGACUUGGCGGUUUACUUGAGACGGUUUACACUUGGCAAUUCAAUGGCGACCCGCCCUGACCAGGCGGUUUACAAGCAACCUACCUGAAUAUUAUGACUCACUGGUAACCCAGCGGGCAGGACAGACGGAUGACAAGGCCCAAGGCCCAGAAGGCCGGUUUAUAUUAAUGGCGGGCAGUUUAUGAGGAAAGCACAAGGAAUAUUCUCCUACAAAGGAAGCAAGACUAGGACUCCACUUGUAAUAGAGUAAUCCUAAUCCAACUAGGACUAGUCAUGUAAACUGCCCCUUCAACAUAUAUAAAGAGGGGCAGGGCUCCCCAAAAGGGAGGAAGGAAGAGAAGCAAUCUCUAGGGCUAGACACAACUAAAGGGGAGCCGGCUUAUGCGGCGUCUCCCUGAUGAGCAUAAUGAGAUCUAGCCACAAACAUCAUGUAGGGCUAUUACGUGAAGCUGUCUAAAUCCUUGUCUUGUGUGUUGCGUCUCUCGUCCCGAUCAACCCCUCUCAAGCUACCAUAUAGAUGCGUUGGCCUCACGACUAAGUCCUCACACUAGGACAUCUACCGUGACAAUUCCACGACACCUAGUCUUGCCAGCCACCACACUCAUGGGCGAGGGAGGGACGCUCCUGCCUUUGCGUGUAUGACAUGUGGGCCCGACAGGUGGGUGGCCAACUUGUCAUACGGCCAAAGGCAGGUGCAGUUAAGUCCGUAAGGGAGAGGAUAAUCAAACUUCUCGUUGAUGUACGAGUUGAUGUGACGCAUCAAAGCACUGCACUCGAUAUAUUUCAAUAAUUUGCGGUUACCAAUGCAUUAAUUACAACACAUGCAUGCAUGUCAUGACUCUCCUUUUGAUACUUGCAUGUGUUGAUUUAAUGCACCUUGAAAUAGUACUCUCUCUGAUUCCUUUUACUUUGUGUAUAACUUUCUCUUGUUUUUCUCAGAUUAGUCUACGCGUCCGCGUUGGUUUCCAUCUGUGCCCCCGCUCGAUUAGUUCUGCCCCCAUUAAUCGCGCCAGUUUCCAAAGCAGAAAAUGGCUACAGGCAAAUGCAUGCAGCACCGGAUGCGGCUUGAUCGCCUGGGAAGCCAACUCAAGCGAAAAGGAAGGAGGACCAGCCAACCAUUGCACGCGCAUUUACUGUCGAUAUUUAUACAGCUUACUCAUGCGCAGGGGCAAAUUUGUCCAGAAAACUCAAACUACUGCCUUCCUUGGUAUGCGGGAGGAGAGUUAUGCGCAAAGUAUAAAAUAUGUGACGGUAAAGCUUUGUAAUGCCCCGGCCCAAGCGAGAGAUGGUUGUGCACGAGGAGGGCGAGAUCAUGCAGAUGGAACAGGAACCGACGAUGGAGCUCACUAAGGUCUCGAUGCACCUCACCGUGCUCCACUGCCCCUUGUGCCUCCGCCCCUUGACGCCUCCAGUGUAUGAGGUUCGAAUACACCUCGUCCGUUUGGCUGAUUGAGCAAGGUGCAGGUUUCUUGAUUGAUGUGAUGUUCGAUUGAUUUAUGCAGUGCAAGGGAGGGCACCUGGCCUGCAAGAUUGCCGCAUCGAGCGCCCCGGGAACCAGCGGCAGUGCCAGAAGUGCGAGCGCGGCGGUGGCUUCAACGUGCGGAACACGACGGUGGAUGUCGUCAUUUCGUCGCUGAGGGUGGAGUGCCCGCACGAAGGAUGUGGGCUCUACGUCACUUACCACAAGCUCGCAGAUCACUAGAGCGUGUGUCCGCUCGCGCCCUGCAAAUGUCCCAUGCCCAUGUGCGGCUACGAAGGCCCGCCGCCGGCGCUCUACCACCACAUCAGCAACGCGCAUCCCAUGUCCGUGCACAGGAUCCAGUACGGCAAGGUGUUCCAGCUACAAGUGCCACUGUCGGAACCACGGCUCUUGCUGUUCGUGGAGGAGGACGGCCGCGCAUUUUACUUGGUGGGCGGCGUGCUCGACAUAUUGCCAUGUCGGUCGUCUGCAUCAGAGCAGGGGCAUCCCCACUGCCGCACUACAUGGCCAAGAUGUCGCCGGGGGAGCCCAAAGUCAUGACCGACGCCGUCAAGGUGGAAAUGGAGGUGACAAGCAGCAAGGAUCCCGGCGACGUCGACGUGCAGGAGCUGACCUUCUUCACAGUUCCGCCCAAGCUGCCGGCCGGGGCUAAGCUAGUGUCCCUCCACAUUCAGAUUGACAAGCUCACGUCCUAAAGGUUUCUACAGUGCCUUCUGUUUAUCUUAGUAAUAUGCUAAUAUAGGGAUUACCUCGGUCUACUUUAGCUUAAGAAAUGGUGGGUUUUGGUGGCGAUGCAGCAAUUACUUCGACAUCAGAUCAGUAAUUUCCAACAAUCGAACGGAUAUUUUGUGUCUGUUGGAUAUAAAGUUCCUUUGGGUAAGAAGUAUUAGAUAAAAGGAGAUGUAUGUAGACGUAUUUUAGUUCUAGAUACGUCCCUUUUUAUCCAUUUUGAUGACAAGCACUCCGUCCGUUCCACAAUACAUGCCUUCCAUUUGUCAAAAUAUAGAUAUAUCUAGACAUGUUUUAGUAUAUAGGUACAUCCAUGAUAGAGCCAGUCAGAUGGUUGAGAACACUACAAUUCGUAGCUACAGAUGCGUGUGUGACUCCCAGAUGCAGAGGCCGGGGGUCAUCAUCCUCCUUUUUGAGAAAAAAUAGACGCGUGUGUGAGAGGAAGAGUGCGUGCGUGCACCUCUUCUCUUCCUGUAUAACAUACUAAACUCAUAGUACAAGUUUUUGUGGGUGGCACGAUGGUGCGUGCGAGAAGUCCCGAGAGAUAGGUUUAAUGCGUCUAAAAAAAGACUAGCCUAUAGCUCGCCAGGCAGCUAUUCCUGUCGAACGCCCCAUUAACCGUAAGAUAUGUAUACAACAGUGCCAGUUAUUGCACGUACACAAUAGUAGAAAAAGAACUACUACACCACGGCCAAGAACACGUGCCCACAUAACGCCAUCCGGGAAUAGUGCCGCACUUCGAAACUAGAACCGUCAAUAAAUUUUGAGCUUGCGUCUCCUCACAUUCCAAAUUACUCCAAGCUAUAUGGAAUUGCAAACUUGUUCACAACGAUCACAACCUAAACGGUUUCCCACUUAGGAGCGUAUUAGUACUCGGUUAUAAAUACUAGUAUGCCAAGAUGACUGCAAUUCCUCCUCAACUCCUCAUCCACAAAAACAAACAAGUCAUUCAACAUCCUUCCCUUGCGUCUGCCAUGGCCAGCGUGAGUUCUGGGUCGAGAGAUUGCCCCCAGAGAGAGGCGAGUAUGGAUGCGUAAGCACGAGAGAUGUCCCGCCUCGCUGCAAAAGCAGCCGACAUGUCCCGCCGCAUGGAAGUAGCAGCACAGAGGUCCCGCCGCGCCAUCGAUGCAGCAAACCGGUCCGGCCGCGCCACGGAAGAAGCAGAGAUGUCUCGCCGCGCCGUGAAUGCAGCAGAGAUGUCCCGCCGCGCCGCGGCAGCCUGGGAAAAUUUCUCGCGGGCAGGCGACGACUGUUACAGGCGCAUGCAUGCGAUCGUCCAUAGCCAGAUGGAUCAGAUCUCCGGCUAGGCGAGGUUGCAGGACGACAUGAAAGCCUCAUUUGAACAGGCUACCGGCGUCAUUCGACAACUAAGGGAGGGCAAUGAGAGGCUCCGGGGCAAGCGCGACCUGCUGAGUGCGAAGAUCGUUCGAAGUGCAGACCAGCAGGAGGAGACCAGUGCCUUGUUGAAGAGGACCGGCAUCAUCGUCAAGAAACUUAUGGAUGAGAAUGACAUGCUCCGCAUCGAGCGCCAAAGGCUGGUGGAGGAAUCCGUGGAUGUUCUCAAGCAGCGUCUUGAGGACACGAAAGAGCUCAUCGCCGCUCGCCGCGGAGACUAGUUCUCGCGGCCUGCGGCAACGCAUCAAGAAAGUAGAUAUCAGCAAGCCAGAUCCUUGUCGUCCUUCUUCUUUUGCCCUCGUGUAUUUCAGGCAUAGCCACAUGUGGCUUUUUUAAUUAUCUUUCUAAUUAUGUAAGACAAUUAAUCGUCCUUAUAUAUUCUUCAGUAUUUCUAUAAGUCGCAGUAGAUGCUAUAUAGGUCCGUUGGAUCUUACAUCAAGAUCCGUGCUUUCUGAUUUUCUUUUUUCUCUCUUAAAUCUCAGUCGAGUGAGACAUAGCCACGCCAUUAAACAGAGGCUCGGGCGCCAAUAAUGGAGACCUUGGGAGAGAGGUAGACGGCAGAUGGAGGUCAAAGGGCUCUCCUCCCAAUAAGCACGCGCAGGGGUCUGAUCGACGCCUCUUGUACUCAAAUAGCUACCCUGCACGGCGCCUCCUAGCUAAUAAAAAAUGGGGACGCAUGGCGGCACGUAAAUGGUAGUAAAUAGAACGCCCACGGUUUCAAUAAUACUUGUGUUUCCGAUAGUAACAUGACAACACUUGUUCCAAAAUGACUUUGUUGAUUGUUAAUGUGUGCGCCUUCGCAAAUCGAACAUGGCAGCAAGCCAAGUUUCAUUAUUUUCAUGCGUGUUUUGGAAUUCAGGAAUUAAAAAACUAAGUUUCUCAAUGUUUCCAGCCCAGCCACGACGCCCAGAAUUUGAAUUUCAUUCCCAUUUCUUGCAUGGAACCUAGAAAUUUACCCGAGGACACACAUGUGAUUUUUCAACCAACUUUGGUGCACUGGAACAUGUGCUUGUAUUUCAAAUUUCAAUUAUGCACACAAAGGUGACACGUUCCCUCUCAGAACCACGAGCCUUCUUGAGAGAAGCUCUGAUUUGCAAGAAGAUUAUACCCAAAUUUGUUCCUAUUCGGCCAAAUGUUUUUACCACGGAAUGGUACUACCAUGACAUGACACCAUGCCAAGUAUCAUGAUUUUAAAACCAAGUUUCUUAAUGUUCUCGACCGAGCCAUGAUGCCCAGUUGUUUGAAUUUUAUUCUCAUUUUUUGCAUGGGACCUAGAAAUUCACCCGAGGACACAAAUGUGAUUUUUCAACCAACUUUGGUGCACGGGAGCAUGUGCUUGUAGUUCAAAUUUGAAUUAUGCACAUUAAAUGACCAAAAACUCAAGUAAUGUGUAAAAAGGCCAAACGAAGCCAGAAUGAUUCCAAAAUUUAAUAGGGCACUCAUGUAGUUCUAUGUUACCUUUGUAAUUAAACUCAAGGGGGACAGUGUAUAUCGUUUCACACUCAAAGGUGGCACGUUCCCUCUCAGAACCACGAGCCUUCUUGAGAGAAGCUUCAGUUUACAAGAAGCUUAUACCAAAAUCUGUUCCUAUUCGACCAAUUCUUUUACCACAGCAUGGUAGUACCAUGACAUGACACCCAUGCCAAGUUUCAUGAUUUUCAGACGUGUUUUGGAUUUACAAGAAUUUUAAAUCCAAGUUUCUCAAUGUUCUCGGCCGAGCCACGAUGCCCAGAUGUUUGAAUUUUAUUCUCAUUUCUUGCAUGGGACCUAGAAAUUCACCCGAGGACACAAAUGUGAGUUUUCAACCAACUUUGGUGCACGGGAGCAUGUGCUUGUAGUUCAAAUUUGACUUAUGCACAUUAAAUGACCAGAAACUCAAUUAAUGUAUAAAAAUGACAAAUGAACCCGGAAUAAUUCCAAAAUUUAACAGGGCACUCAUGUAGUUCUAUGUUGCCUUUGUUAAGAAACUCAAGGGUGGGGGCAGCGUAUAUUGUUUCACACUCAAAGGUGGCACGUUCCCUCUUAGAACCACAAGCUUCCAAAUCAGCACAAUUUUUUACCACAACAUGUUAGUGCCAUGACAUGACACCAUGCCAAGUUUCAUGAUUUCUAGACAAGUUUUGGAUUUACAUUAAUUUAAAAUCUAAGUUUCUCGAUGUUCUUGGCCGAGUCACGACGUGAUGUUUGAAUUUCAUUCUCAUUUCUUCCAUGGGACCUAGAAAUUCAACCAAGGACACACAUGUGAUUUUUCAACCAACUUUGGUGCACCAGAGCAUGUGCAUGCAGUUCAUAUUUAGAUUAUGCACUUUAAAAGUCCAGAAACUCAAUUAAUGUAUAAAAAGGCCAAACGAACCCAAAAUAAUUCCAAAAUUUAACAGGGCGCUCAUAUAGUUCUAUGUUGCCUCUGAAAAGAAAAUCACGGGGGAGGCAUCAUAUAUCAUUUCACACACAAAGGUGACACGUUCCAUCUCGGAACCACGAGGCUUGUUGAGAGAAUCUCUGGUUUUGCAAGAAGCUUAUACCAAAACUUGUCCCAAUUCAGCCAAAAAUUAUACAUAUGAAAACAGGGUUUAGAUUAUCCCGAACAUCUCGCUACCUAGACCAAUAAUGUACUAUGAUUUAAAUUCAACAUAAAAUGGAUACAAAUAUUUGAAUUGGAGAGCAUAUGGUACAUGUAGUUCAUAGUGAAAUAUGAUUACUACUAUAUGCAUGCUUUUUGUUAUCAAGAUAAUAUUUAAAUUAUUGUAUAACUUGACAACAAUCGUAUUCAAAUAAGGAAAAUUGAUUCAAAUUUAGUCCAUAUGGUAGACGACAAUAUAUAUGUUCACAUGGUGGAGUAAAAUGUUCAUAUAUGAUGGAAGAUCAAAAUGUACGACUACAUCAAUUAUAAACCGCGAGGUCACCUAACGAUAUAUUCGAAUUCAACAUAACGUGGAUUAAAAAAAUUGAAAUUCGAGAUCUUGGCAUUUGUAAUCAUAUAAAAAGGGACAUUACUCUUUCUUUUGGUGGGAAUUGAUUUGUUUUUUGUUGUUGUUGAGGGAAGUGCGAAUCGAUUUGGUACUGUGCAGGGUAACCUUGUUCUCCCGAAUUUUUUUACAUUUUUCUUGUAGUUUUUUCAAUGGCAUCUAUAGCAAUAUAGUAAAAGGCGACAUGACUCUCUUGUGUCUUGUAUGAAUUGUUUUUUUUUGCACGUUAAGUUUGUUCUGCUGAACAAGGAAUCCGCACCUGGUUAUCCCGAAAUUUUCAAGCUCAAGUAUCUUUUGUCUCACCUGCUUUGAAACUCCUGCCUCUUCAACCCACGCCGCGCCUUGUUAUCCCGAAAUUUUGACGCGCACGAAAACUCCCUCCUCAUCCGAAAUCGGUCCCGCAGCCCAGACAUGGGAAAUCCCCCUUCUACCCCUCAGCCGGAAAUGAAGCUCCAGGUCGCAGUGUCAAAACUGGUGGGGGUACACUGGUAACUUACCCUACAUUUCGGACAAGCGNNNNNNNNNNNNNNNNNNNNNNNNNNNNNNNNNNNNNNNNNNNNNNNNNNNNNNNNNNNNNNNNNNNNNNNNNNNNNNNNNNNNNNNNNNNNNNNNNNNNNNNNNNNNNNNNNNNNNNNNNNNNNNNNNNNNNNNNNNNNNNNNNNNNNNNNNNNNNNNNNNNNNNNNNNNNNNNNNNNNNNNNNNNNNNNNNNNNNNNNNNNNNNNNNNNNNNNNNNNNNNNNNNNNNNNNNNNNNNNNNNNNNNNNNNNNNNNNNNNNNNNNNNNNNNNNNNNNNNNNNNNNNNNNNNNNNNNNNNNNNNNNNNNNNNNNNNNNNNNNNNNNNNNNNNNNNNNNNNNNNNNNNNNNNNNNNNNNNNNNNNNNNNNNNNNNNNNNNNNNNNNNNNNNNNNNNNNNNNNCUCUUCCCCGACUACGUCGUCCACCGCAACAGCUCACCUUCCCUCAUCCACCGCACCGAAUGAGGAUCCAUCGUCGAUCUCGUCGUCCCGCCGGAUUAGCCGCCCCGUCCUCCACCUCCAAGGAGCUGCCCCGACGUUCGCCUCGUCUAUCGCGCCACCUCAAUCCCCAUAGUGCCGUCUUGACCUGCCCCACCGGAACCGCAGCACCCUCACCAAUUCCUUCGAUGAAGUCGAGGCCAACUCGGCGCCACCGAGGAGGUUCUGCACUCACCGCUGCAUUUUAUCUUUUAUUCGAUCUCACGGGGUUUCCGGUGCUCGAUACCAAGCAGACAUGGCGGGUCUCCAUCGAUGGCGCCGUCGCCGGCCACAUCAUCCACGGCGUCUCUCCCCCAUGUCGUUGCUUCCUCAGCAGCGACUUCCACAACGGCACUAUGGGGAGGCCAUUGCGGCUCUAUUCUUGCUGUCGGUCGUGCUGCUGCAGUGCUCUUGCUUUCGUUCAUGCUGCUGCUCUGCUCUUGCUCUCGCUUGCGCUGCUACUGCUACUACACGACCUCCGGUAGCUACAGGAGUUGCUGCUUUAGCACUCACUCGCGGUGCUACUGCACGACUUGCUCUCUACUAGUGUGUUCCCUGCUCGAGCGUCUGCUGAUUUAGAUUGCUGCUUCUCUGCUACUAGUGCUUGAACUCCCUAAACAUCUAUUGCAAUGCUCUGCUACUAGUUCAAUCAGUUUCGACAUUAAAAUAUAGUUUUGACUGUAAAGUUCAUUUUCUUCAGUUAAGUUCAGAGUGAACUGUCGCGACAGAUGCGUUCUACAUCUAGCACUUUUUGGUGAUGUAUUUUAGAUGAUCUAUCACAGAUGAUAUUAGGGUCCCACUUCAGAUUAACGUUGUCUGUCUUGUCCUGUUUCAGCCUCGUCGCCGUACACCUCACCGGGGCUGCUCCAACAACGGAACUGUCCAUCACAGCAGAGCAGUACCCUCGGCGCCGUUUCCAGAGGCCUCGGAUCUUCUUCCCCACCUCCGACAGUCACACCAGCAUCACCAUCCUCCACGUCCAACCCAAUGAUGGUGAGGUCCACAAGGCCAUGCCAAAGAAGUUGUACACUCGUCGCAUCACUUUGUUACUCUACAUUCAUGUCGAUCCCUCAGGGAUCCUUUGCUAUGGAACUACUAUUUGUGCAAAUCUGUUAGAAGGAGUGGAGCAAAGCAAAACUGGAGGAUUUUUUUUCCUUUGGUGUCUCUUUCGAAGAAAAAACGUUGGAAUUUUAUUCACUUGGAUGUCCUUUUCAAAUUAAUAUGCAUGAAGAACAGAACUAAUUGCAUUACUGGCAUAAUAAGAUGCUUAUUUUUUCAUUUUCACAUGGUUUGACUUUAAUUUGACCACGUUUCUCCAUUCCUGUCUUCUUCCAAUUCAUGUGAACCAAACACCUAGGUUGACUAAAAUCCUAUGUUUCCAAAUGCUCUGUUUUGCACGUGCAUUCCUAUCCUAUUCCUGUGUUUUUCCUGUCCCUGCGUUUACAGAAUCCUCCAAUUCUAAGGAGCCCUUACAGAUUUACUUCAUUCUCAGAUAGGCGUCAAAGAAAACUCUGUUUGUUAUGUCCUGCUCCUACCGUGCCGUCAUCCACCCCACCUGAGGUGCACCAUCGACAAAAGCGUUCACAACAGCAGAGAUCCCCCCUGCAGACUUUCUUUCGAUGCCUUAGAUCAUCUUACCCGUUGCCGGCAGCCACGCCAACUGCAUUACCAUCAUCGACUGAGCAGAUGAACCUGAGGACUACACAGUUCUGGAAGAGAGGUCGCAGUCUUUCGUGUUUGCUUACGUUAUACAUCGGUUAUUAUUACCUGCUACUUUAUCAUUCAAACUUGAGUUUUGAAAUGCCCAUGGGUCUCAUAUCGAGCCAGCAACAAAUAGUAUAUGUCUACUAUCUGGUUCAUCUGGGUCUUCUAUGUGGUUCAUGUUGGGUGGGCAACAAACAAUAGAUGAUCCACUGUCUAUCUUUUUAAACUGAAGCUAUAAUCUACCUGCUAUCAUUAGUUUUGAAUCCAUCCACUCAUUUGCUACCAUCAGUCUUGAUUUUUGCAUGCACCCCUUAGGUCUUACAAAGUCUAACUAUUUUCUUAUUAUGCAUGUCAGAUAUUGUACACAAUCAUACUGAACAUGUAGAGAAAAAGAGAGGACCAUUGCGUGGGUAUAUAAUGUCAUGCAGACGCCGCUCCAUGGUGGGCGAAGUGCCCCCCCCCCUCCCGCAUUUCCAGAUUGUAUUCCAGAGGAAGAUAACUAUUUAGAUGGGGAUUCAGAAGGAGGCGACCACGCCUGUUUACCACCUGAGGUGUUUGCUCUAACUUGGCAUGCUGAUGUUGGUCAUAUCAUGCAUAUGGCGCCUUGCAUUGCUUACAUUAUACAUCUUAUAUGUCAUCAGCUUAGUUUAUAUUUGCUUUGUGUGAAUGCCACCUGUUUGGUUUCUAUAUCAUACUCCCACCAUUUCUAAAUAUUUGUCUUUUUAGAGAUUUCAACAAGUGACUACAUACGGAACAAAAUGAGUGAAUCUACACUCUAAAAUAUGUCUAUAUACAUCCGUAUGUGCUAGUCCAUUUGAAAUCUCUAAAAAGACAAAUAUUUAGGAAUGGAGGGAAUUAUGCAAUGCAUCUUCUUUAGCCAGGCAUCAUAUACGUGAAUCAUGCAAUGCCAUCCUGUUUAGCCAGUCAUCGUAUAUGUGAAUUGUAUCGUGCCAUAUUUUUUCCAUAAUGUAUUCCAUUUGUCAACAAUGUUUAUAGAUUCAUCUACUCUUUCUGUGCAUCAGCCAUUUGAGUCGGUCAUGGGAACAUCUGGGGUGAAAACAAUGUCUUCUGAGCAGUCAGUGCUACCUGUCGAUGCAGAUUUGUUGCUGGUUACAGAUAGCUCCUCAGAGGAGGAUUCAGAGACAGAUGGCGAGUCGUAUCCCCCCCCCCCGAGGUGCAUGCUCUAACUUGGCUGGGUUAUAUUGCUCAUAUCAUGCAUAUGGUGUCUUGCAUUGCCAUGCCAUCUGCUUAGAUUAGACAUGCUUUGUGUGAAUGCCUCCUGUUUGCUUUCUAUAUCACAUAUGUGAAUUAUGCAGUUCCAUGUUUUUCAGCCAGUUAUCAUAUAUGCGAAUUAUGCACCGUCAUGUAGCCAGGCAUCAUAUAUGUGAAUUAUCUCAUGCCAUCUUUUUUUCAUUACAUAUUCCAUUGUCGACAAUCUGUGUAUAUUGAACUACUAUUCAUGUGUAUCAGCCAUUUGAGCCGGUUAUGGAAAAAUCUGGAGUGAAAACAAGGUCUUCAGAGCAGGCAAUGGUACCCGUUGAAGAAUAUAUCUCGAUGGUUACAGGGAGCUCCUCAGAGGAGGAUUCAAAGACAGAUGACCAGUCCUAUAUCCCGCCUGAGGUGUAUGCUCUAAGUUGCAAUGUUUUAUAUUUCUCAUAUGAUGCAUAUGGUGUCUUGCAUUGCUUAGUUUAGACAUCAUAUGCACAAUAUUGAAUUCCAUCUGCUUAAUUUAGAGAUCAUACAUGCGAGUGCCGGCUGCUUAGUAUAUGAAUCAAUUAUGUCAAUUAUAUCAUGCCAUCCUGUAUACUUAGACAACGUGUAUGUGCAUUAUUUCAUCCCAACCUAUUUUAGAAAGACACCAUAUAGUUUUGCCAUGUCAUCCUGUUUAGGUACUCAUCAUAUAUAUGUUGAAUUAUGCCAUUAUAUCCUGUUAAGUUAUCCAUCAUAUAUCUGAAACUGUGUCAUGCUAUCCUGUUUAGUUAGGCAUCAUAUCUGUGAAAUUGUGUCAUGCUGUCCUGUUUGGUUAGACACCAUAUAUGUUAAUUACCACAUCUGUCUAUCAUACAAUGUCUGUAUGUUCAGUUUGUUUUCUUGUUUAUCAGCCAUUUGAAUUGGAGGGGGUGAUGGCAGUAUCUAAGGGAGCAAAAACCCGUUCUUCACAAAAGACAGUGCUACCCGUCGAUGCAGAUAGAACCAUGGUUGUACUGGCCCACAAACUAGCCCCACCACACAUAAUCGAUACUCUUCCAGAUUGCACACUUACAUCGGUGGGCAGAGAACCAGCUACAACCCAUCUAACCGCAACCCCAGCGGAUAGUAACCCACUUAUAGUUGACAAAGCACCAUGUCCACCAUAGAGUACCCCCACAUGAGCAGUUUGUAAAGCUACUGCAGUGCCCAAAGCACGAAGACCACCACAGCUAACCCAAACUCCACGUUUAAAGCAGAAGAGGAACUGUUCUCAGGUCAGAUUCCGUAGCUAUGGUCCAUACUCCUUUGCUAUUGCAUCACUGUAUUUACUCAUACCAACUACUUUCGAAUUUGAAGGAUCCAAUUGAAACUCCAAUGGCGCAAUAGGUAUAUUUUAAACCUAUUUCUUUAACUGGAUUGCGGUUCUAACUUCUUGCUCUAUGUUGAUUUCAGUUUAAGUUGUAUAAACAGUUAUGUUCUCAUGUGAUGUACAUUACAAGUGCUGCCAAUGUUGUGUAGUUUCUCACACUUAUAUUCUACCUAUGAUGUUGUGUCUUAAAAAUAUAUGAGUUGAACUGUGUCUCUAUCUUGAUUAGGCAACAUAAACUAGAAUGAUAUGGACAAUAAAGUGACCAUAGUACAUAGAUAUAUGUUUGUUUCAUGCCGUUAUCCUGUCCACCUUACUACUGAACCAGUUUACCAAAAUGAGUUUCAUAUACUACAAGCUAAACCUGUGAUGUGUCUGUUUGUUUCUCUUGUAGUAUGCAAACAGAAUAUUCGAGAAGAGCACCCCACUAUGCAAUGGUAGAGAAAGUAAUGCGGAUAAGGUUCAAGAUAGUGAGACAACCCUGUUGAUCUCCAAGAAAGGUGAUAAAAGCGAUCUUGUAGACAGUGAGAAAACCCCACAGUCCUGCGUUGAUGUAGUGUUCGAGUUACUGGCCAGUACCGCUGGCAUGAGCUCUUCGAACUCGCUGCCUGAAUCACUUCGGCUUCUUCAGUCUCAACUACAAGCUGAAAGGCAUCAGUCAGCUGUGCUGCGGCAAGAAGCCGAAGGACUGAGGAAGUCCCUGCAGAAUUCAGAUGUGUACUUUCUUGUGCAAUAGCAAGCGCUGGAGGAUUUAAGCGCCAAACAAGAGAAAGUUAAUAAGCUUGCUAAGCAUCUUUCCAGCAUUAUGGGUACCCAGGAUAUUGUUUCUUGAGCUCUUCUGAAGUGGUUUCAGUUCUGGACUUGUUUUGCUACGGCGUUUAUAUGUUGCUUUGUUCCCUAUAUUUGCACUAGUGGCGAACUUUGAUGCCCAGUGGAUGUAAUAUGUGUAAUAGCCGUGAUAGCCUAGCAUAAGUUGCUUGCUUAUUUAUUUCCUUGUUGUCUUGUUUAUUUGUUUGCUUGUAGUUAGUGCAGUUCUUUUUCCGUGGUUUUCUAGUGGCCGCAAUAACCUAUUUUUUAAAACUAGGCCACAAUAACCAUGGGCUACAUAUUUACUGUAGUGGCACUGGGCCUCCUACCAGCCGUAGAAACAAUGGGCCUUCUAUGGGCCGUAGAAACAAUGGGCCUUCUAUGGGCUGUAGACACAAUGGGCUUUCUACGGGUCAUAUCAUCAAUGGGCCUUAUAUGGGCCGGACGAUCGAUCGGCCAAACAUGGGCCAAUAACAGACCGCAUUAUGGCCGUAAACGGGCUAGAGUUGGAAUCGUCUAUUCAUGGGCCGACCAUAAUGGGCCAUCGUUAAUAGGCCGUAUUUGAUGACGCUAUGAAAAUGGCCCAACGUAUUAACGGGCCACAAACGGGCCGACUGUAACAACGGGCUGAAUAUGGCCCACAAGUAGAAAAUGACAGUAACGGGCCAUAAGUAACUGAAUGCUGGAAAUGAGCCCAAGAAUAAAUGGGGCCUGAGAAGGCCGAAAGAUAACAUGGGUUGGAAACGGCCCAAUGGAAUAAUGGGUCGUUAAUGGGUAUAAAGUGAUACACUAUUCAUUACAGGCCAGUUUCACCACGGGCCAUUAAUGGGUAUAAAGUGAUACACUAUUCAUUGCGGGCCAGUUUCACCACGGGCCGUUAAUGGGCCAAGAAUUACAAAGUGCCUCAUAUGGGCUGAAAUACGUCAUGGGCCAUACAUGGGCCAGAAGUGAAAACAGGCUGGAAUCAUAUUGGAUGGCCCAGAUGACGCUACUGGGCCUAAUUCGGAUAGGGCGUAAUGGGCCUUGGGUUAGCAGACUGUAAAUGGGCUAUAUGCGAACAUGCUGUUAACAAGCUUUCCAUGGGCCGGCCCGCCACCUUUUGACCAAGUCAAACGGGCCGGCCAUUUAACAGGAAUGGGCCUCUGUUGGGCCGUGCACGUGUCGACGUAUUAUAAGCGCCUUCUGUCCAAUGAGUGGAUGACAUCUGUCCCAACGAUGAGCCGACAUGUCUUUCCUCCAGCCAAUGAUGAUUUUACACGUGGAAAAUCCCCAUUGGUCCGGGAUGUUAACGGGUUAUUGGAUCCAAAACCCGACCCGGUAGCUUAACCGCGUUCCGUUACGGUGGAUGCCACGUGUCAGUCACCCUUGACGAGAGCACUUCUGUGACGCGCGAUUUAUCAUCAUGGAAGUGGACACUUCCGUGAUGAUAAUUUUGGUAAUGUCAUGGAACACUUCUACGACAACACAUGUAUGACUAUCUUGAUUCUGUCAUAAAAUCGUCAUGGAUGUACAUGCAUGACAAAAAACGCGACCUACUAUGACAAACACGUAUCAUCACGGAAGAGUUUUUUUUGUAGUGGAUGCUGACUACUGGAAGGAAGUAGUUCAUAGCGAGAUGGAUUCCAUCUUGGCGAAUGAAACUUGGGAGAUAACUGAUCGUCCUUGUGGGUGCAAACCUAUAGGAUGCAAAUGGGUAUUCAAGAAGAAGCUUAGGCCUAAUGGUACUAUUGAAAAGUACAAGGCUCGGCUCGUGGCUAAGGGUUAUACCCAAAAGGAAGGUGAAGACUUCUUUGAUACUUACUCACCUAUGGCUCGAUUGACCACUAUUCGAGUUCUACUUUCAGUAGCUGCCUCACAUGGUCUUCUCGUUCAUAAAAUGGAUGUUAAGACUUCUUUCCUAAAUGGAGAGUUGGACGAGGAAAUUUAUAUGGAACAACCAGAUGGGUUUGUAAUAGAUGGUCAGGAAGGGAAAGUGUGCAAGUUGUUGAAUUCUUUGUAUGGACUCAAGCAAGCACCCAAACAGUGGCAUGAGAAGUUUGAAAGAACUUUAACAGCUUCAGGCUUUGUUGUGAACGAAGUUGACAAAUGUGUGUACUAUCGCCAUGGUGGGGGCGAGGGAGUUAUCCUUUGCUUGUAUGUUGAUGACAUACUGAUUUUCGGAACUAAUCUGAAUGUUAUUAAGGAGAUCAAGGAUUUCCUAUCUCGCUGUUUUGAGAUGAAGGAUUUAGGAGUGGCUGAUGUCAUUCUGAACAUCAAGUUGUUGAGGGACGAUGAUGGUGGGAUUACAUUGCUUCAAUCUCACUAUGUGGAAAAGAUCUUGAGUUGCUUUGUCUACAAUGACUGCAAGCCCUCUCCAACACCAUAUGAUGCUAGUGUGUUGCUUUGAAAGAAUCAAAGAAUUGCUAGAGACCAAUUGAAAUAUUCUCAGAUUAUUGGCUCGCUCAUGUACUUAGCUAGUGCUACAAGACCUGACAUCUCUUUUGCUGUUAGCAAACUGAGUCGGUUUGUCUCAAAACCAGGAGAUGUGCAUUGGAAAGCUCUAGAGAGAGUUUUGCGUUAUUUGAAAGGCACUGCAAAUUAUGGAUUUCACUACACUGGGCACCCAAAGGUGCUUGAAGGGUAUAGUGACUCAAACUGAAUCUCAGAUGCUGAUGAGAUAAAGGCCACGAGCGGAUAUGUAUUCACUCAUGGAGGUGGCGCUGUUUCUUGGAAGUCUUGCAAGCAGACCAUCUUAACGAGGUCAACAAUGGAAGCAGAACUCACAACACUAGAUACAGCUACAAUCAAAGCAGAUUGGCUUCACCGGCUCUUGAAUGACUUGCACGUUGUUGAGAAACCUGUACCGGGUAUCCUUAUGAACUGCGACAAUCAAACUGUGAUCAUGAAAGUGAAGAGCUCAAAGUAUAACAUGAAGUCAUCAAGACACGUUCAGAGAAGGUUAAAGUCUGACAGAAAAAUGAGAAACUCCGGAGUUAUUGCAUUGGAUUAUAUCAAGACACGUUCAGAGAAGGUUAAAGUCUGGCAGAUCCUUUUACUAAGGGUCUAUCACGUAAUGUGAUAGAUAAUGCAUCGAGGGAGAUGGGUAUGAGACCCACAAUAUGAGUUGUUCAUAGUGGUAACCUAUUCUUUGUGAUCGGAGAUCUCGUGAAUUAGAUGUGGAAGACAAGUUGUUGGUCAACUAGGAGGAGAGUACCCUUACUGUUAAAAAAUACCACUCCAUGAAGAUGCAAUACUCUCCUAAUCUGCAUGCCAGGUUGAUGUAUAUCUUAAUGUGUUCUAAGUGGCUCUUUGAAGCAGAGAUGUUGUCCUGCAGAACAUCUUUUGAAGAAUGCACCUAUAUGAGUCUGAUUGUUAAAUGUCGCAAUCUAUGAGAGUAGGGUUUUCUCUAGUAAACUCAUGAAAGGUCUCGGAGUAUGACGCAUAAGCUCCACCCGCGGGGAAGACCCACGGUAGGCACGUAUCGGUCAAGGCUUUAUGUGAAGCUAGAUUCGCAGAAAACUUGCAGUUCAAGGCCCAGUCCACUGUUCAAGUUGCUUACUAGUGUAGCAUAGAGUUCUAGGUGGAAUUUCAACUUAACAGUCUCCACUGCAGUACCGGUAUAUAAAACAGUGUUUUGGAACGAAAGGCAAAUUUUGUGUGCCUCUGGGAUCUGGUGGGGGAUUGCUGGAAUUUUUGUCAAUUUGGGCCUACCCCAAUAGCAGUUUCAGAAAUUCCUAAUAAAUCCUAGAGGCCCACGCAACCCAUUCGUGCAAGGCAAGAGGUGGAACUAAAGUUUAGUCCCACAUUGCUUGUUUAGAGGGAGUUGGACCUCUUUAUAAGGGAGGUUCUUUCCCCACUUGUAUAAGCACGAGAACAAGAGGGACAUCCACGCGCGCUCCUCCUCUGCCGCCGCCUUGCCAUGCCACGCCUUGUCAUGACGCGCCGCGGGUUACGGGAAUGAGCCAAGCCGAUGUCUAAAUUUUUGCCACGCACUACGCGCAUACGAAAGGUCGCUCGAAAGCUGAAAUGUUUUUCUGUACUGGACACUGAAUUCAAACGGCGCGCCUCUUCGGCUGCUGCAUGCUCGUUUCGUCUCCCGCGUUCCCUUCAGCUCCCGGCGCAGCCUCUCGCCUCCUUCUCUUGCGCCUAUAAAAGGGAGAGAGAUGCACCAGAACUACUUCCUCCUCUCGCCACCGGUUCCUGAGCACUGUGCUGCUGCUAUGAUCUUCCCCAUCCCGGCUUGCGGCGUGCACCGCAGGUCGGGACAGUAGGCCUCCGAAACUGCACCUUUUGAGUCCUGUGCAGGAGAAGGGUGAUAAGGUUUUUGGGGAGCACUCUGCGCGACUACUGACUCCACUCCUUCAUCACGGACUCCAAUGACUACUUCCUCGACGAUGACUUCUUCCCCGACGUCGACAACCUCCUCGACGACAUGGCUGGCGAGGACACCGACCCCAAGUCCAGUGCUACCGCUACUGCUGGUGUCUCGUACGUGUUAUUAAUCUUUCUGUUAGAGGUCUUGUCACAGUUCCUUGUUCUACUGUUUGCCCUACAUAUGUUAGGCUGUACUUCAUAUAUGCUGCUUGCCCUAGAUAUGUUUGCCUACAAUUCAUAUGUGAAGGUGAUAUUUACCUUCUCUUUGUUAGAUUGCAUGACUUGCUUUAUCUCUGCUAUUUUAGUCAUGCUUUAUUCAGUAUUUCCGUUAAUAAAAUCAUAUGGUAAAUUGCUCAUAUUUCCAACAAUCCAAAAACCUUAUGAUAGGCAAUUUACCCAAGUGGUUUUGCUGCUUCCAUGAGACCUCCUAUGUUUGAGGGUAUCCACUAUAAGAGGUGGUGCGUGAGGCAGUCUUAUGGUUUCAAACCAUGAGUUGCUAUGAUGCCACUCUUGGCAAACCUGAAGGAGAGCAAGAUCCACAACAGGCACAAGCUUUUCAGAAAAUGGAUACCUUGUUUAAGGCUGCUCUCUUGAGUGUUCUUGGUGAGAACAUAGUGGAUGCUUAUGCAUCAAUUUGAUAAUGAAAAGAUAUGUGGGACGCACUCGAGCCCAACUUUGGGGUCUUGGAUGCUGGCACUGAGCUGUACAUCAUGGAGCAAUUCUAUGAUUACAGGAUGACUGAAGAGCACUCCGUGGUUGAGCAAGCUCAUGAGAUACAAUCAUUUGCUAGAGAACUUGAGCACUUCAAUUGUAUCCUACCAGACAAGUUUAUUGCCGGAGGUAUCAUCACUAAGCUUCCUCCCACGUGGAGGAACUUUGCUACCUUACUGAAUCAUAGCUGGCCGGAGUUUUCCGUUCCGGAUCUCAUUGGUACUCUUGAUGUGGAGGAAAAGGCGAGAGCAAAGGACAACCGUGCUCGAGGUAUUGAGGGAGGUUCUAGUGCCAAUCUGGUAAAGAAGAAGAAUUUCCAGCCCCACAACUUCAAGAACAAGGGCAAGUUUGAUGGUAAAGCAAAGUUUGAUGGGAAGAACAAGGUUGUGCAGCACAUGAACUUCAAGAAGAAGAAUGACAAGAAGAAAGACGUUUGUCAUGUGUGUGGGGAUCCUGAUCAUUGGGCUCCUAGUUGCCCUAAUUGCUAUGACAAGCGUCAUCCUGGGAAAGGCGGCAAAACCUCUAAUGUUUUCAUUGGAGACACUGACAUGAAGGAUGUUGGGUAUGGUAUAUUUCCCACUAUUCUUUCAGUAUGUCAUUCUCCUGAUUGGUUGAUUGACAUGGGUGCUAAUGUGCAUGUAUGCGGUGAUAUUUCCAUGUUUUCGUCUUAUCAAACCGCAGGGACUUCCACCGUGCUGAUGGGCAACAGUUCAAGUGCUUCUGUUUAUGGUGUUGGCACGGUCGAUCUGAAGUUUACUUCGGGGAAGAUCGUGCAGCUGAAGAACGUGCAUUAUGUCCCCUCCGUCAAUAAAAAUCUUGUUAGCGGAUCUCUUCUGUGUAGAGAUGGCUACAAGCUUGUCUUUGAGUCGAAUAAAUUUGUAAUAUCCAAGUAUGGAACCUUUGUUGGUAAAGGCUAUGAGUCAGGAGGCCUGUUUCGUUUAUCCUUAUCAGAUGUUUGCAAUAAAGUUGUUAAUCAUGUUUGCAACAAUAGUGAAUCAAAUGUGUGGCAUUCACGUCUUUGUCAUGUUAACUUUGGUUGCAUGUCGCGACUAGCGAAGUUGAACUUAAUCCCUAGUUUCACCACUGUCAAGGGAUCUAAGUGUCAAGUGUGUGUGCAAGCUAAGCAAUCUCAUAAGUCUCAUGUGACUGCGGAAACGAGAAAUCUUGCACCAUUAGAGCUCAUACAUUCAGAUCUAUGUGAAAUGAAUGGUGUUUUGACAAAAGGUGGAAAGAAGUAUAUUAUGACGUUAAUUGAUAACUCCACUAGAUAUUGUUGUGUGUAUCUUCUGAAAUCUAAGGAUAAGGCUUUGAACUAUUUCAAGAUCUAUAAAGCUGAAGCAGAAAACCAACUUGAUCUAAAGAUCAAGAGGCUUAGGUCCGAUCGUGGUGGAGAGUAUUUCUAAAAUGAAUUUGAUUCCUUUUGUGCGGAACAUGGUAUAAUCCAUGAAAGGGCGCCUCCCUAUUCACCUCAGUCAAAUGGGAUGGCCGAAAGAAAGAACCGUACUCUAACUAAUUUGGUUAACGCCAUGUUAGACACAUCUCUCUAAGGCAUGGUGGGGGGAGGCGAUAUUGACUGCAUGUCAUGUCCUAAACCGAGUUCCCACAAAGAACAAAGAGAUAACUCCAUUCGAGGAAUGGGAGAAGAAAAGGUUAAAGCUCUCUUAUCUAUGAACAUGGGGUUGUUUGGCGAAAGUCAAUGUGCCUAUUCCAAAGAAGCGGAAGCUUGGACCAAAGACUGUGGAUUGUGUUUUCUUGGGAUAUGCUUUUCAUAGCAUUGGUUAUAGAUUCUUGGUUGUAAAAUCUGAGGUACCUGACAUGCAUGUUGGUACGAUCAUGGAAUCGAAUGAUGCGACUUUCUUUGAAGAUAUUUUUCCCAUGAAGGAUAUAGCUACCUCAUCUAAUCAGGAGAUGCCUAGUUCAUCGAAUCAGGAACCAGUUACAAUUACUGAACCUGCCAUCUCGAUGGAACACUUUGAAAGUCCUGUGGAGGAGAACAAUGAAGUUCCUACUAGGAGCAAGAGACAGAGGACUGCAAAGUCCUUUGGUGCUGAUUUUCUUGUGUAUCUCAUAGAUGAAACUCCCAGUUCUAUUUCACAGGCCUAUACAUCUGAAGAUGCUGAAUACUGGAAGGAAGCAAUUCGUAGCGAGAUGGAUUCCAUCUUGGCGAAUGAAACUUGGGAGAUAACUGAUCGUCCUUAUGGGUGCAAACCUAUAGGAUGCAAAUGAGUAUUCAAGAAGAAGCUUAGGCCUGAUGGUACUAUUGAAAAGUACAAGGCUCGGCUCGUGGCUAAGGGUUAUACCCAAAAGGAAGGUGAAGACUUCUUUGAUACUUACUCACCUGUGGCUCGAUUGACGACUAUUCAAGUUCUACUUUCACUAGCUGCCUCACAUGGUCUUCUCGUUCAUCAAAUGGAUGUUAAGACUGCUUUCCUAAAUGGAGAAUUGGACGUGGAAAUUUAUAUGGAACAACCAGAUGGGUUUGUAAUAGACGGUCAAGAAGAGAAAGUGUGCAAGUUGCUGAAGUCUUUGUAUCGACUCAAGCAAGCACCCAAACAGUCGCAUGAGAAGUUUGAAAGAACUUUAACAGCUGCAGGCUUUGUUGUGAACGAAGUUGACAAAUGUGUGUACUAUCGCCAUGGUGGGGGCGAGGGAGUUAUCCUUUGCUUGUAUGUUGAUGACAUACUGAUUUUCGGAACUAAUCUGAAUGUUAUUAAGGAGAUCAAGGAUUUCCUAUCUCGCUGUUUUGAGAUGAAGGAUUUAGGAGUGACUGAUGUCAUCCUGAACAUCAAGUUGUUGAGGGACGAUGAUGGUGGGAUUACAUUGCUUCAAUCUCACUAUGUGGAAAAGAUCUUGAGUUGCUUUGUCUACAAUGACUGCAAGCCCUCUCCAACACCAUAUGAUGCUAGUGUGUUGCUUUGAAAGAAUCAAAGAAUUGCUAGAGACCAAUUGAAAUAUUCUCAGAUUAUUGGCUCACUCAUGUACUUAGCUAGUGCUACAAGACCUGACAUCUCUUUUGCUGUUAGCAAACUGAGUCAGUUUGUCUCAAAACCAGGAGAUGUGCAUUGGAAAGCUCUAGAGAGAGUUUUGCGUUAUUUGAAAGGCACUGCAAAUUAUGGAAUUCACUACACUGGGCACCCAAAGGUGCUUGAAGGGUAUAGUGACUCAAACUGAAUCUCAGAUGCUGAUGAGAUAAAGGCCACGAGCGGAUAUGUAUUCACUCAUGGAGGUGGCGCUGUUUCUUGGAAGUCUUGCAAGCAGACCAUCUUAACGAGGUCAACAAUGGAAGCAGAACUCACAACACUAGAUACAGCUACAAUCGAAGCAGAUUGGCUUCACCGGCUCUUGAAUGACUUGCACGUUGUUGAGAAACCUGUACCAGGUAUCCUUAUGAACCGCGACAAUCAAACUGUGAUCACGAAAGUGAAGAGCUCAAAGGAUAACAUGAAGUCAUCAAGACACGUUCAGAGAAGGUUAAAGUCUGACAGAAAAAUGAGAAACUUCAGAGUUAUUGCAUUGGAUUAUAUCCAAACAUCUAAAAAUCUGGCAGAUCCUUUUACUGAGGGUCUAUCACGUAAUGUGAUAGAUAAUGCAUCGAGGGAGAUGGGUAUGAGACCCAUAAUAUGAGUUGUUCACAGUGGUAACCUAUUCUUUGUGAUCAGAGAUCCCGUGAAUUAGAUGUGGAAGACAAGUUGUUGGUCAACUGGGAGGAGAGUACCCUUACUGUUAAAAAAUACCACUCCAUGAAAAUGCAAUACUCUCCUAAUCUGCAUGGCAGGUUGAUGUAUAUCUUAAUGUGUUCUAAGUGGCUCUUUGAAGCAGAGAUGUUAUCCUGCAGAACAUCUUUUGAAGAACGCACCUAUAUGAGUCUGAUUGUUAAAUGUCGCAAUCUAUGAGAGUAGGAUUCUCUCUAGUAAACUCGUGAAAGGUCUCAGAGGAUGACGCAUAAGCUCCACCUGCGGGGAAGACCCACGGUAGCCACGUAUCGGUCAAGGCUUUAUGUGAAACUAGAUUCGCAGAAAACUUGCAGUUCAAGGCCCAGUCCACUGUUCAAGUUGCUUACUAGUGUAGCAUAGAGUUCUAGGUGGAAGUUCAACUUAACAGUCUCCACUGCAGUACUGGUAUAUAAAACAGUGUUUUGGAACCAAAGGCAAAUUUUAUGUGCCUCUGAGAUCUGGUGGGGGAUUGCUGGAAUUUUUGUUUAUUUGGGCCGAGCCCAAUAGCAGUUUCAGAAAUUCCUAAUAAAUCCUAGAGGCCCACGCAGCCCAUUCGUGCAAGGCAAGAGGUGGAACUAAAGUUUAGUCCCACAUUGCUAGUUUAGAGGGAGUUGGACCUCUUUAUAAGGGAGGUUCUUUCCCCACUUGUAUAAGCAUGAGAACAAGAGGGACAUCCACGCACGCUCCUCCUCCGCCACCCGCCUCGCCUCGUCACGACGCGCCGUGGGUUGCGAGAAUGAGCCGAGCCGAUGUCUAAAUUUUUGCCACGCACUACGGGUAUACAAAAGGUCACUCGGAAGCUAAAAUGUUUUUCUGUAGUGGACACUAAAUCUGAACGGCGCGCCUCUUUGGCUGCUGCCUAUUCGUUUUGUCUCCCACGUUCCCUUCAGCUCUCGGCGCAGCCUCUCGCCUCCUUCUCUUGCGCCUAUAAAAGGGAGGUCGCUCCUCUCAGAGAGAUGCACUAGAACUGACUUCCUCCUCUUGCCACCGGUUCUUGAGCAUUGUGCUGCUGCUACGAUCUUCCCCAUCCCGGCUUGCAGUGUGCACUGCAGGUCGGGACAAUAGGCCUCCGAAACCGCACAUUUUGAGUCCUGUACGGGAGAAGGGUGAUAAGGUUUUCAGGGAGCGCUCUGCGCGACUACUGACUCCACUCCUUCGUCACGGACUCCGACGACUACUUCCACGAUGACGACUUCUUCCCCGACGUCGACAACCUCCUCGACGACAUGGCUGGCGAGGACACCGACCCCAAGUCCAGUGCUACCGCUACUACUGAUGUCCCGUACGUGUUUGUACUCUUUCUGUUAGAGGUCUUGUCACAGUUCCUUGUUCUACUGUUUGCCCUACAUAUGUUAGGCUCUACUUCAUAUAUGCUGCUUGCCCUAGAUAUGUUUGCCUACAGUUCAUAUGUGAAGGUGAUAUUUACCUUCUCUCUGUCAGAUCGCAUGAGUUGCUUUAUCUCUGCUAUUUUAGUCAUGCUUUAUUCAGUAUUUCCAUUAAUAAAAUCAUAUGGUAAAUUGCUCAUAUUUCCAACAUUGUCUGCCGCAUGAAGAAGAGGAGAAGACGGAGGGGAGGAGAGAGAGGAAGUGCAGCCAGAUAUUUUCUAGGCUCGCCUCAUCUCUAGCCGGAACGACGUGCACCUGAGUAACCGUAAAAAUCAGGUGAUUCACUGGACUAUGGAUAACGAGGCCCACCUGGCAGCUACUCUCAGAAGAAAUGUGAAUGUCAAAAAGAAUGGAUGGUCCACCACAUGCCAGCAGCCAAAAUUCAGCUACAGGGAAAGGAUCGAGCGGCCCAGCGAUCGUAGCGCACGCGGAAGCCUCAAAAUGGCGGGUUGCCUAGCAAGGUUAUGUUCAAUGAUUAUGCUGGUUGCCGGCAUGAGCAGGGGUUUGGGACUCAUGAUCGAGGAUUGGGAUAUAUGUUAUGUGGAUUGGGCUGAAAGGAAUGAUAUGUGUUGAUUUGUGUGUAAAUGACGUCCCAAUGGCUCCCCGCUGCAGGGGAGACUUUGCUGUGUUUUCCUUCUAAUUACCGUACUUAUUUUAUACUUCCUCCGUCCUAAAAUUCUUGUCUUUGAUUUGUCUAGAUAUAAGUGUAUCUAACAUUAAAAUAUAACCAGAUACAUCCGUAUUUAGACAAAUCUAAGACAAGAAUUUUGCAACGGAGGGAGUACUAAGUAUGGGUUUAUGCUCAUUGGUUGAUGCAGGUUAAGAUGUAGCCACUCUUCUUUUGUCACCCUGCUUCUUCAUACUCCGCUUGCAAAAUCUGGUUAUUUUUCUAUCUUUUGUCAUAUGAUUAUGUUGGUUCCACUAUGAGGAGAGUUUGGCCUCACGACCGAGGAUUGAGACAUAUUAUUGUGUGGGUUGGGCUAAAAAGAAUGAUAUGUGUUGAUUUUUGUGUAAAUGAUGUCCAACAGCUCCCGUACAUUUUUUUGUAGGAAAACUUUCGAUCUAUUCCUCUUCAAUCGUGGUAGUACAACGAAGACAAGAAAUAAUAAAAACUAUGUUUAGAUUCAUAGACCACAUAGUGACGGCUACAAGUGCUGAAGCCUAAUAGAAAAGCCUAGUAGAGGCAUUCGGAAAACGUUGUAAGUGGCGCUGACUAGAGAAGCCGCUAGUAUGACGCCUUUGAUAAGGCCCACUAGUCACUAGUGGCGCCGACUUCCAAUGCUGGUAGAAACCUUAUAUUACUGGCAUCGGCGGCCAGCGUCGCUGAUAACUUUGGUACUGCUGGCACGGGUCGACCGAUGCCACAUGUACCUAUUGUAUUUGUUGUGUCCGGUAAAAAACAACGCCACUACAAAAUAUGACAAAAUUAUAAAAAUAAUAGUUGUGUUGCAUAUGAAAUCUUGAGACAUUAAAAAUUGCAUUGCAUACGAAAUCAGAUUACAUUACAUUAUAUAAUUGCAUUGCGUAUGAAACCAUAUUGCAUUGCAUAUGAAAUCACAUUACAUUAUAUAAUCUGAAAUCACAUACGAAAUCAUAUUGCAUUGCAUAUGAAACCACAAGGCUUUUGCCGGGUGCUUUUGGCACCCGGCAGACGUUCAAAUCCGGUAGUGAACUUAGUCUUGUUGUAUAUUUGGACUGCGUCUUUUGAAAGAGAAAACAUCACGCAUGAUUUCUUUUCUACCAAACUCCAUUGGCCUCGUUGAUAUGUUCAUUCUCUUCUUUUCCAAUCUUGUGUAUGCAUUGGCUGUAUUCUCUUGCUUCUUGAGCACUCCCAUUUAAUGAUUUCCUCACGCAAAGGUGGACAUAUCGUGCCAAGAUGAAUCUUGCAUUCCUAGUUUUCUUUUGCGUAAACUAAUAUAGGAUCCUCUAACAAACUAUGGGUUUUACUUAGGACUUGGAAAGCUGACAAUUAUGCAAACAAAAUCCGCACGACAUUGUUGGAAGUUGAAAAAAAGUUACGAUGCGUCAACAUAAUACAAGCCCACAAGCCACUCACUCAGAUGGUAUGAUGGACAGCUAGGGUUUUAUGUCCGUUCCGUGCACCUCUUUGCAUUUCCCUUGCCAUAUAUAUGAACCAAGGAUGUAGCUAACUUUGUCGAUAUGGUAACCAUCCUAGCUUUUUAGUAGUUAACAAACUAUGGGUUGUAAUCACAAUGUUCAGAUGCAUGCCAAAUACAUCACCGCACUGGAUCAAGAACAACGACGUGGAAGCCCAAGCUAUAGGCACUAGACAAAAGCCACCCACGCAGAUCAUGAACAACUUAUGUCUAUUGCCUUCCACCUUUUUAGCUUUAUCUAGCUAUAUAAACCGUCCAGAGAUCAAGAGUGUAGUUAUCCAUAUACACAACUGGUUAAUAUAGUACUAAAUCAGAGAUAGAAAGUCUGUGCGCAGAGGAACAAUGUCGAUGAAGACCGUGUUCUCGGUGCUCCUGCUAUGUAUGCUCGUGGCGACACCCAUAGCGGCCGAGUACGACGCAUGGAGCGUUAACAGUGGUCCCUGGAUGUGCUAUCCAGGGUAUGCCUUUAAGGUGCCAGCGCUCCCUGGCUGUCGUCCAGUGCUGAAGCUCCAGUGCAAUGGCAGCCAGGUGCCCGAGGCUGUCCUAAGGGAGUGCUGCCAGCAGCUCGCCGACAUCAGCGAGUGGUGCAGGUGCGGUGCCCUCUACAGCAUGUUGGACAGCAUGUAUAAGGAGCAUGGCGUGCAGGAGGGACAGGCGGGGACAGGCGCGUUCCCAAGCUGCCGGAGGGAGGUGGUGAAGCUGACGGCGGCGAGCAUCACGGCGGUCUGCAAGCUACCCAUCGUCAUUGAUGCGUCUGGAGAUGGAGCGUAUGUCUGCAAGGGUGUGGCCGCAUACCCGGACGCCUAGUCAAGCGAAUGAGUAGCUACUAUGUUGUGUCAUGCAUCUGCCUCUUAAUUUGUGGGGUGCGCACAAGUUGAAUAAAAUGGUGUAUGCGCCUAUGCGAAAUGCAUCAUUAAUGAAUAAAAGCGAAGUUCCCUGUUGAUCGAGAAAUUUUGAUCCAGCAUGCAAAAGAAUAAGUAGACGCAUCUCCUGUGGUCGAUCUUGUGGAGCCUUUGGCUAUACCGCAGCUAGGUGUUGUUUUUGUAAGAGUGGAGGCAUCCGGGUGCUGGUAGUCAGAGGGCGCUGCAUCAACUAGUAAUAUGCAGAAACUCACGGAGAGAGAAAUUCGCUAGCACCGGUGCAGUAUGAUGUGACAAUUAAUGUGAACUUAAAAAAUAAAUAGGUACAUUGUAUAGUUUAUUCUGUGUUAUAAAACUAUAUAAGUAACCAAAAUCUUAGAAAAUAUAUGUUUCCAUCUUUGCAUCUGAUUUAAAUGCGUUUAUGCACCUGUUUGCAUGCACAACUGCCAUCAUGUUGUCUGAUUUCUUUGUGAUAUAUGCACCCCGUUUAUCCUUUCUCAUGUUCACUAACAUGUCUUUUUAGAGAAAAGGCGCUGGCCGAACCCGAGAAGAGCUCGAACUUAACCCAACUUUGAAUUAAUUAAGCCAUCAACUGGCCAGGAUUACAAGGGCACCACAUUACAAAGGAGAUGCAAAGCAAAGCAGAAAGGAAGAUACAAGGAACUAGGCAGAACAACACAAAUGCAACAGCGGGAAUGCCGAUGCAGACAACUAGCACUACGCCUGCACCGACUAACCAACUAAGUACACCGAAGAAGGGCCACACCGAGCAAGCAUUGAGCGCCAGCUGCAUCAACAAGCCAAACUUGGGCAACACUUGAGUUGUCUCCGUCGUCGCAAAGGGCCACUACCCUUUCACCCAGGCUUGAUGGGUGCCGCACCAGCGACCGACAGAGUGGCUACCACAUAGGUGUCCGAGCUGCCAUAUGAGAAGCAAAUAGAGCUGACCCGUGAACCACAGGAGACCAACCAAACAAGAACCAUAGCCGGCAGUGGCAGCACGGAGCAUGGGAAGCGAGCUAUCGAACGAAGGCGCACACCCAUGAAGAAGACCAAAGAGGGCAUCACUAUGCACUAGGAGAAGCUGAGCAGGAUGUAGCAGGAAGACCACGCCAUCAUGCUUCGCAACAAAGACAUCAGUCACUCCACCAACAAGAGCAAAUCCCAGCCGCCGCCUUCAAGAAGGAGCACGCCAUCGAGGUGCUGCCGACGCCCGGAUUAAGGGAGUACCGGCUUUCGCCGGAGCUCAGGAGGGAGGCGGAAGAGAGAAGAACCACCCCAAAGCCUCCAGGAAGAGGAUUGACACCAAAGGCGUCGACUUUNNNNNNNNNNNNNNNNNNNNNNNNNNNNNNNNNNNNNNNNNNNNNNNNNNNNNNNNNNNNNNNNNNNNNNNNNNNNNNNNNNNNNNNNNNNNNNNNNNNNNNNNNNNNNNNNNNNNNNNNNNNNNNNNNNNNNNNNNNNNNNNNNNNNNNNNNNNNNNNNNNNNNNNNNNNNNNNNNNNNNNNNNNNNNNNNNNNNNNNNNNNNNNNNNNNNNNNNNNNNNNNNNNNNNNNNNNNNNNNGGUUUCCCACUCCAUGUUGCCAUCAAGAACACUUGCCAGCAUAAUUAUCAGUUUCUGGAGGACAACCUAUUGGUUGACGAGAACUACAGGAAGAGGAAUGUUGAGUACAUCUACAAAGCUCAUACAUCUUCUUUGGCUGCUUGAGAUGGGUUGUGUUAAAUCCUUCCUUACAUAAAAGACUACUUUGGUUACAUAAUUGCGAAAAAAAGUUCAUCUCAUCGUAGUUAUUUAAAUCUACCUCUCUAACAUUACUUAAGAAAUGUGAUUUUGUAUAGCUCAACUUGUGAGAGGGACACGUUUACCUUUUAGAACUCAUGUAUUUAUGUCCAUAAUACAGGAGGCAGUUUUUCUUUUUAAUCAAUGGGGAAUGAGUCAAGUUUCUCUGCAAUUAUAAGUUUAGGAUGCUGAUAGAAUUGGAUGUCAAUCUUUUUCGUUAUGUAUACUGUAAGCACCUGAAGUGAAAGAUGUUAUUUAUUAGAAACUUAUGCAUAAGAUCUUGAACACCACUAGAUUGCUUGCAACUCACACUGAUAAUGUAGUCGAUGAGCUCUGGAAUUGCAUCAAGCAGGGGAAGCUUGCCCCUUAUGCUAUGUUGCCCCUUGCGGCUCACAGGCAAUACCGUAACCUCAAUGGAUUUGAUAUCAUCAAGGCUCGUAUGGAGGAUACUAUGUUUCCCCUGGGAAGUGGUAAAAAUGCCAAGGAAAAAAAAAAGCAGCUCAAUGAGAUGAAAGUACAUCUUAUCAAUGCAUUGGUGCUUGUUAGAAUAAUUCUCAAUGCCGGGAAGCUCUAGAGGCAUAUAUUCAAACUCAAUAAGUAGUAUCACAUUUGCAACAAAUAAAAUAAUUUGGAUGCUUCAUUUCAUCAUGGUUUUAUUGCCUUUAUACAUUUUUUCUUGUUUUACCGAAUCUUAAGACGCUAAUAUGUUACGGUUUGGCUUUUAAACCUUAAAAUAUUGAUCGUAGAGAAAGAAUAUUGUACAGCAGUUCUCUUGCUGAACCACGUGGAAAAGAACAAAGUAUCUAUAUCUCAACCAAUUUGUACUUUUCUAGUGUUUGUCCUGUUCUUGUAGAAUUUUUUUUGACCAAGUAUUUAUUCAAAUCAAAUACUAAUAUCCGGUAGACAGCUGUCCAAUGAGUUGGGUUUCCACUGUUAUGAAACCUUUCCAAUUAAUACCUCCUGAAAAUGUGCAUUAUCAGUAUUUGCCUACAGGUAGUACUAAAUCGAUUAUUCGGGGAAAGCCAUAUAGGCACUAUAAACAAUUUCCAUAUUGUAGCUGGGUACUACUUCCUGGCUGACAAUGGUUGUUCCUAUCACAAUAUGAUUUAUUUUGAGAUACAUGAUUUUCUUGACCAUACCAACCUUACCAAAUGUUGGUGUCACCAAAACCCAAGCAUGGCCAAUAGCUUGGCAAAACAAGAGUAUUUGGUCUGGAUCCGUAUAGACUUUCACUUUGGGUGUCUAUUCUUUGGUUGAGCCAAAUAGCAAGGUUGUGUCACUGCUCUGCAGCCAGUCUGGUCAAGGUCACGUUGUCAUGGCGACACUAGGUUGAAAUGAAGCAUCCUAAUUAAUGACAUAUAGUACAAAUUAACGAAAGGGCACUUACCCGCACACACAUACACACACAACGUACGCUUGUAUCAUCCAUACUUGACACAGAAUCAGUUAGCAUAACAUGCAUAUUGCAAUCACAGGGUUGACACAGAAUCGCGACGGGAUGUCAGUUUUCUCAAAAUUCAGAAGACACUUAACCCAUAUUUGAUAUGACAUCCUCCCGACUACCAGCCAUACAACUCAUUAUCUCUGCAAAAGUAUUUUGCGGAAAAUACACUGAACACAUCCCUCCUUGCCCCCCAUAACUUUCUGCCUCUUAUUCUGCUGCAAAGACAAUGAUCAUGAGUUGAUGUCAGGAUAAUUUAAAACAAUGAAGAAAAAUAGAGAAAAGGGCAAAAACUAAUGAAGCUGGUCACUUAUGAGGAAAACACAAAUACCUCAGUUUUAAGGUCGAAAUUCGAGCAGAACUUUGAAAAUUCUCUUUCGACUGAUUUGAUGGUCUNNNNNNNNNNNNNNNNNNNNNNNNNNNNNNNNNNNNNNNNNNNNNNNNNNNNNNNNNNNNNNNNNNNNNNNNNNNNNNNNNNNNNNNNNNNNNNNNNNNNNNNNNNNNNNNNNNNNNNNNNNNNNNNNNNNNNNNNNNNNNNNNNNNNNNNNNNNNNNNNNNNNNNNNNNNNNNNNNNNNNNNNNNNNNNNNNNNNNNNNNNNNNNNNNNNNNNNNNNNNNNNNNNNGAUACAAAGAUCGCUCGGGCGAGCAGCACAUCAAGCCCAAAAGAAAAAGAAGAAGAAGCAAAUGCCAACAACGGCAGCUUGACAAAGCGCGGAUGACCUUCCACUGCUACGCCCUUCAAAAACAAAUCACCACAACCCGAGGCUCCAAAUUGCCGCGCACCAAGCAACACCUCUAAGAAGGAAUGCGACGACGAUGACGCUGCUGCCCAAACAUGUCCUAGGGUUUCCCCCGACAUGCGGAGGGAGGUGGGGGAUGGAUAUCAUCGACACCCUCCAGGAAGGAAUGGAGGCACUCGCAGGUGUCACUGCAUCGGAGCCGAAGAACCGGUAAGGAUUUCUCCCGCACUCCAACCCCACCGCCCAACCGGAUCGGAGCCGACCAGUCAGACCGCCGCCCACCACCAUGCGCCAUCGCGGUUGCGCCGCCACCCACGCCGCCUCACUGCAAACACCAACACGAGGCCAAGAGGACCAGAGAGAAGCGCCCUGCGAAGGAGAAGCAACACCGUAGCCGAACGGGAGGGAACCACCUCCACCACCGUCGUGCGUGUGGCCAGAGCCUUCGGCACCGUCGCGGUCACCGUCCGGACGCAGCAGCAGGACAUGCCAGGCCAUCCCUGGCCCGGCCAGGCUCGCUAAGCCCCGCUGGCCACACUGGAGCAAGCCGAUGAUGGCGCCGCCAGCACCCAGCCGCUCAUCGCCUAUCCGNNNNNNNNNNNNNNNNNNNNNNNNNNNNNNNNNNNNNNNNNNNNNNNNNNNNNNNNNNNNNNNNNNNNNNNNNNNNNNNNNNNNNNNNNNNNNNNNNNNNNNNNNNNNNNNNNNNNNNNNNNNNNNNNNNNNNNNNNNNNNNNNNNNNNNNNNNNNNNNNNNNNNNNNNNNNNNNNNNNNNNNNNNNNNNNNNNNNNNNNNNNNNNNNNNNNNNNNNNNNNNNNNNNNNNNNNNNNNNNNNNNNNNNNNNNNNACCUAGGGUAGGGUCAUGGACCUGUCCAAGGUACCCUCCCCCAGGACAUCUUUUGAUGAAGUCAUCUUCCAGUCGACCUAGAGGGACUCCACUCGACUGACUGGAAGACACUCGACGAACUUGAAGACACUCGACCAUGAAGACUCACUCGACCACCAGGAGUUCAAGAUCUACUCUGUAUCCAAACGGUCUGUAAUUAAGUAGUCUUUAUGGCCAUGAUGACACUUUAUGUAGGGCAUUACCAGUAACGCCAGACCUCAAUGUACUUUAACCCUCCGCUGCGUGGGCUGGCUGGGGUCUUGGCAUCCUCUAUAUAAGCCACCACCCUCCACUGGUAGAACGGUUCGCACCCCUGUAACUCUCACACAUAUAAUCCAGUCGACCGCCUCCGGGCUCUGAGACGUAGGGCUGUUACUUCCUCCGAGAAGGGCCUGAACUCGUAAAACCCUUGUGUGCACAACUACUCCAUAGCUAGGAUCUUGCCUCUCCUUAGUACCCCCCUACAUUACUGUCAGGCUUAGAACCACGACAGUUGGCGCCCACCAUGGGGCAGGUGUUUUAGCGAAUUGUUGGAGAAGUUGCAAUUUUUCCGAUUCCCAUCGUCAUGGUUUCAGGCGGAGUUUUGGUUGAGGGCCGCGAGAUCUGUCUCGGCGCGCUCACGUUCAUCGCCGACGACUCUGCUUGGCUGCAGGAGGCUCCGCUCGACGUCGACGCGCUCCCAGUCCGCGGGGCUACGCACUUUCGAGCGUCCGUCCGCGGCGUCCUUCUGCGGCAACCGUCGACCCAGUAUCGGCCAGUGUUUGUGUGAUCCUCCCUCCCAGCUUCCCGCCAGCGUAAGCGCUCCGGUCGAUCGAGGCUUCAGCGGUGGGUGAGACACGCGGUGGCUCGCCAGUCGACCACCGCCCAAGUCACGUCAAUCGAGCCCGACGAAUCCCUCUACGGCCUGUUCGACCUAUCGACUGGCUCCGCAGAGACUGCAUCCGAGUGCGACAGCAGUGAUCCAGCGGCGGAGAUCCUGAUGGUCAAUGGACCGCACGUUCCCCCCGGCUUUCCCGGUGCCGAGGGAGGCAACGACGGAGGCGAUCCCUGAGCCCCUCAAUUCGCAGCAGAGGGAAGAGCUUCGCCGCCGGAACAUGGAUGCGCUUCACACUCCGAUCGUUGAAGAAACCCCUGAGGCCCGUGCCUUGGAGGACGCGCGCUUGGCCAACCUGGCCGAGCGCACUCGACUGGAGAACCUUCAGCGGGCACUCGACGAGCGCACACGACAACGGAUUCUAGACUCCAGUCGACACCAGCUCUUUCCACCUCCGACUCAGGUAUAUCAAACUCCGAUUCAGAAUUUAGUAGCUGCAGCCCGUAUAGCAGAAUCAAUUCAGCCUUCCUAGUCAGAGGCUGGCAGAGGCCUGAUGCAGAUCAGAGAUUUACUCCGGGCAGCAGGAGAUCAGAAUUCAGCCGUAUCGCAGUCGCGGAACAGGAUUCACAGUAGAUCCGUGGCAGCGAAUACGGUCCAGUCGGCUCAUAGCCCCAGAUCGCCCCCGAGGCGUGAAGGGCGUGGUGACCGGCAUGAUCAGUACAGGAACCAUGAGCGGUAUGAUCACCGAUUCGAUCGCAAUGAUCAACGUCGAGUUCCUACUCCCCCCAAGGGGUGGGUCCUAUAUGCCUCGACGGCAGGGUGAUAGACGCCAGCACAGUGGCAGGCGGAAGAUUCCGGUCGACCCCAGGGAACCAGGCUUUGAUGCAAGAUCCAUCAUCGUUCAAGGUCUGGUCGACCGGAACAGAGCCCACAGAGAGGGUAAUGACAGAUAUGUACCCACCAGCAGUCGAGUGCAUGUCUCUGGACCAGAGUGUUUCAGCAGAGCCAUCAGAGCCGCGGUGAUUCCUCCCAACUUCAGGUUGGCGACUAGAGUCAGCAAGUUCAACGGUGAGUCUAAGCCCAAUACUUGGCUUGAGGACUACCGAGUGGCUGUACAGAUCGGUGGCGGAAAUGAUGAGGUGGCCAUGAAGCAUCUGCCUCUUACGGUGGAAGGGUCAGCCAGAGCAUGGCUGAAUCAGUUGACACCCACAGCAUUUACACGUGGGAGGACCUCUCCCGAGUGUUUGUCAGAAUGUUUGAAGGAACAUGCAAGCGACCAACAGGACUGACAGAGCUGCAAUCUUGUGUGCAGAAGUCGAAUGAGACUUUGAGAGAUUACAUCCAGAGAUGGAUCACACUGCAUCACACAGUAGAGAAUGUGUCUGAUCACCAGGCAGUCUGGGCCUUCAAGGAGGGCGUAAAGUACAGAGAGCUAAGCCUGAAAUUUGGUCGAACCGGAGACAUGUCUCUGAGUCGAAUGAUGGAAAUAGCCACCAAGUAUGCCAAUGGUGAGGAAGAGGAUCGGCUCCGGAGCAGCAAGCAUAAGUCAGUCGCCCAGGAAACCAGAGGUGGGAACUCCAGUCGGAAGCAGAAGCGGAAAGCCGAGCCAGCUGCUCCUGGAGAAGCCCUGGCCGUGACUCAAGGAAAAUUCAAAGGGAAACCCAAGGGGCCUUGGAACCCCAAAAAAGUAAAGGAUAAAGAGGGAAAUGAUGUGAUGGAUUUGCCGUGUCACAUCCACACGAAGAAAGAUGAAGAGGGUAAUUUCAUUUACCCAAAGCAUACCACUCGACAGUGCCGGCUUCUGAUACAACAGUUCCAGGGGAAACAACCCAAGGACAAGGAAAAGGAGUCAGACAAAGCUGAGGACAAGGAAGAUAGUGACGAGGAAUACCCUCAGGUCAAUUCUACUCUGAUGAUUUUUGCUGACGUUGAGAGCAAAAGUCGACUGAAAGUUAUAAACCGAGAGGUGAAUAUGGUUGCUCCGGCAACACCCAGUUAUCUGAAGUGGUCUCAGACCGCCAUCACAUUCGACCAGUCUGAUCACCCAACGCACAUAGCCACCCCUGGGAGGCAAGCUCUGGUGGUCGACCCAGUCGUCGAGGGCACUCGACUGACUAAAGUGUUGAUGGAUGGCGGCAGUAGUUUGAAUAUACUGUACGCUGAGACACUGAAAGGGAUGGGCAUUCCGAUGUCCAGACUCAGCACAAGCAACAUGAGUUUCUAUGGAGUCAUUCCUGGCAAGAAGGCCGCGUCACUCGGCCAGAUUGCUCUUGAUGUGGUUUUUGGUGAUUCAAAGAACUUCCGCAAAGAGAAGCUGACAUUUGAGGUUGUAGAUUUCCAGAGUGCCUACCACGCUAUUUUGGGCAGGCCAGCUUAUGCACGUUUUAUGGCUCAACCAUGUUACGUGCACCUCAAAUUAAAGAUGCCUGACCCUAAAGGUGUGAUCACUGUUACUGGUAACCGCAAGAAGGCAGAAGAGUGCUUCCAGAAGGGCUCAAAGAUCGCUGAUGCUCAGAUGGUGGCAGAAGAGUGGCAGGAACACCAGAGGAACGCAGAUCCGAGUGAUUUGUUGCGAGCCAAAAAGCCUGCUGCAGAAUCAGCAAUCAAGUCGAUCGGGGAGACAAAACCAGUUCACAUCCACCCGACCGACCACAACGCUGCUCCGACUCAUAUCUCCACAACACUCGACCCCAAAUAGGAAGAAGCGCUCAUACACUUCCUCCGUGAGAACUGGGACAUCUUUGCAUGGAAACCUUCUGACAUGCCGGGUGUGCCCAGGGGACUGGCUGAGCAUCGUCUGCGAGUCGAUUCAAAGGAAAAACCUGUCAAGGAACAUCUGCGAUGGUCCGCCGUCUAGAAAAGGAAGGCUAUUGGCAAAGAGGUGGCUCGGCUCUUAGCAGCAGAGUUUAUCCGAGAAAUUUACCACUCCGAGUGGCUCGCCAAUGUUGUCAUGGUCCCCAAGAAGGACAAGUCACUUCGCAUGUGCAUUGACUUUAAACAUAUCAAUCGGGCCUGCCCGAAAGAUCAUUUUCCUCCCCCCCGCAUCGACCAAAUAGUCGACUCGACUGCGGGAUGUGAGCGACUAUCUUUCUUAGACGCUUACUUCGGGUACCAUCAGAUCCGUCUGUUUGGACCCGAUGAGAUCAAAACAACUUUCAUCACCCCAUUCGGGUGCUUCUGUUAUGUCACCAUGCCAUUCGGCCUCAAGAAUGCCGGAGCCACAUUCAUGAGGAUGAUUCAGAAAUGUUUGCUCACUCAAAACAGUCGGAAUGUGGAAGCGUACAUGGAUGACAUUGUGGUCAAGUCACGGAAAGGUUCCGACCUGCUGACUGACCUCACUGAAACAUUUGCCAACCUCAGGAGGUAUGAUAUCAAGCUUAACCCAUCCAAGUGCACAUUCGGAGUUCCUGGUGGAAAGUUACUCGGUUUUCUCGUUUCAGAACGAGGAAUCGAUGCAAAUCUAGAGAAAGUGGGUACUAUACUCCGAAUGAAACGACCUGUGCGUGUGCACGAUGUUCAGAAGCUUACUGGUUGCUUGGCCGUUUUAAGUCGAUUCAUCUCUCGCCUUGGUGAGAAGGCAUGCCUCUUUACCGACUGAUGAAGAAGUCAGACAAGUUCGAGUGGACUCCUGAAGCUGACGUAGCGUUUGCAGAGUUAAAAAACCCUACUUUCCACCCAGCCGGUGCUUGCUGCCCCGAUCAGCAAAGAGCCUUUGCUGCUUUACAUUGCAGCCACAGGACAAGUCGUCAGUACUGUACUUACGGUCGAGCGGGAAGAGGAAGGAAAAGCCUUCAAAGUUCAGCACCCAGUAUAUUACAUUUCUGAAGUCCUAAUCCCAUCAAAGCAAAGAUACCCUCAUUAUAAAAAGCUUGUUUAUGGGAUAUAUAUGACCACAAAGAAAGUUUCUCACUACUUCUCUGACCAUACCAUCACAGUCGUCAGUGACGCCCCCUUAUCAGAGAUUCUGCACAACAGAGAUGCAACUGGCCGAGUGGCAAAAUGGGCGAUUGAACUUCUUCCCCUGGAUAUCAGAUUUGAGGCAAAGAAAGCCAUCAAGUCCCAAGCAAUAGCAGAUUUCCUCGCCGAGUGGACUGAACAUCAGUUAUUGACUCAAGUUCACUCGAAGCAUUGGACUAUGUUCUUCGAUGGCUCUAAAAUGCUGAAUGGUUCCGGUGUCGGGGUAGUGUUGGUUUCCCCCCGAGGAGACAAGCUCAGAUAUGUACUCCAGAUUCACUUCGACUCCUCCAACAAUGAGGCAGAAUACGAAGCACUCUUGUAUGGGUUGCGUAUGGCCAUUUCGCUCGGCGUUCGUCUCCUCAUAGUCUACGGUGACUCGGAUUUAGUGGUUAACCAAGUGAUGAAGGAGUGGGACGUCAGAAGCCCAGCCAUGACUGGUUACUGCAAUGCAGUCAGAAAGCUGGAGAGGAAGUUUGAGGGAUUAGAGCUCCAUCACGUCCCCCGACUGAAAAAUCAAGCAGCUGAUGACUUGGCGAAGAUAGGUUCCAAAAGAGAAGCCAUCCCAAGUGGCGUGUUUUUGGAGCAUGUUCACACGCCGUCAGUUCAAGAAGAUCCCUUCACUGAAGAAGCCCCGCAGCCAAAAAGCGCCAUAGAUCCGAGUGAAGUCGAGGUUCCAGCUGUGGUCGACUUAAUCAUGGAAGUUCUGGUUAUUACUCCCGACUGGACAUUGCCCUAUAUUGCGUAUAUUCUAAGGAAAGAGCUCCCAGAGAAUGAAGAAGAGGCUCGAGAGGUCGUCCGUCGAUCCAAGGCCUAUGAAGGGACAAUUGUACAGAGAAAGCGUGACUGGGGUCAGCCAGAAAUGCAUAACGCCGGAAGACGGUCGAAUGAUUCUCAAUGACAUCCACUCGGGGACAUGUGGCCAUCAUGCGUCCUCUCGGACCAUCAUGGCUAAAGCAUACCGAGCGGGUUUUUACUGGCCCAGAGCAAAUGAAAUGGCGAAAGAGAUAGUUGACAAGUGCGAAGGUUGUCAGUUCUACUCCAACAUGUCACACAAACCUUCCUCAGCCUUGAAGACCAUCCCGAUCGUCUGGCCUUUCGCUGUUUGGGGUUUAGAUAUGGUUGGACCACUGAGGACUGGCAGGAGCGGCUUCACCCAUGUACUGGUGGCAGUCGACAAGUUCACCAAGUGGAUCGAGGCCAAACCCAUUAAAAAUCUUGAUGCUGGCACUGCCAUCAGCUUCAUCAGAGAAUUAAUAUUCAGAUAUGGAGUUCCGCAUAGCAUCAUCACUAAUAAUGGGUCAAACUUCGACUUCGAUCAAUUCAAAGCCUUCUGCGCUUCUCAAGGCACACGAGUCGACUACGCUUCAGUCGCCCACCCCCAGUCGAAUGGAUAAGCAGAAAGAGCAAACGGUCUAAUUCUCAAAGGACUGAAACCCCGGCUGAUGCGCGACCUCGAGCACGCAGCAGGUGUCGUGGUUCUAAGUCUGACAGUAGAGUGGGGGGUAGGUACGGAGAGGCAAGGUCCUAGCUAUGGAGAGGUUGUAAACACAAGAGAUGUACGAGUUCAGGCCCUUCUCGGAGGAAGUAAAAGCCCUACGUCUCGGAGCCCGGAGGCGGUCGAGUGGAUUAUGUGUAUAUGAGUUACAGGAUGCCGAACCCUUCUGCCUGUGGAGGGGGGUGGCUUAUAUAGAGUGCGCCAGGACCCCAGCCAGCCCACGUAAUGAAGGGUUUAAGGUGUAUUUAGUCCGGGGCGUUACUGGUAACGUCCCACAUAAAGUGUCUUAACUAUCAUAAAGUCUACUUAACUACAGGCCGUUGCAGUGCAGAGUGCCUUUUGACCUCCUAGUAGUCGAGUGAGUCUUCGUGGUCGAGUCCUUCAAGGUAGUCGAGUGAGUCCCUCGUUGGUCGACUGGAAGGUGACCUCUUCUAAGGGUGUUCUUGGGCAGGGUACUUAGAUCAGGUCUGUGACCCUACCCUAGGUACAUGACCCCACCAUUAGCCCCCGAAUGGAUUGAGGCUUUGAGUGACGGAGGAGUUGAUGCUGUUUCCGAUUAACCUUCGCACACUGGUCGUGCGUUGUUCUGAACCAGAGAAUCUCUUCGUUGAUAGUGAGCAACUUGUCUUCAGUUGACUCGAUCCAUUCUUUUCUUUCGUCGAGUGAUCUUUCAGGCUUCGUCGAUUUCCGAGCGACGGAUCGCAGGAAAUCCCGUGCCUGACAGACCGAUCUGCCGUUCGUGGAUUACGCGGGAUGUGAAAUUUGGGGAAACGCGCUAAGCGGAGCGGCCGCGGCGUUUGGAUGGGACGGGACAUAGACGCCUCGAUCCCCGCGCCGCUUUCUUCGCCACGUAUCCCGCCCGCGUAACAGUUCCAGGAUAUGAUUAGAUCGACCGGGCCCACCUGACAUCCACUCGGAAGGGAUCUUAUAAAUGCGCCCGGCGAGGGUUUUUUGAACAAUGCCUCAGCAUUCUCUCUCUGCCCCCUUCGUCUCCUCCCAACGUGCUCGCUCUCGCCUCCGCACCACUUCUCCUCACGCGCCCCGCCGGUAGCCAUGGUCAAGGAGAAGACGGCGGCGCUGGAGCGCGCGAAGAAGGCGUCGGUGACGGAGAAGGCGAAGGGGAGAUCCACCAGCCGCGGUGGGUCUUCGUCUAGAUCUCGCCUGCUGAAAGGCUGGGUCCAGGGAGACUAGAUCCAGUCGACCAUCACAGAGAAGGAUCUCCUCGACAUGGCCAACGAGGGCCUGAUCCCUCAUGGAGCUGCGAGGCUUCCGGGGAAAGAGUGGCAGCCCCAGCCGGAAGAGGGUGAGUGCGUGCUUCUGGCUACCCAUGUUGACCACGGAUUCUCUUUGCCGCCGAGCAUUUUCUUCCGUGGUUUCUUGAACUUUUUUGGAGUGCAACUCCACCACUUCACCCCGAAUUCUAUCGCCUACCUUGUCGCGUUUGUGUCCAUGUGUGAGAGUUUUCUGGGCUGUCGACCGCAUUGGGGCUUGUUCAAGCACAUAUUCACAUCUCGCUCUCAAACCGUGAAGAAGGCGAGUCCAGGCGACGAAAGAACCCGAGUGGUCCAAAUGUGUGGAGGUCUGGGGAUACAGGUGAGGAACAAGAGCACCUUCCCAGCCAUGACAUUUCCCGAGUCAGUCAGAGGCUGGCAGUCGACCUGGUUCUACUGCCAGGAUGAGUCGACGCCGGGGCAGUCGAGUGGACUCCCUCAAUUUACCAUGGACCGAGUGAACAAGCCCUCCUCUCUGAAGUUGAUUCCGGAGGAGAAAGCUGACGUGAAUAUGCUGAUGGAGCGCGUAGUUCAAUUGGUUCGGGAGGGAGUGACGGGCAUGGAUCUCCUGGAAGUUUUCCUUAGGCGCCGAAUCCAGCCUCUUCAGUUCCGGAGCCAUUGCAUGUGGUUGUACUGUGGGACUGAGGAUGUGACUCGGGUCAAUCCAGAAAUAAUCGACGAUGCCACUCUGGAAAGGUGGAUGGCCGUUGUUACUGGGAACAAGGACAACCCUCGCGGGGCCAGAAGGAUUCCCCCACUCGACUGCCACAGUGACCCAAACAAGGUAUGUCUGCUCCACUUCCCAUUGUAUUCUCGUCAUAUUUAUUUCUGUUUUCUCUGCCGAUCGGUCGACUGAUCUUUGUCUUGUUGUUUAUUAGGCCCUCACCGAACUGUACUCGAUGCCCAACGGAGCGCAGGCUCCGACUGAGGAGGGAGAAGCGAGCGGGGGCGAGAGCCAGGAGGAGGAGUGGGACUCGGACGCCGCUGAGGCCGAUGAUGAUGACGAUGACGAUGACGAUGAUGACGAUGAGGACGAGGAAGAGGAGGAGGAGGAGGAGGUCGCACCACCGCGCUCGGAAAGGCGAUCGAAACUUGUCCAUGACCCUGCGACCGAACGCGGCGAGGGGGUUGCGACUGUUACACAGUCGACUAAGCGCCCUCGGACCACCUCUCCGGCGCCGACUGAAAAGGCGCCGAAGCAGCCCAGGGCGGCCCCGUCGAAGCCGACCAAGCACCUGCCGAAGAUGAAGGUGUCCAUCCCCACCAUAUCAGGGUAAUCAUGUUGCUUAAGUCUUCUUGUUCUGUGUGAACUUUGUCUCUGGUUGGCGCUGGAGUUAGUCGACUGAUUCUUUGGAGUUGCAGUGCUGCUACUUCUGAGACCUCAGCCCGGGCUGAUGACCAUGAGAUGGAGGACGCAGCAACCUCAAGACCAGGUACUAUACUCUUAACGCCAUUUUUAGUCGACCGACUCAUGAUCUCUAAUUCUGAUUCUUUUCUGUAGCUCCAUCCAAUGUUGUAAUCACUCUCCCUGAUGAAGAUGAAGACGAGGAACCGCUGAAGUACAGAAGGAGUAGGAAAGCGUCUGCCAGCAGGGUGACCCAGGAUGUGACGGUGCCUGAGGCUCUGGUCGCAGAGGAGGAGAACACCACUCGACACACCGUGUCCUUCGCAGAUCCACUGACGAGUGCUCCGCAGCUCUCCCUCUUCACGACGCACCACGUCCCAGAGGACCAAGCUGGCGCAGCGAAGGAGGCAAUACGCCAGGCAGGGAUCAUGAUGGAGCAGUUUGAAGACCAUCCGGGAUGCAAGCCAGGCAGCUUACGACGCCAGUUCCGCCCUCCAACGCAAUGUUCAGGUCAGUCGACCACCAUUUAUUCUGUUAGGAUAUGCUACCAAAAACUUUUCCUUUCCAGAAUUUAUAGUAGUCACCGACUGGGUGUGUCAAUUAAACUCCGUGUUAGCGGGGGCACGCUGAGUGCACCCGCUGGGUGUAGUCCCCAAGGCUAAGGUCGACUGCUGGCAGUCGGCCUUAGGCUUUAUAAUUUCAGUCUUUCCGUCAUUCGACUACAUCGAAUGAAUUUCGCAAACUGGUCGACUGGUCGACUCUGUCUUCAAUAGGAUUAGUGGGGGCACGCUGAGUGCACCCACUGGGUGUAGUCCCCGAGACUACGGUCGAAUGCUUGUAUUCGGCUGUAGUCUUAGAAACGCGUGAUUUUUCCUUUUUCACUCGGAAGUGAAUUAUGUUUGACAUUUUAGUCGAUUGGUUCUUCGCAGAACUCCUGUGAUCUUGUGGCUCGCUACUCUGAGCUGGAAAACAAGCACGUUCAGCUCGAGCUGAAUUUGAAGCUGGUUCAGGAGAAACUGACGAAGGCAAAGGAGGAGACCGAAGGUAUGUUUGGUGAGACCUUGACGACUGCUUUUUCCCUUCAUUUGUUUCAAAAUCUGAUCUUGCUUUAACUUGCAGGUAAGGUGAGGGAGGCCCAACGGAAGAAGGACCUUGAACUAGCUGAGAAGACCAAGCUUGUUGACGAGAAGUUAGCUUCAGUCGCCAAGCUUGAGCAAGAAAAUGCCAAUCUGAAAGCUACUCUUUGGAAGAAAAAAGAUCUGGAGGCCUUCCUGAAUGGUCUUGCCAAGAAGUUGUUUCUUAUGCUUGAAGGUAAAUUUCUAUGCUCGGCAAUCAUUUCCAACCGUGGUUUUUCCAUUCGACCACCGCCUUGACUCGGUGAUCGUCCUUGCAGAAUUUUGUCAAAACUUUGAAGAAGAAACUAGCCGGCUGGAACCAAACCUUGACCCCGUCAACUCUCCGAUGGACGACGAAGUUGCCAUGAAUGUUUUCCGACUGGAGUCCCGUGUUGCAGCUGUCGUGGACUAUCUUGCAAGGCUGAAGGUCGCCACAUCUCGCAUCGACUCGACGCUUUGGCCCGGGGAGACACUUCAGAACAACCUCGAGUCGCUGAUGGCUCGCUUGAACACGAUCCCUGGUCGAGUGCAGGAGUGGAAAAAGUCCUCGGCUCGGUGCGGUGCAGAUGUUGCUCUGUGUCUGGCCCGAGUCCACUGCAAAGAUGCGAGAGAAGACAAGCUGGCGGCCCUCCGGGUGGCCAACACCAAGAAACACGACUUCGGGUCCUUUAUGGAAACUUUCCUUGCGGCUGCCACUCGGAUCGCAGAUGGAAUUGAUCUUGAUGAGUUUGUUGCACCUUCCAGCCCUCCACAGGAGGGGUAAAAAACUUCUUCUAAGCUCGACGCUUUAAAUUUGCCUCGGUAUGCCGAGUGGAGUUGUAACCGAUAAACCUUAACGGGCUUAGCGCCUGAGCACUUUUGGUUCCUUUAGGUAUCGAUCCGAACUUGAAUUUGGUGUUUGAAUAUGAUUGCUUUUGGCUCGAAAUGUCUUUUGCAGGUUCAAAGCAGGGCGCUUACUGCAAUCGACUUAUUCCUUAGUCCACUUAGGUGAGCGCUGGGCUGCAGUUAAGCCUCCCGAGUGAGAAGUUUGCUUUUCACUCGGUAGGAUUUCUAUAUCUUAGGCGAGCACUGGGCUGCAGCUAAGCCCCCGAGUGAGAGGUUUGCUCUUCACUCGGUAGGAUUUUUGAUAACUUAGGCGAGUACUUGGACUGCAGCUAAGCCCCCGAGUGAGAGGUUUGCUCUUCACUCGGUAGGAUUUCUGAUAACUUAGGCGAGCAUUGGGCUGCAGCUAAGCCCCCGAGUGAGAGGUUUGCUCUUCACUCGGUAGGAUUUCUGAUAACUUAGGCGAGUACUUGGACUGGAGCUAAGCCUCCGAGUGAGAGGUUUGCUCGUCACUCGGUAGGAUUUCUGAUAACUUAGGCGAACAUUGGGCUGCAGCUAAGCCUCCGAGUGGAAGUCUGGCUUACCACUCGGUAGGAUUUNNNNNNNNNNNNNNNNNNNNNNNNNNNNNNNNNNNNNNNNNNNNNNNNNNNNNNNNNNNNNNNNNNNNNNNNNNNNNNNNNNNNNNNNNNNNNNNNNNNNNNNNNNNNNNNNNNNNNNNNNNNNNNNNNNNNNNNNNNNNNNNNNNNNNNNNNNNNNNNNNNNNNNNNNNNNNNNNNNNNNNNNNNNNNNNNNNNNNNNNNNNNNNNNNNNNNNNNNNNNNNNNNNNNNNNNNNNNNNNNNNNNNNNNNNNNNNNNNNNNNNNNNNNNNNNNNNNNNNNNNNNNNNNNNNNNNNNNNNNNNNNNNNNNNNNNNNNNNNNNNNNNNNNNNNNNNNNNNNNNNNNNNNNNNNNNNNNNNNNNNNNNNNNNNNNNNNNNNNNNNNNNNNNNNNNNNNNNNNNNNNNNNNNNNNNNNNNNNNNNNNNNNNNNNNNNNNNNNNNNNNNNNNNNNNNNNNNNNNNNNNNNNNNNNNNNNNNNNNNNNNNNNNNNNUCUUCACUCGGUGGGAUUUUUAUAACUUAGGCGAGUACUUCGACUGUAGCUAAGCCUCCGAGUGGAAGUCUGGCUUACCACUCGGUAGGAUUUUCAUAACUUAGGCGAGUACUUGGACUGCAGCUAAGCCUCCGAGUGGGAGGUUUGCUCUUCACUCGGUAGGAUUUUUAUAUCUUAGGCUAGCACUGGGCUGCAGCUAAGCCCCCGAGUGAGAGGUUUGCUCUUCACUCGGUAGGAUUUUUAUAUCUUAGGCGAGCACUGGGCUGCAGCUAAGCCCCCGAGUGAGAGGUUUGCUCUUCACUCGGUACGAUUUUGAUAACUUAGGCUAGCACUGGGCUGCAGCUAAGCCCCCGAGUGAGAGGUUUGCUCUUCACUCGGUAGGAUUUUUAUAUCUUAGGCGAGCACUGGGCUGCAGCUAAGCCCCCGAGUGAGAGGUUUGCUCUUCACUCGGUGGGAUUUUGAUAACUUAGGCGAGUACUUAGACUGCAGCUAAGCCUCCGAGUGGAAGUCUGGCUUACCGCUCGGUAGGAUUUUCAUAACUUAGGCGAGUACUUGGACUGCAGCUAAGCCUCUGAGUGGGAGGUUUGCUCUUNNNNNNNNNNCUCGGUAGGAUUUUUAUAUCUUAGGCGAGCACUGGGCUGCAGCUAAGCCCCCGAGUGAGAGGUUUGCUCUUCACUCGGUACGAUUUCUGAUAACUUAGGCGAGUACUUGGACUGCAGCUAAGCCCCCGAGUGAGAGGUUUGCUGGUCACUCAGUAGGAUUUUUGAUAACUUAGGCGAGUACUUGGACUGCAGCUAAGCCCCCGAGUGGAAGUCUGGCUUACCACUCGGUAGGAUUUUAUUUAAUCUUAGGCGAAACGGAUUCGCAGCUAAGCCUCCGAGUGGGAGUCUGGCUCACCACCCGGAGGAUUUUUACAAACUUAGGCGAAACGGAUUCGCGGCUAAGUCACCCACUGAGGGGAAAUUUUAUUGGACAAAAUAAAAAGUGACAAAAAUUAUGGAGGAACUAUGACACUAUUAUUUUGAGGUCCAAGAACUUACAGAAGUACUUUAUUGCAACUCAUCCGAGUGAUAAAGCUUAAGUGUAAAAUGGGCGGAGUAGUUCCGCGUUCCAAGCUCGAGGCUCGUCGAUAUUAUGUUCGACGUUGUAAAGACGGUAUGCCCCGUUGUGGAGAACUUUGGUGACGAUGAAGGGUCCUUCCCAAGAAGGAGCAAGCUUGUGUUGUUUCUUCUGAUCCACUCGGAGAACUAAAUCUCCUUCCUAGAAGGCUCGACCCCUCACAUUUCUGGCGUGGAAAUGACGCAAAUCUUGUUGGUAGAUGGUCGACCGGGUCAGAGCCAUCUCCCUUUCUUCCUCUAAAAGGUCGACUGCGUCCUGCCGCGCUUGUUGAGCUUCUGCUUCGUUGUAGAUUUCAACUCGAGGAGCAUUGUGGAGAAGAUCACUCGGCAAGACUGCUUCAGCUCCGUAGACCAAGAAGAAUGGAGUUCUUCCGGUCGACCGAUUAGGUGUGGUCCGCAGUCCCCAAAGCACUGAGGGAAGUUCGUCGACCCAAGCUCCAGCUGCAUGCUUGAGAUCACGCAUCAGUCGGGGUUUCAAUCCCUCGAGAAUCAGGCCAUUGGCUCGCUCUGCUUGUCCAUUCGACUGCGGAUGAGCGACUGAAGCGUAGUCGACUCGUGUGCCUUGAGAGUUACAGAAAUCUCUGAAUUCCUCCGAGUCAAAGUUUGACCCAUUAUCCGUAAUGAUGCUGUGCGGGACUCCAUAUCUGAAUACUAGUUCCCUGAUGAAGCUAACAGCAGCACCGGCGUCAAGGUUCUUGAUUGGUUUAGCCUCAAUCCACUUGGUGAAUUUGUCGACUGCCACCAGUACAUGCGUGAAGCCACUUCGCCCUGUUCUCAAAGGACCGACCAUGUCCAAUCCCCAUACUGCGAAAGGCCAGACGAGUGGGAUGGUCUUCAGAGCCGAUGCAGGCUUGUGCGUCAUAUUCGAGUAGAACUGACAUCCCUCGCACUUAUCCACUAUUUCCUUUGCCAUCUCAUUCGCCUUUGGCCAGUAAAAUCCAGCUCGGUAUGCUUUGGCCACGAUGGUCCGAGAGGACGCAUGAUGACCACAGGUUCCCGAGUGGAUAUCAUUGAGGAUGAUUUGACCUUCUUCUGGUGUUAUGCACUUCUGACCAACUCCAGUCGCGCUUUCUCUGUAUAAUUGUCCUUUGAUUACGGUAAAGGCCUUAGAUCGACGAACGAUCUGUCGAGCCUCUUCCUCAUCCUCCGGGAGCUCUUUUCUCAGGAUAUACGCGAUAUAUGGAACUGUCCAGUCGGGAAUGACCACCAAGACCUCCAUGACCAAGUCGACCACUGCUGGGACAUCAACCUCAGUCGGAUCUGUGGCACUCUUGGGCUGUGGAGCUUCUUCGGUGAAAGGAUCUUCUUUGACUGACGGAGUGUGUAUAUGCUCCAAGAACACACCACUCGGAAUGGCUUCUCUCUUGGAACCUAUCUUUGCUAGAUCAUCAGCUGCUUGAUUUUUCAGUCGGGGUAUAUGAUGGAGCUCCAACCCCUCGAACUUCUUUUCCAGCUUCCUCACUGCACUGCAGUAUCCAGUCAUGGCUGGGCUUCUCACGUCCCACUCCUUCAUCACUUGGUUGACCACUAAAUCCGAGUCUCCAUAGACCAUCAGGCGACGGACGCCGAGUGAAAUGGCCAUGCGCAAUCCGUAUAAGAGGGCCUCAUAUUCUGCCUCAUUGUUGGAGGAAUCAAAGUGAAUCUGGAGCACAUAUUUGAGCUUAUCUCCUCUGGGGGAAACCAGGACAACCCCAGCACCGGAACCAUUCAACAUCUUAGAGCCAUCAAAGAACAUGGUCCAAUGCUCCGAGUGAACUUCAGUCGGCUAUUGCUGUUCAAUCCACUCGGCAAGGAAAUCUGCUAUUGCCUGGGACUUAAUGGCCUUCUUUGCUUCAAACUUGAUAUCAAGGGGAAGAAAUUCAAUCGCCCAUUUAGCCACUCGACCAGUUGCAUCUCUGUUGUGCAAAAUCUCUGAUAGUGGAGCGUCGCUGACGACUGUGAUGGAAUGAUCAGAGAAAUAAUGAGCAACCUUCUUUGUGGUCAUGUAUAUUCCAUACACGAGCUUCUGAUAAUGAGGAUAUCUCUGCUUGGAUGGAGUCAAGACUUCAGACAAAUAAUACACUGGGCGCUGAACUUUGAGAGCUUUUCCUUCUUCUUCCCGCUCGAUCGUAAGCACAGUACUGACGACUUGUCCUGUGGUUGCGAUAUAGAGCAACAGAGGCUCUUUGCUGAUUGGAGCAGCAAGCAUCGGCUGGGUGGAGAGCAGAGCUUUUAGCUCGGCAAACGCUGCAUCAGCUUCUGGAGUCCACUCGAACUUGUCUGCCUUCUUCAUCAGUCGGUAAAGAGGCAAUGCCUUUUCACCGAGUCGUGAGAUGAAUCGACUUAAUGCGGCCAAGCAUCCAGUAAGCUUCUGUACAUCGUGCACUCGCACAGGGCGUUUCAUUCGGAGAAUAGUGCCGAUCUUCUCUGGAUUAGCGUCGAUUCCUCGCUCGGAAACGAGAAAACCGAGUAACUUGCCACCAGGAACUCCAAAUGUGCACUUUGAUGGAUUGAGCUUGAUAUCAUACGUUCUGAGGUUGGCAAAUGUUUCGGCGAGGUCAGCAAGCAGGUCGGAACCUUUUCGUGACUUGACGACGAUAUCAUCCAUAUACGCUUCCACAUUCCGACUGAUUUGAGUGAGUAGACACUUCUGAAUCAUUCGCAUAAAUGUGGCUCCGGCAUUCUUGAGGCCGAAUGGCAUGGUGAUAUAGCAGAAGCACCCGAAUGGAGUGAUGAAAGCUGUUUUUACCUCGUCGGGUCCGUACAGACGGAUCUGGUGGUACCCGGAGUAGGCGUCUAGAAAAGACAGUCUCUCGCAUCCCGCGGUCGAGUCAACAAUUUGAUCUAUGCGAGGGAGAGGAAAAUGAUCUUUCGGGCAGACCCGGUUGAUGUGCUUGAAAUCAAUGCACAUUCGGAGCGAUUUGUCCUUCUUAGGAACCAUGACGACAUUAGCGAGCCACUCGGAGUGGUAUAUCUCUCGGAUAAAUCCUGCCGCCAACAGUCGAGCCACUUCCUCACCAAUGGCUUUUCUCUUCUGGACAGCGGACCGCCGAAGAUGCUCUUUGACUGGUUUUGCAGAUGAGUCGACUCUUAGGCGAUGCUCAGCCAGUCCCCUAGGAACACCUGGCAUGUCAGCGGGCUUCCAUGCAAAAAUGUCCCAGUUCUCACGGAGGAACUGGAUGAGCGCUUCUUCCUAUUUCGGGUCGAGUGUUGUGGAGAUGUGGGUCCGAGCUGCAUCGGGGUCGGUCGGGUGAAUGUGAACAGGCUUUGUCUCACCGGACGACUGAAAUGCAGAUUCUGUGGCGGGUUUCUUGGAUCGCAACAAAUCACUCGGAUCUGCGUUUUGCUUGUAUUCUUCGAACUCGACCGCUGUCACCUGGGAAUCGGCAAUCUUUGAGCCCUUCUGAAAGCACUCUUCUGCCUUUUUCCGAUCACCGGUGAUAGUGAUCACUCCUUUGGGGCCGGGCAUCUUCAAUUUGAGGUACACGUAACAUGGUCGGGCCAUGAACCGUGCAUAAGCUGGUCUCCCCAAAAUGGCAUGAUAUGCACUCUGAAAAUCCACGACCUCAAACGUCAACUUCUCUUUGCGAAAAUGUUUCGAAUCACCAAACACCACGUCCAGAGCUAUUUGGCCGAGCGACUUGGCUUUCUUCCCUGGUAUAACUCCAUGAAAGCUCAUGUUACUGGUGCUCAGUCGGGACAUCGGAAUGCCCAUUCCUUUCAGCAUGUCUGCAUACAACAAAUUCAGCCCACUACCACCGUCCAUCAGCACUUUUGUCAGUCGAGAGCCUUCGACAACUGGAUCGACCACCAAAGCUUGCCUCCCAGGGGUGGCAAUAUGAGUCGGGUGAUCAGAUUGGUCGAAUGUGAUGGGCGUUUGGGACCAUCUCAGAUAAUUUGCUUUUGCUGGGGUGACCAUGUUCACCUCUCGAUUAAUGACUUUCAAUCGACUCUUGCUUUCCACAUCUGCAAAGAUCAUCAGAGUGGAGUUGAUAUGCGGAUAUCCUUCCUCACUGUCCUCCUUGUCUGCGGCCUUGUCCGACUCCUUCUCCUUGUCCUUAGACUGUUUUCCCUGAAACUGCUGGAUCAGGAGUCGACAUUGGCGAGUGGUAUGCUUCGGGUAGAUGAUGUUCCCCUCUUCGUCUUUCUUCGUGUGGAUGUGACACGGCAUAUCCAUCACGUCGUUCCCUUCUUUAUCCUUUACCUUCUUAGGGUUCCAGGAUCCUUUUGGUUUUCCUUUAAACUUUCCUUGAGUCACGGCCAGAGCCUCUCCAGGAGCUGCCGGUUCAGCCUUCCGCUUCUGUUUCCGACUGGUGUUUCCCUUUUCCGACUGACUCGGCUUGUGCUUGCCGCUUCGGAGUCGGUCUUCUUCUUCGCCGUUGGCGUACUUGGUAGCAAUCUCCAUCAUCCGACUCAAGGUCAUGUCACCGGUUCGACCAAAUUUCAAACUCAAUUCUCUGUUCUUGACACCAUCCUUAAAGGCGCAGACUGCCUGAUGAUCAGACACAUUCUCCACAGUAUGGUGCAAAGUGAUCCAUCUCUGAAUAUACUCUCUGAGAGUCUCAUUGGUCUUCUGCACGUAGACUUGCAGCUCCGUCAAUCCAGCCGGUCGCUUGCAAGUUCCUUCAAACGUUCUGAUGAACACUCGGGACAGAUCUUCCCAAGUGUAAAUGCUGCUGGGAGGUAAUUGAGUCAACCAUGCCCUGGCAGAUCCUUCCAGCAUGAGGGGAAAAUGCUUCAUGCCCACCUCGUCGUUCCCACCACCAAUCUGAACCGCCACUCAGUAGUCCUCAAGCCAAGUUUCAGGCUUAGACUCACCAGUGAACUUGCUGACUCCUGUUGCCAACCUGAAAUUGGGAGGGAUAACUGCGGCUCUGAUAGCUCUGCUGAAACAUUCAGGACCAGAAACAUGCACUCGACUGCUUGUGGGCGCAUCUCUGUCGAGUCCACCUCGAUGGGCUCUGUUCCGGUCGAGCAAACCUUGCACGAUAAUGGAUCGCGCGUCGAAGCCUGGUUCUCGUGGGUCGACUGGAACUCUUCGCCCCGCACUGAGCUGACGCCUGUCAUCUUGCUGCCGAGGAGCGUAAGACCCACCCCUCGGAGGGGAAUUGGGCAAUCGACGCCUAUCAUCUCGGUCGAGUCGGUUUCCAUAUUGGUCUCGCCGAUUCUCGCGCCCUUCACGCCGCGGAGGCGAUCUGGGGCUGUGAGCCGACUGAACCGUAUUCGCAGCGACGGAUCGACUGUGAAUUCUGUUGCGCGACUGCGACACGGCAGAAUUCUGAUCUCCUGCCGCCCGGAGUAGAUCCCUGAUCUGCAUCAAGCCUCUGCCAGCUUCCGACUGAGAGGGCUGGAUGGACUCUGCUAUACGGGUCGCAGCUGCUAAAUUCUGGAUUGGGGUUUGAUAUACCUGAGUCGGCGGGAAGAGUUGACGUCGACUGGUGUCGGGAACUCGUUGCCGCGCGCGCUCGUCGAGUGCUCGCUGAAGAUUCUCCAGUCGAGUGCGUUCGGCAAAAUUGGCCAAACGUGCCUCCUCCAAGGCGCGAGCCUCGGGGGUUUCUCCUGCGAUGGGAGUACGCAGGGCAUCCACGUUCCUGCGGCGAAGUUCCUCUCUUUGCAGAGAGUCGAGUGGCUCGGGCUGGUACUCUUCAUGGUCUCGUGCGGGGUCGCCUCCGUCGCCUGCUCCACCAUCACGGGCGAAGCCAGGGGGACUGCGGGGCCCGUCGACCAUCAGGAUUUCCGCCGCUGGGUCACUGCUAUCGCAGUCGGAUGCAGUCUCUAUGGAGCCAGUCGACAGAUCGAACAUGCCGUAGAGAGAUUCGUCGGGCUCGAUUGCCGCAACUUGGGUGGUGGCCGUCUGGCGAGCCACCGCGUGCCUCACCCACCGCUGAAGCCUCGACCGGCCCGAGCGCUUGCGCUGGCGGGAGACCGGGAGGGUGGCUGAUGGGGAAGUCGACCGAUACGGGGUCGACGGUUGCCGCAGCAGAAUGCCACGGACACAUGCGCGAAAAUGUGUCGCACCGCGGACGGGGAGCGCAUCGACGUCGAGUGGAGCCUCCUGGAGCCAGGCGGAGUCAUCGGCGACGAAGGUGAGAGCACCGAGACGGAUCUCUCGACCCUCAACCAAAACUCCAGCAGUCACCAUGAUGAAAGUACUCGGAAGAACCGCAACCUUUCCACAAAAUCGCUAAAACACCUGCCCCACGGUGGGCGCCAACUGUCGUGGUUCUAAGUCUGACAGUAGAGUGGGGGGUAGGUACGGAGAGGCAAGGUCUUAGCUAUGGAGAGGUUGUAAACACAAGAGAUGUACGAGUUCAGGCCCUUCUCGGAGGAAGUAAAAGCCCUACGUCUCGGAGCCCGGAGGCGGUCGAGUGGAUUAUGUGUAUAUGAGUUACAGGAUGCCGAACCCUUCUGCCUGUGGAGGGGGUGGCUUAUAUAGAGUGCGCCAGGACCCCAACCAACCCACGUAAUGAAGGGUUUAAGGUGUAUUUAGUCCGGGGCGUUACUGGUAACGUCCCACAUAAAGUAUCUUAACUAUCAUAAAGUCUACUUAACUACAGGCCGUUGCAGUGCAGAGUGCCUUUUGACCUCCUGGUAGUCGAGUGAGUCUUCGUGGUCGAGUCCUUCAAGGUAGUCGAGUGAGUCCCUCGUUGGUCGACUGGAAGGUGACCUCUUCUAAGGGUGUCCUUGGGCAGGGUACUUAGAUCAGGUCUGUGACCCUACCCUAGGUACAUGACCCCAUCAGCAGGCACGUGGGUCGACGAGCUUCCAUCAGUUCUUUGGGGACUGAGGACUACUACAAAUCGGUCAACUGGGAGGACCCCGUUCUUUUUGGUCUACGGAGCUGAAGCGGUUCUGCCAAGUGACCUGCUUCACAAUGCACCACGAGUCGAUCUCUACUCCGAAGCUGAAGUAGAACAAGCACGGCAGGAUGCAGUCGACCUUCUGGAAGAAGAAAGGGAGAUGGCCAUGAUCCGAUCGACCAUCUAUCAGCAAGACUUGCGUCGAUUCUACGCCAGAAAUGUGAAGAGCCGAGCCUUCCAAGAAGGAGACUUGGUCCUCCGAGUGGACCAACAGAAGCCACACAAACUCGCCCCUACUUGGGAAGGCCCCUUCAUUGUUACCAAAGUUCUCCACAACGGAGCAUACCGUCUGUACAAUGUCGAUCGCCAGAUUGAUGAGCCAUGAGCUUGGAAUGCGGAUCUACUCCGCCCCUUUUAUACUUAAGUAUUCACUCGGAUGAGUUGUAAUAAAAGUACUUUUGUAGUUUAUUUAUCAAAGACAAGAGUUUCAUAAUUUUCCCAGUGAUUGUUAUUACUUUUGUUUACAUAAAUCAAUCCCCCAGUGGGUGGCUUAGCUGCGAAUCCGUUUCGCCUAAGUUUGUAAAAAAAAUCCUACCUAGUGGUAAGCCAGCCUUCCACUCGGAGGUUUAGCCGCGAAUCCGUUUCGCCUAAGUAUAAACAAAAUCCUACCGAGUGGUAAGCCAGCCUUCCACUCGGAGGCUUAGCUGUAGCCCAGUGCUCGCCUAAGUUUCUAAAAAUCCUACCGAGUGGUAAGCCAGCCUUCCACUCAGAGGCUUAGCUGCAGCCCAGUGCUCGCCUAAGUUUCUAAAAAUCCUACCGAGUGGUAAGCCAGCCUUCCAUUCGGAGGCUUAGCUGCAGCCCAAUGCUCGCCUAAGUUUUUGAAAAUCCUACCGAGUGGUAAGCCAGCCUUCCACUCGGGGGCUUAGCUGCAACCUAGUGUUCGCUUAAGUAUAAAAGACAACAUGCGCUCCGCAAGGAGGAUGAGGCGCAGGUCUACUCCUGCCUUCUCCUUCCGAGCUACGCCACAAAUACAAUGUGCGCUCCGCAAGGAGGACGAGGCGCAGGUCGACUCCUGCCUUCUCCUUCCGAGCUACGCCACAAAUACAACGUGCGCUCCACAAAGAGGGCGAAGCGCAGGUCGACUGCUAUCUUCCCCUUCGGAGAUACACCUUGGAAAUCCUACCGAGUGGAGAGAAAACCUCUCACUCGGGGGCUUAGCUGCAGCCCAGCGCUCGCCUAAGUUUCUAAAAUCCUACCGAGUGGAGAGCAAAACUCCCACUCGGGGGCUUAGCUGCAGCCCAAUGCUCUCCUAAGUUUCUAAAAUCCUACCGAGGGGAGAGCAAAACUCCCACUCGGGGGCUUAGCUGCAGCCCAGUGCUCGCCUAAGUUUCUAAAAAUCCUAUCGAGUGGAGAGCAAACCUCCCACUCGGGGGCUUAGCUGCAACCUAGUGCUCGCCUAAGUUUCUAAAAUUCUACCGAGUGGAGAGCAAAACUCCCACUCGGGGGCUUAGCUGCAGCCCAGUGCUCGCCUAAGUUUCUAAAAAUCCUACUGAGUGGAGAGCAAACCUUCCACUGGGGCUUAGCUGCAGCACAGUGCUCGCCUAAGUUCCUAAAAUCCUACCGAGUGGAGAGCAAACCUCCCACUCAGAGGCUUAGCUGUAGCCCAGUGCUCGCCUAAGCGUGACGAGCAUGAGUCGAUUGCAAAUUGUGCUUCGUCCCUACCUACAAAAGAACAUCACAGGCACUAAUUUAUAUUCCAAGCAAAGGAUGAUGAUCGUUCGAAGGCGGAAGCAAACAUAUCAAACGACAAACUGAGUUCGGAUAACGUCCUACGGAUCCAGAAGUGCUCAGGCAUCAAGCCUGUUAAGGUUUAUCGGUUACAAAAAUCACUCGGCAUUCCGAGGCAAAUUUAAGGCAUCAAGCAUAGAAGUUUUUUACCCCUCCUGCGGAGGGCUGGAAGGCACAACAAACUCGUCCAGGUCGAUUCCAUCUGCGAUCCGAGUGGCAGCGGCGAUGAAGGUCUCCAUGAAGGAUCGGAAGUCGUGCUUCUUGGUGUUGGCCACCUUGAGAGCUGCCAGCUUGUCCUCUCGCGCAUCCUUGCAGUGAACAUGGACCAGAGAUAGAGCAACGUCGGCACUGCAUCUGCCAGAAGACUUCUUCCAUUCGUGCACUCGACUUGGAACUUCGUUCAGUCGAGUCAUCAAGGACUCAAGGUCGUUCUGAAGUGCUUCUCCUGGCCAGAGCGCCGUGUCGAUGCGUGAUGUCGUAACCUUCAGCCUUGCAAGAUAGUCAACAACAGCAGCAACACGAGAUUCGAGUCGGAGCACGUUCAUGGCAGCUUCAUCCUUCACGGGAGAGUUGAUGGGGUCCAAGCCAGUUUCCACUCGACUAGUCUCUUCUUCAAAGUUUUGACAGAAUUCUGUGGAUAUGGUCCAAGGAUAAGCUAAUGUUCCCAUAAAGUCAGUAAUUACCAGUCAGAUAUUAGGGAUUACCUUCGAGCAUGAGGAGUAACUUCUUGGCGAGCCCUCCCAGAUAAGCCUCCAAGUCACUCUUCUUUCCAGCCAGUUCGCUAGCCUUGUCACUCAGGGCUACCUUCUCAUGCUUCUGUUGAGUGACCUCCUUGUUGGCCGCGUCGAGAGCAGCUUUCAGAGUGGCAUUCUCCUCUUCAAGUUUGCUGACCGAAGCCAACUUCUCUUCUGCAAGUUCGUCUUGUCCGAAGCCGCUUUCUGCGCCUCGACGAGGUCACGGUCCUUCUUCUUCAGAGCAUCCCUCAGUUUAUCUGUAAAAGCACAAUAAGAUCAGACUCGGGGACGGACAAGAAGCAAAGACAGUCGUCAAGAUUCUCGCCAAACAUACCUUUUGCCUCCUCCUUCGCCUUCGUGAAGUUCUCCUGGACAAGCUUCAGGUCAAGUUCGAGCUGGAUAUGCUUGUUCUCCAAUUCGGUAUAACGAGCUGAAAGCUCGCAAGAUCUCUGCAAAAAACCAAUCGACAGACGUCACAGAUAGGUCACUUCUGAGUGACUAAGAGAAAAAUUAUAGUAUUUCUAAGACUACAGCUGAAUCUAAACAUUCAACUGUAGUCUCGGGGACUACACCCAGUGGGUGCACUCAGCGUGCCCCCACUAGUUCUAUCAGCUAGACUCAAAGUCGAUCAGUCGACCAAAAAGGUGUGUGUGUGUUCUUCAGACUAUAGUCGACUGCCAGCAGUCGACCACAGUCUCGGGGACUACACCCAGUGGGUGCACUCAGCGUGCCCCCACCGGUUUACGAUUCCAUUCGACCAGAUCGAGUGAAGACAGUAAUGAGAAAAAAGAAAAACUCAAGACAUAAAGACUAUAGUCCACUGCCAGCAGUUGACCAUAGCCUUGGGGACUACACCCAGUGGGUGCACUCAGCGUGCCCCCACCAAUCCAGAUUCUCAAUCGAUACACCCAGUGGGUGUACAACAGAUACUAAGAUUUUCAGAAAGAAAAGUUUUCAGAUAACAUAUCCUAACAGAACAGGCAGUGAUCGACCAACCUGAACAUUGCUCUGAAGGGCUGAACUGGCGUCAUAAGCUGCUUGACUGGCGUCUCGGAUCUCCUUCACUUUCUCCAUCAUAACCCCCGCCUGGCGUAUGGCUUCUUUAGCAGCGCUCGCUCGGUCUUCAGGGACGUGGUGGGAGGAGAAAAGUGAAGGCUGGCCAGCACUCGACGACGAAGGGCGAGCACUCGUCAGCGGCACCGCAAAGGAUACGGUAGGCCGAGUGACACUGUCACCCUCCGCAACCAACGUCUCAGGUGCCGAUACGACCUGAGCUGCCUUGCCAGCGGACGCUCUCCUAUUCCUCCUCUGCCUCAGUGGUUCCUCGUCUUCAUCAUCAUCAGGAAGAUCAAUGAUGAUAUUAGAUGGAGCUGCAGAAAAGAGUCGAAGUUAAAAACGAAGAUUCCACCAAGUGAAAAUGAAACUUCAAAAGUCAUACCAGGGUUGGAAGUGACGGCAUCCUCCAUUUCUUGAUCAUCAGGUCUGGCCGAGGUAUCAGAAGUAGCAGCACUGCAGUUUCAGAAAUCAGUCAACCAGCUAACGAAUCGACCAAGAAUAAAUCCAUGAGAAACACGAGGACACGAGCUAUGUCAUUACCCAGAAAUAGUGGGAAUCACCAUCUUCAUUUUCGGCAGAGCCUUCGUCGGCCUCGACGGCACCACUCGAGAUUGCUUUGGCGCUUUCUCAGUCGGCGCCGGGGAGGUCGUCCGAGGACGCUGGUCGAUUGCACAGCAGGUGCGGCCCCCUUGCCACGCUCGACCGCAGGGUCAUGAGCAAGCUUGGACCUUCUUUCAAAACGGGGAGGCGCAACUUCCUCCUCCUCUUCCUCCUCCUCCUCCUCAUCGGAGCCAGCAUCUUCAUCACCCUCGUCACCAUCCGAUUCCCACUCCUCUUGACUUUCACCUCCACUUCCCUCCUCCUCCUCAGUUCCUUAUAUAGAGUCGCUUCCGAGUGGCUGACUGGUGGACCCAGGCAAUCCUGUCAAAUCCAGAAACAGUCGCGCGAGGGAUACGUGGCGAAAAAGGCGGCGCGGGAAUCGAGGCGUCUCUGUCUUAUCCCGUCCGAGUACCGCGGCCUUCCCCGCUUCGCGCGCUUCUCGAAAUUUGGAUCCCAGUAAAUCCGCUAACCGCGGGGCAACUUGUCAGACGGAAGAUCUCCUGCGAUCCGUCGCUCGGAGAUCUCCAAGUAUCGAAAGAUCACUCGACCUACAUCCAGAAUGGAUCAAGGCGAUUGAAAAAGAAGUUGAUACCGUCACCUACGGUCAUUUGAUCCAAAACAAGACGUACUCGUAGCAAGAAAGGAGGAGUCGGAAGAAUUCUCAACUCCUUCCUCACUCAAACCUCGAUCCAUUCGGGGGCUAAUGAUGAAGUCAUGUACCUAGGGUAGGGUCAUGGACCUGUCCAAGGUACCCUCCCCCAGGACAUCUUUUGAUGAAGUCAUCUUCCAGUUGACCUAGAGGGACUCCACUCGACUGCCUGGAAGACACUCGACGAACUUGAAGACACUUGACCAUGAAGACUCACUCGACCACCAGGAGUUCAAGAUCUACUAUAUAUCCAAACGGUCUGUAAUUAAGUAGUCUUUAUGGUCAUGACGACACUUUAUGUAGGGCAUUACCAGUAACGCCAGACCUUAAUGUACUUUAACCCUCCGCUGCGUGGGCUGGCUGGGGUCUUGGCAUCCUCUAUAUAAGUCACCCCCCUCCACUGGCAGAAGGGUUCGCACCCCUGUAACUCUCACACAUAUAAUCCAGUCGACCGCCUCCGGGCUCCGAGACGUAGGGCUGUUACUUCUUCCGAGAAGGGCCUGAACUCGUAAAACCCUUGUGUGCACAACUACUCCAUAGCUAGGAUCUUGCCUCUCCUUAGUACCCCCUACAUUACUGUCAGGCUUAGAACCACGGCACCGCCCCCGCUCGUGCCAGGAACCCCCGCCGCCGCGCAGGACCGCCGCCGCCCAGAGACACCACUCGGAAUCGCCCCGUCCCGCGCGGGAGGACACCCAAGAGGGGAAAUACCAGGGGCCGCCGCCGCCAGCGUCGCCCAUGCCAGGCCCACGGCAGGCGCCGGCGCCGACGGCAGGGAGGAAGGAGGAGGGGGAGGCGCGUGGAAGAGGAGGUUGGGCACGGCCGGCCGCCUCGGGCGGCACGGUCGCGGGGGAGGAAAAAGGAGUUCCUUCUGCGCUCUUGGCAGAAUCGCCCUUUGAUUUAGAUAAAUUUCUUGCAAAAGAAAAGAAAAAAGAAAGUGCACGACCUCCUUCCUAAAAAAACAAACAAAGCAUCCUCUAAGAUCUUUCUCCUUCGAGUCUGGGCGAAGGUCACUUCUUGGCUUGGACUCCGUCACAUCAUGAACGGAUUGGUAUCUUAUGGCCUCGGUGAAGGAGUGGCCGAUUGAGAUGGCUAGUACGAGAGACCAAACACAGAAAGGCCAUCUCCUCCUUGAAGAUGUUUGUUACAUGGGAAAUCUGGAAAGAGCGGGAUGCCAGAGUUGUCCGCAACCUCAGUGCCCCCACUAUUGUGAUUGUGACGACGAUCAAGGAGGAGGCCCGACUUUUGGCAUUGGCAGGAGCUGCGCAUUCACCACGGCCCGCACAGUCUUCUAGUACUGGACAACGUCCCUCUGCAGCAGGUUGAACCCCGUCUCCCCGGGAUCUGCCCACGCACGCCAUGACGGUGACGACGGUAGUGUUCCUAUGGUCAGGGGAGAGCACUGGGGCAGAGGAGAGGGUUCGAGCGUGUGGGGGGAGGGGGUGUGGGGCGGCAGGGUCGCGCGGGAGCGGUGGAAUGCCGCGGUGGCGCGCAGAGAAGCCGUAGGCGGCAGUGGCGGUGCCAGAACUGCAAUCUUGUGUAGUCAUUUUCAAAUUGUGUAGUCAAGUAUAUAAAUUCGAACAAAAAAAUUCAACAUUUUUGCAGCUGGGUGGUCAAUUGACUACCCAGUUGAUGAGUGGCUUCGCCACUGGUCGGCGGAGAGUCCAGUGCGGCGCGCGAGGGGAACGAGAAAGGGGANNNNNNNNNNNNNNNNNNNNNNNNNNNNNNNNNNNNNNNNNNNNNNNNNNNNNNNNNNNNNNNNNNNNNNNNNNNNNNNNNNNNNNNNNNNNNNNNNNNNNNNNNNNNNNNNNNNNNNNNNNNNNNNNNNNNNNNNNNNNNNNNNNNNNNNNNNNNNNNNNNNNNNNNNNNNNNNNNNNNNNNNNNNNNNNNNNNNNNNNNNNNNNNNNNNNNNNNNNNNNNNNNNNNNNNNNNNNNNNNNNNNNNNNNNNNNNNNNNNNNNNNNNNNNNNNNNNNNNNNGGGGUUCCAGACUGUUGGUCGGCGUUAUUUGUCGACCGAUGAAUGGAUGCGCAUGGGAGUUUUCCCGACCCACAGAUCGACAAUAAAUGUGCUUGUAUUCCCGUCCGAUGGUCUGUUGUUGUCCACAGGUUUUCCCAACCAUCUGUCACAACAUUUCCCAACCAACUGUUGAUCGACGAUGGUAUUUUUUCCCGACACACGUUUGUAGGGAAUGCAGUGUCGAGCGUUGACCUUUGUCCUUGCCUUUGCUUUGCUGGCAGGGUUGCUUGAGCUGGUCUUCGCUAUAGUGCCAAGGUGUUUGGCCAAGUCAAAGGUACUGGCAUGCUGGUAGAACUUGGCGACCUGAUGGGAUUUCUCGAGCUCGAGCUUGGUGGCUAUGACGGCCGAACUGAGCUAACUCGAAAGGACCUACACAUCCAUGAAUGCAUAUUUUGCCGCCACUUUUAUUUUAUCGCAGGGUUUGUAGUUAGACUUAUUGUUUGUAUCGGACUUAUUGUGUAUGAAAAUUAUUGUAAUAACUCUUAAACUGGUAUUGAAAUAGUUUACUUUCUUUAUGAUGUGAAAUCCUAUGGAUGUGGAUGUAUACUUAUUAUGAUCCUAGGAGAGUAUGUUGAACAUAUCCACGGUAUGGAUUCUCCUUUUAAAUCUUCUUUUGUCAUCAGGUUAAUUGCCUUAAGUGGUGGUUAGCACCACAUGAUUAAGGUAGAUUAUGAUUAGAGUAAUCUGCUCCAUUACAGUAACCCUCUAACCCAUUAUUGCCAUUCUUAUAGCUAUAGUGUGUUUUGCUAACUAGGUCCUUAUUUGUGUAGUUUACAACGGAUUCAAAUAACCAUACACAGCACACAAGCGAUGGAGCGCAGAGGAGCCCUACAAGCAAUGUUCUUGGUUCUUCACCAUCGAGAAACAAUUCGUUCUUUAGCCUUUAUCAUAUGAUUAUGUUGGUUGCCGGCAUGCGGAGGGGUUUGGGACUCAUGAUCGAGGAUUGGGAUAUAUGUUAUGUGGAUUGGGCUGAAAUGAAUGAUAUGUGUUGAUUUGUGUGUAAAUGACGUCCCAACGGCUCCCACUGCAGGGGAGACUUUGCUGAUUUUUUUCUUCUAAUUACCGUACUUAUUUUAUACUCAGUAUGGGUUUAUGCUCAUUGGUUGAUGCGGGUUAAGAUGUAGCCACUCUUCUUUUGUCACCCUGCUUCUUCAUACUCCGCUUGCAAAAUCCGGCUAUUUUUCUAUCCUUUUGUCAUAUGAUUAUGUUGGUUCCACUAUGAGGAGAGUUUGGGCCUCGAGACCGAGGAUUGAGACAUCUUAUUGUGUGGGUUGGUCUGAAAAGAAUGAUAUGUGUUGAUUUGUAUGUAAAUGAUGUCCAACGGCUCCCGUACAUUUUUUAACUUCCGAUCUAUUCCUCUUCAAUCAUGGUAGUACAACGAAGACCAGAAAUAAUAAAAAUUACGUUCAGAUUCGUAGACCACAUAGUUACAACUACAAACACUGAAGCCUAAUAGAAAAGCGUAGUAGAGGCAUUCGGAAAACGUUGUAAGUGGCGUGGACUGGAGAAGCCGCUAGUAUGACGCCGCUGAUAAGGCUCACUAGUGGCGCCGACUUCCAACGCUCGUAGAAACUUGAUAUUACUGGCAUCGGCGGCCAACGCCGCUGAUAGCUUUAGUACUGCUGGCGCGGGUCGGCCGAUGCCACAUGUACUUAUUGUAUUCGUUGUAUCGGGUAAAAAACAACACCACUAUAAAAUAUGACAGAACAAUAAAAAUCUGGUAAAUCACAUUGCAAAGAUGGAAAUCAUAUCGCAUUGCAUAUGAAACCACAAGGCUUUUGCCGUGUGCCAAAGACAUUCAAAUCCGGUAGUGAACUUUGUCUUGUUGUAUAUUUGGACGGCGUCUUUUGAAAGAGAAAACAUCACACAUGAUUUCUUUUUCACUAAACUCCAUUGGCCUCGUUGAUAUGUUCGUUCUCUUCUUUUCCAAUCUUGUGUAUGCAUUCGCUAUAUUCUCUUGAUUCUUGAGCACUCCCAUUUAAUGAUUUCCUCACGCAAAGGUGGACAUAUCGUGCCAAGAUGAAUCUUGCAUUCCUAGUUUUCUUUGCAUAAACUAAGAUGGGAUCCUCUGACAAACUGUGGGUUUUAUUUAGAACUUGAAAAGCUGACAAUUAUGCAAACAAAUCCGCACGACACUGUUGGAAGUUAAAAAAAAUAGUUGUGAUGUGUCAGCAUAAUAUAUACAAGCCCACAAGCCACUCAUGUAGAUGAUAUGAUGGACGGCUAGGGUUUUAUGUCCGUUCUGUGGACCUCUUUCCAUUUCCGCUGCCACAUAUAUGAACCAAAGAUGUAGCUAAUUUUGUCUAUGUGGUAGAGAUUAACAAACUAUGGGUUGUAAUCACAAUGUUUAGAUGCAUGCCAAAAUACAUCGCCGCACUGGAUGAAGAAAAAUGACGUGGAAGCCCAAGCUAUAGGCACUAGACAGAAGCCACCCACGUAGAUCAUGAACAACUUAUGUCUGUUUCCUUGCACCUUUUUAUCUUUAUCUAGCUAUAUAAACCGUCCACAGAUCAAGAGUGUAGUUAUCCAUAUACAGAACCAUUUAAGAUAGUACUAAAUCAGAGACAGAAAGUCUGUUCGCAGAGGAACAAAGUCGAUGAAGAUCGUGUUCUCGGUGCUCCUGCUAUGUAUGCUCGUGGCGACACCCAUAGCGUCCGAGUACGGCGCAUGGAGCUAUAACAGUGGUCCCUGGAUGUGCUAUCCGGGGCAGGCCUUCCAGGUGCCCGCGCUCCCUGGCUGUCGUCCAUUGCUGAAGCUCCAGUGCAAUGGCAGCCAGGUGCCCGAGGCCGUCCUAAGGGACUGCUGCCAGCAGCUCGCCGAUAUCAGUGAGUGGUGCAGGUGCGGUGCCCUCUACAGCAUGUUGGAUAGCAUGUAUAAGGAGCAUGGCGUGUCGGAGGGACAGGCGGGGACAGGCGCAUUCCCAAGCUGCCGGAGGGAGGUGGUGAAGCUGACGGCGGCGAGCAUCACGGCGGUCUGCAGGCUACCCAUCGUCGUUGAUGCGUCCGGAGAUGGAGCGUAUGUCUGCAAGGAUGUGGCCGCAUACCCGGAUGCCUAGUCAAGCGAAUGAGUAGCUAAUAUGUUCUGUGAUACAUCUGCCUCUUAAUUUAUGGGUUGCGCACAAGCUGAAUAAAAUGGUGUAUUCACCUAUGCGAAAUGCAUCGUUAAUGAAUAAAAACGAAGUUCCCUGUUGAUCGAGAAAUUUCAAUCCAGCAUACAAAAGAAUAAGUAGACGCAUGCCCUGUGAUCGAUCUUUUGGAGCCUUUGGCUAUAUCGUAGCCAGCUAUUAUUGUAAGAGUGGCAUCCGGGUGCUCGUCCAUGAUUAGGUUGUAGAUGUCAGAUCACUUGUACAGACAGACACAUUAUGCUGAUGCCGUUCUUAAUCGAGUAGAAGAAUUCCAUGGUCACAAAUAGAUCAGAGAAGAGAUGGUUGACCACACAAAUAGAUCAGAGAAGCGAUGAUCAUAUUGGGUCAGGAUGUACAUACCUAUGUUCCUCCUUGAUGUAGGGAACAUCCGGCACGGCCUUGCGCCACUCCUUGCUGCCCGCAACGCGGCCAUGCCCUGCCCUAGGGUUCCGCGACGACGGCGGCGACGGCGUCCCACAACCACACCCUCCCAUGGGUCCUGCCUUGAUGUGGGGUUCCGCAGUGGUGGCGGAGGUCUCGGAGGCCGCGUUGACGCCGGGGCCAGAGAAGCAAGACGUUAGCGGCGGAGGCGGCGGAAGAUUCUGCAGUCCCGGAGGCAGCGUUCACACCUAGGAAAUAGAUCGAGGGAGUAUCUCGAUCGAGAGAGGAGUACAGGGGGGCCUCGUUCCUCUGAUUUUGUUUAGUGGGACGGGGCUCAGUUCCUUGUUUUUUUUUUGGCUAGGUGUGAGGGGAAGCAGUGUGGUGGGAGGGGGGAAGGAAAAAACCAGUCGAAAAAAACCGAACGAAAAUCCUACCAACUGCUUCAUUAGGAAUAAAGAUUAGUGUGUUCCUUUUUUAUUCUUGCAUGCAAAGAUUUAAUGUGUCUCGAAAACUAAAAAUGAGAUGGAGUGAGCCCUUUAAAUUGGAAAAAACAAAAAAAAUUGAGAUAAACCCUAUAAACCGGGAAGGAGGGAGCAGGUCCUUGUUUGUGUAGCUUACAAUGGAUUCAAAUAACCCUGCACAGCACACAAGUGAUGGAGCGCAGAGGAGCACUGCAAGCAAUGUUCUUGGUACCAUCGAGAAAUGGUUAUUUCUUUUGCAGGGGAGAGAAAUGGUUAGUUCUUUAGCCUUUAUCUUUUGAUUAUGUUGGAUGUCGGCAAGAGGAGCUGUUUGGGACUCAUGACGGAGGAAUGGGAUAUAUUAUUAUGUGGGUUGGGCUGAAAUGAAUGAUAUGUGUUGAUUUGUGUGUAAAUGACGCCCCAACGGCUCCCGCUACAGGGGAGACUUUGCUGUUGAUUUUGUAAUUAACAUACUUAUUUUAUACUUAGUAUGUGUUUGUGCUCAUUGGUUGAUGUCGGUUAAGAUGUCGCCACUCUUCUUGUGACACCCUGCUUCUUCAUACCCCUCUUGCAAAAUCCGGUUAGUUUUCUUGCCUUUUGUAAUAUGAUUAUGUAUUUUUAGGGUUGUAAUAUGAUUAUGUUGGUUGCCAGCAUGACGAGGGCUUUGGGCCUCAUUGUAAACGAAGGAGAAGUAGAUUGGAUCGGCGCGCCCAACAUGGUGGCCUCGGGAUGUAUUUAUAUGGGUGCAACUAGGGCACAAAUUACAGGUUAUUACAGGAGAUAAGUACAGACUCCUAGAUCACAACAAUAUACAAUUUAACAUCCCCUCUCCAUCUGAACUUCCUUCGCGAAGAUUCAGAUUGUAUCUAUUUAAGACACAUGGUGCCUCAUCUAGUGGUUUGGUGAAGAUGUCAGUAACUUGUUCCUUGGAAGAGAUGAACCUAACAUCCAAUGCUUGGCUGCAACUUUUUCUCGAACAAAGUGGAAAUCCACCUCUAUAUGCUUGGUUCUGGCAUGAAACACCGGAUUUGCAGACAAAUACGUGGCACCCAGAUUGUCACACCACAAGAUUGGAGGUCAUGACAUAAAGAUUCCAAGUUCACCAAGAAGUGACUGUAUCCAAAUUAUCUCAGCCGUACCAUUGGCAAUGGCCUUGUACUCAGACUCCGUGCUUGAUCGUGAGACUGUGGCCUGCUUUCUGGAGCUCCAAGAGACAAGGUUGGGACCAAGAAAAACAGCAAACCCUCCUGUAGACCUGCGAUCGUCACUACAUCCGGCCCAGUCCACGUCAGAGAAGCAACUCAACACCAUUGAAGAUGACUUGCUGAUGGAUAGACUCAUACCACGAGUGUACUUCAAAUACCUCAAGAUCCUUUUUGCGGCCGAAAAAUGUGCAGUCGUCGGUGCAUGAAGGAACUGACAAACACGAUUCACAUCAAAAGAAAUAUCCGGCCUGGUCAACGUCAAAUACUGAAGUGCCCCAAGUAGGCUGCGGUAUUUAGUACUGUCAUCCUGAAAGAGAGGUGCCCCGCUAUCCUUGCUGAUUUUCUCACUCGAGGACAUGGGAGUAGUAGAAACCUUACAACUCUCCAUGUUAGCACGGUGAAGAAUGUAGCCAAUGUACUUCUGUUGAGAGAGCACAAUCCCCUGUGGCGACGACUUCACCUCAACCCCAAGAAAAAAUGCAAGGGACCAAGAUCCUUGAGAGAAAACGUGGCAUGAAGAUCAGCAAGUAGCUUAGUUGUUGUAGUAGGCGAUGAGCUAGCCACAAUGAUGGCAUCCACGUAGACAAGCAUAAACAUGGUGACACUGCCACGAUGAAAAAUAAACAAAGAAGUUUCUGCUUUAGACGCCACAAAACCAAGUUGAAGAAGUCGCGAGCUUAACCGAGAAUACCAGGCUCUGGGGCCUGUUUGAGUCCAUAGAUGGCUUCCCUCAGCUUGCACAGAUACCGAGGAGCAGUAGGGUCCACAAAUCCAGGAGGUUGUCGCAUAUACACCUGUUCCUGAAGAACUCCAUGAAGAAAUGCAUUCUGGAAAGAACUAGCCGAAUAGUAGCUGGUUUGACAACCGGACUGAACGUAUCAUCAUAAUCGAGACCAUACCGUUGCUUGAACCCUUUCGCAACAAGAUGAGCCUUGUGACGAUCAACGGUGCCAUCAGCCUUGUACUUGACCUUGAAAACCCACUUGCAGUCGAUCACAUUGACAUGAGGUGGUGGUGGAACUAAGGUCCACGUACCAUUGUGACGAAGGGCAUCAAGCUCAAACUGCAUAGCGGCACGCCAAGCAGGAGAUUCCAUGGCCUCACGAUGAUCACUGGGUUACAUGGAGACCAGAAACACAUGCCUAGAUGGAUCAUAGUUGACAGUACCAUCCGUAUGGUGCGCAACUUUGCGAGUAUGAUCACGUGUGCGUGUCACCAUUGCAAUGGCAGGAGGUGCAGUGGACCCAGGUGUCGGUGUCAAAACCGGCAGAUCUCGGGUAGGGGGUCCCGAACUAUGCGCCUAAGGCUAAUGCUAACAGGAGGCGAGGGACACGAUGUUUACCCAGGUUCAUGCCCUCUCGAUGGAGGUAAUACCCUACUUCUUGCUUGAUUGAUCUUGAUGAUAUGAGUAUUACAAGAGUUGAUCUACCACGAGAUCGAAGAGGCUAAACCCUAGAAGCUAGCCUAUGAUUAUGAUUGUUGUCCUCCUACGGACUAAACCCUUCGGUUUAUAUAGACACCAGAGGGGGAUAGGGUUACACAGGGUCGGUUACAGAGAAGGAGAUCUACAUAUCCGAACCGCCAAGCUUGCCUUCCACGCCAAGGAGAGUCCCAUCCGGACACGGGACGAAGUCUUCAAUCUUGUAUCUUCAUAGUCCAACAGUCCGGCCAAAGUAUAUAGUCCGGCUGUCCGAGGACCCCCUAAUCCUGGACUCCCUCAGUAGCCCCUGAACUAGGCUUCAAUGACGAUGAGUCCGACACACAGAUUGUCUUCGGCAUUGCAAGGCGGGUUCCUUCUCCGAAUACUCCAUAGAAGAUCUCGAAUACGAGGAUCGUGUUCGGCUCUGCAAAAUAAUUUCCACUCACCACCGUAGAGACCACAAUAUUCCACAAAUCUAAUCCGCUAACAAGUUUUCCUAGCGUGACAUCACCCCGCGGCCCGGCCCUUACGAACCGGUUUUCCCAACCUGGCAUUACACGUAUUGCGAGGUGGUUUUAUUGGCACGUCUUGUCGAAGCAAAGAUCGUGUUCCCCUUAUUACGGGAUUCUCAUCAAUACGGGUGUGGGUAACCCAACUACGCUUGUUAGUAUAACUCCUUGAUUUUAGGCAAGUUCCAAAUGGUCACGCCGAGGACGCUUGAUAUUCACCCCCUUUAUAGAGGGACCGAGGCAUGUCCCUUUCUUCCCACACUUGCUCCUUCCCCCACCUUGAGUUCCAACACCCAAAGCUCAGGCUUAAGCGCUUUAGACCUUCAAUCAUGUCCGGAUCCAACCUUGAAGGUCGGUGGAUGGCCUCCCCUGUCACAGAGGAGGACAUAGAGAAGCUCAGGGAGGCCAGGUAUUUGACCGCCGAAAUCCCGCACAGGCUACCUGCUCAAGGGCAGGUCAUCCCCACUCCCGAACCCAACAAGAGCGUUGUAUUUGUUUCCCACUUCCUCCAAGGCUUAGGCUUUAGUCUUGAUCCCUUUGUUAGAGGGCUCAUGUUCUAUUACGGGCUAGAUUUUCAUGAUCUAGCUCCGGACUCCAUCCUUCACAUCUUGUCGUUUAUCGUCGUGUGUGAAGCCUUCCUCCAUAUCACCCCACACUUCGGCCUAUGGCUCAAGACCUUCAAUAUAAAGCUGAAGGUGAUCGACGGGAGAUAUGCGGAGUGCGGAGGCGCUAUAAUAAGCAAAAGCGCCGAUGCCCCAUGGCCAUAGGGUUCCUUCUCGGAGGUGUCCGACUUAUGGCAGCGAAGGCGGUUCUAUAUCACAGCUCCCCAAGGCACAAAGUGGGCGGCCGCCCCCGCCUUCCGCUCGGGCCCUCCGCCUCAACUGGCGUCAUGGGUCAACGAGGGACUGGAUUGGGGGGCCAGCUAAUGACGUACCGGCAUUGCAAGGCCGCAUUCGGGAUCUUCUCGAGAGGGAUGUCAGUCUUGUCAAGGUAAUGCAAGUAAUGCUAGUUCGUCGGGUCCUGCCGUGCCAACGUCAACCUGUCUGCAUGUGGGAGUUCAACCCGGAAGGACCGUGAACUAUUCAACAAUUCUUCGGCAUGACGCUCGAAGGGAUGUACAGGUUGUUCUUCGGAUCACGAAUAAAGUGUCCGGACACCACCGAGGACGCGGGUCUUAACUGCAACCGUCUAGAUACUCAAGUAAGUAACUUCGCAACCGAACAUGCUGUCUUUAUAUGUGACACAACACCAAUCUGAAAAAACGAUCUUGUCCGGGACUGGAUACGGAAGGCAGAGAGGAUCAGAUGUUCGGCCCCUCUUCCCGAAGGCUCGCCGGAUCCUGUACUAGUCAGGAUGCUUGAGCGCGCACCCUAUCAAGUGCCAUGAGGAGAAGAUGAAGGGAGGAAUAAAGAAGCCGAAAGCGGGCUUCAUACAUUGCACAUCCAAACCGGGGGAAUUAACGUCUCCACGAAGGAGAAUAAUCGAGGAGGUGAAUCUAAAAUUCCCUUCCCCCGUGGGAAGAAAAGGGGCACCUCCGAAGACUUGGAAGUGGAUGUGUCCAAACAAGGGAAGAAACCCUCGCCAGGGGGCCCUGCCCCAGAGGGCGUCCUCACCGCACAGCGCCCGCAAACGGUCCAGCCCUCCACCGAGCUGUAAGUGAAUUAAAAGUAUUUUGAUAAAUAUAUCUUGCUUUAUCUCUAAGAAUAAUAACCGAGACCUAUCUUGCAGUCCGGAUCAUAGCCCUUCUCAAUAGAGUUCGUCCUCGGGGGAUCUUCUUCCGAAGAUGAUGGAGAGCGAAAUGCCUCCUCCUGCCUCCCCACCCCAUGGGGCGGACGACCCCGAGGUGUCGUCACGGAGGAUUUCUCCUGAUCCACUAAGGCCAGAAGUUAAUGCUUCGGCCGCCUGAAGCCCGGAGUAUUCGGCUCCCAGGGAGAGCAACUAGAAGAGUCCGGGAUUGUCCGACACACAGCCGGACACAUUGACAGGCCUUCUAGAGCGAGCGGCUAUCUCAGAGGAGCACCGUACUUUAAUGGGUACGGUGUUUGAGAGGAUUUCAUCCACCAGAAGCAGGUUGAAUGACGCUUUUAUGAGUCUGCUCAAAGGCUUUGAGGUACGCAAAGUAAUAUGUAAACUUUCGGCUGUACCGCACACGCUAGGUGUGUUCCGUAUAUAUAGUAGCCCCUGAGACUCUGGUUGCCAGCCCGAGGCGGCAAACGGAGGAUCAUACUCCCCAGUAAUGAUCGCGCUGCGUUAUGUGCAGACAGUUGAGGGUCUGGCGGUUGACCGGACUGCUGAAUUCGCCGAACUGAAGCGACAGCUUGAUGUGGCGGAUGCCGACAUCGCGCUUGUGAACAAGCAUCUUGACGAGGCACAGGGUAUGUGUUUUUCAGUAUUGUGAGCAACUAUUAAGAGGAGCAUGAUGCUAGUAUCUAUAAUAUGUUGUGGCUGCAGAUGGAGCUGCUGCCGUGGAGGCCCUUCGGGGGGAACUUGCCCUAGCCAAGCAACAAGCCAGGAUAAGUGAUGCGGCCGCCCUAAAGGCGGGCGAAGAGUUAAGAGCCGAGCAGGCUGCUCAUUGCUGGAGCAAAGAUAAAAUAGACGAGAUGGCUGUUGAGCUGAAAGAUGCCACCGGCCAAUAUGAGCUCCUUGAAAAGAAGAGACAAGCGAAAGCGGCUGACCUGAAGAAGGCCUUGGAAGCAGCCAAGGAAACACGCUCUGAAAUCAGAGCUACACGAGAGGAGCUUCGACAAGCCGGAGAUAUCACGGCUGGGAGGCCCUUUUUGUUGCGGAUAAAGUUCGGAGAUCCAAAGUAUGCUCCUCUGUAUCAAUUAAGGAGUGCUGCAGACGCAUAUGCAAACCUGACAAAGAGUACUGCUGAUGCGACUAAGUUUUUCAAAGAUCAGAAAGAUCAUGAGGUAGAAAGGUUGUUCUGGUCGCAGUUCGGUGCCCCAAUGCGUCCGCUGCCAUUGAAUGAAAAGCUGGCCGCAUGGGCCAAGCUCCAUAGGUUGUCCGGGCUUGCCAUGAGGUCUGUCAUGGAUCAUCUUUGGCCGAAGGGACCAAGGCCGGACAGUUAUUUUAGUUUAGUGCAACAAUUCCUUGGUGUUGUGUCGCAUAUCGAUGCUGUGAAGAGGUCGGCAUGCAUAGAGGGUGCGCGGAUGGCUCUUGCCCGUGUUAAAACAUUUUGGGCAGGGAUGGAGGCCACGGGUAUUGCAACCCGGGGUCCGGCGGAAGGCCAGGACCUGGCCGAGCACUAUUUUGAACAGGUCUUAGAAGGCGCCCGUUUAAUAGAGGCUCAGUGCUCAAAGAGUAUCAUGUUCGAGUGACAUAUAUCUCAAUUGUAAAGACAAUGCUAUUUUGAUUAUAAAGGUUGUGUUUAUACUUUUGUCCGAAAGUAUUGUAGUGCCUCCUGUGCGGCCGUUUAUGUAUGUAUAUAACCUGAAAGUUUGGAGUCGUUGGCUUCAGCCCCCACGGAUAUAAUGCGGGGGUGUUCGAAAAAGGCGCGUAAUCACACUUGAUCCAACGUCUUGGUCCAUUAAGGAGGUGAUCGCACGUCGAACUAGGCAACCGGACUAUAUAGCUUUAACACUUUCACUUAGCCAUAGAAGUUUGACGGUGGGGCUACUAUAUAGCCCCUGGUACUUCCGCGUUCAUCCGAAUAUGGUGUGCGUACGUACAUGACCGGGAAACCGGUCCUUCAUUAAUGCGGAGGAAUCCCUAAGAUUCCGCUAAGUCAUCGAGUGGUUGACCAGUCUCUCGCUGUAUCAUGACAGUCAGUUUUCGGCUUUCUCUACUGAGGUGCUCAUCCGGAAUAACCAGGGCACAAUCGCAGUAGUUCUCGGUUGGCCGCCUUAGCCGAUAAAAUGGAACGUAAGGUAGCAAAACCCAGGAGCCGGGCAAACCCAACAUUUGACCAAAGACAUGAUUCGGAGCUGAUGCAUAUAAGGCCAAACUCGCGACGCCGAACACUCCCGAAGGUAUUCGGACUUUGUAACAUAUAUUGGGCUGAGUAACGCCCUGAAUAAUGAACCCCGAAUUUCCAGGUACGUGCAUUAUUCUGUCGUUGCGAAAUGCCAAUAACGCCAGUAUCCCUCGUGGGUGUAUUAAUUACCCUGGGGAUGUCAAGCAACAAGAGACAUUAAAGAAGGUUUAUACAUGGGCUUAAUCUAAAGAGAAACCUUUGAGCGGGGCCCAGCUACACGUCUAUGCCUUUGUCUCUGUUGUGCCGUACCCUGGAAGGGUGUAGCACGAUGGUCAUCUAUAAAAAAGGAAAAACCCAGGUAAAAGAGUCUGGUGUAAUCGUGCGAGAAGUUGGUUAUUCUCAAUGAAUCAUUAAAAUGCAAUAUAUUAUUAUAUUAAUAGGGUCAAGCCGAACUGUUGGCUUUUUUACAUACGGGCAACCCCUAGCACCGCUUAUGGGGGUAUGUCCAUAGACCCAAGCUCAGGUUUAUCUGGGUUGUUACAACCGGCAGUGCGCUGGACUCAUCUAACCGUGUCCGUGGUCUUAACGACCGGUCAUGUAUUCUAGUUGGAGAGGCCGCUCAGUGUUCAGCUGCAAGAGCCGCCACAUAUUCUUCCACGCGUAAGGAACGCUCUAUGUUUUCGUUUACUGUGAUGACGCCACAUGGACCAGGCAUCUUGAGUUUAAGGUAAGCGUAGUGCGGUACUGCGUUGAAGCGAGCAAAGGCCGCUCUUCUGAGUAGUACGUGAUAGCCGCUUCGGAAUGGAGGAAUGUCGAAGAUUAAUUCUUCGCUUCUGAAGUUGUCGGGAGAACCGAAUAUAACCUCUAGUACUAGAGAGCCCGUGCAGCGGGCCUCAACACCUGGUAUUACUCCUUUAAAGGUAGUAUUACUUUGGCUGAUUCUUGACGGGUCUAUCCCCAUUUUGCGGACAGUGUCCAUGUAUAUUAGGUUAAGACUACUACCGCUGUCCAUAAGGACUCUGGUGAGAUGGUAUCCAUGACUUAUUGGGUCGAGCACCAAGGCAGCCGAUCCCCCAUGCCGGACACUGGUCGGAUGAUCCCUGUGAUCAAAAGUGAUCGGCAGGCCGACCAAGGGUUGAAUUUGGGGGCGACGGGCUCUACAGCGUAUACUUCUCGGAGUGCGCAUUAGCGCCUUCUCUUCGGUAUAUGAGUUGCGUAGAUCAUAUUCAUUGUUUUGACUUCUGGUGGGAAUUUUUUCUGUCCCUCAGUGUUUGGCUGGCGAGGCUCAUCCUCGUCAUCACUUGGUGUCUCCCUUCCUUUGUGUUCGGCGUUUAGCUUGCCAGCCUGCUUGAAGACCCAGCAUUCUCUAUGGGUGUGAUUUGCAGGUUUUUCGGGGGUGCCGUGAAUUUGACAUAAUCUGUCUAGAACCUUGUUUAGGCUGGACGAUCCCUCUCUGCUACCUUUAAAUGGCUUUUUCCAUUGACCGGGUUGAGAGCCCCUGAAUCCGGUGUUGACCGCCGUGUUAUCUAGACUGUCUUCAUUGUUUCGAUGCUUGUUUUUAUUGCGCCACGACUUCCCGUUGCCAUCCCUGAUUUCGGAUGUGCCUGGGUCGUUGGUGCCUCUACGAGCCAACCAGCUGUCCUCUCCCGCGCAAAAGCGGGUCACAAGGCUUGUUAGGGCCGCCAUUGUCCUUGGCUUUUCUUGGCCAAGGUGUCUGGCGAGCCAUUCGUCUCGGAUACUGUGCUUGAAAGCCGCUAAGGCUUCGGCAUCCGGGCAAUCGACUAUUUGAUUCUUCUUAGUGAGAAAUUUGUUCCAAAGCUUAUGGGCUGACUCUCCGGGUUGUUGGAUUAUGUGACUUAAAUCAUCUGCAUCCGGAGGUCAGACAUAGGUCCCUUGAAAAUUGGCCCUUAAAGCAUCCUCAAGUUCCUCCCAACUUCCAAUUGAGUUUUCGGGGAGGCUUUUCAACCAAUGUCGAGCUAGUCCUUUCAACUUCAGGGGCAAGUAUUUAAUGGCAUGGAGAUCAUCUCCGCGAGCCAUGUGUAUAUGAAGGAUAAAGUCCUCAAUCCAUACCCUAGGGUCUGUCGUUCCGUCGUAUGCCUCUAUAUUCACGGGUUUGAAUCCCUGUGGAAAUUCAUGAUCCAGCACUUCAUCGGUGACGCACAGGUGGUGCGCGGCACCUCUGUAUCUAGACAUGUUGUGGCAUGCUGUUGACGGCUGUUGUGCUUGGUGUUGAUUUUGAGCUGGUAUUUGAUAAAUAUGAUCAUUUUUGUAUAUGUAAUCAUGAGUCGGAGCGCGCUUUUUGGGUCCGUAGAUGGACCUGUUUACCCCUACUUUUUGUCCAGGAGCUCACGUAGAAAGUGUGCUGACUUGUGUGCGGCAUCAUUGGCCGCCCUGUCGCGGCCAUGGGGUGGCUAGUCCGGCUGAUCGGCCAUAUAUUUUUCCGGCGGAAUGGGCUCUAUGGCCUCCUCGUCGAAUUUGGGCAGCAGCUUGUGCUUUGGGUAGCUCUUUGUGUGGCGAUCGUCGCCGUAUUUUUCUUCAGUGUCUAGCACUUUAUUCCAUCUGCGACACUUUGUUCCAUCUGUGAUUGAGCAUAUCUUACGCAGCCUUAAGCCUUUGCUUCUGCUUCUUCAGGCUCCUUGCGGUGGCCAUAAGCCUUCUAUGGAGGUUCUCUUGUUCCAAACGUUUUUCCAGGAUGAUGUAUGCGUCGUCUUUCGGACUAUCCUCCUCUUCGGAGGCAGGUUGAUGAGUUUUACCCUCGGGAUCGCUGUGAUCGGACACCUGCUCCGGGCUAUGUUCGGCGUCCACUAGCUCAUCCUGCUCCAUCGCUGGGUCCAUGGGGUCGUCGUUUCCUUUGGAGUCGACUGGGGUGUUAUUUUUUCUUGCGCUAUUAUCGCUAUUUUUACUGUGGCUGGAUUUGGAGCGGCGCCUGCACCGUUGCUUUGGUUUCUGCCCAGGGGGAUUAUCCUCUGUUACAUCCUUUUUGUCGUCGUUCUUCUCCUUGGGUGUGUCCACCAUGUAUAUAUCAUAUGAUGAGGUGGCUGUCUAGCGCCCCGUGGGCGGUGGUUCCCGAUCAUCUCCAGCAUCGACGUCUAUACCGUCGAUGUCUUCGGAGUCGAAGUCAAGCGUGUCGGUUAAGUCAUCGACAGUGGCUAUUAAGUGGGUGGUGGGUGGGUAGGGAAUUUCUUCGUCGUCCACAUCCCACUCGGGCCGGACAUAGUCUCUAAAUUCAUUGAGGUCCCAUUGAGGUUUCUGCUUGGGGGGAUUAUCCUCCGUUGCAUCCCUAGCCAAGAGUCUCCUGAUAAAGAGAGAGACCUCAAUGAAAUUAGCAAGUCGCCCAAGGGGGAGUGUUGAAAGAUAUCCACGGAGGUAAACUCCAUGAUCGGUGCCCAAUCAGAUUCGAUAGGUAUCGACGUGUCACGACCGGUUUUUCAAUAAAAUAAUUAUUGAGAAAAUCGAUCUUUAAAUCCCAGUAUAGGAAAAGUCAUCCUCACUGGUAGACAAAAUACUUGAUGAACAGAGGACCAGUAGCAUUAAAUAUAUUACAGAGUUGAGCUAAGGCUGCUCAACAAUUUAUUACAAACUCGCCAAUAUCCUACAUAAGGGCGGUUAUGUCACAUGGAUGUGGUGGCAUGCUACUAGCUCGAGGUAAAAAGUGGUGGAUAACUUAACUCCUAACUGGCAGCUCAUCGAGCGUUGAGGUGAGGCUCGAUGAAUUUAUUUCUGGGGUUGCGGAAGCGGAUAAUACAAUGACCAAACAGGAUCGCACGGGACUGACUGGGACUCCUCUAGGCGUCGGACUCGCUAUCAAACUCUUCAUCCAUGAGAUCGCCUUCAUCAACAUCUGGCCAAAUCAACAAGCCAGGUGAGUACUUUGAAAGUACUCGCAAGACAGUUCGGACAAAGGAUAUAAUCAAUGAAUGCAUGAAUGCGCCACGAAUAAAAAUGAUGCUCAUACAUCAAUAAUAAUAUUUAUGCACGACUCGAUAAGUAAGCAAAUAAAUGAAACCGAUCGGGUGUCUGGAGCAAUGCCUCAAAAGGUAAACAAAUAAAACUCAUGCCGCAGUCGGGCGUCUAAGCGACACCACAUAAAGGGCUUUAAAAGAAAUGCCACAGUCGAACGUCUGAGCGACAUCACAUAAAGGGCUUUAAAAGAAAUGCCACAGUCGGACGUCUGAGCGACAUCACAUAAAGGGCUUUAAAAGAAAUGCCACAGUCGNNNNNNNNNNGGUUAUUUGCAAAAGUGAGAUCUGAUAGAGACAGAUAAAUGGUAAAGUAAAUAUUUUUGGUAUUUUUGGUUUAUAGACUGGAAAGUAAAGAUUGUAAAAUAGUAGAUCGGAAACUGUAUAUUGUAAAAUAGACCCGUGGGCCAUAGGUUUCACUAGUGGCUUCUCUCAAGAUAGUAAAUAUUACGGUGGGUGAACAAAUUACUACCGAGCAAUUGAUAGAAGAGCGCAUAAUUAUGAUGAUGUCUAAGUCAAUGAUCAUGAAUAUAGGCAUCACGUCUGUGUCAAGUAGACUGAAACGAUUCCGCAUCUACUACUAUUACUCCACACAUCGAUCGCUAUCCAGCAUGUAUCUAGAGUAUUAAGUUCAUAAAGAACGGAGUAACGUAUUAAGUAAGAUGACAUGACGUAGAGGAGUUAACUCAAGCAAUAUGAUGAAAACCCCAUCUUUUUAUCCAUGAUGGCAACAAUACAAUAUGUGCCUUGCUACCCCUACUGUCACUGGGAAAGGACACCGCAAGAUUGAACCCGAAGCUAAGCACUUCUCCCAUUGUAAGUAAAACCAAUCUAGUGUCACGACCGGUUUUUCAAUAAAAUAAUUAUUGAGAAAAUCGAUCUUUAAAUCCUAGUAUAGGAAAAGUCAUCCUCAUUGGUAGACAAAUACUUGAUGAACAGAGGACCAGUAGCAUUAAAUAUAUUACAGGGUUGAGCUGAGGCUGCUUAACAAUUUAUUACAAACUCGCCAAUAUCUUACAUAAGGGCGGUUAUGUCACAUGGAUGUGGUGGCAUGCUACUAGCUCGAGGUAAAAAGUGGUGGAUAACUUGACUCCUAACUGGCAGCUCAUCGAGCGUCGAGGUGAGGCUCGAUGAAUUUAUUUCCGGGGUUGCGGAAGCGAAUAAUACAAUGACCAAACAGGAUCGCACGAGACUGACUGGAACUCCUCUAGGCGUCGGACUCGCUACCAAACUCUUCAUCCAUUUGGCCAAAUCAACAAGCCAGGUGAGUACUUUGAAAGUACUCGCAAGACAGUUCGGACAAAAGAUAUAAUCAAUGAAUGCAUGAAUGCGUCACGAAUAAAAAUGAUGCUCAUACAGCAAUAAUAAUAUUUAUGCACGACUUGAUAAGUAAGCAAAUAAAUGAAAGCGAUCGGGUGUCUGGAGCGACGCCCCGAAAGGUAAACAAAUAAAACUCAUGGUGCAGUCGGGCGUCUAAGCGACACCACAUAAAGGGCUUUAAAAAAUGCCACAGUCGGACGUCUGAGUGACAUCACAUAAAGGGCUUUAAAAGAAAUGCCACAGUCGGACGUCUGAGCGACAUCACAUAAAGGGCUUUAAAAGAAAUGCCACAGUCGGACGUCUGAGCGACAUCACAUAAAGGGCUUUAAAAGAAAUGCCACAGUCGAACGUCUGAGCGACAUCACAUAAAGGGCUUUAAAAGAAAUGCCACAGUCGGACGUCUGAGCGACAUCAUAUAAAGGGCUUUAAAAGAAAUGCCACAGUCGGACGUCUGAGCGACAUCACANNNNNNNNNNCGAAAGGUGAACAAAUAAAAAUAAGGAAAAUGAUGCCACAGUCAGGCAUCUUAGCGACACCACAUAAAGGGCUUUUUUAAAAGAAAUGCCACGGUCGGAUGUCUGAGCGACAUCGCAGAAAGGGCUUUAAAAGAAAUGCCACAGUCGGACGUCUGAGCGACAUCACAUAAAGGGCUUUAAAAGAAAUGCCACAGUCGGACGUCUGAGCGACAUCACAUAAAGGGCUUUAAAAGAAAUGCCAAAGUCGGACGUCUGAGCGACAUCGCAGAAAGGGCUUUAACAAAAAUGCCACAGUCGGACGUCUGAGCGACAUCACAUAAAGGGCUUUUAUUCACAAGUAAAUAAUACUCAUAAUAAAUNNNNNNNNNNAAGGGCUUUAAAACAAAUGCCACAGUCGGACGUCUGAGCGACAUCACAUAAAGGGCUUUAAAAGAAAUGCCACAGUCAGACGUCUGAGCGACAUCACAUAAAGGGCUUUAAAAGAAAUGCCACAGUUGGACGUCUGAGCGACAUCACAUAAAGGGUUUUAAAUAAAGUAAAUACGAUUAUGCCACCGUCGGACGUCUGAGCGACAUCACAGACAGGGCUUACAAUAAAUGUAAAUACAAGUAUGCCACCGUCGGACGUUUGAGCGACAUCACAGACAGGGCUUGUAACAAAAGUAAAUGACAAGAUUAGUCCAUCCACAAGAAUAAUCUUUUAACCGGAUUUAUCACACAUGUAUUCCACCGGAGUUUUGUCACUGAGGCUGAUACCUGACAAGAUAAGAUGAAUAUAGUACUUGAACAAAGUACAAGAUAAUUGAAAGAUUUGAGACUCUGCAGAGUUAAUAUUGACUGACCACAGCCAACGGAUUUCCGUAGUCACAAAUGGACUAGUUCCGUUUAUGGUAUUUCAGUAGAAACACAUUUAACUAGUAUACACCCAUUUCACCUCACGAUGCCAGGAAUCACUCUGGACAACGUCCAAGAAAAAUUUUGAGACGGGGAGGUCACAACCUCGAAUAGCAUGGGAUCAAAUUUCUAUACGCGCACUCUAAGGGGUGCCCCCCUCUCGGUCCCAACCGGAAACACCCAUGCCCCUUGACCGGAUGACGGGCUUUAAUCCAUGGCCAUGGAAACCUCAUCCCGGCCUCUCUAUUUGGUGUGUACCAGGAAAACGAUUUGCAACUUACUAAGCCAUAUUCCUUUCGAAAACAUGUGACAGUACAGGAAGGAAUGAAUGGAAAUGUGAUUUGUUUCACGAUGACACGGAAGUCAAAUAAUCUGGCAUAAGACUGGCAUGUCACAACACUACCAUCUUACCCAUCCUCAUGCCAUCACAUGGCCAUGCAAAUAUGUAUCCAACAACAUAAUGCUUUUCCGAAACUUACUUUCCACUUAUAUGCAUGAAAUAUAACAUUCAAGAAAUGUUCAUAAACAUGCCAUGACUAUACAAAAAUGCAAACAUGCAACAGCCACUCAUCAUAUCAAGAGUUCAGACAUGCUUGCCUGGUUCGGAGUAGUCGGAGUUUAACUGUGUGAAGUUUGCGGCUCCGUCACCUCCUCCGGUAUCUACGGUAUAAGAAAAAUAUGUACGUAACAUAAAUAACGUGAGUGCACAGAAAAAUGGUCCAAAUAUUUUUCAAAUAAAUAUGACAAAAAACUAGACAGAAAAAUAAAGGUGACAGAAAAGGAAUCAAACAAAAAUCAUUUUUUUUUAAGUUAUAAGAGUUUUGGUCCAAGGACCCAUGUGUAAUGAAACAGAAAGUUUCCAGGGGGCUCUGCGGAAAAGUCUAGAAAAACGUUUCGUUUAAAAGAAACGACUGAGAGGCUGACAGGUGGGCUCCACCUGUCAAGCUUGAAAUUUCAAACGGGGAAAAGAGAGCGCGACGGUGCCCGAGAGAUGCGGUGGUCGCUGGCGGCGAUCCACGGUGAGGCAAGGUGAUCGGGGGUUACCUUCGUGAUCAGUGCACCUUUCCGCGUCUGUGAGUGGUGGUGGUGGUCGCCGGCGAGCACUGUGUCGACGGCGGCCCUUGCUCCGGCGGACGGCGGUUCGGGCAGUCGUGGAUCUUGCCGGAGGGAGCUACGGUGUUCAAAUUGAAGUGGGGGUUAGCCUACUGGAGGUGGUACGGGGCUACGGGCAAGAGCAGGGCGGCGGAGGAGUUCUCACCAAAGAGAAUGUUGUCGGAGCCCGAGGCAGACGGAGGUGGCCGGAGUCGAAGAAGAAAGGCCCCUCGAGGCUCUCCCAGUGGCUAGGCGGGGUCUAGUGAGGUGGUGGAGUUGUGCGGGGGCGAGAGCAAGCUCGAGGGGGUGCUAUUUAUAGCCGGCCCGAGGCGGUUGCCGUGAACGGAUAAGUCCGGUGGGUGAUUACGGCGGCGCUGUGGCGCGACGGUCGGCUUAGGAGCUUGAGCAUCGCCUAGAUGGAGCAGUGGUGCCAUUUCAGGGUCCAACUCAGCACGGGAGGGAGGGUUACGGCCUGCCCUCGACGGAACGACAGCACGGCCCGUCGGCGGCAGAGAACGUGCUCUGCGCGUGCCAGGCCACGGCGACGGUGAUGCAUCCGUGCGCUGGCAAGGAGAUGGCCACGCGGAGCUACCAGGAGGGUUGGGCGGCGCCGAACGGCGUUCUGCCGCGGUGUUGCCCCCUGUCGGCCGUUACGGUGGCUCUGCUGCCGCAAAGCACGCCGGCGCAGGCGGGCCAGGGCGCCGCCGACGCCAGGAAGGCGCCAAGCGCGCGUGUGAAGCUCCGGACAAGAGGGAAGGGCUGCGAGGAUCGAGCCAAAUGCACAGUGGGCAUGUCACUGAAGUUCUGUCGGGGAAACGACACUGAAACUCUGAAUUUACUGAAUAUGAACAAAAACAAUGCAUGCCAAGUGUUCGACAGAAUGAUUCUGGCAUGUAGGGAUUUUUCCUUGAGCUGAUUUUUGGUGGAGAGGUCUCUCAUUGCAACUAGAGUUUGCCUGAAUUUUGGUUGAAUUUUUGGAGAAGUGUAGAUAUGAAUUUCACCAAAUUUGGCAAAUCUGGUCCAAACUUGCAGAGAGUGAAAUUUGAAAUUUUUGAAAGGAAGAAGAGUGGAUCAAAAUGGUUCUAGGUUGUGGGUACUAAGGACUAUCUAGGGGAGUUGGUUUGGGAUGCAGGAUCAAAGGCAUUAGGGUACUUGCUUUGCAAAUCACCUAGGUUCACAAGAAAGGACAGAAUUGUUUUGGGAAAAGAAAUAAUUGGAAUAAAAUCCAAAAAUGGAUUUUAUCAGUUUGGACAGAAUGCUUGGGUUGUACCAAAGUGGAUGGAGAGGUUUUGGGGAAGUUUUUGCCAUAGGAGGUAUGGUAAACAAGAAGGGAUCAAAAUCAAAUAAAAGCCCAAAACCAAAAGGGUUUCUCUUUAGAAGAAAAUAAAUCCAAGAAAAGAUUUUUAGAGGGCAAACUCAGAAGAGGGUUUUUAAGAAGGGUUUAAAUGACCUUCUUCAAACCAAGCAAGGCUCUUUCUGAAAACAAAACCACAAAAAAAUUUGGAGUGUCACAGCACCUACCCCCUUAGGAAAAAUCUCGUCCCCGAGAUUUCAGCUGAUCCUUAAACAGGUGUGGGUGCUCUGUCCGAAGAAAAUCCUCGCUCUCCCAAGUUGCUUCAUUCUCGGUGUGAUUGCUCCACUGAACUUUGAAAAACUUGAUGGUUUUCUGUCGGGUCCUCCUCUCAGACUCUUCUAAUAUUUUUAUGGGGUGCUCCCGGUAGGUGAGGUCUGGUUGCACGUCAAUAUUCUCAUGUGAUACUUGCUUCUCUGGGUUGCUCACGUAUUUUCUCAACUGCGAGAUGUGGAACACGUUGUGGAUACCGGAUAAAUCUCCGGGUAGGUCUAGCUGGUAGGCUACCGUGCCUCUUUGGGCCACUAUGUGAAAUGGUCCGAUGAAUCUUGGUGCUAGCUUUCCCUUAAUCCUGAAUCGCUGCAGACCCUUCAUAGGAGAAACUCUUAGGUAAACCAAUUCUCCAGGUUCAAAACUGAUUUCCCGAUGCUUUCGAUCGUAAUAACUCUUCUGCCGACUUUGAGCUGUUUUGAGUCAAUUUCUAAUGGUUUUAACUUUCUCCUCAGCCUCCUUGAGCAUAUCUGGGCCGAAGAUAUGGCUGUCUACGGUCUCUGACCAAUUUAGCGGGGUACGGCAUCUUCUCCCAUAUAGAGCUUCAAAGGGUGCCAUUUGCAAGCUGGCUUGAUAGCUGUUGUUGUAUGCGAACUCUGCAUAUGGCAAACUUUCUUCCCAGCUGUUCCCGUAGGUGAGGACACAGGCUCUUAGCAUGUCUUCUAGGAUUUGGUUUACGUGUUCAGUCUGCCCAUCAGUUUGGGGAUGGUAUGCGGUACUGAAUGCUAGUUGGGUUCCCAGUGCCUGUUGCAGGUGAUCCCAAAAUCUAGAGAUGAACUGUGUGCCUCUAUCGGAGAUGAUAGUCUUUGGAACUCCAUGUAGGCAGACGAUACGGGCAAGAUAAAGUCUGGCCAGUCUCUGCGUGGUGUAAGUUGUCUUCACUGAAUAAAAUGUGCCACUUUGGUUAAUAUUUCGGUUAUGACCCAUAUGGCAUCGUUUCCGUGUCGUGACCGUGGCAGUCCAACGAUAAAGUCCAUUCCGAUCUCGUCCCACUUCCACUCGGGUAUCUUGUUUGGUUGUAAUAGCCCGGCUAGUUUCUGGUGCUCGGCCUUGAUACGUUGACAAGAGUCACAUGAUGCAAUGAACGUGGCUAUAUCUCUCUUCAUACCGUGCCACCAAAAAUUUCCCUGAAAGUCUUUGUACAUUCUUGUCCCUCUAGGAUGGAUUGAGUACGGAGCUGUGUGACUUUCAGUCAAUAUCUGCUGUUUGAGUUCCUUGAUAUUUGGUACGCAUAGUCUUUCUCCGUACCACAAUAUUCCUUGCUCAUCUAUGUUGAAUUCUGAGGCUUUGCCCAAACUCACUUUCCUUUUUAUGCCCUCAAUGCUGGGGUGUCCGUGCUGGGCUUCCUUGAUCUUUUCCAUCAGGGUAGGCUGUAUUUCUAGGUUCGACACACUGCCUUCGGUAACCAUUAUUAAAUUGAGUCUGGCAAAUUCCUGUUGAAAUUCUGGCCUCAACUUUGGUAUACCGUCGUCGUCCGGGCUGGGAUUCCGACUAAGUGCAUCUGCCACAACAUUUGCUUUUCCGGGAUGAUAGUGGAUUCCAACAUCAUAAUCCUUCACCAACUCUAACCAGCGUCGUUGCCGUAAAUUUAGUUCCGGCUGUGUGAAAAUAUACUUAAGACUCUUAUGGUCUGUGUAUAUCUCACAACGAUUUCCAAGUAGGAAGUGUCUCCAUUCCUUGAGUGCAUGGAUGACCGCUGCUAAUUCCAAGUCAUGAGUGGGAUAAUUCUCCUCAUGCUUGCAGAGCUGUCUGGAGACAUACGCAACUACCUUGCCUUCUUGCAUCAAUACGCAUCCGAGGCCUUUCCGGGAUGCGUCGCAAUAUACUUCAAAAUUCUUGUGUAUGUCUAGCACAAUUAAUACUGGUGCCGUUGUUAAUUUGCUUUUUAGCUCUUGGAAACUUUUCUCACAUGCUUCUGUCCAUUCGAACUUCUUGCCUUUCUUGAGCAGUUGUGUCAUUGGCUUUGCUAUGGUGGAGAAUCCUUCAAUAAAUCUCCGAUAAUAGCCUGCCAUUCCCAAGAAAGUCCGUACAUCCGUUACGUUAGCUGGUGGUUUCCAGCUAAGUACGGCCUUGACUUUUUUCGGGUCUACUGCAAUACCUUCUUGGGUUAGCACGUGGCCCAGAAAACCCACCUACCUUAGCCAAAAUUCACAUUUGCUGAAUUUGGCGUACAGUUGAUGUUUCCUGAGUUCUCCGAGUACAAUCCUGAGAUGCUCGGAGUGCUCUUCUGGUGUCUUGGAGUAUAUCAGAAUAUCAUCGAUGAAUACCACAACAAACUUGUCCAUAUACUUCAGAAAUACUUUGUUCAUGAGGUGAACAAAAUAUGCGGGGGCGUUGGUUAGCCCGAAUGGCAUCACUGUGAACUCAUACAACCCAUAUCUGGAGGUGAAGGCAGUCUUGGGAAUAUCUUUUGUUCGCACUUUUAAUUGGUGGUAUCCUGAUCUCAAGUCAAUUUUCGAGAAGACUUUGGCCUGUGCGAGCUGAUCAAAUAAAUCAUUUAUUCGGGGCAUUGGGUAUUUGUUCUUGAUUGUGACCAUGUUAAGAGCCCGAUAGUCAAUACACAACCUCAUUGUUCCAUCCUUCUUCUUGGCAAAUAAAAUUGGAGAACCCCAAGGUGAGGAGCUGGCUCGUAUGUAUCCUUUCUCCAAUAAUUCUUUUAUUUGCUUCUUUAACUCUACCAAUUCGGAUGGUGCCAUUCUGUAUGGUUUCUUGUAAAUGGGAGCGGUUCCGGGUGCUAGCUCAAUGCUGAAUUCUAUCUCUUGGUCCGGUGGUAUGCCUGGUAGUUCUUCUGGAAAUACGUCUGGAAAUUCACACACUACUGGAACAUUGUUUAGCUCAGAAACGUCCACUUUGUUUAAUCUUGGUUGCCGAGGUAUAUGUCUUUCUUUGGCUAAAACUUUUAUUUUCUUCCCCUAAUGGUGUGUGAGAAUCACGGUCCGAUUGAAGCAGUCAAUAAAACCUUUGUUGGUGGUUAACCAAUCCAUCCCUAGGAUGACAUCCAAUCAUUUGCUUUCCAAUACAAUAAGGUUGGCGUAAAACUUCAAUCCUUCAAAUUCAAUAACCACACCUUGACAGUAACUCUGGGUCACUUGCUUAAUCCCAGGGGACUUGAUGAUCAUUGAUUUCUCCAAGGGAAGCAUCGAAAAAUUAUUUUGCAAAGCAAAACUCUUCGAAAUGAAAGAGUGAGAAGCUCCAGAAUCAAACAAAAUCAUGGCAGGUAUUGUGUUGACGGGGUACAUACCGAGUACGAUAUCUGGGGCGUUCUGUGCUUCCUCUCGGGUCACGUGGUUCAGGUGACCUUUUCGGUGGUUGUUAUUGGGGUUGAAAUUGUUUCGCUUGGGCGCUGAAUUAUUGCCACCAUUAUUGGGCUUUGGGGUCGAGUUCCUUGGCUUGGGGCACUGCUUGGCAUAGUGCCCUUCUUCUCCACAAGUGUAACAAGUAACGCCUGGGCGAUAGGUGAACUCCUUGUCUCUUGAAUGGAAAUUCUUGAUUGGACGUGAAUUUUCGUCGGGGUUUUGUGUGUUCCACCCUUCUGAAAUUCCGUCUUGCUUCUGGGGUUGCGAGUAAAAGUAGUGUGGUCCCUUUUUCGUUUGCGGAUAUCUUCCAGGCUACGUCGCUCAUUUUCUAGAGUAAUGGCCUUAUCCACCAGUGUUUUAAAAUCUCGGAAGGUAUGUACAACCAGCUGGCAUUUAAGGGCGGGUGCCAGGCCUUCCAAGAAUUUUUUUCAUCUUCUUGCUCUCAGUCAUGCGCUCUUCAUUGGCGUAGCGAGACAACAGAGUAAAUUGGCUGUUGUAUUCUGACACUGUCAUGGUCCUUUGCUUGAGGUCAUCAAAUUCUCUCUUCUUGAUUUUCAUGACGCUCUUAGGAAUGUGUGCCCCACGAAAACCUUCUUUGCAAUCCUCCCAGGUUAUUUCAUUUUCGUUGGGGUGCAUGUGCAGGAAGUUUUCCCACCACGAUGCGGCUGCUCCCGUGAGGUAAUGUGGUGCAUACAAUACUUUUUCACGAUCUGAACACUGUGCAAUAAUUAUUUUUCUCUCCAUGUCUCGAAGCCAGUCGUCGGCCUCAAGAGGCUUGUCAGUAUGAGAAAAUGUUGGAGGACGCGUCUUCUGUAACUCAGAUAAUUUGGAUUACGGUUGAUACUGACCACGGUUGCUUCCCAUAUUGAUGAAUUGGUUCAUCAUUUCCUGGUGUUGUUGCUGACUUUGUUCAUACAGACGACACACUUGUGUAAAAGCUGUUUCACUGUCCUGUUGACUUGUCUGACCCUGAGUGAAAUUGUGGUUUUGCGGUGUGCCAUAAUUUUCUCCUGGCUGAUUUGGCAUGGAGCGCGUCCAAGGACGAUACAUCUUUCACUUUGGGGAUAUAUUUUGUGAAACUCGUAGGAUAAGGAAGAGAGUCGCAAAAGUCAAUAAAAUCACACACAAAGAACAUUUUAAAACUCCAGGAUAUUUUUGAAAACACACGAUUGCGCGCGGAGAAGGACUAUUACAUAUCUUACACGCAAGCAUAAUUAUACAUUACAUCACUCAGGAUAUGCGUACAUAAUUCUGACAUGUUAUUUAACUAGUGCACUUCUCCAGAUCCUACAUGAUGCGCAAACAGGCUACUUCUCACAACCUAUGUAGAUAUAACAUAUUACACAAGUCGGUACAUCGCAUGGCGUCUACGCGUACUCAGUCGGAGAUGGUGAGGAUCUCCCUUGGCCUGCCGAGGGUGAGACGCAGUGACGCUGGGGAAUCAACUUCCUCCUCGCUAAUAGGUUCCAGACGAGGAACGCUACGCUGAGCUGAUGGAGCAGGUGCCGUAGGCGGAGUACCCUGAAUAAGAGUGGGCGGAAUAGGUGGAGUAGCACGUAUGGGAGUGGGUGCAAAAAGUGGUGCAACGCGAACGGGAGUGGGUGCAAUAGCCUGGUUAAAUUCCUCAGUGGUAGGCAAACGACGAGCAGUGGCGAGAAUGGUAGGUGAAUGAGAAGUUGAGGACGAGAUAAAAGUCAGCGGUGGAGCGGUGUGUAGGAGUUCCCUCCUGUUAGCAGCACAGCCAUGAACCGAGUCCAUGUGGGCAGCUACGAGGUCGUCCACCAUGCUGUAGAAGGCUGCCUCCAGGGCUCGGAGGUACUCGACCAGCAUCUCAAAAGCCUCGUCUUGCUCUCCUCUGGGGCAAGGGAAUGAGUAGUGACAGGUGUAAGGCACAUGGCAUGGAAGGUAGCGGUAGCGACGGGUCUUCGUUUCAGGAAGGACAUCCCGAAGACGAGCUAUCGCCUUGCGGGCUGCCAUCUGCAUAGCAUGCCUCUCUGUAGGCAUGGCUCUCCCCAAGAAACGGAAGCGGCGCAUCUCAACACUCCCUCCCCUGAAUUGCACCGUGGCCUGGUGCAUGGUCAGACUGUCGUUGAUCUUGUGCGGAUAAAGUGUGAAGACUAGGCGCACGGAUGGCCCCAUCGCGACCUGAACGAUGAAGGAGAGGAGUUUGACGAACCCCUCAGGCACGUUGGCGAACAUUUGAGACUCGCAGUCGCUGCCAGCCAUCUACAAAAAUAGGCAAAAAUUCUGAGUGAUCAGAUCAUAAAUUUUAUGCUGACUGUCAGAAAAAUGACUACAUUUGUAAAAACAUGAAUAACUCUAUCCUGCUAAUAACUAAUUAGCGAUCACACCUAGUGGUUUCCUACAGUCAGCCUGGCUCUGGUUACCAAGUCUGUCACGACCGGUUUUUCAAUAAAAUAAUUAUUGAGAAAAUCGAUCUUUAAAUCCCAGUAUAGGAAAAGUCAUCCUCACUGGUAGACAAAUACUUGUUGAACAGAGGACCAGUAGCAUUAAAUAUAUUACAGGGUUGAGCUGAGGCUGCUCAACAAUUUAUUACAAACUCGCCAAUAUCUUACAUAAGGGCGGUUAUGUCACAUGGAUGUGGUGGCAUGCUACUAGCUCGAGGCAAAAAGUGGUGGAUAACUUGACUCCUAACUGGCAGCUGAUCGAGCGUCGAGGUGAGGCUCGAUGAAUUUAUUUCUGGGGUUGCGGAAGCAGAUAAUACAAUGACCAAACAGGAUCGCACGGGACUGACUGGGACUCCUCUAGGCGUCGUACUCGCUAUCAAACUCUUCAUCCAUGAGAUCGCCUUCAUCAACAUCUGGCCAAAUCAACAAGCCAGGUGAGUACUUUGAAAGUACUCGCAAGACAGUUCAGACAAAUUAUAUAAUCAAUGAAUGCAUGAAUGUGUCACGAAUAAAAAUGAUGCUCAUACAGCAAUAAUAAUAUUUAUGCAUGACUCGGUAAGUAAGCAAAUAAAUGAAACCGAUCGGAUGUCUGGAGCAACGCCUCGAAAGGUAAACAAAUAAAACUCAUGCCGCAGUCGGGCGUCUAAGCGACACCACAUAAAGGGCUUUAAAAGAAAUGCAACAGUCGGACGUCUGAGCGACAUCACAUAAAGGGCUUUAAAAGAAAUGCCACAGUCGGACGUCUGAGCGACAUCACAUAAAGGGCUUUAAAAAAAAUGCCACAGUCGGACGUCUGAGCGACAUCACAUACAGGGCUUUAAAAGAAAUGCCACAGUCGGACGUCUGAGCGACAUCACAUAAAGGGCUUUAAAAGAAAUGCCACAGUCGGACGUCUGAGCGACAUGACAUAAAGGGCUUUAAAUAAAGUAAAUACGAUUAUGCCACCAUCGGACGUCUGAGCGACAUCACAGACAGGGCUUACAAUAAAUGUAAAUACAAGUAUGCCACCGUCGGACGUCUGAGCGACAUCACAGACAGGACUUGUAACAAAAGUAAAUGACAAGAUUAGUCCAUCCACAAGAAUAAUCUUUUAACCGGAUUUAUCACACAUGUAUUCCACCGGAGUUUUGUCACUGAGUCUGAUACCUGAAAAGAUAAGAUGAAUAUAGUACUUGAACAAAGUGCAAGAUAAUUGAAAGAUUUGAGACUCUGCAGAGUUGAUAUUGACUGACCACAGCCAACGGAUUUCCGUAGUCACGAAUGGACUAGUUCCGUUUAUGGUAUUUCAGUAGAAACACAUUUAACUAGUACACACCCAUUUCACCUCACAAUGCCAGGAAUCACCCUAGACAACGUCCAAGAAAAACUUUGAGACGGGGAGGUCACAAUCUCGAAUAGCAUGGGAUCAAAUUUCUAUACGCGUGCUCUAUGGGGUGCCCCCCUCUCGGUCCCAACCGGAAACACCCAUGCCCCCUGACCGGAUGACGGGCUUUAAUCCAGGGCCAUGGAACCCUCAUCCCGGCCUCUCUAUUUGGUGUGUACCAGGAAAACGAUUUGCAACUUACUAAGCCAUAUUCCUUUCGGAAAACAUGUGACAGUACAUGAAGGAGUGAAUGGAAAUGUGAUUUGUUUCAUGAUGACACGGAAGUCAAAUAAUCUGGCAUAAAACUGGCAUGUCAUAACACUGCCAUCUUACCCAUCCUCAUGCCAUUACAUGGCCAUGCAAAUAUGUAUCCAACAACAUAAUGCUUUUCCGAAACUUACUUUCCACUUAUAUGCAUGAAAUAUAACAUUCAAGAAAUGUUCAUAAACAUGCCAUGCCUAUACAAAAAUGCAAACAUGCAACAACCACUCAUCAUAUCAAGAGUUCAAACAUGCUUGCCUGGUUCGGAGUAGUCGGAGUUUAACUGUGAGAAGUUUGCGGCUCCGUCACCUCCUCCGGUAUCUACGGUAUAAGAAAAAUACGUACGUAACGUAAAUACCGUGAGUGCACAGAAAAGUGUUCCAAAUAUUUUUCAAAUAAAUGUGACAAAAAACUAGACAGAAAAAUAAAGGUGACAGAAAAGGAAUCAAACAAAAAUCAUUUUUUGUUUAAAAGUUAUAAGAGUUUAGGUCCAAGGACCCAUGUGUAAUGAAACAGAAAGUUUCCAGGGGGCUCUACGGAAAAGUACAGAAAAACGUUUCGUUUAAAAGAAACGACUGAGAGGCUGACAGGCGGGCUCCACCUGUCAGGUUUGAAAUUUCAAACGAGGAAAAGAGAGCGCGACGGUGCCCGAGAGGUGCGGUGGUCGCCGGCGGCAAUCCACGGUGAGGCAAGGUGAUCGGGGGUUACCUUCAUGAUCGGUGCACCUUUCCGCGUCUGUGGGUGGUGGUGGUGGUCACCGGCGAGCACUGUGUCGACGAUGGCCCUUGCUCCGGCGGACGGCGGUUCGGGCAGUCGUGGAUCUCGCUUGAGGGAGCUGCGGUGUUCAAAUUGAAGUGGGGGUUAGCCUACUGGAGGUGGUACGGGGCUACGGGCAAGAGCAGGGCGGCGGAGGAGUUCUCACCAAAGAGAAUGUUGCCGGAGCCCGAGGCGGACGGAGGUGGCCGGAGUCGAAGAAUAAAGGCCCCUCGAGGCUCUCCCAGUGGCUAGGCGGGGUCUAGUGAGGUGGUGGAGUUGUGCGGGGGCGAGAGCAAGCUCGAGGGGUGCUAUUUAUAGUCGGGCCAAGGCGGUUGCCGUGAACGGAUAAGUCCGGCGGGUGAUUACGGCGGCGCUGUGGCGGGACGGUCGGCUUAGGAGCUUGAGCAUCGCCUAGGUGGAGCAGUGGUGCCAUUUCAGGGUCCAACUCAGCACGGGAGGGAGGGUUACGGCCUGCCCUCGAUGGAACGGCAACACGGCCCGUUGGCGGCAGAGAACGCGCUCUGCGCGUGCCAGGCCACGGCGACGGUGCUGCAUGCGUGCGCUGGCAAGGAGAUGGCCACGCGGAGCUACCAGGAGGGUUGGGUGGUGCCGAACGGCGUUCUGCCGCGGUGUUGCCCCCUGUCGGCCGUUACGGUGGCUCUGGCGCCGCAAAGCACGCCGGCGCAGGCGGGCCAGGGCGCCACCGACGCCAGGAAGGCGCCAAGCGCACGUGUGAAGCUCCGGACAAGAGGGAGGGGCUGCGAGCAUCGAGCCAAAUGCAUAGUGGGCAUGUGACUGAAGUUCUGUCGGGGAAACGACACUGAAACUCUGAAUUUACUGAAUAUGAACAAAAACAGUGCAUGCCAAGUGUUCGACAGAAUGAUUCUGGCAUGUAGGGAUUUUUCCUUGAGCUGAUUUUUGGUGGAGAGGUCUCUCAUUGCAACUUGAGUUUGCCUGAAUUUUGGUGGAAUUUUUGGAGAAGUGUAGAUAUGAAUUUCACCAAAUUUGGCAAAUCUGGUCCAAACUUGCAGAGAGUGAAAUUUGAAAUUUUUGGAAGGAAGAAGAGUGGAUCAAGAUGGUUCUAGGUUGUGGGUACUAAGGACUAUCCAGGGGAGUUGGUUUGGGAUCAAGGAUCAAAGGCAUUAGGGUACUUGCUUUGCAAAUCACCUAGGUUCACAAGAAAGGACAGAAUUGUUUUGGGAAAAGAAAUAAUUGGAAUAAAAUCCAAAAAUGGAUUUUAUUAGUUUGGACAGAAUGCUUGGGUUGUACCAAAGUGGAAGGAGAGGUUUUGGGGAAGUUUUUACCAUAGGAGGUAUGGUAAACAAGAAUGGAUCAAAAUCAAACAAAAGCCCAAAACCAAAAGGGUUUCUCUUUAGAAGAAAAUAAAUCCAAGAAAAGAUUUUCAGAGGGCAAACUCAGAAGAGGGUUUUUAAGAAGGGUUUAAAUUACCUUCUUCAAACCAAGCAAGGAUCUUUAUGAAAACAAAACCACAAAAAAAAUUGGAGUGUCACAGGACGCGCACGGUUCGGGACCUAAGGCCGGAGACGAGUCCGAGGGUCCGGUGGCACAGAUCUCUUUGGAAGUGGAGUCUGUGUUCUGCUCCAUCGCUGAUAAGUGUGCGGCCUCCAUGGCAGAGUCCAUCCACCCGUCCUUGGAUGGCGCGAUCUGCUCCAGAUUAAGGGCCAGGGCAGCCACAGGUGCGAUAUCCCGAACACCAUCUGAUGGCAGAUCUGAGUCAUGCACGUCGUGACUGUUCGGCGCUCCUGACGUAGGCUCGAACCCAUCGAAGAUCAAGUCUCCACGGAUGUCGGCGGUGUAGUUCAAGUUUCCAAACCUGACCUGAUGGCCAGGGGCGUAGCUAUCGACCUGCUCCAAAUGGCCAGCGAGUUGGCCCACAGUACGAAGCCGCUGAAUACAAAGAUCUGUCCGGGAAGGAAAACCUCACUCUGGACCGCAUCGUUACUGAUGAUAGAAGGAGCCAUCACUAGUGCAGAACCAGGCUUUAGCGUCGGUUCGUAACGGCCUUUAGUGCUGGUUCGGCAACCGACACUAAAGAGUGGGGACUAAAGGUCCCCCCUUUAGUACCGGUUCAUCACGAACCGGCGCUAAAGUGCCACCACGUGGCACGAGCCAGGCCCGGGUGCGUGUAGGACAUUAGUUACCGGUUGGUAACACCAACCGACACUAAAUCUUUGGGCGUGUUUUGGUUUUAUUUUUUAUUUUUCCUUUAAUUUUGUGUUUUCAAUUUAAUUGAGUGAUUGUUAUACAUUAUAAUGAGUUUUUAAAUCAUUAGGUGAAAGUACCACAGAUUAGUUUUGACUGGAUGCAUGUGGAUCCUAGCUAAGUGAUCAAGUAUAUGUCAUAUCCAUAUUAUACUUGAUCACCUAAUUAGGUGAUCAAGUAUAAUAUGGAUAUGGCAUAUACUUGAUCACUUAGCUAGGAUCCAUCCAGCUGAAACUAAUCUGCGGUUUCUUUCAUAAAUGAUAUAAUAACUCAUCAUCAUCAUCAUCAUAUUAAUAUAAAAACUCUUGCAUCAUAUCAUCAACAACAGUAUAUACUAGCUAGCUAAAAAUCAUCAUAGUCGUCAUUACCACUAUUUAAUCAUCAUAGUCAUUACCGCUAUCUAAUCACCACCAACACUAGCUUAAAGAAGAAACAUUCACUUGUACCAGAAGCAAAGAUAUCAUCGAGUUCAACAUGGUCAUGAUAUUAUAAGCGUUCAUAACACCACAAAAGCAAAUCACUCUUUGAGAUUAAGUUCAGGACGAAGAACAUGGACAUGAGAGGACAAGUACUAAGAGCACGAACUAAUCACUCCUGAUGCUCUCUCUUAGGUAAAAUAGCAUAGAACAUGUAUAGCUCUCCUGAUUCAUCAUACUGGAGCAUGCAGAUGAACCUGUCUCCUAAUCGUGGGUUGCGCUUCUCAUUGCUGCCCCCUAGUACUUCUCUGUGAUUGUUAACAAUUUUGCUCCAAUCUUUCACUAUUAAGCAUUCAUCGCUUUCAGAAAUCCUAAAUGCAUUCAUGCGCAAUGUAGGAUAUCUUGGCCGUAAGCUAACAAUUGACAUGAGACCUUCAGUCUCGAUCCACUGAGGCACAACUAUCAUCGGGAGUCCCUGUUGAAGAACAUCGUAUAGUAAUUAAUAUACUUAGCAAUGAAAGUUUAGCAAAAAAAAUUAUGUAUGCAAAGAUGCACUGAGGACAAAUAGUAAAAAUCUUACCAUCAUUCCUAAAUAGAUGUGACCAUAGUUCAAUACGAUCACUAUUGAUCACACGUUUUGAGUACUAACAUUUUUAAGUGCAGGAACAAAAUUUGUCUUGACAGUAUGAAGAUCUUCAAGCCAUGAAACAUAAUGACUUAUCUCCUCACAGUUCAGUUCAGCUCCGAGAUAGUAGUAGGUCCUGUCUACCAAGCGCCGGACAUGUUUGCUUGAAUGGAAAUAAGCUGUCAAUAGAAAUUAGUUGUCAACUAUUUUUGAAUAAAAAAUAUCAAAGACAUAAAUAUGGUUGAGAAACUCACAUAAUGGUAGAACUGGAGGCGUCUGCACAUGGACCCAGAUGUCUCUAUUACCUUCAAUAUCAUCUUCCAGACGAAUAUCAAAGGUGAUAAUCAUAUCAGGCGCAAAUGCAUAAGCCUUGCAUAGUGCUUGCCAAGUUUUGCAUUCAAAAUAGGUGUACGUGUCUGCAUUGUAUACUUUGACGUUGAAAGUAUAACCAGGCUCAGUUUUCAGGUAAACUCUAUUUACCACCAUAGUUUCCAUUUCACUGAAACCUAUCUUAUCCAAGACAAAAAUUCUUGCAUGGUAGGGGAUGCGCUAAUAAAAUAGUGAAAAUUAAAAAUUAUAAGUUGAAGCAAAUGAAGCAUAUAUAAGUCAUGCUUAAUUACGAAAAAAGACUUGUCGUUGUGACUCUAUAUCGAAUUCGAAGGUCUCAUCCACGUUGAUGCUGAAUCGCCUAUCAUCAACAAGGAAAUUUCUGUCGCACAGGUCGCGCUGGUCUUCACAGUAUUCGCACAUAAUGAAAUCUAUUUCUUCGUCAGACGAAAUUUCCUAUGUUCAUAUAGGUGAAACAUUAAAUACUUACUAAUUCUAUUAAUUCAACUAAUUCAACUACUUCUAUUAAUUCAACUAGUUCUGUUAAUUCAACUCAUUCAACUAAGCAUUUACUAAUAAUAAACUUGUUCUAUUAAUUUUCUUACUAAAAUAAACUAGUUCUAUUAAUUCAACUAAUUCAACUAGGAAUUUACUAAAAACAAACUACUUCUAUUAAUUUACUUACUAAAAUAUAUAAAGUAGCUACACUACAAGAAAAUUGAGAUACUAUGACGCAAAUCCUUGUGACGGUGGUUGACAUCGUCACAAAACUAUCUAAUGUGUGAUGUUCUGGAGGUCGCGUCACCAAUUACUAUAUGUUAGUGACGGUUAAUGUCACUGAGUCAUGUGAGCCGCUGAGUGCCACUUGGCUGUCAUUUUUAUGAUGUUUUGGUAAUUUCCGUGAUGAACCCACUAUAGUCACCGAUUAUUACAAAUGUGUAAUGCUUAUUUCUUUAUCAUGUAACUACAAGCAAUGGGACCCGUCGUAGCUGCUUCGGGUUAUUAAGCAGUUGGACCCACACGCCCAUGUAUUUAUAUGGGUCUCGUGUGUGAAUGGCUCAAUGCUGGUAGUUGGACCCGCCAUAGUUUGUUCAUAAGUUAUUGAGUGAUGCAAUUAUUUAUUGAGUCUAAUAUACCAAUCUAAUAUAACUAAAUAGUGGUAAGAGAAAAGCUUAUUGGUGGUGUUCGUGAGUCAAUGAAUAUGGGGGUGCAAUUGUACACAUGUUGUUUUGCGGGGAGUACACAUAUGGUGUCUAGUACAUGAUUUUUAUUUUUUUAAUCGGAUUAUACACACAUGGUACGUGGCACAUGCUUUUUACUUUUUUUAUAGAUUAUACACUUACAUGGUACAUGCCAUUUUAAUUUUUUGAUCAGAUUAUACAUGUACAUUGUACGUGUCAAAAUGACUUUUUUGUGUUAAAAAACACCCAUUGUAUUUUUACGUAAGCAUGUCAAGGCCACUAGUUUGUAUUUUUUUGAGGGAGAAUCGAUUUGCCCUCUGGUGUGCAGAGAAUGAAAUUUUAAGUUUUUUAGCGAAGCCCAUUGGCUGACCCUAAUCCUCGUUUUACAUCUGGCGCCAUCCUCUUCCUUUCUUAAUCCCGAUCCAAUCUACCAAUCCCCUCCACCGCUCAUGUCCCAUGCUCCCACCCCCGUCCACCUCCGUCGCCCCCACCAUCUACGCAACAACCAUCACCAUCGAGACCUCGAAGGAUGCCACCGCAGAGCCGCCGCCGCUGCAGGCAGUCGGGCACGGCAGGAGGAGCCCUCCGUGCGCCUGCUCGUCCUGACGCUGUCUGGCCACUCGCCAUGGCGUUAUCUCCAUUGCCGCGUUUCCUCCCCGAUGCUGCACCCCCGAACACGGCUGGCCAAUCCAGCUCGUUGACGCCCAUGUCACCACCUUCGCAGUCCUCCCCCAGCAUCCACCACGGGGGGAGCAAAGGUGCAGCCCUGCCAUGACGGACACCUCCUUCCCGCACUCCUGCGCCUCCCGGCAUCUGCUCGUCGUUGUCAGCCACCACGGUCAGCAAGGCCAACCUCCACGGCAACUGGAUCGGCCACCACUGCCGCGAGGACCAUCCUCCAUGGCCACCCCACUGCCCGCCUCAACGUCGGAUCCGCUGUCCAGAGCCUACACGCGCGCAUGGUCGGCACAUGUAGGGGUCGCCGGCCACCUCUACAACGACGAGCACCGUGACUUUUAUCUAUCUAUUUCUGUUUUUGUAGAAUAUCCAGUAAAUUUUUGAAGUUUUGAUCUACUGAUGAACUAGGUGAUGUGAAACUGAUGAACUAAUUUACUUACUAUAAGUUAAUGGUUAGAAUUUGUGUUAUAUACAUUUGGGGCACUUUGAGAAAUAUUACAACAGUUUGUUUGUGCAGCACAUCAGUUUUACUAUCAUCGUUUUGAGAAAUAUACAAUUCUAGUGCAACCUGUAUUUGCAUUCGAAGUUAGCUACUUUAUCACAUUCAUGUGUGCAUUCACAUGUAUUCGCAUUCUAAGUUAGCUAAUUUCUGGAGAGGCCUGUUUUUGCUAGUUGUUCAUCUAAGCUGCCUGAUGCCUGAACUGCGGUUUCUAAUCGGCAACAAGUAGCUGUACAGUAUUUGCAUCAUGUUUGAGAGUAAAGUUGACAAAUCCAUGUAUGCAGAGUUGUGCUAAUUGAUUUGUCAUGCAGUGGGUAGUUCUCUAUUCCCUACUAAUGCAAUGUGCUUGGUGUUAAUGAGGUAAAACAGAAACUCGAGGCGCCUUGGUGCCAUGUUGUUGCUGAACUUACGAACCUCCACACACAAUAGGGCGCAGGUUUCCUAGCUAGCCACGGGAAGGUAUACUUCACAGAUCUGAUUAUUUUAUAUGGCCAUUAGUUGUUAAUUGAACAUGUAUCUAAGUUAUACUUUGCUGUUGAAGGAGCAUGGCUGCGGAUGGUGUCCGGCAUGGACAAAUUAACUCAGUCUGCUUCUCUGCAUUUUUUUCCUUUUUGUAGUCGGUUGUGUUCUCAAUAGAAAAGGCAUGUGACUUUCUUAAUAAUUUUGAAUCUUAGUCACGUUUUGUUGACAAAGUAAGGAAGUACUGAAUUUAUAUUCUAACUAGCCAAGAGAUAUAUAUGAUUUUACACAAAGUUGGUUAUGUAUUUCUCUGUCCUAAGUUGGAUUCAUUAAAUGAUUAGCUGAUUGUAGCCUUGUCCGAAACUGAGGUUAUAUCACUUAAGUGUGUUCGCUUUGAAUCGGUACGUUUGAUAUUGUUGUGCAUAUCGCUUGCAGUUUCUCUUCCGCAAUAGUUUGUAUGUUGUAUUUUAUCAGGCUGCCAUUAUCAUCAAAUUAACUUUGAACUACAAAUUUAAUCUUCAUAGGGACCAAUAUCUUCUUUUACUAAUAUGUUAAUAUUCGUGUUGCAAAUUCUAACCUCUGCUUGAUGAUGAUGCAAGUCAUAUUUUAAGAAGUAGGGAUGGACAAAGGACUCAAACAACUGUUGAUGCCUUCAAGAAGUCACGACAAGAGGAAACUAGCUUAUGCUUCUUGUUCUGAUGAUGACGAGGGCUAUUCAGUUAUGUUCAAGAGGAAAAAAUACUCAUUUAUUAAUCUAGUCCAUGUUAUCUAUCGAUGGUACAUGUGGCAUCAGGCUGCUAUGUAGCUCGUGUUAUUUGUUCUCAUGUGUUAUGUGAACUAUGAGCAUGGGGUAUGCCUCAAGAUCUGGCAGGUCUGGGAGCUCCACUUCAUCAACAAAGAUCCGAGUUCUAGAAGAAAGAAUUGAACAGAAAGAUAGAGGCAAGAGAUGCAAAUGAUAGGUAAUUGUCUUGUUUCUUUUUGUGUUAUUAUUGUUUCUUUUUGCUUGCAUUUGUGUGCACAGUGCACUAUUUAUAGUGAAAAUGAAAACACAAAUGUGUGUGAAUAAGACAUUCAUCUUUAGUUCCUGUAGAGAAAGUUGCAUUAAGGAGUGGUUUGCUAUUUAUGUAUGGUAUGAUCCUUAUCCAAUCAGCCAAAGUGGCAUAAAAAACAAAUGCUUGUAAUGAGAAAUACAUGGUUUGUUGCACGGUUUUAAUGCAUGGUUUUUAAUCCAGAAAUCAAAUAUGAUUUGUUCAUUUGUCUAUGUGUUGUUCUAGCAUAGUUGCUUCUUUUAACCUGGGUUGUUGACUUGGCAUCCUAUUAGUGAUGCUUCCUGUAAUCAAGCUCUUGGUUAUGCAUGUUUUUAAACAUUAUAAGUCAUUCUUGGGUUUACUGUUUCAUUGGCCCGUCAACAUGCUUGCCUUGACAUUUAAUAAUGUACUUUUCUAUUUCAAAUUCAUCAUUUGAUAGAUUGUAGGCUUCUAUCUUGCCUAGUCAUACUCUUGUACCCUUUUAUCUUGUCUAUUUUAAUCUCAAUACGAUGCAACGUAGUUGUGUUUUGUCUAUUUAUAGGCAUCGGAGGAGUUAGCCGCAAGACCUGAAGCACGAGAGAAAGAAUUUAAAGAGAUAUAGAAGAAGCAACAAGAAAAAUUGGAUGCUCUAAAGAAGAGCCAACAAGAGAAGAAUGAAGCCUGGGCAAAGAAGCAACAAGAGAUGAUAAUCUUAUUAGUUUCCUCUUGACGGCUCAAGCAACUCAGUAGUUCCAGUCCAAACCUAUUGGUGCAUGAAUGCCAUCCUUCCGUGAUGGAAAGAUAGUUGCUGAAUCAUACGUUGCAAUCAUUGGGACAACACAUGUUGUCUUUAGUUAAUUAUUAGUUUUCAUCUUUUUCUACCGUAUGGGUCAAACUUGAGUCAGUGUUAUUUUUUACCAUCAUUUUUGUUUAAAGAAUAAUUUAGCUGAGAUGAUUUCAUAUAUAAUAUAAUUUUUAUUUCAUAUCAACAUAUGAUGUGAUUCGGCUCUUUGAUUGUUUAUAUAAUCUUAUCUGAAUUAAAUAAUUAUUAUGAGAUGCAUUUGGAAUAUAGUGGAUUUGAUAAUUCAUCAUAAUUUAAAUUCGAAAGAAAGUAAUUUAUUUUCAUGACUUCAUCUUCAUUCAUAAUAAAAGUAGCGACGCUACUAGUGGGAUAGCUGCUCAUUCAGUGACGUUGCUUCGUCACUGGACAUGGUACAAUAUGGCAUAUUUUUUCAUAACAUGUGACAUUCAUCGAACGUCAUGGAAGUAGUGGAUGACGUUCUAUGUAACGUCACUGAAGGUCCCAAUUUCAAUGACGUUUUUGCGCCUGCGCCGUCACUAGGAGUGAUCUGUGACGGGGAUUCCGUGAUGAUGCUCGUGACGCCCAUAAAAUGACUGGGGAGUAAUUUGUGACGUUAUAAGCUAUUUGAUGGCAUUUUUUGGCUCGUCAUAGUAGGCCCGAUCUCUUGUAGAUCAUCAAAUCUCAUAUACCUAAAUUUUCUUACUAAAAAUAAACUAGUUCUAUUAAUUCAACUCGUUCAAAUAAUCUCAUAUACCUAAGUUUUCUUACUAAAAAUAAACUAGUUCUAUUAAUUUUCUUACUAAAAAUAAACUAGUUAUAUUAAUUCAACUAGUUCAAAUCUCAUAUAUAUAUACCUAAUUAAUAUCUAGCUAAUUCAUCUAGCUAACAAUUGACAUUAAUAUUUAACAACUUUUCUAUCUAAUUCAUCUAACAUUAACAUUCUAACAUUCUUAUCUACAUAAUUCAUCUAACAUUAAUCUAAACAAUAGAAAACAGAAAAUAAGUAAAAAAAAUAUGUGUGUGUCUAUGUGUAGUAAUGUGUGUGUAGUGUGUGUGUGUGUGUAUGUGUGUGGGUGUGUGUAGUGUGUGUGUGUGUGUAUGUGUGUGUAUGUGUGUGUGUGUACAAGCGGGGGGCGGCGGCGUACGGGUGGCGGUGCGAGAGAGCGACGCGACGGGGACGGCGCGACGACGGGCGGCGGGCCGGGGGCAAUCGAUGGCGCGAUUGAGACGGCGACGUAGUACGGGGCGGCGGCGUGAGACGACGACGACGAGGACGGCGACGACAGGCGGCGGGGGGGACGGUGCGCGGCGGGGGCGGCGAGGGCGGCGGGGGUGACGGCGCGCGGCGGGGGCGGCAGCGGCGAUGUCGCGUGAAGUUGGAGAAGAAGUGGUGGUCGAUGAAACUAAAUUUUUUGUAAGUGUCGCAUAUAUAGGAGGGGCCUUUAGUACCGGUUGGAGCCACCAAGCGGUACUAAUGGCCAAUUUGGCCAGGCCAAGCGCAGGAAACGGCCGCCUUUAGUACCGGUUCAUUACCCCAACCGGUACCAAAGGCCGACCCAUUAGUACCGGUUGGAGCCACCAACCGGUACUAAUGGUUGUGCGCUGCCACCCGUGGUGCACUAUGCUUAGUCCCACCUCGCCGAGCGAAGGGCAGCCGCACUGGUUUAUCAACCCAGUCGUGGCUGCUCCUUCAAACUCCUCUAUAUAGCAGGCUUUUGUGCCUAACUAGGGCGCGCUGCCCUGUGAGCCUGUCGGCCCUUCUGGGCCUAAAUUUGCACACCCUAGGUCUGACAGGCCCACUGGACAGCGCCCCAACAAUUUUUUAUGUAGUUUUUUUUAUUUUCUGCAUUAUUUCUUUUCUUCUAUUUAUUUUUGAGUAAUUUUUUUAUAUAGUUUUUUCUUUUCUGCUUUAUUUUUCUUCUUCUAUUUAUUUUGAGCAAAUGAUGUCAGAACGUGUUGGAAAUUGAUGACGUCACUUCGAAUGCGGCAUAAUGCCGGCUCAAAAAAAGUCUGGAGUUCAAAUAAGUUUAAAAAAAUGAAGUGCUCAUGUAACAGAUAAGUUCUCGUCCGAAACCCUGAUACUCCGAAAGAGAUUGUCCAGUUUGUACACGAAGUGCGUCCAGUUUUUGCCGUGACACUCUCUACUCUUUCGCACAUGCUAUGCGGGUGAAAUGAUGAUACCAUGCCAAGUUUCAACAUUUUCAGAGUUCAUUUUGUUGUGAUUUAAUGUUUCACGGUCAUUUAGCUCUCUAAACAAACUGGAAAAUGACUGGAAAACAGCAAAUGAUGUCAGAACAUGUUGGAAAUUGAUGGCGUCGCUUUGAAUGCUGCAUAUUGAACGCAAAAAAAGUCUGGAGUUCAAAUGAUAUCAGAACGUGUUGGAAAUUGAUGACGUCGCUUAGAAUGCUGCAUAAUGCCGGUUCAAAAAAAGUCUGGAGUUCAAAUAAGUUUAAAAAAAUGAAGUGCCCGUGUAAGAGAUGAGUUCUCGUCCGAAACUCUGAUACUCCAAAAGAGAUUGUCCAGUUUGUACACGAAGUGCGUCCAGUUUUUGCCGUGACACUCUCUACUCUUUCGCACAUGCUAUGCGGGUGAAAUGAUGAUACCAUUCCAAGUUUAAACAUUUUCAGAGUUCAUUUUGUUGUGAUUUACUGUUUCACGGUCAUUUAGCUCUCUAAACAAGUUGGUAAAUGACUGAAAAACAGCAAAUGAUGUCAGAACAUGUUGGAAAUUGAUGACGUCACUUUGAAUGCUGCAUACUAAACGCAAAAAAGUCUGGAGUUCAAAUAAGUUUAAAAAAUGAAGUGCCCAUGUAACAGAUGAGUUCUCAUCCGGAACGCUGAUACUCCAAAAGAGAUUGUCCAGUUUGUACACGAAGUGCGUCUAGUUUUUGCCGUGACCCUCUCUACUCUUUUGCACAUGCUAUGCGGGUGAAAUGAUGAUACCUUCAACAUUUUCAGAGUUCGUUUUGUAGUGAUUUUCAAUUCCACGGUCAUUUAGCUCUGAUCUAAACAAAUUGGUGACUGAAAAAUAGCAAAUGAUGUCAGAACAUGUUGGAAAUUGAUGACGUCGCUUCAAAUGCUGCAUAAUGUCGGCUCAAAAAAAGUCUGGAGUUCAAAUAAGUUUAAAAAAUGAAGUGCCCGUGUAACAACUGAGUUCUCGUCCGAAACCCUGAUACUCCGAAAGAGAUUGUCCAGUUUGUACAUGAAGUGCGUCCAAUUUUUGUCGUGACCCUCUCUACUCUUUCGCACAUGCUAUGCGGGUGAAAUGAUGAUACCUUCAACAUUUUCAGAGUUCGUUUUGUAGUAAUUUUCAAUUUCAUGGUCAUUUAGCUCUGAUCUAAACAAAUUGGUGACUGAAAAACAGCAAAUGAUGUCAGAACAUGUUGCAAAUUGAUGACAUCACUUCGAAUGUUGCAUAAUGCCGGCUCAAAAAAAGUCUGGAGUUCAAAUAAGUUUAGAAAAAUGAAGUGCCCGUGUAACAGAUGAGUUCUCGUCCGAAACCCUGAUACUCCGAAAGAGAUUGUCCAGUUUGUAAACGAAGUGCGUCCAGUUUUGAAGUGAGUGGCGGCCGGCGGGGGAGGACCGGCACGGGGGAUUGAGGGGGAGACCGAGUGAGUGGAGAGAGUGAGGGCGUAAACAUGUAAAAAUAUACAUAAAAAUACAUUGAUUAUCAAUGAUCUUUUUGUGUACAAUCUGAAUUGUCAAUAUGAGUCAUCAACAGUUUAGAAACCGGUGAAGACACAUAUUGAGUCCACAGAUUAUACACAUAGAGUUCAAUGAAGACCAAAUGCUUGUGAUAGUUUGAGAAGUAACAUACUUAAGGCGGUAAAAAUCUUGCUAGGGGAGCGAGGUGGGACUAAAAAUAGCCUGCCACAACCUCUUUACUACCGGUUCGUCCCACGAACCGGUACUAAAGGUGUUGGCCGGGCCCCAGCAUCUUUAGUACCGGUUCGUGCCAUGAACCAGUACUAAAGAUCUCCUCCCGCCUAGCCAUUUGAACCGGCACUAAUGGACACAUUAGUGCCGGCUCAAAUGCAAACUGGGACUAAUGUGUCUCACAUUUGACCCUUUUUCUACUAGUGCAUCAAGCCUUAUCGCGACGACACAGUGGAACUCUCAAUGAAAGCACCAAUAUCGGUGUCAAAACCGGCGGAUCUCGGGUAGGGGGUUCCGAACUGUGCGUCUAAGGCUAAUGGUAACAGGAGGCGGGGGACACGAUGUUUACCCAGGUUCGGGCCCUCUCGAUGGAGGUAAUACCCUACUUCCUGCUUGAUUGAUCUUGAUGAUAUGAGUAUUACAAGAGUUGAUCUACCACGAGAUCGAAGAGGCUAAACCCUAGAAGCUAGCCUAUGAUUAUGAUUGUUGUCCUCCUACGGACUAAACCCUCCGGUUUAUAUACACACCGGAGGGGGCUAGGGUUACACAGAGUCAGUUACAGAGAAGGAGAUCUACAUAUCCAAAUUGCCAAGCUUGCCUUCCACGCCAAGGAGAGUCCCAUCCGGACACGGGACAAAGUCUUCAAUCUUGUAUCUUCAUAGUCCAAUAGUCCGGCCAAAGUAUAUAGUUCGGCUGUCCGAGGACCCCCUAAUCUAGGACUCCGUCACCAGGAACAAAAGAUCUAGGGGUGCAGGCACCUGAGGAGGGAAUCAGAUCACCCUGGAAUCCCGUGACGCUGGCAGGCCUAGUAGGGGAAUCCAUCGGUGAUCCCGAGGAGGAACCAGGCGCCGCUGGCGCGCUUGUCACAGAACAGGGCCGGCCCACCGGAUGGCGAGCGGGCACGUGGGCGGCAACCUGCGGCGGGUCGGGGUUGAAGGGAACCAGGCCAGUGGCAGGCCCCGUCGCUGAGGAGGACGGGGCGGGCGAAGGGGCGAUCGGGCCAUCCAAGGCCGCCAUGUGGGCUAACGGGCGGGGCGCAACCCCGCGCUCACCUGGCGCAUCGUUGUCGGCAGGUGACGCGUGAUCCGAGGCCGGAUCCGCUCCUGAUCCUGUGUCAGGAUCCUCCUGGGUGGUAGGUGAAGUAGAUCCUGUCGCACCUGGGUUUGUCUGCACCGGGGUAGAUCCUACAUCCAGGUUAGUAGAUGAAGCAGAUACGCCAUAAUUCAUGUGGUCAUGCAGAAAUAACGGGAUGGUGUGUUCUACAACGCGAGGUGGUAUGGGGGAGGCAGAAGGGCUGGCAAAAGGAAAAAAAUUCUCAUCGAACGUGACAUCACGAGAGAUAUAAACACAAGCUGUGGGCAGAUGAAGGCAUUUAUACCCUUUGUGGCGAAUGCUAUAACCAACGAACACACAUUGUUGAGGUCUAAAGGCAAGUUUGUGUGUGUUGUAGGGGUGCGUGUUGGGCCAACAAGCACAACCAAAUGGACGAAGUGACAUGUAGUCUGGUUUGGUGUUGAACUAUUUCUCCAUACGACUAAGGUUGCCAAUGACACGACUAGGAAGUCGAUUGAUAAGAUAACAUGCUGAAAGAUAGGCCUCAUCCCAAAAAUGUAGCGGCAUAGAUGCAUGUGAUAGUAAAGAGAGCCCCAUGUCAACAAUAUGAUGGUGCUUCCUUUGAGUUGAAACAUUUUGCUGGUGUGUGUGUGGGCAAGAUACAUGAUGCAUAAUGCCUAGUUGACGAAAAAACGUGUUGCUAAGCUUCUCGUAUUCCUCACCCCAAUCAGAUUGAACACAUAAAAUCUUGUGAGACAGGAGGCGUUCAACAUGAGCAAGGGAGUCACGAAAAACAUCAAACACAUCACAUUUUCUUUUGAGAAGAUAGAUCCGCACAAACUUAGUAUAAUCAUCAAUAAAUGAGACAUAGUACUGGAACCCACCAGAUGAUGUUUUGGCGGGUCCCCACACAUCCGAAAAAACAAGUUCUAAUCAAAAGGAAGAAACACUUGAGGAUCUAGGAAAAGGAAGCUGGUGUGCUUUGCCUUGUUGACAUGCAUUACACACAUGGGUCAUAGACCGACUAGAAGAAGCUAGUUUAUUGGAUGAUAAAACAUGCUGAACGACUUGAGUGGAUGGGUGGCCAAGCCUUGCAUUCCAAUCUUGAGUUGACAACCUAACCGAAGACAAGACACGAUGAGAUGAUGGCCGAAUGGGGUAAAUCCCAUUUUCACAUAUGCCUUGAAGUAGAACCCUCUUGGUUAUCAAAUCCUUCAUAAGAAAAUGAGUAGGGUAAUACUUUAGAUACACACGAUUAUCAAUGGCAAGACGAUUGACAGAAAGAAGGUUCUUGUUAGCAUUAGGAACAUGCAAGAUAUUACGGAGUUUGAGAUUUGCAGAAGGAGUAGGAAGAAUUGCAUGACCACGAUGAGCUAUGUGCAAACCUGACCCGUCAGCUGUGUGGAUGCGAUCUCUUCCGGAUACUUCUCCCGGACCAUGAGGCAAUCCAGAUCGCCGGUGAUGUGGUCCGUGGCCCCGAUGUCAGUGAACCAGGCGGGGUCACCUAGGAUGGCUGGAGGAGAAGCAGCAACAAGCCCUGCCAUCUUGGACUAUUGAGGCUGAAAGGCAUGAUUGUAACGCUGGCCGCACUCCCAGGCGUAAUGCCCAGGGCCACAGCAGAGCUGACACUGCACGCGGUUGUCACCGCGGUCGCCGUAGUCACCGCGAUCACCACCGUGGUUGCCACCAAAAUCGCCUUGUUGGCGCGUGCGACCACCACCACGGUUCCCACGAUCGCCACCACGAGAGUUGUUGUUUGAUAAUCCCCAAGUGCAGGAAAUCAUCGUAGCAAUUCCCAAAGGUGGAAGUGAUAAGUAUGGAGUGUCGAACCCACAAGGAGCUAAAGGUAAGAUCAAUAUUCUCUCAAUCCCUAUCUGCCACUGAUAUGACUCUACGUGCACCGAACGUUUGCUUCCAACUAGAAACAAGAAAUAAAACUGUGUUGUGGGUAUAAAGAGGAUAACUUUGUAUGAUAUCGGAGAGCUAAAAUAUAAAAGUAGGUGUUGUUAUAAUAAAGUUAGAAUAUACUACUAAAUAAUAUAAAUAGCGAGUGUGGAAUAAUGGUGGAUCGGUGUGCGGAAUUGUCCUAAGCAAUUGUUAACAAGAUCGAUAGUCGUCAUUGCAAUUUCAUAUGAGGGAGAAGCAUAAGUUAACAUACUUUUCCAUCCUUGGAUCAUAUGCACUUAUGAUUGGAACUCUAGCAAGCAUCCGCAAAUACUAAAGAUCAUUAAGGUAAAAACCCAACCAUAGCAUUAAAGCAUCAAGUCCCCUUUUAUCCCAUACGCAACAACCCCCUUACUCGGGUUUGUGUUUUAGUCACUCACGCAACCCAUUGUAAGUGAAUCAUGCACGUAUUGCAACACCCUAUAGCAGGAAUCCCUCACGCUUGCGCGACACGGCGGGCACCAUAGGACAGCAUCAAAGUGAAACAUACAACUCAUACCAAUCUAGAUCAUCAAUCACCCCAAAGACAAAAGAUAUCUACUCAAAACAUCAUAGGAUGGCAACACAUCAUUGAAUCAUAAUAUGUAGCAUAAAGCUCCAUGUUCAAGUAGGGAUUACAACGGGGUGCGGGAGAGUGGACCGCAUAAAAGAGAUGAGGAUGGUGAUGAUGAUGGUGAUGUUGAUGAAGACGAUCACCGCGGCGAUGAUUCCCCUCCCGAUGGCACUCCGGUGCCACCAAGAGAGAGGAGGAGAGGUUCUCCCCCUUGUGCUUCCUCCUCCAUGGCUUUCCCUCUCUGGUCCUUGGCCUUCAUGGUGAUGAUGGCCCCUCCGAGAUCCUCCUCCAUGGCCUUCGGUGAUGAUGGCCCCCUCCGGCAGGGUGCCGGAGAGGGCCUAGAUUGAUUUCUCGUGGCUACAUAGGCUUACGGCGGCGGAACUUCCGAUCCAGGUUAAUUCCCGAAGGUUUCUGUAUUUAUAGGAAUUUUUGGCGUUGGUUUCACGUCAAGGGGGCCUCCGGGCUGUCCCCGAGAUAGGGGGCCGCGCCCUAGGGGGGGCGCCCCCCACUCUCGUGGGCAGCCCGGGACUCCUCUGGCCCAACUCAGAUGCUCCGUGGUCUUCUUUUGGUCCAGAAAAAAUCCUCAAAAAAUGGCACGUCAAUUGGACUCCGUUUGGUAUCCAUUUUCUGUAAAACACUAAAACAAGGAGAAAACAGAAACUGGCACUGGGCUCUAGGUUAAUAGGUUAGUCCCAAAAAUCAUAUAAAAUGACAUAUAAAUGCAUAUAAAACAUCAUAGAUGGAUAAUAUAAUAGCAUGAAUACUUCAUAAAUUAUAGAUACGUCGGAGACGUAUCAGCAUCCCCAAGCUUAAUUCCUGCUCGUCCUCGAGUAGGUAAAUGAUAAAAGAAAUAAUUUAUGAAGUGUGAAUGCUAGCAGGUGCACAAGUUUGAUCAAUGAUAAUUUCAAUCACAUUUUCUAGCAUCAAUAUGUGUCAUUAUAAUAGCUUAUCUCAUAAAACUUUUCAUGAUCAAGUAACAAUCUAUUCACAAUGUCAAGUGUGGUUCAGAAACUUCAUUGAGAACUAACAAACUAUAAUCUCAGUCAUUGAAGAAAUUGCAAUUUAUCAUAACAUUAGAAAGAGUCAAGAAUAGAGCUUUUCAGCAAGUCCACAUACUCAACUAUCGUAUAGUCUUCUACAAUUGUUAACACUCAAGCAAUACUUGUGGUUAUGGAGUUUCAGCCGGACACUGAGAAAGAUAGGGGCUUAUUGUGUUGCCUCCCAACGUAUUCACCUUUAGGUGAUGUCAACAAUAAUAGCCCAUGCUAACUUACAUCCAAUUGGAUAUAUAUAUCAUGAUCUUUCAAACACGAGGAGCUUGCCAAAGGAUAAAAUGAAAAAGGGAAAGGUGAGGAUCACCUUGACUCAAGCAUAAAGUAAAAACAUAAAGUAAAAGAUAGGCCCUUCGCAGAGGGAAGCAGAGGUUGUCAUGCAUGUUUAGGGUUGAUGCACAAAAUCUUAAUGCAAAAGAACGUCACUUUAUAUUGCCCCUUGUAUGUGGACCUUUAUUAUGCAGUCCCUCGCUUUUAUUACUUCCACAACAAGAUCGUACAAAGCUUAUUUUCUCUGCACUAAUAAGUCACACAUAUUUAGAGAGCAAUUUUUAUUGCUUGCACCGAUGACAACUUACUUGAAGGAUCUUACUCAAUCCAUAGGUAGGUAUGGUGGACUCUCAUGGCAAAAAACUGGGUUUAAGGAUAUUUGGAAGCACAAGUAGUAUCUCUACUAAGGAAUUUGGCUAGCAUGAGGGGGAUAGGCAAGCUCAACAUAUUUGGAAGGUCAGUGACAAUAUACUUUAACUGAGAUGUGAGAAAACACAAAUCAUUACGUUGUCUUCCUUGUCCAACGUCAACUCUUUUAGCAUGUCAUACUUAAUGAGUGCUCCCAAUCAUAAAAGAUGUCCAAGAUAAUAUAUUUGUAUGUGAACCUCUCUUUCCUUAUUACUUCCUAUUAAUUGCAAUGAUGACCAAAACUACGUUUGCCAACUCUCAACAAUUUUUAUGCCUCAUACUCUUUAUAUGUGAAGUCAUUACUAUCCAUGUUAUAAGCAAAUGAAACAUAUAUAAAUUCAGAUUCAUGACAUUCAACUCAUUCAAAAAUUUACUCAUAGGAUAUAAGUGAAGCACACGAGUAAAUGAAAAACUACUCCAAAAGAUAUGAGUGAAAGACACUGAAUAGUCAAAUAAUUAACUAGCCAUGGGAGGGUUCCAUUUUUUUAUUCAAUAAUCAGAUCCAAUGAUUUUAUUCAAACAUCAAGUAAAAUUGAAAUAAAAUGACAUUGCAAGGAUAACACAACUCAUGUGAAGAAGCAAAAACUUAGGCUCAACCGAUAAUAACCGAUAGUUGUUGAACAAGAGAGGUGGGAUGCCUGCCGGGGCAUCCCUAAGCUUAGAUGCUUGAGACUUCUUGAAAUAUUAUCUUGGGGUGCCUUGGGCAUCCCCAAGCUUGAGCUUUUAUGUCUCCUUAAUUCCUCUCAUAUCACGGUUUCUCUUUUUAUCAAAAGCUUCAUUCACAACAAACUCAACAAGAACUCGUGAGAUGGGUUAGUAUAAACCAAUACAAAACCUUAUCAUUUUCUACUGUAACAAAUCACUAAAAUUAUUAUUAAACAUUGAACACUAAAUGCCUCUGCAUAUUUAAUACUCCUAUCCUCAAAUAGAAUCAUUAAACAAGCAAACAUACGCAAACAAUGCAAACAUAACAGCAAUCUGCCAAAACAGUACAAUAUGUAAAGAAUGCAAGAGUAUCAAUACUUCCCUAACUCUGUAAAUUAUAAGAGAAAGUUCCCACUGUAAUAAAUUUAUCAGAUCUUAAUAUGCAAAAAGAUUCAACUUUAUACCAUUCUCUUACUUUUCUAGGGAAUUUUUGCAACAACGGUGAACUUUCUGUUUUGAAACAACAACAUGUAUGCUAGCAAAAUAAGCAUGGUAAAGGCUUUCCUUGACAUUUUUAUUGAAAUUAAAGAUGCAAAACAUUAUUAUAAAUAACAGCAAGAAAAUACUAACAAGAGGAAAUGACGCUCCAAGCAAAACACAUAUCAUGUGGUGAAUAAAAAUAUAGCUCCAAGUAAAAUUACCGAUGAACGAAGACGAAAGAGGGGAUGCCUUCCGGGGCCUCCCCAAGCUUAGGCUCUUGGUUGUCCUUGAAUAUUACCUUGGGGUGCCUUGGGAAUCCCCAAGCUUAGGCUCUUGUCACUCCUUAUUCCAUAGUCCAUUGAAUCUUUACCCAAAACUUGAAAACUUCAACCACACAAAACUCAACCAAACAUCGUGAGACAGGUUAGUAUGAUAAAGAGUAGACCAUGCACUUUGGUACUGUAAAAGACAAGGUUCAUAAUUGUUUUCACAUAAUGCCUACUGUACCAUAUUAUUUCUACAAUUUAUAUUGAGAAAUAUAAGCCAUAGAAACUAGAAAACAAGCAAACUAUGCAGUGAAAACAGAAUCUGUCAUAAACAGAAUAGUCUGUAAUGAUCUGAACAAUAACCACACUUCCGCUACUCCAAAAAUUAUGAAAUAAACUGGUGGACGUGAGGAAUUUGUCUAUUAAUAUUAUGCAAAAAUAAUCAACUCAAAACCACUCUUCUGUAAAAAAAUGACAGCUAAUCUCGUGAGCGCAAAGUUUCUGUUGUUUUACAGGAAGAUCACAUUAACUUUCACCCAAGUCUUCCCAAAGGUCUUACUUGGCACUUUAUUGAAACUAAAGCUAUAAAACAUGAUUACUACAGUAGCUUAAUCAUGUAGACACACAAAAACAGUAAGGAUAAAUAUUGGGUUGUCUCCCAACAAGCGCUUUUUUCUUUAAUGCCUUUUAGCUAGGCAUGAUGAUUUCAAUGAUGCUCGCAUAAAAGAUAAGAGUUGAAACAUAAAAAGAGCAUCAUGAAGAAUAUGACUAGCAUAUUUAAAUCUAACCCACUUCCUAUACCUAGGGAUUUUGUGAGCACACAAUUUAUAGGAACAAGAAUCAACUAGCAUAGGAAGGCAAAACAAGUAUAACUUCAAAAAUUUAAGCACACAGAGAGGAAACUUGAUAUUAUUGCAACUCCUACAAGCACAUAUUCCUCCCUCAUAAAAAAUUUCAGUAGCAACAUGGAUAGCAACUUUUUUCUCAUACUCAAUUGGAACCUCUUCCGAAAUAGUGGAAUACUAACUAAAUUUGACACUCUUCCAAAUCCACUUUCAUAAAUAUCAUACAAAGAUUCAACCUCCUCCAAGAUAGUGGGAUCAUUAAUUCCUAAAGUUGACACUCUUCCAAACCCACUUUAAAUUAUAGUAUUAUUCAUACUCCAAAAGAUAUAAGUGAAGCACAUGAAGCAUUCUGUAAAUCAAUGAAGAGCUAGCUCAUACUAGAAUGAUUCUUAAAGAAAAAUACAAACACAAAGGACACAAAUCAUGUGAACAAAACGAAAACCAAGGUAUACCGAUAUUUGUUGAAGAAGAAAGAUGGGAUGCCAAUCGGGGCAUCCCCAAGCUUAGAUGCUUGAGUAUCCUUUGAAAUAUUUACUUGGGGUGCCUUGGACAUCCCCAAGCUUGAACUCUUGUCUCUCUUUAUUCUUCUCACAUCGGUAACUCCUCGUUCUUCAAACACUUCAUUCACAAAAACUUAAACAAAAACUUGUGAGAUCCGUUAGUGUAAUAAAGCAAACUACCACUUUAAGGUACUGUAAUUAACUCAUUCUUUGUUUAUAUUGGUGUUCAACCUACUGUAUUCCAACUUCUCUAUGGUUCAUACCCUACAUACUAGCCAUAGAUGCAUCAAAAUAAGCAAACAACACACGAAAAACAGAAUCUUCAAGAACAGGACAGUCUGUAGUAAUCUGGAAGUUUAGUAAAUAUCCGUAACUCCAAAAAUUAUGAAAUAAAUUUGACAAUUUGAACAAUUUGUACAGAAGUAAUAUGCAAAAAGUUUCAGACCCAUUUCACUUUCCAGUAAAAAAUGUAAAUUCAUGCACUACAGCCAAAGUUUCUGUUUUUGUUCUGCACAUAGUAAGCAAGCAAUCUUAUCACACUAAAACCAAAGCUUGGCACAUUAGUUUUAUAAUACAGGGUAUAUACAAGGGGAUAAUUAUUUACAGAGAAAAUUCCAUGAAAAAUUCUACAUUGUUUCCGUCAGCAUGAACACAAGUGCUCAAGGUCGACCCUCACUUCUUCAAUGCAUAACUUUUCAAUCACUUCUCUUUUGAAAAACUUUUUUAGGCAUGAGAGGCAAGUAAUUCUUUUUUGGUAUUUUCAUUCUUUUGAAAAAAAAAUUGUAUGUUUCAUCCACAACUAAACAGAAACAAAAAGGAAAACAAAAUCUACUUAGUGAAGAAAGCAAACAAGCACACACGAGAAUAUCAACCCCACGCUAUUGCUCCCUGGCAACGGCGCCAGAAAAGAGCUUGAUAAUCCCCAAGUGCAGGGAAUCAUCAUAGCAAUUCCCAAAGGUGGAAGUGAUAAGUAUGGAGUGUCGAACCCACAAGGAGCUAAAGGUAAGAUCAAUAUUCUCUCAAGCCCUAUCUGCCACUGAUACGACUCUACGUGCACCGAACGUUUGCUUUCAACUAGAAACAAGAAAUAAAACUGUGUUGUGGGUAUAAAGAGGAUAACUUUGUAUGAUAUCGGAGAGCUAAAAUAUAAAAGUAGGUGCUGUUAUCAUAAAGUUAGAAUAUACUACUAAAUAAUAUAAAUAGAGAGUGUGGAAUAAUGGUGGAUCGGUGUGCGGAACUGUCCUAAGCAAUUGUUAACAAGAUCGAUAGUCGUCAUUGCAAUUUCAUAUGAGGGAGAGGCAUAAGCUAACAUACUUUUCCAUACUUGGAUCAUAUGCACUUAUGAUUGGAACUCGAGCAAGCAUAUGCAAAUACUAAAGAUCAUUAAGGUAAAAACCCAACCAUAGCAUUAAAGCAUCAAGUCCCCUUUUAUCCCAUAUGCAACAACCCCCUUACUCGGGUUUGUGUUUCAGUCACUCAAGCAACCCACUAUAAGUGAAUCAUGCACGUAUUGCAACACCCUACAGCGGGAAUCCCUCGCGCUUGCGCGACACGGAGGGCACCAUAGGAGAACAUCAAAGUGAAACAUACAACUCAGACCAAUCUAUAUCAUCAAUCACCCCAAAAGAUAUCUACUCAAAACAUCAUAGGAUGACAACACAUCAUUGAAUCAUAAUAUGUAGCAUAAAGCACUAUGUUCAAGUAGGGAUUACAGCGGGGUGCCGGAGAGUGGACCGUGUAAAAGAGAUUAUGAUGGUGAUGUUGAUGAAGACGAUCACCGCGGCGAUGAUUCCCCUCUCGAUGGCACUCCGGUGCCACCAAGAGAGAGGAGGAGAGGUUCUCCCCCUUGUGCUUCCUCCUCCAUGGCUUUCCCCCUCUGGUCCUUGGCCUUCAUGGUGAUGAUGGCCCCUCCGAGAUCCUCCUCCAUGGCCUUCGGUGAUGAUGGCCCCCUCCGGCAAGGUGCCGGAGAGGGCCUAGAUUGAUUUCUCGUGGCUACAGAGGCUUGCGGCGGUGGAACUUCCGAUCUAGGUUAAUUCCCGAAGGUUUCUAUAUUUAUAGGAAUUUUUGGCGUUGGUUUCACGUCAAGGGGGCCUCCGGGCUGUCGACGAGAUAGGGGGUCGCGCCCUAGGGGGGGGGGGGCGCCCCCCACUCUCUUGGGCCGCCCAGGACUCCUCUGGCCCAACUCUGAUGCUCCGUGGUCUUCUUUUGGUCUAGAAAAAAUCCUCAAAAAAUGGCACAUCAAUUUUUUAUGUAGUUUUUUUUAUUUUCUGCAUUAUUUCUUUUCUUCUAUUUAUUUUUGAGUAAUUUUUUUAUAUAGUUUUUUCUUUUCUGCUUUAUUUUUCUUCUUCUAUUUAUUUUGAGCAAAUGAUGUCAGAACGUGUUGGAAAUUGAUGACGUCACUUCGAAUGCGGCAUAAUGCCGGCUCAAAAAAAGUCUGGAGUUCAAAUAAGUUUAAAAAAAUGAAGUGCUCAUGUAACAGAUAAGUUCUCGUCCGAAACCCUGAUACUCCGAAAGAGAUUGUCCAGUUUGUACACGAAGUGCGUCCAGUUUUUGCCGUGACACUCUCUACUCUUUCGCACAUGCUAUGCGGGUGAAAUGAUGAUACCAUGCCAAGUUUCAACAUUUUCAGAGUUCAUUUUGUUGUGAUUUAAUGUUUCACGGUCAUUUAGCUCUCUAAACAAACUGGAAAAUGACUGGAAAACAGCAAAUGAUGUCAGAACAUGUUGGAAAUUGAUGGCGUCGCUUUGAAUGCUGCAUAUUGAACGCANNNNNNNNNNNNNNNNNNNNNNNNNNNNNNNNNNNNNNNNNNNNNNNNNNNNNNNNNNNNNNNNNNNNNNNNNNNNNNNNNNNNNNNNNNNNNNNNNNNNNNNNNNNNNNNNNNNNNNNNNNNNNNNNNNNNNNNNNNNNNNNNNNNNNNNNNNNNNNNNNNNNNNNNNNNNNNNNNNNNNNNNNNNNNNNNNNNNNNNNNNNNNNNNNNNNNNNNNNNNNNNNNNNNNNNNNNNNNNNNNNNNNNNNNNNNNNNNNNNNNNNNNNNNNNNNNNNNNNNNNNNNNNNNNNNNNNNNNNNNNNNNNNNNNNNNNNNNNNNNNNNNNNNNNNNNNNNNNNNNNNNNNNNNNNNNNNNNNNNNNNNNNNNNNNNNNNNNNNNNNNNNNNNNNNNNNNNNNNNNNNNNNNNNNNNNNNNNNNNNNNNNNNNNNNNNNNNNNNNNNNNNNNNNNNNNNNNNNNNNNNNNNNNNNNNNNNNNNNNNNNNNNNNNNNNNNNNNNNNNNNNNNNNNNNNNNNNNNNNNNNNNNNNNNNNNNNNNNNNNNNNNNNNNNNNNNNNNNNNNNNNNNNNNNNNNNNNNNNNNNNNNNNNNNNNNNNNNNNNNNNNNNNNNNNNNNNNNNNNNNNNNNNNNNNNNNNNNNNNNNNNNNNNNNNNNNNNNNNNNNNNNNNNNNNNNNNNNNNNNNNNNNNNNNNNNNNNNNNNNNNNNNNNNNNNNNNNNNNNNNNNNNNNNNNNNNNNNNNNNNNNNNNNNNNNNNNNNNNNNNNNNNNNNNNNNNNNNNNNNNNNNNNNNNNNNNNNNNNNNNNNNNNNNNNNNNNNNNNNNNNNNNNNNNNNNNNNNNNNNNNNNNNNNNNNNNNNNNNNNNNNNNNNNNNNNNNNNNNNNNNNNNNNNNNNNNNNNNNNNNNNNNNNNNNNNNNNNNNNNNNNNNNNNNNNNNNNNNNNNNNNNNNNNNNNNNNNNNNNNNNNNNNNNNNNNNNNNNNNNNNNNNNNNNNNNNNNNNNNNNNNNNNNNNNNNNNNNNNNNNNNNNNNNNNNNNNNNNNNNNNNNNNNNNNNNNNNNNNNNNNNNNNNNNNNNNNNNNNNNNNNNNNNNNNNNNNNNNNNNNNNNNNNNNNNNNNNNNNNNNNNNNNNNNNNNNNNNNNNNNNNNNNNNNNNNNNNNNNNNNNNNNNNNNNNNNNNNNNNNNNNNNNNNNNNNNNNNNNNNNNNNNNNNNNNNNNNNNNNNNNNNNNNNNNNNNNNNNNNNNNNNNNNNNNNNNNNNNNNNNNNNNNNNNNNNNNNNNNNNNNNNNNNNNNNNNNNNNNNNNNNNNNNNNNNNNNNNNNNNNNNNNNNNNNNNNNNNNNNNNNNNNNNNNNNNNNNNNNNNNNNNNNNNNNNNNNNNNNNNNNNNNNNNNNNNNNNNNNNNNNNNNNNNNNNNNNNNNNNNNNNNNNNNNNNNNNNNNNNNNNNNNNNNNNNNNNNNNNNNNNNNNNNNNNNNNNNNNNNNNNNNNNNNNNNNNNNNNNNNNNNNNNNNNNNNNNNNNNNNNNNNNNNNNNNNNNNNNNNNNNNNNNNNNNNNNNNNNNNNNNNNNNNNNNNNNNNNNNNNNNNNNNNNNNNNNNNNNNNNNNNNNNNNNNNNNNNNNNNNNNNNNNNNNNNNNNNNNNNNNNNNNNNNNNNNNNNNNNNNNNNNNNNNNNNNNNNNNNNNNNNNNNNNNNNNNNNNNNNNNNNNNNNNNNNNNNNNNNNNNNNNNNNNNNNNNNNNNNNNNNNNNNNNNNNNNNNNNNNNNNNNNNNNNNNNNNNNNNNNNNNNNNNNNNNNNNNNNNNNNNNNNNNNNNNNNNNNNNNNNNNNNNNNNNNNNNNNNNNNNNNNNNNNNNNNNNNNNNNNNNNNNNNNNNNNNNNNNNNNNNNNNNNNNNNNNNNNNNNNNNNNNNNNNNNNNNNNNNNNNNNNNNNNNNNNNNNNNNNNNNNNNNNNNNNNNNNNNNNNNNNNNNNNNNNNNNNNNNNNNNNNNNNNNNNNNNNNNNNNNNNNNNNNNNNNNNNNNNNNNNNNNNNNNNNNNNNNNNNNNNNNNNNNNNNNNNNNNNNNNNNNNNNNNNNNNNNNNNNNNNNNNNNNNNNNNNNNNNNNNNNNNNNNNNNNNNNNNNNNNNNNNNNNNNNNNNNNNNNNNNNNNNNNNNNCUCGGGUAGGGGGUUCCGAACUGUGCGUCUAAGGCUAAUGGUAACAGGAGGCGGGGGACACGAUGUUUACCCAGGUUCGGGCCCUCUCGAUGGAGGUAAUACCCUACUUCCUGCUUGAUUGAUCUUGAUGAUAUGAGUAUUACAAGAGUUGAUCUACCACGAGAUCGAAGAGGCUAAACCCUAGAAGCUAGCCUAUGAUUAUGAUUGUUGUCCUCCUACGGACUAAACCCUCCGGUUUAUAUACACACCGGAGGGGGCUAGGGUUACACAGAGUCAGUUACAGAGAAGGAGAUCUACAUAUCCAAAUUGCCAAGCUUGCCUUCCACGCCAAGGAGAGUCCCAUCCGGACACGGGACAAAGUCUUCAAUCUUGUAUCUUCAUAGUCCAAUAGUCCGGCCAAAGUAUAUAGUUCGGCUGUCCGAGGACCCCCUAAUCUAGGACUCCGUCACCAGGAACAAAAGAUCUAGGGGUGCAGGCACCUGAGGAGGGAAUCAGAUCACCCUGGAAUCCCGUGACGCUGGCAGGCCUAGUAGGGGAAUCCAUCGGUGAUCCCGAGGAGGAACCAGGCGCCGCUGGCGCGCUUGUCACAGAACAGGGCCGGCCCACCGGAUGGCGAGCGGGCACGUGGGCGGCAACCUGCGGCGGGUCGGGGUUGAAGGGAACCAGGCCAGUGGCAGGCCCCNNNNNNNNNNNNNNNNNNNNNNNNNNNNNNNNNNNNNNNNNNNNNNNNNNNNNNNNNNNNNNNNNNNNNNNNNNNNNNNNNNNNNNNNNNNNNNNNNNNNNNNNNNNNNNNNNNNNNNNNNNNNNNNNNNNNNNNNNNNNNNNNNNNNNNNNNNNNNNNNNNNNNNNNNNNNNNNNNNNNNNNNNNNNNNNNNNNNNNNNNNNNNNNNNNNNNNNNNNNNNNNNNNNNNNNNNNNNNNNNNNNNNNNNNNNNNNNNNNNNNNNNNNNNNNNNNNNNNNNNNNNNNNNNNNNNNNNNNNNNNNNNNNNNNNNNNNNNNNNNNNNNNNNNNNNNNNNNNNNNNNNNNNNNNNNNNNNNNNNNNNNNNNNNNNNNNNNNNNNNNNNNNNNNNNNNNNNNNNNNNNNNNNNNNNNNNNNNNNNNNNNNNNNNNNNNNNNNNNNNNNNNNNNNNNNNNNNNNNNNNNNNNNNNNNNNNNNNNNNNNNNNNNNNNNNNNNNNNNNNNNNNNNNNNNNNNNNNNNNNNNNNNNNNNNNNNNNNNNNNNNNNNNNNNNNNNNNNNNNNNNNNNNNNNNNNNNNNNNNNNNNNNNNNNNNNNNNNNNNNNNNNNNNNNNNNNNNNNNNNNNNNNNNNNNNNNNNNNNNNNNNNNNNNNNNNNNNNNNNNNNNNNNNNNNNNNNNNNNNNNNNNNNNNNNNNNNNNNNNNNNNNNNNNNNNNNNNNNNNNNNNNNNNNNNNNNNNNNNNNNNNNNNNNNNNNNNNNNNNNNNNNNNNNNNNNNNNNNNNNNNNNNNNNNNNNNNNNNNNNNNNNNNNNNNNNNNNNNNNNNNNNNNNNNNNNNNNNNNNNNNNNNNNNNNNNNNNNNNNNNNNNNNNNNNNNNNNNNNNNNNNNNNNNNNNNNNNNNUCGCUGAGGAGGACGGGGCGGGCGAAGGGGCGAUCGGGCCAUCCAAGGCCGCCAUGUGGGCUAACGGGCGGGGCGCAACCCCGCGCUCACCUGGCGCAUCGUUGUCGGCAGGUGACGCGUGAUCCGAGGCCGGAUCCGCUCCUGAUCCUGUGUCAGGAUCCUCCUGGGUGGUAGGUGAAGUAGAUCCUGUCGCACCUGGGUUUGUCUGCACCGGGGUAGAUCCUACAUCCAGGUUAGUAGAUGAAGCAGAUACGCCAUAAUUCAUGUGGUCAUGCAGAAAUAACGGGAUGGUGUGUUCUACAACGCGAGGUGGUAUGGGGGAGGCAGAAGGGCUGGCAAAAGGAAAAAAAUUCUCAUCGAACGUGACAUCACGAGAGAUAUAAACACAAGCUGUGGGCAGAUGAAGGCAUUUAUACCCUUUGUGGCGAAUGCUAUAACCAACGAACACACAUUGUUGAGGUCUAAAGGCAAGUUUGUGUGUGUUGUAGGGGUGCGUGUUGGGCCAACAAGCACAACCAAAUGGACGAAGUGACAUGUAGUCUGGUUUGGUGUUGAACUAUUUCUCCAUACGACUAAGGUUGCCAAUGACACGACUAGGAAGUCGAUUGAUAAGAUAACAUGCUGAAAGAUAGGCCUCAUCCCAAAAAUGUAGCGGCAUAGAUGCAUGUGAUAGUAAAGAGAGCCCCAUGUCAACAAUAUGAUGGUGCUUCCUUUGAGUUGAAACAUUUUGCUGGUGUGUGUGUGGGCAAGAUACAUGAUGCAUAAUGCCUAGUUGACGAAAAAACGUGUUGCUAAGCUUCUCGUAUUCCUCACCCCAAUCAGAUUGAACACAUAAAAUCUUGUGAGACAGGAGGCGUUCAACAUGAGCAAGGGAGUCACGAAAAACAUCAAACACAUCACAUUUUCUUUUGAGAAGAUAGAUCCGCACAAACUUAGUAUAAUCAUCAAUAAAUGAGACAUAGUACUGGAACCCACCAGAUGAUGUUUUGGCGGGUCCCCACACAUCCGAAAAAACAAGUUCUAAUCAAAAGGAAGAAACACUUGAGGAUCUAGGAAAAGGAAGCUGGUGUGCUUUGCCUUGUUGACAUGCAUUACACACAUGGGUCAUAGACCGACUAGAAGAAGCUAGUUUAUUGGAUGAUAAAACAUGCUGAACGACUUGAGUGGAUGGGUGGCCAAGCCUUGCAUUCCAAUCUUGAGUUGACAACCUAACCGAAGACAAGACACGAUGAGAUGAUGGCCGAAUGGGGUAAAUCCCAUUUUCACAUAUGCCUUGAAGUAGAACCCUCUUGGUUAUCAAAUCCUUCAUAAGAAAAUGAGUAGGGUAAUACUUUAGAUACACACGAUUAUCAAUGGCAAGACGAUUGACAGAAAGAAGGUUCUUGUUAGCAUUAGGAACAUGCAAGAUAUUACGGAGUUUGAGAUUUGCAGAAGGAGUAGGAAGAAUUGCAUGACCACGAUGAGCUAUGUGCAAACCUGACCCGUCAGCUGUGUGGAUGCGAUCUCUUCCGGAUACUUCUCCCGGACCAUGAGGCAAUCCAGAUCGCCGGUGAUGUGGUCCAUGGCCCCGAUGUCAGUGAACCAGGCGGGGUCACCUAGGAUGGCUGGAGGAGAAGCAGCAACAAGCCCUGCCAUCUUGGACUAUUGAGGCUGAAAGGCAUGAUUGUAACGCUGGCCGCACUCCCAGGCGUAAUGCCCAGGGCCACAGCAGAGCUGACACUGCACGCGGUUGUCACCGCGGUCGCCGUAGUCACCGCGAUCACCACCGUGGUUGCCACCAAAAUCGCCUUGUUGGCGCGUGCGACCACCACCGCGGUUCCCACGAUCGCCACCACGAGAGUUGUUGUUUGAUAAUCCCCAAGUGCAGGAAAUCAUCGUAGCAAUUCCCAAAGGUGGAAGUGAUAAGUAUGGAGUGUCGAACCCACAAGGAGCUAAAGGUAAGAUCAAUAUUCUCUCAAUCCCUAUCUGCCACUGAUAUGACUCUACGUGCACCGAACGUUUGCUUCCAACUAGAAACAAGAAAUAAAACUGUGUUGUGGGUAUAAAGAGGAUAACUUUGUAUGAUAUCGGAGAGCUAAAAUAUAAAAGUAGGUGUUGUUAUAAUAAAGUUAGAAUAUACUACUAAAUAAUAUAAAUAGCGAGUGUGGAAUAAUGGUGGAUCGGUGUGCGGAAUUGUCCUAAGCAAUUGUUAACAAGAUCGAUAGUCGUCAUUGCAAUUUCAUAUGAGGGAGAAGCAUAAGUUAACAUACUUUUCCAUCCUUGGAUCAUAUGCACUUAUGAUUGGAACUCUAGCAAGCAUCCGCAAAUACUAAAGAUCAUUAAGGUAAAAACCCAACCAUAGCAUUAAAGCAUCAAGUCCCCUUUUAUCCCAUACGCAACAACCCCCUUACUCGGGUUUGUGUUUUAGUCACUCACGCAACCCACUGUAAGUGAAUCAUGCACGUAUUGCAACACCCUAUAGCAGGAAUCCCUCACGCUUGCGCGACAUGGCGGGCACCAUAGGACAGCAUCAAAGUGAAACAUACAACUCAUACCAAUCUAGAUCAUCAAUCACCCCAAAGACAAAAGAUAUCUACUCAAAACAUCAUAGGAUGGCAACACAUCAUUGAAUCAUAAUAUGUAGCAUAAAGCUCCAUGUUCAAGUAGGGAUUACAACGGGGUGCGGGAGAGUGGACCGCAUAAAAGAGAUGAGGAUGGUGAUGAUGAUGGUGAUGUUGAUGAAGACGAUCACCGCGGCGAUGAUUCCCCUCCCGAUGGCACUCCGGUGCCACCAAGAGAGAGGAGGAGAGGUUCUCCCCCUUGUGCUUCCUCCUCCAUGGCUUUCCCUCUCUGGUCCUUGGCCUUCAUGGUGAUGAUGGCCCCUCCGAGAUCCUCCUCCAUGGCCUUCGGUGAUGAUGGCCCCCUCCGGCAGGGUGCCGGAGAGGGCCUAGAUUGAUUUCUCGUGGCUACAUAGGCUUACGGCGGCGGAACUUCCGAUCCAGGUUAAUUCCCGAAGGUUUCUGUAUUUAUAGGAAUUUUUGGCGUUGGUUUCACGUCAAGGGGGCCUCCGGGCUGUCCCCGAGAUAGGGGGCCGCGCCCUAGGGGGGGCGCCCCCCACUCUCGUGGGCAGCCCGGGACUCCUCUGGCCCAACUCAGAUGCUCCGUGGUCUUCUUUUGGUCCAGAAAAAAUCCUCAAAAAAUGGCACGUCAAUUGGACUCCGUUUGGUAUCCAUUUUCUGUAAAACACUAAAACAAGGAGAAAACAGAAACUGGCACUGGGCUCUAGGUUAAUAGGUUAGUCCCAAAAAUCAUAUAAAAUGACAUAUAAAUGCAUAUAAAACAUCAUAGAUGGAUAAUAUAAUAGCAUGAAUACUUCAUAAAUUAUAGAUACGUCGGAGACGUAUCAGCAUCCCCAAGCUUAAUUCCUGCUCGUCCUCGAGUAGGUAAAUGAUAAAAGAAAUAAUUUAUGAAGUGUGAAUGCUAGCAGGUGCACAAGUUUGAUCAAUGAUAAUUUCAAUCACAUUUUCUAGCAUCAAUAUGUGUCAUUAUAAUAGCUUAUCUCAUAAAACUUUUCAUGAUCAAGUAACAAUCUAUUCACAAUGUCAAGUGUGGUUCAGAAACUUCAUUGAGAACUAACAAACUAUAAUCUCAGUCAUUGAAGAAAUUGCAAUUUAUCAUAACAUUAGAAAGAGUCAAGAAUAGAGCUUUUCAGCAAGUCCACAUACUCAACUAUCGUAUAGUCUUCUACAAUUGUUAACACUCAAGCAAUACUUGUGGUUAUGGAGUUUCAGCCGGACACUGAGAAAGAUAGGGGCUUAUUGUGUUGCCUCCCAACGUAUUCACCUUUAGGUGAUGUCAACAAUAAUAGCCCAUGCUAACUUACAUCCAAUUGGAUAUAUAUAUCAUGAUCUUUCAAACACGAGGAGCUUGCCAAAGGAUAAAAUGAAAAAGGGAAAGGUGAGGAUCACCUUGACUCAAGCAUAAAGUAAAAACAUAAAGUAAAAGAUAGGCCCUUCGCAGAGGGAAGCAGAGGUUGUCAUGCAUGUUUAGGGUUGAUGCACAAAAUCUUAAUGCAAAAGAACGUCACUUUAUAUUGCCCCUUGUAUGUGGACCUUUAUUAUGCAGUCCCUCGCUUUUAUUACUUCCACAACAAGAUCGUACAAAGCUUAUUUUCUCUGCACUAAUAAGUCACACAUAUUUAGAGAGCAAUUUUUAUUGCUUGCACCGAUGACAACUUACUUGAAGGAUCUUACUCAAUCCAUAGGUAGGUAUGGUGGACUCUCAUGGCAAAAAACUGGGUUUAAGGAUAUUUGGAAGCACAAGUAGUAUCUCUACUAAGGAAUUUGGCUAGCAUGAGGGGGAUAGGCAAGCUCAACAUAUUUGGAAGGUCAGUGACAAUAUACUUUAACUGAGAUGUGAGAAAACACAAAUCAUUACGUUGUCUUCCUUGUCCAACGUCAACUCUUUUAGCAUGUCAUACUUAAUGAGUGCUCCCAAUCAUAAAAGAUGUCCAAGAUAAUAUAUUUGUAUGUGAACCUCUCUUUCCUUAUUACUUCCUAUUAAUUGCAAUGAUGACCAAAACUACGUUUGCCAACUCUCAACAAUUUUUAUGCCUCAUACUCUUUAUAUGUGAAGUCAUUACUAUCCAUGUUAUAAGCAAAUGAAACAUAUAUAAAUUCAGAUUCAUGACAUUCAACUCAUUCAAAAAUUUACUCAUAGGAUAUAAGUGAAGCACACGAGUAAAUGAAAAACUACUCCAAAAGAUAUGAGUGAAAGACACUGAAUAGUCAAAUAAUUAACUAGCCAUGGGAGGGUUCCAUUUUUUUAUUCAAUAAUCAGAUCCAAUGAUUUUAUUCAAACAUCAAGUAAAAUUGAAAUAAAAUGACAUUGCAAGGAUAACACAACUCAUGUGAAGAAGCAAAAACUUAGGCUCAACCGAUAAUAACCGAUAGUUGUUGAACAAGAGAGGUGGGAUGCCUGCCGGGGCAUCCCUAAGCUUAGAUGCUUGAGACUUCUUGAAAUAUUAUCUUGGGGUGCCUUGGGCAUCCCCAAGCUUGAGCUUUUAUGUCUCCUUAAUUCCUCUCAUAUCACGGUUUCUCUUUUUAUCAAAAGCUUCAUUCACAACAAACUCAACAAGAACUCGUGAGAUGGGUUAGUAUAAACCAAUACAAAACCUUAUCAUUUUCUACUGUAACAAAUCACUAAAAUUAUUAUUAAACAUUGAACACUAAAUGCCUCUGCAUAUUUAAUACUCCUAUCCUCAAAUAGAAUCAUUAAACAAGCAAACAUACGCAAACAAUGCAAACAUAACAGCAAUCUGCCAAAACAGUACAAUAUGUAAAGAAUGCAAGAGUAUCAAUACUUCCCUAACUCCGUAAAUUAUAAGAGAAAGUUCCCACUGUAAUAAAUUUAUCAGAUCUUAAUAUGCAAAAAGAUUCAACUUUAUACCAUUCUCUUACUUUUCUAGGGAAUUUUUGCAACAACGGUGAACUUUCUGUUUUGAAACAGCAACAUGUAUGCUAGCAAAAUAAGCAUGGUAAAGGCUUUCCUUGACAUUUUUAUUGAAAUUAAAGAUGCAAAACAUUAUUCUAAAUAACAGCAAGAAAAUACUAACAAGAGGAAAUGACGCUCCAAGCAAAACACAUAUCAUGUGGUGAAUAAAAAUAUAGCUCCAAGUAAAGUUACCGAUGAACGAAGACGAAAGAGGGGAUGCCUUCCGGGGCCUCCCCAAGCUUAGGCUCUUGGUUGUCCUUGAAUAUUACCUUGGGGUGCCUUGGGAAUCCCCAAGCUUAGGCUCUUGUCACUCCUUAUUCCAUAGUCCAUUGAAUCUUUACCCAAAACUUGAAAACUUCAACCACACAAAACUCAACCAAACAUCGUGAGACAGGUUAGUAUGAUAAAGAGUAGACCAUGCACUUUGGUACUGUAAAAGACAAGGUUCAUAAUUGUUUUCACAUAAUGCCUACUGUACCAUAUUAUUUCUACAAUUUAUAUUGAGAAAUAUAAGCCAUAGAAACUAGAAAACAAGCAAACUAUGCAGUGAAAACAGAAUCUGUCAUAAACAGAACAGUCUGUAAUGAUCUGAACAAUAACCACACUUCCGCUACUCCAAAAAUUAUGAAAUAAACUGGUGGACGUGAGGAAUUUGUCUAUUAAUAUUAUGCAAAAAUAAUCAACUCAAAACCACUCUUCUGUAAAAAAAUGACAGCUAAUCUCGUGAGCGCAAAGUUUCUGUUGUUUUACAGGAAGAUCACAUUAACUUUCACCCAAGUCUUCCCAAAGGUCUUACUUGGCACUUUAUUGAAACUAAAGCUAUAAAACAUGAUUACUACAGUAGCUUAAUCAUGUAGACACACAAAAACAGUAAGGAUAAAUAUUGGGUUGUCUCCCAACAAGCGCUUUUUUCUUUAAUGCCUUUUAGCUAGGCAUGAUGAUUUCAAUGAUGCUCGCAUAAAAGAUAAGAGUUGAAACAUAAAAAGAGCAUCAUGAAGAAUAUGACUAGCAUAUUUAAAUCUAACCCACUUCCUAUACCUAGGGAUUUUGUGAGCACACAAUUUAUAGGAACAAGAAUCAACUAGCAUAGGAAGGCAAAACAAGUAUAACUUCAAAAAUUUAAGCACACAGAGAGGAAACUUGAUAUUAUUGCAACUCCUACAAGCACAUAUUCCUCCCUCAUAAAAAAUUUCAGUAGCAACAUGGAUAGCAACUUUUUUCUCAUACUCAAUUGGAACCUCUUCCGAAAUAGUGGAAUACUAACUAAAUUUGACACUCUUCCAAAUCCACUUUCAUAAAUAUCAUACAAAGAUUCAACCUCCUCCAAGAUAGUGGGAUCAUUAAUUCCUAAAGUUGACACUCUUCCAAACCCACUUUAAAUUAUAGUAUUAUUCAUACUCCAAAAGAUAUAAGUGAAGCACAUGAAGCAUUCUGUAAAUCAAUGAAGAGCUAGCUCAUACUAGAAUGAUUCUUAAAGAAAAAUACAAACACAAAGGACACAAAUCAUGUGAACAAAACGAAAACCAAGGUAUACCGAUAUUUGUUGAAGAAGAAAGAUGGGAUGCCAAUCGGGGCAUCCCCAAGCUUAGAUGCUUGAGUAUCCUUUGAAAUAUUUACUUGGGGUGCCUUGGACAUCCCCAAGCUUGAACUCUUGUCUCUCUUUAUUCUUCUCACAUCGGUAACUCCUCGUUCUUCAAACACUUCAUUCACAAAAACUUAAACAAAAACUUGUGAGAUCCGUUAGUGUAAUAAAGCAAACUACCACUUUAAGGUACUGUAAUUAACUCAUUCUUUGUUUAUAUUGGUGUUCAACCUACUUUAUUCCAACUUCUCUAUGGUUCAUACCCUACAUACUAGCCAUAGAUGCAUCAAAAUAAGCAAACAACACACGAAAAACAGAAUCUUCAAGAACAGGACAGUCUGUAGUAAUCUGGAAGUUUAGUAAAUAUCCGUAACUCCAAAAAUUAUGAAAUAAAUUUGACAAUUUGAACAAUUUGUACAGAAGUAAUAUGCAAAAAGUUUCAGACCCAUUUCACUUUCCAGUAAAAAAUGUAAAUUCAUGCACUACAGCCAAAGUUUCUGUUUUUGUUCUGCACAUAGUAAGCAAGCAAUCUUAUCACACUAAAACCAAAGCUUGGCACAUUAGUUUUAUAAUACAGGGUAUAUACAAGGGGAUAAUUAUUUACAGAGAAAAUUCCAUGAAAAAUUCUACAUUGUUUCCGUCAGCAUGAACACAAGUGCUCAAGGUCGACCCUCACUUCUUCAAUGCAUAACUUUUCAAUCACUUCUCUUUUGAAAAACUUUUUUAGGCAUGAGAGGCAAGUAAUUCUUUUUUGGUAUUUUCAUUCUUUUGAAAAAAAAUUGUAUGUUUCAUCCACAACUAAACAGAAACAAAAAGGAAAACAAAAUCUACUUAGUGAAGAAAGCAAACAAGCACACACGAGAAUAUCAACCCCACGCUAUUGCUCCCUGGCAACGGCGCCAGAAAAGAGCUUGAUAAUCCCCAAGUGCAGGGAAUCAUCAUAGCAAUUCCCAAAGGUGGAAGUGAUAAGUAUGGAGUGUCGAACCCACAAGGAGCUAAAGGUAAGAUCAAUAUUCUCUCAAGCCCUAUCUGCCACUGAUACGACUCUACGUGCACCGAACGUUUGCUUUCAACUAGAAACAAGAAAUAAAACUGUGUUGUGGGUAUAAAGAGGAUAACUUUGUAUGAUAUCGGAGAGCUAAAAUAUAAAAGUAGGUGCUGUUAUCAUAAAGUUAGAAUAUACUACUAAAUAAUAUAAAUAGAGAGUGUGGAAUAAUGGUGGAUCGGUGUGCGGAACUGUCCUAAGCAAUUGUUAACAAGAUCGAUAGUCGUCAUUGCAAUUUCAUAUGAGGGAGAGGCAUAAGCUAACAUACUUUUCCAUACUUGGAUCAUAUGCACUUAUGAUUGGAACUCGAGCAAGCAUAUGCAAAUACUAAAGAUCAUUAAGGUAAAAACCCAACCAUAGCAUUAAAGCAUCAAGUCCCCUUUUAUCCCAUAUGCAACAACCCCCUUACUCGGGUUUGUGUUUCAGUCACUCAAGCAACCCACUAUAAGUGAAUCAUGCACGUAUUGCAACACCCUACAGCGGGAAUCCCUCGCGCUUGCGCGACACGGAGGGCACCAUAGGAGAACAUCAAAGUGAAACAUACAACUCAGACCAAUCUAUAUCAUCAAUCACCCCAAAAGAUAUCUACUCAAAACAUCAUAGGAUGACAACACAUCAUUGAAUCAUAAUAUGUAGCAUAAAGCACUAUGUUCAAGUAGGGAUUACAGCGGGGUGCCGGAGAGUGGACCGUGUAAAAGAGAUUAUGAUGGUGAUGUUGAUGAAGACGAUCACCGCGGCGAUGAUUCCCCUCUCGAUGGCACUCCGGUGCCACCAAGAGAGAGGAGGAGAGGUUCUCCCCCUUGUGCUUCCUCCUCCAUGGCUUUCCCCCUCUGGUCCUUGGCCUUCAUGGUGAUGAUGGCCCCUCCGAGAUCCUCCUCCAUGGCCUUCGGUGAUGAUGGCCCCCUCCGGCAAGGUGCCGGAGAGGGCCUAGAUUGAUUUCUCGUGGCUACAGAGGCUUGCGGCGGCGGAACUUCCGAUCUAGGUUAAUUCCCGAAGGUUUCUGUAUUUAUAGGAAUUUUUGGCGUUGGUUUCACGUCAAGGGGGCCUCCGGGCUGUCGACGAGAUAGGGGGUCGCGCCCUAGGGGGGGGGGGCGCCCCCCACUCUCUUGGGCUGCCCAGGACUCCUCUGGCCCAACUCUGAUGCUCCGUGGUCUUCUUUUGGUCUAGAAAAAAUCCUCAAAAAAUGGCACAUCAAUUGGACUCUGUUUGGUAUCCAUUUUCUGUAAAACACUAAAACAAGGAGAAAACAGAAACUGGCACUGGGCUCUAGGUUAAUAGGUUAGUCCCAAAAAUCAUAUAAAAUAACAUAUAAAUGCAUAUAAAACAUCAUAGAUGGAUAAUAUAAUAGCAUGAAUACUUCAUAAAUUAUAGAUACAUUGGAGACGUAUCGUUGUUGUAGCCGUCGUGAUCUCCGGAGUUCCCGCGGCCCUUGCCGCGGUAGUUGCCCUUGCCCCGGUUGGUAUUGUUGGUGUUGCCGUUGGAGUCCCGGGCGAGGUAGUUGACAGAGGAGCCGCCGUGCUGAAGAUGAAGACAAGCGGCAUUGUACUCGCGGCGUCGCUCGAAGGCAAUCGCAUGGGAGUAGAACUCACCAAGGGACAUGCCCUCGGGGCGGGUGGUAGCAGCUGUGAUGAGGGGCUCAUAGUCGCUGUCGAGGCCGGUGAUGACGGCGGUGAUGAUGUCCUCAUCACGCAUGGGGCGGCCGACAGUGACAAGCUGAUCAGCGUUGGCUCGGAUCUUGCGGAGUAGUCCGCCAUUGAAAGAUUGCCCUUCCUGAAGACUGCCAUGUCCAGUUUGAUCUGGACGAUACUGGCGCGGCAGUGGAUGGUCUAGAUUGGUAUGAGUUGUAUGUUUGUUUCAACAUGUAAACGAAGGAGAAGUAGAUUGGAUCGACACCCAACAUGGUGGCCUCGGGAUGUAUUUAUAUGAGUGCAACUAGGGCACAGAUUACAGGUUGUUACAUGAGAUAAGUAUAGAUAUUAACAGACUCCUAGAUCACAACAAUAUACAGUUUAACACUCAUGACCGAGGAUUGGGACAUAUAAUUGUGUGCGUUCGGCUGAAAAGAAUGAUAUGUGUUGAUUUGUGCGUAAAUGAUGUCCAACGACUCUUGGUACAUUUUUUGCGGGAAAACUUUUGAUCUUUUCAUCUUCAAUCAUCGUAGUACAAUGAAGACUAAAAAUAAUAAUAAUUACAUUCAGAUCCAUAAAUCACUAGUGAUGACUACAAGCACUGAAGCCUAGUAGAGGCAUUUGGAAAACGUUGUUAGUGUCGCGGACUGGAGAAGCCACUAUUAUGACACCAAUGAUAAGGCUCACUAGUGGCGCCGGCUUCCAACGCCGAUAUAAACAUUUUCCAAAUGCCCAUAUUACUGGCGGCGGCGGCCAACGUCGCUGAUAACUUAGGUAUUGUUGGCGCAGGUCGGCCGGCGCCACAUGUACUUAUUGUAUUCGUGGUGUACGGUAAAAACCAACUGACUAUAAAAUAUGGCCGAAUAAUAAUAAUAAUAAUAAUAAUAAUAAUAAUAAUAAUUGUGUUGCAUAUAAAAUCUCGUGACAUUAAAAUUGUAUUGCUUAUGAAAUCGCAUUACAUUACAUUAUAUAAUAGCAUUCAUAUGAAGUCACAUUGCAUUGCCUAUGAAACCACAACUAGGUCGAGUGCUAUUUGCCAAGUCUAUUUGGGCUUUUGCUGUGUGCCAAGCCUUUGGCACACGGCAGACGUUCAAAUUCGGUAGUGAACUUUUCCUUGUUGUAUAUUUGGACUGAGUCUUUUUAAAGAGAAAACAUCAUACGUGAUUUCUUUUUCACCAAACUCCAUUCGCCUCAUCGAUAUGUGCAUUCUCUUCUUUUUCCAAUCUCGUGUAUAUGCAUUGACUAUAUUCUCUUGCUUCUUGAGCACUCCCAUUUAAUGAUUUCCUCACGUAUACCGUGUCAAGAUGAAUCUUGCAUUGCUAAUUUUCUUUGCGUGAACAAAUAUAGGAUCCUUUAUUCAGGACUUGGAAAGCUGUCAAUUAUGCAAACAGAUCCGCGCGCUGUUGGACAGCUAGGGUUUUAUGUCCGUUCUGUGGACCUCUUUCCAUUUCACCUACCAUAUAUAUGAACCAAGGAUGCAGCUAAUUUUGCCGAUAUGGUAACCAUCCUAGCUUUAUAGUAGUGGGAUUAACAAACUACGGGUUGUAAUCACAAUGUUUACAUGCAUGCCAAAAUACAUCACCGCACUGGAUCGAGAACAAUGACGUGGAAGCACAAGCUAUAGGCACUAGACAGAAGCCACCCACGCAGAUCAUGAACAACUUAUGUCUGUUUCCUUGCACCUUUUUAUCUUUAUCUAGCUAUAUAAACCGCCCAGAGAUCAAGAGUGUAGUUAUCCAUAUACACAACUGAUUAAGAUAGUACUAAAACCGAGGCAGAAAGUCUGUUCGCAGAGGAAACAAUGUCGAUGAAGACCAUGUUCUCGGUGCUCCUGCUAUGUAUGCUUGUGGCAACACCCAUAGCGGCCGAGUACGGCGCAUGGAGCGAUAACAGUGGUCCCUGGAUGUGCUAUCCCGGGUAUGCCUUCAAGGUGCCCGCGCUCCCUGGCUGUCGUCCAGUGCUGAAGCUCCAGUGCAAUGGCAGCCAGGUGCCCGAGGCUGUCCUAAGGGACUGCUGCCAGCAGCUCGCCGACAUCAGCGAGUGGUGCAGGUGCGGUGCCCUCUACAGCAUGUUGGACAGCAUGUAUAAGGAGCAUGGCGUGCAGGAGGGACAGGCGGGGACAGGCGCGUUCCCACGCCGCCGGAGGGAGGUGGUGAAGCUGACGGCGGCGAGCAUCACAGCGGUCUGCAAGCUACCAGGGUUGGGGCCACUGUUGUGCAGAACGUGCGGCCCGCACAGGGCCCAAUUUUUUUUAUAUAAGACUAUAUACCAAACAUUAGGAAUUAGAAGCAAGGGAUAAUUAGACGGAUUGGUAAUGGUCAAACGACAAACAUCUGGACGGACAACUGGAUCCCGAAGGAAACCACGCCAAUACCAAUCACUUCCCUGGUGGCGAAUCCACCGAGGAUGGUUUCAGAACUGCUGUCACCAGCAACAGCAGGGUGGGACGAAGUUUUGGUGCCUUCGGUCCUCUUACCCAUAGAUGCGAAUGCAAUACUAAAGAUACCCACAUGCACUAAUAAUACUGAGGAUUUUUGGGCUUGGUACCCGGAUAAGAAAGGGAAAUUUUCAGUUGCGUCGGCAUAUAAAUUUUUACUCAAGGUUAAACUGCAGCGAGAUGAUUGGUUAGAGGGACGAGGUGGAUCAUCUAACACCCACAUGGAUGAAAAAUCUUGGAGUCCUUUGUGGAAAUUGAAGGUUCCGUCCAAAGUGCGGAUUUUCUUAUGGCGACUUGCACACCACUCACUCCCGACCACUGACGUCUUGAAGAAGCGUAAUAUGUCAGUACAGGAUGUGUGCCCACUGUGUGGAUGUCAAGAUUCAUGGAGACAUGCCCUUGUCUCUUGCACUAUGUCCAGAUGCAUUUGGGCGAUGACGGACGAUGAUCUUGUCUCACGCAUGACAGCUAAUGCAGAACCUAAUGCAAGACUCUGGCUGUUUGAGCUCAGCGACAAACUUGAUCAAGCGAGCUUCACAAGGAUGGCUGUUACUCUGUGGUCAAUCUGGUAUGCUAGAAGCAAGGCAGUGUAUGAGUCUUUGUUUUAGAGCCCUCAGCAAACAAUCCGUUUUGGGGACAAUUUUAUAUCUGAAUUGGGCCAACUUGAAAGUGGGCAGGGACGUAGGGAGCAAAGAGCACCUCUAACUGCUCAGCCUAAGCGGUGGCUCCCACCACCCAAUGGUUCUGUAAAGAUUAAUGUAGAUGAUGCUAUUGUAAGAUCACAACGUGGAGGAGCUGUCGCGGCAAUGUGCAGAGAUCAAACGGGCCAAUAUUUGGGAUCUUCGGCUGUGGUCUUCCUAGGAAUCAAUGACCCUUUAAUUCUGGAGACCUUUGCAUGUCGUGAAGCAUUAUCGCUAGCAGAUGAUUUGGCCGUCCAAAAUAUCCGUGUUGCUUCGGAUUGUCAAGAAGCGGUUAAUGAUAUUACAAAGGGGACAGGAGGUCCAAAUGCGGCUAUCGUACAUGAGAUAUCAAGCCGAUGUAAUACUUUCAAUUCCAGUUUCUUUCUUUUCGAGCGUAGGAAUUUUAAUUUUAAGGCUCAUAAUCUUGCCAAGUUUGCUUGUAACCUAGGCGUAGGAAGGCAUGUGUGGUUGGGCAAUCCCCAUGACCCAAACCUUGUACCCAAGACCAUGGUUUUGAAUGAAUAAAGAUGGCGGGAUUUCUCAAAAAAAAAAAGGGAAUAGGGCUAGUGCCGGAACGCUUGGCCACAUCCCACUGGGCACUGGGCUGCAAUCACAUUCGCGACUCUGCCUGGGCGUGCGUCAGUCGCGAUCCUUCCUCACCCGGUCAACGCUCGCAUGCACUCUGCCCAGUUACAUAAUCUUGUUUCCAGGCCAAAGUGCACCGUAGAAAAAAAAACUGAGGCCAAAACUGAGGCCAGUUGUUAAGUCUGUAGUUCAGGACAGACAGGCCAAUGCAUGCUUCCCCAUGCACCUUUUGCUCGGUAGCUCCUUUUAACAUUUAUUUCAGUGAACUUUAGGUUCACAAUUUUUCAAAUAUCCCCAUCAUAGGCUACUAGAGCACAUAGAAUUAAUCUUGAGAGACGAUCGAUUAGGCUACCGACGGGAGAACUGUCAUGACUCGAGCACCAAGCUCUCAAUUCGUUGUAUGUUCUUGACCUCCUCUACCCAGCGCGAUCGGCUGAUAGAGGUCGGCAAUUCGGCGGAGAGAUGUCGUGAGGUCCAUUCUCAACAGGAGCAGCACUACAGUACUUUGACCCGGAAUAAUCACCACGAAUUUAGCAAUUCUUUCAAUACUUCAAUAGAUCAAUGAUGCACAUCCCUUAAUUUUGUUUUAUUUCUUUCUUAUUUAGUGCUUCAAGAAUCUAGAUGGGUCACCAAUCAAGUCUUUUACAAGCAUAUGUAAUGUUUUCUUAUUUCUGUAAUUUUGUUUUUAUAAUGAGAUGGGGCCUCAUUUUUUAGUUUGUACAAGCAUAUGUAAUGUUUUCUUAUUUCUGUAAUUUUGUUUUUAUAACGAGAUGGGGCCUCAUUUUUUAGUUUGGCACAGGGCCCCAGAUUUUACCGGCCUGGCCCUGCAAGCUACCCAUCGUCGUUGAUGCGUCCGGAGAUGGAGCGUAUGUCUGCAAGGAUGUGGCCACAUACCCAGACGCCUAGUCAAGCGAAUGAGUAGCUACUAUGUUGUGUCAUGCAUCUGCCUCUUAAUUUGUGGGGUGCACACAAGCUGAAUAAAAUGGUGUAUGCGCCUAUGCGAAAUGCAUCGUUAAUGAAUAAAAGCGAAGUUCCUUGUUGAUCGAGAAAUUUUGAUCCAGCAUGCAAAAGAAUAA
rnacentral:lncRNA from 1 species